GGCGGGAAGCGGUGGAGGGAGCUCCUGCUGUGGCGGCUGCGGUGGAGGGACCAGCGGCGGCAGGCGAGGGAGAAGGCGCGGUGGUCCGUCGUCAAGGCGCCGCCGGGGCUGCUCGAUCCGAUCUUCCUGGAGCUCGAGGUCGAUCUUGGUGAUGAUUGAUUAACGAAUGGUCUGCACGGAUUAUAUACGUAUCAAUAAGGGCACGAUAGUUAGUGAUUACUGAUUAGUUCUUCUGUAUCAUUUUCGCUGGCACUAAAUUAACGUGGAAACUACUCCGUUAUCAAUAUAAGAGUGUUUAGAUCACUCAUUUAAUGAUUAAACGCUCUUACUUGCUUCGUAAAUGGUGGAGACGCUGUUUUUUUUUUUUAGAAAUGGUGGAGACGCUGUUAAACUGAGCCAUUUGCUUAUGGUCGUUCCUUUGGUUAAUCCAAGUUCAUUUGGUAUAGUGGGCUAUGGACUUGACUAAAUUUUUCACAAAGAUGUUUUCUUAUCUGUCAAUCAAAAGUUAAAACAAGCAGGCAUCUUCUCUUAGCAUACACACGGUGGUUAAAAGACACUUGAUUGGAAUAUAGUGACGCGACCCAAUGAUGAAGAUGACCCAUCUUUCAGCAAAGGCCAGGAAGAAAAACUUAUCAUAUCCCAAUUUGAGUGCACGGUUCCCUAAAAGCAAAGCAAUGCCAGUGUUGCCUUUCCUGUACUUAUAAUUCUUUUAAAAUAUAACAGUUUUAUACUGAAAUUGGCAGAAUUCAUGCCCGGUUCCACCAAUGGUACAUGCAUUGUAAUACAAAAAUUACCUUUUGAAUUUGAAUUCGUGAACAAUAAUUUCAGAUAGCAUUUUAUCCAGACAGCAAAAGGAGCCAAGGAGUCCAACACAAUUUGCUCUUAAACGUGACACUGGUAGCAAUUAGCAAAGCUAUAAUAAUUAAUUAUACUUAUGGUAGAACAGGUUCGAGCCUGAAACUCAGCAAAAAAUAUAAGACUGCUGCAACAUGGAGAAGCAGGGAGUCCAUAUAUAUACCAUGUACAUGGCAUGUGCACCAGCAAACCCACUGCUAGCAGCUAAUCAAGACUUCUCCUCAGCAGCGCCAGAUAAAUGGGUCUUCUCGAUGUGGCGUGUGAUCUGUGAAACUGCAUAGUGAGAGGCACUUGAUGCAGCAUAAUAGGAUGUCACAGUGAGCUGAGCAAACGUUGGGAGCGCAUAUGCUGCAAGAAACCAAGUAGCAGAUGAUCAGGCAUUAUGUCUCAAAAAUGCAAUUCCUCUGACUACACGCUCCGGUGUAUGGCUGGUAAGUCUUCAGGAGUAUUUUUAGUUUUCCAUAUAACAUGCACAGGAUAAGAAAGGAAACAACCAUUCUUUGCUAACGUACCUAGCUAAUGUUGGCAACAUGCCUGGCAACAUGUAGCUAAGUAUACAAAAAGGACUUAAGAGGAGCUUCAAAGCUUAGGAAUAAGCCAAGAUUUACCAUAGGCUCUAAUAGAAUAGAAUAGAAAUAAAUUUUAGAGGAGCUUCAGAGAUUUGGAACAAGCCAAGAUUUAUCAUAGGCUCUAAUCUGCCAACGUGCAUAUGACCCACUUUCCGUUGGAGAUCAGGUCUAGUUAACAUAAGAAAUUUAAUACUUGUAGAACUGGGAAGAACAGGAUACAGGUUUUCUGUAACUUCGUCCAGCUGUCAAUUUUUACAUGGAUAGGAUAACAGAAAUUGGCAUGGUACACAUGAUACUUCAAGAACACUAAAAUAAUUCUUUUUUUUAGUUACAACUAAUUCGUUUCUAUUGCACCUAAAAUCUCUAUUUGCAACCUCACUACAGGAUUUGCAAGUAAAUGCUAGGCUGAGAAGUACUAAACAAAAAAAGAUGGUGGAUCACACUAUUUCUUAUGGUCACUUUCUCUGUGAACCCGUAACAAAUGCGUACAGGGAAUGGAUAUUCACAAUGAUUACCAAUGCAUAAACAAAACAAGAAGAAAAGGAACAUAUUUCAUGUCUCCGCUAUAAUAUGCAAAUUUCUAUACAAGGGGAUAUUUGGUGUGAAUGCUAAUUUCAAGAACCUUUUUAGAUAUAAGAAAAUGAUUAUUUAACUUCAAUGGAAAAACGUACCCCCAAAUAAAGCACUGGCACCAGAGAAUAAGAUCAAAGGAGGAACCUGCACAAAUAAAAUAUCAUCCCCAAUUAAAUGAACAUGUAACAACAAUGUGAACUUAACAGUUACAGAAACUGCUACUAGUGCCAAACAUCAAGCAGAUAAAUGAAAAUCCAUUGCCAGUUGCACUGACAACACAUGAUAAAAAAGCUCCAAGGCAAGUAAUUAACACUAGUACAAAUACCCGUGCGUUGCACCGGCUAAAAAAAAGAACACAACAUGCUUCAUGUGUCAUUAUGCAUUAUUUUUUAUAUCCAGGAGCAAAAGAAUAUGUUCAUUGUAAUGGGGGACGCCCGUGCUUUGUUUCAGAGAAACACAAAGACUCCUAGUCCUCCACAUGCGUCAGCAGAUCGGGCAGACCGGAAAUUGCAAGUUCCUCCUCGUCCCUUAAAAUCGUGAUUUCCUCCUCAUCCCUUGGAACGCCUUGCCGGUGUAUCAUCUACACACCAUGGAUCGUCGGUCGUGGUUGGCUUCCAAUCUAUGAUAAGAAAGACGACCAUGGCAAUGUAUAGUAAAAAAUGAUUGUGUCCAUCAAAACAUCCAUCAACGUGGCAUGACAGCACCUUGGCAUUGCUGUUGCCACUUUUUCAUUCCCAUUUGUCCUAUAAAACGGAACACGGUGAGAAAAAGGAAGUAGCUCACUUGGUGCCACCACAAUGUCAGAUUUCUCCUUAACUGUCGCAAAUAAACUGACAAAGCCUUCAAUCCUGACUAAUGGGACAACAGUAACGCCAGCACUAACUGAAAAAAUUGACAUGACUUUCACGACUUCAUAUUCAUAGGAUCUAUGAUUAUCUGCAUCUGAUCCCCACUGCAUGCUCUAUCCCUUAUAAAGAGCCCAUACCACACCCUUACUGGGAUGUACUUCAUAUUUCCUCCGUUUGCCUUCCAUGAAACAAUAUUUAAAAACAUGAGUCUGUCUUGCGAUAUAUCUGUUGUUCCUAAGCUAAAGCUUGCACAAGCAACGGGCAGUUCUUCAUCAGACCAUUUCUCCUCUGCUUCAUUCAUUGCAAUGCGCUCCAGCCAAGUGAGAUGAACUUUAAAGUUGGAGGCAUCAAAACCUUUUAUUUUAGCAUAAUAUCUUGGCAUGCCAUCAAGGUUAUCAAAAAGGGCCCAGAUCUGAUCAAUUGCAAACAGAUUAGCAUCCCUCAACUUCUCAAAAUCGAAAAAUCUGCAUCAGGGAAAGAAAGCUUCACAUAAUAACAAGGUUGAUUCUGACCAACAGUAUCUGUAACUUCUGCACUGAUAUUGUCCCGAUCACCUAUAUCUAGAGUUUUAGCUUCCUCUUGGAUGUCUACUUUGCCAAAUACAUCAGAUGGAACCGAUUGCCUUUCAACAUUAGUGACAUUAUCAUCAAAUAUUUCUUUCCCAUUCAAGUCAGCAUUAGAUGGAAAAUUAUUCUUUCUUCGCUUCUUUUUCCUAUUAUAGUUGAGGCUGCUGCUGCCAUCAGCAUCUUGCGUCCUCCUAGCUGCCAGAGAUCCUAGAACGGUAGUCAUUUGCCUUGGCCUAUAUCAACAAAAACAACAAACACCGUCGGAUCUAUUCAGAUCACAAUGAUCCAAGUCAUGCACAACUGUAACAUCAUCUAGAAGCAUUUGCUCCUCCUUAAUCCGGUGAUUAACGUCUGUAGCAGGAUGAGGUAGCAACUGCUCAUUCUCCACCUGCUCCUCGGCAUCUUGCUUUAGCAUUGCUUCCUCAUUGUUUAAAAGCAUUUGCUCGCUCUCGGGCUGUUGAUCACCAUGUCCAUGCUCAUUGGCUCUCUGAGUUUAUAGAUAUUCCAGAUGGAAAAUUUGGACAGCAGAUUCAGAUUUAGGCAUCGGCUCCUAUUAUUAAUUCCUCUCUUCAGUCUGAAGCUCUUGCUCUAGUUCUUGCAGCUAAGAUAGCACACAUAUUUCAGCUCAAGCAAGCCACUUUUCUCACUGAGUGUUUGCCUCUAGCCAAAGCUGCUGCAAGUAGAAGACUCGACUCUGACGAUGUACAUUGGACAGUCAGGCGCUCGCUAGCAGAAUUUUUCUCCAUCUCCAUUCAGUUGCAGCCAUCUGUUUAUCAUAUAUCCAGGAUGCUAAAUGGUAUUGCAGACAAUGUGGCACAUCAGGUUCUCAAUUCCUCGAUGGAACCUAUCUUUGGACGUAAUUAUUCAGCUCAGGAUUAAAAGAUUGCCUGGCAUGCAUGAUUUAGAUAAGAACUACCAGAACAGCGAGCAGAUGCUUGUAAAUCGCAGGUUCAGAUUCAUACUUACUUUGCGGAGCCUCCAUUUCACCUGUCACUUGAAGUUCAGUUCCAAUCGCGUAGCCGGCGGGGGAGGAGAUCUCGGGGCGGGGGCUGGGGAUGGGGUUGAGGUGCUUGGGGUCGUCCCUGGCGUGGAGAACGUGGUGCUGUUUGGGGCUGGGGUCUUCCCGGGCGUGGAGAACGUGCUCGGGGAGGACGCCCUGCGCGACCAGGUAGUGGGCGGCCAGGCAGCCGGCCUCGAGGAGCACACCGGUGCGCCAGCGCCGCUCGGCGCAGGCAACGAGCGCGGCCGCUAGCGGCGGGAGGGGCUUNNNNNNNNNNNNNNNNNNNNNNNNNNNNNNNNNNNNNNNNNNNNNNNNNNNNNNNNNNNNNNNNNNNNNNNNNNNNNNNNNNNNNNNNNNNNNNNNNNNNNNNNNNNNNNNNNNNNNNNNNNNNNNNNNNNNNNNNNNNNNNNNNNNNNNNNNNNNNNNNNNNNNNNNNNNNNNNNNNNNNNNNNNNNNNNNNNNNNNNNUGACCAAUCGGCGCGGGGGCGGCGGCCGUUCGGGGCUGCUGCGCCUCGGCGGGGGCAGCGGGUCGCGGGCCCGGCGCUGGUGGUGGUGGUGCGGCCGCGGGGAGGGCGGCGGCAGGGGCGGCGGGGACCGUCGGCGGUAUCGUCCUCCCGAUGACGGCGACGGUGGGGGCGGCGGCUCGCGACCUCGGGUGCAUCGGGCCCUAGGAGGGGCAGACGGACGGGAAAGCCUCUCCCCCCGCGGCAUGGGCCGGCUGCAGCGGGGUCCGGCAGGGGACGGCUGCGGCGGCGCGUGGCGGGGNNNNNNNNNNNNNNNNNNNNNNNNNNNNNNNNNNNNNNNNNNNNNNNNNNNNNNNNNNNNNNNNNNNNNNNNNNNNNNNNNNNNNNNNNNNNNNNNNNNNNNNNNNNNNNNNNNNNNNNNNNNNNNNNNNNNNNNNNNNNNNNNNNNNNNNNNNNNNNNNNNNNNNUGGGGACUGCGGCGGGGGCCAGUGGCGCACGACAGGUGGAGAUGCGCCGGAGGUGGAGAUGCAAGGCAAGGUCACCGUGCGUUUUUUUUUCUUUUCUCUUGCCUGUAACGAUUUGAUUGACUUAUCAAAGGACUGCGGUUUGAAUACCAAUAAACAGAGGGGGUUUUCUGCAAAAUUGCCACGACGGACGGCAGAAGCGCUCCGCGCUUUAUUAUUAUUAGGGGAGAGGGGAGAUAUACUCCCUCCGUCCCAAAAUAACUGUCUUAACUUUAUACUAGCUCUAGUACAAAACUGUACUAAGCUUGAGACGCUUAUUUUGCGACGGAGGGAGUAUGAUAUAUAUCACAAUCUCAUCAGUAGUCUAAUACUCCCUCUGUUCCUAAAUAUAAGACCUUUUANNNNNNNNNNNNNNNNNNNNNNNNNNNNNNNNNNNNNNNNNNNNNNNNNNNNNNNNNNNNNNNNNNNNNNNNNNNNNNNNNNNNNNNNNNNNNNNNNNNNNNNNNNNNNNNNNNNNNNNNNNNNNNNNNNNNNNNNNNNNNNNNNNNNNNNNNNNNNAAAUAUAAGACCUUUUAGAGAUUGUACUAUAAACUACAUACGGAUGUACAUAGACAUAUUUUAAAGUACAGAUUCACUCAUUUUGCUCCGUAUGCAGUCUCCUAGUGAAAUCCCUAAAAGGUCUUAUAUUUUGGAACGGAGGGAGUAGAAUAGAAGGCAGCAAACCAGGACUUCUGUUAAGUUUGAAUUUUCUAAUGCUGAAAAUGCAGAAAUCCCAUGUUCAUGACCCUAAAUUCAACCAUUUUUUUAUUACAAAAUAUGUUCAGCCAGUCACACAUUCGAACAGGUGCCUUGGGAGAUGGCGUUUCAUUGCCUUUGUUAAUAUCAUUCGUUUGAAAAGAAGUAAAUAUCGUUUGAUCCUAUUAAAUUCAGUAAAUACCCUGAUAUUGUUCUUGGAUGCUACACACAGCCUUUGUUUUUGAGUUGCUCAACUAGCCAAUGAGUCGCACUACCAAGGUCGACUCAACCUCUUGACUCGACUCUUAGGAUGAGUCGAGCGACUCGAGCGACUAGUCACGACUAGUCGUGGUUUCUGGGUCGAACGACUCAUUUUUUUGAGCCCCACCUGUCAUGUUUUUUUACUGUAUUUCCUUGCCCAUCCCCGCUGGAAAUCUAGAUCAAACCAGUCCCCCCCAACCCAACCCUCUCCUUGGCAACCGCUGCCACCCCUGGUUUGCUGCUCGUCCCAUCCUCCCCUGGUUGCUGCUGGUGCUGCUCGCCCCCUCCCCUGCUUGCUGCUGCUGCUCAUCCCCUCCUCCCCUGAUUGCUGCUGAUGCUGCUCGUCCCCUCCUCCCCUGGUUGCUGCUGAUGCCGGUCUGCUCCUCCCCUCCUCUCCUGAUUGCUGCUGCUGCUGCUGCUGGUCUGCUCCUCCCCUGGUUGCUGCUGCUUAACUCACGUCGACUCGUCGAUCAUGAGUCUAGAAUAGUCACGACUAGUCUAGAGUAGCCCCCCCUGAGCGGCUCGUCGACUCAUCGACCCAAAAACCUUGCACACAGCUAUUUUCAAAAACGAUAUCAUGCUUGAAAGACAGGUUUAGCUAAUUAAUUUCCUUUAGUGUUCCUAUCCGUAUAGAAUGGCAGAAUUUUUCUCGAUUAACUUAUCAUUCCUGUAGCAAGCACCAAACAGCCUUUACUCGUAUAGAGUUUGAUGUGAUUAUACUUUAUUUCAAGAGGAACUGGCGUCAAUACGCCGAAUUCACUCAUUCUCAUGAUUAACUAAUGAUGACCUCCUUCACUACAUAUAUCUUCUAGCAUUACAACCACAAAAUACUACAGGUUUAUAGAGAUGUAAGAAGAUGCAUCGAUCUAUAGACUAACAUGAGAAAACUGCAUCUAACAAUCAACACGACUGAACUGAAUCAAAAGAAUACUUCCAUAGUUCCAUACCAGCACCACAUGAACCAAAAUCAAGACUUACCCCAACAAGUAAGUGCAGCCACUUGGGCCCCUUGACAUGCUUCUGGACAAACGGGAUCCCUGUUCCAAAAACCAAAAACAUUCAAUUUCUCAUCCAGAGCACAUUGACUAACAACUAAAUAGUGGACCGAAAUAAUAGAGCGAACCUGUAUUAAACCCGUGCACCGCACUGAGCAUCGCGCCGGCGCCGGAACCAGUCUGCAGCAACAGGGCAGACAGAGACCGCAAGGUAAGCACACAAGUUAGCGAUCAAAUCCCCACGAUGACGGAUCUCGGGCAUGCAUCCGUCCGUGGAAAUUAAGCAGCAAGGGGGCGAAAUCGCGUUACCACGGCGGUGGCGUCGUGCAGGACGGAGGUGAUGGCCCAGUCUCCCUGUCCCUGAGAAAAAGAAUAAGCAUCAAGUCAGAGCAACCCGCGGGCGGAUGGAGGAGGAGGGGGUCGAGGGGUACGUACGGAGUUGGUGGUGGGGUUGAGGAGGGAGAGGCAGCGGGGGCAGCGGGCGGAGCCGAGGCCGGGGUUGAUUGUGGGGUCGCGGUGGAGGUGGGCGCCGCUGCGGAGCUUCUCCUCGUACACCUCCCGCGUCCCCAUGUCCGCCGCCGGUGGCUGAGCUAGGCCUGGCUUGGGGAGGGGGAGACCAGGACGGUUUUGGGUUCCGGGGAAGAACGUGCUGGACUCACGAGUCCAGAGGCUCCUCUCCUUUCGUUUGACACGGGCUGGAGGCGUCGGUUAUUAUCUUGGUUUGCCGGGCUAGGCAAGCCCAGGGCCCAAAUAGAUAUAGUCCACGUGUUUAUUUAGCAAAUAACCAACUAACGGAGAAAUUAGUUGACGAGCGUUCCUUCGAAAGCCUUCCAACGAUCAUUUUCGGGCGUCGUCACUUGACGCGUUCUCAGCCGUCGUCAGGUAUCGUAUUUUAAGCAUUCUUUUUGAAUUUUGUUUUUCUCUUUUUUCGCGCAUCUUUUCGGCUUUUUAGAUAGAUUUUUAGGGUUUUUUUCAGUAUUUUGGUUUGUCACGUGUCUUUCUUAGCUUUUGGACAAAAAAAAUACACAAAAAACGUGCUUUCUUUUACUUUUUUAAAAUGAUUUUUCUUUCGCGAGAGGCACGUAUUUGCUUGUGCCUCUCGGAAACGGAAAAAAAAUAUGGUUUUUGUUUCUUUCUUAUGCGAGAGGCAUAAAUUUGCUUUCGUAAGGGGCAUAGCCGUGUCUCUCGAAAAUGAAAAAAUAAUAUUUUUAUGUUUUUUCAGAGAGGUAUAAUUUUGCUUAGGUGGGAGGCACGGAUUUGCUUUCGCGAGAAGCGUUGUCGUGCCUUCCAGAAAUAAAAAAACAUUCUUUUUUCUUUCGCAAGAGACACGGUUUUACUUCUGCGAGAGGCAUGGCCGUGCCUUUUAGAAAUGAAAAAAUGUUAUUUUUUCGUUAGAGGCAUGAUUUUUUCGUUUGCCUUUUUUGGUUCGGUUUUUUGUUAAAAGGAAGUUCAUUAAAACCUAUCAACACGGGAUUUAGUUUUUAAAUUAUUGAUGCGUGAAAUCCAACGAUGAAAACUGUUUGACAAUUGGAUGCACGGUUUAAGAGAUAAAAUCUUUUGAAAAUAACGAAUCUAGGAAAAAAAACUCCUAGGUUACGACAAGUAGCAGACAUGCAGUGCAUCACUUGUCACAAACUGAAAAGGUGAAAAUGAUCUUUAAAAGGAGUACUCUUCAAUUUAGUGAUUUUGAUCAACUUCAAGUUUUUUUUCAAAAAAAUAAACUAGAGGAUCAUCGUCCCAAGCACAGGAAAUUUUAUUCAAAAAACUAUGCUUAGCUAGCUCAUGAGCCACACCAUUGGCUUCUCCAAAACAAUGUAAGAGGUCGGCCACCUCGGUCAUCGAAAGUGCAUCAACACAUUUUGCGUUAAUUGCUGCACAUGGAUCGCACCAUCGAGUUUGCCCCGUGCAAAAAUUAAUAUCUUCCAUCUAAUCAUAUUCACCCAUUACUCUACGAGACCCCAAAGAUUAGCAAAGAUCAAUCCCUCUUUCAUGGCAAUUGCUUCCAUCGUGACUGCAUCUACAACAUGCAAAUAUUAGAUGCAUCUUACAGCUAAAAAUUUCCCAAAGAAGUCUCAGAUGACCGCAAGAGUAGGCCUCGUUAGUGGGAAAUGUAGUAAAAAAACAAAAUGAUCGCAUCUAUGAAUAAAACCCAACAACUUACCCACAAGGUAGAUCAAAUAUUUACCAAUCAACGCGACAGAGAGAAGAGGUUGAUGAAGAUGUUGCAGAUCCCCAUAGCUAGUUUUAAACCUCCCAACCGUGAGAAUUUUGUUGAUCUACGAUCGAAGGUAUGAUCCCUCUAUCGAUACCAAUGCAUGCAGAGUCACCGAUUCAGUAGGGCUUUGCCAUCAUGAACGAACAUCUACCGAAGACUAGGAGAAAGGUGGGGCAACCGGGCAGCAGAGAUAACUUUUAGAGAGAGUGAGGACGCAACCAACAAAGCACGAAUGUGUUUGAGAGUUGCCCCCCUCUUUACAUAGGCGCAAGCGGAGCCAAGACUUGAGGAAAAGGCACGGAAACCUUUUGCUAUCCAAACUGGAUCUCAAAUGGAAUCAUUUGGUUAGAUGUAAACUUAUGUGAGCUUUUUUGGCUUUGGGACGAACUUUGGGAAGCAAAGUGAAACCCGAGGAGGGCCUGGCUGUUGGGAUUCCGGGUCAAGUUGACUAGUUAGAUCCAUGGACAUCGUGUCUUGAGAAAUGGGGGUGCCUCGAUUCAGCCUGAGAAGAUGGUGUAGCAUCUCCACACACAAGGAAUGGGACGCAUGUGCUUGUCUAAGUACCUUGCCUGGUUUAAGAAGUUUAUUUUCUUUUUGCUAACUAGGGUAGGCUAUCACACUACUCAGAUGACCAGGCCAGACACACAUUUUCUCUACCAUGGCACCAAACAAAUACGUAUCAAGUAAAUUAUAGGCGGUCACACACCAUAUAGAUCAGGUGUGCAAUGAGAUAGAAGCCAACCUAAUAGACCCAUGAUGAUCUCCUCUAGGGAAAUGAAAGUCUAGUGACCUCAAAACAGACCCAUAAUGGUCUCCUCUAGGCCAAUAAUGGUGAAGUGAUAUGUUGUCGAGAUUCGCACAUCGCUACUGAAGAAUUAGACCACAACAUAUCACCAAAAUAUCAAUCUUUAUUCCAUUUCAUACAAAUAGAAAUAGUAGACUUUCUCAAAUUUCCUCAAGAAAUGCAGGGAAUUGCUCACAAGACAUAAUAAUGAACAUGAUCAGUAGAACAUGAUAUGGUAAAUAAUCUGGAUUGACAAAUCUUUCAUCAGCAACAACAUCAACUACUAGACAUCAAUUAACACUAGAAAGUGAUCACAAUAACUAAUAUAUAAGAAUUGUUCACAUCUGAGAUGUCGAUGGAGAUGGAGGUAGGUGAUGGAGAUGGAGAUGGUGAUAAUGUAAUGGAUGAUCAUGUUCCCCAUGAUGACAUGAUCUUGACUAUGACAGUGCCUUCAUGUUCCCCAUGAUGACUAUGACGGUGCCUCGUAGAUUGGUUAGGUGUCGCUUGGGAGCCUCCUACUUCGUGUUGCGGAGUUGAAACAAGAAGUUUGUAAGUGCAGGGAGAUCGCCUACUUCGUGAAGAUCUACCCUGAGUGAGACUAGUCCUUCGUGGAUGUAACCCAUGAUGGAAUAGAUAAGGUUGCUUCUCCGUGGACCCUUCAUGGGUUGAGCCCUCCGUGGAGUCUCGCGGUCAUUACCAUCCGUCGGUUGAAGUCCCCAUAAACGUGGACGUAUGAUAGCACCACCUAUCGGAACCACACCAAAAAUCGUCGUGUCAAUCUUUGCGUCUGAUCUUCCUAGCCCUACCCUCUAUUUACAUGUGCAUGUAUUUACUUUGUGCUGACAUACUCUUAGAUUUACAUGUGUAGGGUGUGCUUGACUUACAAAAAUUGCUAAAACUUGCCCACAACUAAAAUUGGUAAAAGGCUAAGUUUUUAUUUGGUCAAGUAGUGAAAGGAUCGAUAUGGUUGACUAGAGGGGGGGGGGGUGAAUAGGCAACUGCCAAUUUUAGCUCUUCUUAACAAAUUAGGGUUAGCAACAAAAGGUUCUCUAGAUAAACAGCUAGGUGAGCAACUAAUGACCCACAAGUAUAGGGGAUCAAUCGUAGUCCUUUCGAUAAGUAAGAGUGUCGAACCCAACAAGGAGCAGAAGGCUCUGAUAAACGGAUUUCAGCAAGGUAAUAACUGCAAGCACUGAAAGUAGCGGUAACAAGUGAUGGUGUAGUGAGGUGAAACGUAGCAAGCGAAAAGUAACAAGUAACAAGUAGUAGCAAUGGUGCAGCAAGUGGCCCAAUCCCUUUUAUAGCAAGGGACAAGCCUGAACAAAGUCUUAUAGGAGGAAAAACGCUCCCGAGGACACACGGGAAUUUCUGUCAUGCUAGUUUCAUCAUGUUCAUAUGAUUCACGUUCGUUACUUUGAUAGUUUGAUAUGUGGGUGGACCGGCACUUGGGUAAUGCCCUUACUUGGACAAGUAUCCCACUUAUGAUUAACCUCUCUCGCAAGCAUCCGCAACUACAAAAGAAGAAUUAAGACAACGUCUAACCAUAGCAUUAAACUAGUGGAUCCAAAUCAGCCCCUUACGAAGCAACGCAUAGACUGGGGUUUAAGCUUCUGUCACUCCAACAACCCAUCAUCUACUUACUACUCCCCAAUGCCUUCCUCUAGGCCCAAAUAUGGUGAAGUGUUAUGUAGUCGACGUUCACAUAACACCACUAGAGGAAAAGGCAACAUACAACAUAUCAAAAUACCGAACGAAUAUCAAAUUCACAUGACUAUUAUCAGCAUGACUUAUCCCAUGUCCUCAGGAACAAAAGUAACUACUCACAAAGCAUAAUCAUAAUCAUGAUUAGAGGUGUUAUGAAUAGCAUCAAGGAUCUAAACAUAAACUCUUCCACCAAGUAAUCCAACUAGCAUCAACUACAAAGAGUAAUCAACACUACUAGCAACCUUACAAGUACCAAUCGGAGUCGCGAGACGAAGAUUGGUUACAAGAGAUGAACUAGGGAUUGGAGAGGAGAUGAUGCUGAUGAAGAUGCCUCCCCUCCGACGAGAGGAGUGUUGGUGAUGACGAUGGCGAUGAUUUCCCCCUCUGGGAGGGAAGUUUCCCCGGCAGGAUCGUCCUGCCGGAGCUCUAGAUUGGAUCUGCUCAAGUUCCUCCUCGUGGCGGCGGCGAAACCACGAAAAAGCUUCCGAAUGAUUUUUUCUGGACCAAAACCCUUCAUAUAGCAAAAGAGGGGGGCUAGUGGGCCGUUAGGGAGCCCACAAGCUUGCCCUCCGCCACCAAGGGGUGGCGGUGGCAGGGCUUGUGGCGCCGUGGUGGCCCCCCUCCGGUACUUCUUUCGCCCAAUAUUUUUUAUAUAAUCCCAAAAAACUCCACGUAAAUUUUCAGGGCAUUUGGAGAUGUGCAGAAUAGUGAACUAAGAUUUGCACCUUUUCCAGUCCAGAAUUCCAGCUGCCUGAAUUCUCCCUCUUCAAAUAAACCUUGCAAAAUAAGAGAGAAAAGACAUAAAUAUGGUACCACAAAGUAAUAUAACAGCCCAAAAAGCAAUAAAGAACAACAUGAAAGCAUGAUGCAAAAUGGACGUAUCAACUCCCCCAAGCUUAGACCUCGCUUGUCCUCAAGCGAAAACCAAGUUCCAUAAACAUGUCCACAUGUUGAGGGACGAAGGUGUCGAUAAAACAUAAUACGGACAUGAGGGCAUCAUGAUCACACAUAGAACAACAAUACAUCAUAAAGAUUCUUAUGGGAAAGUAACAAUUCCUUCACAAAGCAAAUCAUGAAGCAAAAACCUUACCGAGAAGUAACCAACAACAGUCCAAAGUCAUUGAAGCAAUUGCAAUUUAUCACAACAUCAGAAAGAGUCAAAUAAGAGCUUGUAAGGCAAAUCCACAUACUCAAUCAUCUCUUUUGUUUUCCACAAUUGUUACAACUCACGAGGUACUCAUGGUGUCAAAGUUUCAGCUGGACACAGAGGAAGAUAGGGGCUUAUAGUUUUGCCUCCCAACGAUUUACCUCAAGUGUAAAGUCAACAAUAAUAAAGCAUGAGUACUCAACUCCAAGUUGAUAUAUGAAUAUAGAUCUUUCCCAAGCAUGUGACGGUAGCCAAGACAAAGGCAAAAAUAGGGAAUUGGUGAAGAUCACCAUGACUCUUACAAGGGCAAAAANNNNNNNNNNNNNNNNNNNNNNNNNNNNNNNNNNNNNNNNNNNNNNNNNNNNNNNNNNNNNNNNNNNNNNNNNNNNNNNNNNNNNNNNNNNNNNNNNNNNNNNNNNNNNNNNNNNNNNNNNNNNNNNNNNNNNNNNNNNNNNNNNNNNNNNNNNNNNNNNNNNNNNNNNNNNNNNNNNNNNNNNNNNNNNNNNNNNNNNNNNNNNNNNNNNNNNNNNNNNNNNNNNNNNNNNNNNNNNNNNNNNNNNNNNNNNNNNNNNNNNNNNNNNNNNNNNNNNNNNNNNNNNNNNNNNNNNNNNNNNNNNNNNNNNNNNNNNNNNNNNNNNNNNNNNNNNNNNNNNNNNNNNNNNNNNNNNNNNNNNNNNNNNNNNNNNNNNNNNNNNNNNNNNNNNNNNNNNNNNNNNNNNNNNNNNNNNNNNNNNNNNNNNNNNNNNNNNNNNNNNNNNNNNNNNNNNNNNNNNNNNNNUUGGUGCGGGAGUUUUGGCUAAUAUGAGGUGGAAGCAAUCGUCACAUGCUAAGGGGUCUCUAAUCAUAUAACAUUGUUUGGAACCAAGCAAACACAAUCCAUUAUGUUGUCUUCCUUGUCCAACAUCUACUUUUAAGCAUCUAAUAGUUUGGUGAAUGCUCACAAUUGUAAAAAGUGUCUAAGAUGAUAUAUUUAUAUGUGAACCUCUCUUUCCUUAUUACUUCUUAUUAAUUGCAACAAUGACUGAGGUCUAUGUUGGUUUAUUCUCAACAAGUUUCAAUCAUCAUACUUGUCAUAUGUGAAGCUAUCACUUUCCAUAAAAUUAUCUCGUGAUCUUUCAUGCUAUCGUUCUUUUCAUACUAUUGAUCAUGGCACAAAGCAAAGCCCUUGACUAAGAUACUCUUUAUUAUAUAGCUCGCAAGCUCGAAUACAUCGGGGGAGAGACAAAAGCAAAAGACUCAAACUAAACACUAAAGACUUAUUCCUCUAAAAGAAGAAAUAAAAACUGAAAAGGAAAGAACUAAAACAAAGGUAAAAGCAAAAGAUAUAAAGGUGAUACGAUACCAGGGCAACUCCCCCAAGCUUGGCAGAAGCCAAGGGGAUUUCCCAUACCAAUGCUUAGUUGUCUUCCUUUGGUGGUGAUGGUGGUGGAGUUAUUGAAGCAGUCUUGAGCUUGUCUAAUUUCCACUUGAGCAAGAAGUUCUGCUCCCUUAGAUCGUCAUUUUCCUCCUCAAGUUUCAACACUCUAUGGCAAAGUUCCUUCUUACUCUCCUGCAAGAAACGAGAAGGGAUAAACAAGGUCUUAGGAUUCCUCCUGGAGUUGGGGAGGCUUGACUUCUUGAACUCCACAUGGGUGUUUGCAGGUUGAGGUAGAGGAGCCUCCUCUUCAUCGGAACUCGUUUGUUCCUUCCCCUUGGGCUCAUAGUCCUCUUCCUCAUCAGUGGUCUAGCCAUAUGGUUCCAAGUCCCCAUAGACCUUGGGGUUAGCAAGGUAGUCAACCACAUAGCUCUCCCCUUCUGAAUCCUGAGAAGACAUCUUGACCUAGAUCUGCGGCAGAAACAAGCUCGAAAUGAAAACAGAGGAAAAUUGCACGAUACGGAGAUCAAAACCUUCGGGCGAGUAUAUAUUGAUUUUUUCUGGACCAAAAGGAGUGCUCCGCAAGAAAACGGAGUCCGGGAGGCACACGAGGUGCCCACAAGCUUGCCCUCCGCCACCAGGGGGUAGGGGCGGUGGCAGGGCUUGUGGCUGCCUCGUGCGGUCUCCGGACUGCUUUUUAUUUUUCUAAUUUGCCAAAAAUUCCAAAACGGAGGAAAUUUCCUAUUGAAAAAGCAUAGGAGUCCAAUUUCUUACCAAAACAGAUACAUCUUCAUUUCAGGGUCUGAAACAGGCUGAUAAACAUCCCUUAUGUACUCCUCUAGAGUUAUGACAUUGAUGAUAUUGGUCUCAACAUUUAUGGGAGUACCAGAGAUGUAAUGCUUGAUUCUUUGCCCAUUUACCACUCUAGGAAAAUUUCCUUCCGUGUUAUUGAUUUUGAUGGCACCAGAAUGAUAUACUUCCUCGAUAACAUAGGGACCUUCCCAUUUAGAGAGAAGCUUGCCUGCGAAGAAUCUUAAACGAGAAUUGUAUAGCAGGACAUAAUCACCUACAUUGAACUCUCGUUUCUGUAUUCGUUUGUCAUGCCAUCUCUUAACCUUUUCCUUGAACAACUUGGAAUUCUCAUAUGCCUGGGUCCUCCAUUCAUCUAACGAGAUAAUAUCAAACAACCGCUUCUCACCGGCAAGUUUGAAAUCAAAGUUGAGCUCUUUGAUUGCCCAAUAAGCUUUGUGUUCCAGCUCAAGAGGUAAAUGAUAGGCCUUACCGUAAACCAUUUUAUACGGCGACAUACCCAUGAGAUUCUUAUAGGCAGUCAUAUAAGCCCAUAGUGCAUCGUCAAGUUUGCUAGACCAAUUCUUUCGAGAUCUAUUGACGGUCUUUUAUAGGAUCAAUUUGAUCUUCCUAUUACUCAACUCCAAUUGACCACUAGACUGAGGAUGAUAAGGAUAUGCAACUCUAUGGUUGACAUCAUACUUAGCGAGCAUCUUGCGGAAAACACCAUGAAUGAAGUGUGAACCGCCAUCAGUCAUCAAAUAUCUAGGGACUCCAAAUCUUGGGAAUAUGACUUCUUUAAGCAUCUUAAUAGAGGUGUGGUGAUCAGCAUUUUUAGUGGGGAUAGCCUCUACCCACUUAGUAACGUAAUCCACAGCAACUAAUAUGUGAGUGUACCCAUUGGAACUCGGGAAGGGUCCCAUAUAAUCAAAGCCCCAUACAUCAAAUGGUUCAAUGACAAGUGAAUAGUUGAUAGGCGUUUCCUGACGCUUACUGAUAUUCCCUAUUCUUUGGCAUUCGUCACAAGACAAGACAAACUUACGGGCAUCCUUGAAGAGAGUGGGCCAAUAGAAACCUGAUUGCAAUACCUUAUGAGCAGUUCUAUCUCCAGCGCGGUGUCCUCCAUAGGCUUCGGAAUGACACUUCUGCAAGAUCUGUCCCUGUUCAUGUUCAGGUACACAACGUCUCAUAACACCAUCAACUCCCUCCUUAUAAAGGUGAGGAUCAUCCCAAAAGUAGUGUCUCAAAUCAAAGAAGAAUUUCUUCUUUUGCUGAUAGGUGAAACUGGGUGGUAUGUAUUUGGCUAUGAUAUAAUUUGCAUAAUUGGCAUACCACGGUGCACUAUGUGAAGUGCGGAUGACAUUUAAUUGCUCAUCAGGAAAGCUGUCAUCAAUAGGUAGUGGGUCAUCAAGGACAUUCUCUAGCCUAAACAAGUUAUCUGCUACAGGGUUAUCAGCACCCUUUCGGUCAACGACGUGCAAAUCAAAAUCCUGUAGGAGGAGAACCCAUCUGAUCAGUCUAGGCUUAGUGUCCUUCUUCUCCAUAAGGUACUUAAUAGCAGCAUGAUCAGAGUGAAUAGUGACUCUGGAGUCAACUAUAUAAGAUCUGAACUUUUCACAUGCAAACACGACUGCUAAAAAUUCCUUCUUCGUAGUGGCAUAGUUUCUUUGGGCACUGUCUAGAGUUUUACUAGCGUAGUGAAUAACAUUCAACUUCUUAUCAACUCUUUGUCCUAGAACAACACCAACAGCAUAAUCACUAGCAUCACACAUGAUUUCAAAGGGCAAGUUCCAGUCAGGUGGUUGAACAAUAGGUGCGGUUUUCAAAGCCUUCUUAAGUAUUUCAAAACCUUCCUCAUAAUCCUCAUCAAAAACAAAAGGUACAUCCUUCUGCAAGAGGUUGGUAAGAGGCCUAGAAAUCUUAGAGAAGUCUUUAAUGAAUCUUCUACAGAAACCAACAUGACCUAGGAAACUUCGUAUACCUCUUAUAUCUGUGGGGCAAGGCAUUUUCUCAAUUGCAUCAACCUUAGCCUUAUCAACUUUCAAUGCCUCUCUCAGAAAUUUUGUGUCCUAAGACGAUGCCUUCAUUAACCAUAAAGUGGCACUUCUCCCAAUUCAAGACGAGGUUGGUAUCUUCGCAUCUCUGUAAGACUCGAUCAAGGUUGCUGAGGCAAUCAUCAAAGGAAGACCCGUAAACGGAGAAGUCAUCCAUGAAAACCUCGACAAUCUUUUCACAAAAGUCAGAGAAUAUAGCCAUCAUACAUCUUUGAAAGGUGGCAGGUGCAUUGCAUAAGCCAAAAGGCAUACGUCUAUAAGCAAAGGUACCGAAGGGGCAGGUGAAAGUGGUUUUCUCCUGAUCAGAUUGUGCAACAGGUAUUUGUGAGAAACCUGAAUAACAGUCUAGAAAGCAGAAGUGUGUGUGUUUUGAUAGCCUUUCUAGCAUUUGGUCGAUAAACGACAAAGGAUAAUGAUCUUUCCUGGUUGCCUUGUUCAGUUUCCGGAAGUCUAUCACCAUCCUAUAGCCGGUAAUAAUCCUUUGUGGGAUUAGUUCAUCAUUAUCAUUAGGAACGACGGUGAUACCUCCCUUCUGAGGUGCGUAAUGUACUGGACUUACCCAAUCACUAUGAGCAACCGGAUAAAUGAUUCCUGCUUCCAGAAGCUUUAAUAUUUCUUUUCUACCGACCUAUUUCAUCUUAGGAUUUAAUCUCCUUUGAUGAUCAGCAACUGGUUUAAAGUCAGGAUCGGUUUUAAUCUUGUGCUGACAUAGAGUGGGACUAAUACCCUUAAGAUCAUCAAGAGUAUAUCCAAUAGCAGCACGGUGCUUCCUCAGAGUUCUUAGUAACUUCUUCUCUUCGUGCUCUGAGUGGAGAGCACUAAUAAUAACAUGAUAUAUCUCCUUCUCAUCAAGAUAGGCAUACUUAAGAGUACUAGGCAACUGUUUAAGCUCGAAAACAGGAUCACCCUUUGGUGGGGGAGGAUCCCCAAGCAGUUCAACAGGCAGAUUAUUCUUGAGAAUGGGAUAUUGUUCUAAGACAAUUUUAUCUAUCUCAUCUCUCUCCUCCAUAUGCAUAUCAUUUUCAUGCUCAAGCAGAUAUUGCUCUAAAGGAUCCGUAGGAGGUACGGCAAUAGAGGCAAGAGCAAUAAUUUCAUCCCUUCCAGACGACUCUUUUUCAUGGGGUUGUCUUCCAAACUUGGAGAAGUUAAAUUCAUGAGACACACCCUCAAAACUAACUGUGACGGUCUGCUUAAUGCAAUCAAUGUGAGCAUUGACAGUGUUGAGAAAGGGUCUACCAAAUAUGAUGGGACAAAAGUUAUCUUACGCAGUACCAAGGACGAGGAAAUCAGUAGGAUACUUCGUCUUACCACAUAGGACUUCUACGUCUCUCACAAUUCCCAGAGGGCAGAUAGUGUCUCUAUUUGCUAGCGUAAUAGUGACAUCAAUGGAUUCUAACUCAGCAGGUGCAAUCUCAUCUUUGAUUUCAUCAUAUAGAGAACGGGGUAUUGCACUAACACUAGCUCCCAUAUCACAUAAACCAUGGUAACAGUGAUCUCCUAUCUUGACAGAAACAACGGGAGGCCAACUACAUGUCCGUAUUUGUCUUUCGCGUGAGGUUUAGCAAUUCUAGGGGAGUCCUCAUAGAAUUUGAUAACAUGCCCAUCUAUGUCUUCUACUAAGAGAUCUUUGAUAAUAGCAACAUUAGGUUCAACUCUAAUUUACUCAAGGGGUGCAAGUGGUCUAAUGUAACCCCUACGUAUCACAGUUGGAGCUUUAGAAUAAUCCUUUAUCCUAGCAGGGUAUGGUGGUUUCUCAGUGUAAGCACAAGGAACAACAGGAUCACUAAAAGCAAUGAAUUUCUCCUCAACUAGAUUGGUUUUAGCUAUGUUGCUUUCUACAGGAGGAUGAUAUUUAAACCACUUAUCUUUGGGAAGAUCAACAUGAGCAGCAAAAGAUUCACAUAGAGAAGCUACUAUCUCAGAGUCAAGUCCAUGCUUAGCGCUAAAACCUCUAAAAGUGUUUGUCUCAACAAAAGAUUUAACGCAUUCAAACUGGAAAUUCAUACCUGACUCCUUACCUUCCUCCAGCUCCCAAUCUUCUGAGUUACGUUUGAUUCUCUCCAAUAAAUUCCACAUGUGAUAAAUAUCCUUCUUCAUAAAAGAACUGAUACAAGAAGUGUCAAGCAUGGUGCGAUCUUCAUGAGAAAGCCGAGCAUAAAAGUUUUGAGUGAUGAUUUCUCUCGAGAGCUCAUGAUUGGGGCAUGAAUAUAGCAUUGAUUUAAGCCUCCCCAAGCUUGAGCUAUGCUUUCCCUGUCAUGAGGCCAAAAGUUAUAAAUAAAGUUCUGAUCACGAUGUACUAAAUGCAUAGGAUAGAACUUUUGAUGAAAUUCCAAUUUCAACCGAUUGUAGUCCCAUGAUCCAGUAUCAUCACAUAGCCUAUACCAUGUCAACGCCUUAUCCUUCAAAGAUAAAGGAAAGACUUUCUUCUUUACCUCAUCCUCGGGCAUACGUGCAAGCUUAAAUAAACCACAAACUUCAUCUACAUAGAUCAGAUGCAAGUCUGGAUGUGAGUCCAUCUCCUGUGAAAGGAUUAGCCAACAGUUUCUCAAGCAUACCCGAAGGAAUUUCAUAAAAGAUAUUUUCAGUACAUACCUCAGGUUGAGGAACAACUCCUCAUGCUUCCAUUCGUGGUGAAGAUACCCCGAACAAACUCCUCAAAGGAACAGUUUCCCUAGUGACAAGUGACAAUGAAUUUCAUCACAGUAUAUAGAUGUUUCCUUACCAAUUUCCACUUACCAAAGGCGCUUCACUCCCCGGCAGCGGCGCCAGAAAAGAGUAUUGAUGACCCACAAGUAUAGGGGAUCAAUCAUAGUCCUUUCGAUAAGUAAGAGUGUUGAACCCAACGAGGAGCAUAAGGCUCUGAUAAACGGAUUUCAGCAAGGUAAUAACUGCUAGCACUGAAAGUAGCGGUAACAAGUGAUGAUGUAGUGAGGUGAAACAUAGCAAGCGAAAAGUAACAAGUAACAAGUAGUAGCAAUGGUGCAGCAAUUGGCCCAAUCCCUUUUGUAGCAAGGGACAAGUCUGAACAAAGUCUUAUAGGAGGAAAAACGCUCCCGAGGACACACGGGAAUUUCUGUCAUGCUAGUUUCAUCAUGUUCAUAUGAUUUGUGUUCGUUACUUUGAUAGUUUGAUAUGUGGGUGGAUCCGUGCUUGGGUACUGCCCUUACUUGGACAAGUAUCACACUUAUGAUUAACCUCUCUCGCAAGCAUCCGCAACUACAAAAUAAGAAUUAAGACAACGUCUAACCAUAGCAUUAAACUAGUGGAUCCAAAUCAGCCCCUUACGAAGCAACACAUAGACUGGGGUAUAAGCUUCUAUCACUCCAACAACCCAUCAUCUACUUACUACUCCCCAAUGCCUUCCUCUAGGCCCAAAUAUGGUGAAGUGUUAUGUAGUCGACAUUCACAUAACACCACUAGAGGAAAAGACAACAUACAACAUAUCAAAAUACCGAACGAAUAUCAAAUUCACAUGACUAUUAUUAGCAUGACUUAUCCCAUGUCCUCAGGAACAAAAGUAACUACUCACAAAGCAUAAUCAUAAUCAUGAUCAGAGGUGUAAUGAAUAGCAUCAAGGAUCUGAACAUAAACUCUUCCACCAAGUAAUCCAACUAGCAUCAACUACAAAGAGUAAUCAACACUACUAGCAAUCUUACAAGUACCAAUCGGAGUCGCGAGACGAAGAUUGGUUACAAGAGAUGAACUAGGGAUUGGAGAGGAGAUGGUGCUGAUGAAGAUGUUGAUGAAGAUGCCUCCCCUCUGACAAGAGGAGUGUUGGUGAUGAUGAUGGCGACGAUUUCCCCCUCCGGGAGGGAAGUUUCCACAGCAGGAUCGUCCUGCCGGAGCUCUAGAUUGGAUCUGCUCAAGUUCCGCCUCGUGGCGGUGGCGAAACCACGAAAAAGCUCCCGAAUGAUUUUUUUCUGGACCAAAACCCUUCAUAUAGCAAAAGAGGGGAGCUAGUGGGCCGUCAGGGAGCCCACACGCUUGCCCUCCACCACCAGGGGGUGGCGGUGGCAGGGCUUGUGGCGCCCUGGUGGCCCCCUCCAGUACUUCUUUCGCCCGGUAUUUUUUAUAUAAUCCCAAAAAGUUCCACGUAAAUUUUCAGGGCAUUUGGAGAUGUGCAGAAUAGUGGACUAAGAUUUGCUCCUUUUCCAGUCAAGAAUUCCAGCUGCCUGAAUUCUCCCUCUUCAAAUAAACCUUGCAAAAUAAGAGAGAAAAGGCAUAAAUAUGGUACCACAAAGUAAUAUAACAGCCCAAAAAGCAAUAAAUAACAACAUGAAAGCUUGAUGCAAAAUUGGCGUAUCAGCAACCUAUAUAUGAUGCUAACAACAACAAGAACUAAUGCAAGCGAGGAAAACACCACAACAAUAAUAAGGACAAAGUAAAGGUAAGCGAUAACCACAAGUGGAACCGGUGGAGACGAGGAUGUGUUACUGAAGUUCCUUCCCUUUGAUAGGAAGUACGUCUCUGUUGGAGCGGUGUGGAGGCACAAUGCUCCCCAAGAAGCCACUAGGGCCAUCUUAUUCUCCUCACGCCCUCACACAAUGCGAGAUGUCGUGAUUCGACUAGUGGCGCCCUUGAAGGCGGCGACCGGACCUUUACAAACAAGGUUGGGGUAAUAUCCACACAAAGUUUGGAGGCUCCCAACAAUACCACGGAGCUUCACCACAAUGGAAUGUGUUGGGGAAUGGUGCGUGGGAAAUAAAAAAAAUUCUUACGCACAUGCAAUACCUAUCCAUGGUGAUGAUCAUCUACGAGAGGGGAAAGUGAAUCUACAUACCAUUGUAGAUUGCUAAUCGGAAGCGUAUAUAACGCGGUUGAUGUAGUGGAACAUCUUUGCGAUACAAAUCGCAGCCCGUCCUGCGAUCCCAUCAUGAUCCAUCCCGAUCUAGUGUCGAACGGACGGCACCUCCGAGUUCAGCACACGUACAGCUCUAUGACGAUCCCCGCCUUCUUGAUCCAGCAAGAGGGGCGGAGAGGUAGAUGAGUUCUCCAGCACGGUGGAUCGAUGGUGGUGGUGGUGGAUCUAUUCCAGCAGGGCUUCGGCUAAGCGCUGCUGAAAAACCGAUCUAGAGGAAGAACAGAUCUAGAGAGAAGUAGAGGGAGCACGUAGCAAUUAGGGUUAGUCCUCACCUUUAAAACCUCUAGUAUAUAUAGGAGGGGGAGGGGAGGAGGCAACCUCAAAACCUCAAGGUUUGGCCGAAAUUGGAGGUGGAGGAGUCCUACUCCAAUCCUACUAGGAGUAGGAUUCCUCCUCUCCACUUCGAAACCCUUUCCACCUUUUCCACCUUUGGUUUUCUUUCCUUCUUACCUCCAAUCCGCCUUGGGCUUUAGUGGACGCUUCGGCUAGCCCACUAAGGGCUGGUCCACGUCCUCCCACAACCCAUGAGACCCUUUGGGGUGGGUGGACCCCCGGAACCCAUUCGUGACUCCCGGUACACUACCGGAAAUGUCAAAAACUUUUCCGGAGUUCAAAAACACUUUCCUAUAUAUAAAUCUUUACCUCCGGACCAUUACAGAGCUCCUCGUGACGUCCAAGAUCUCAUCUAGGACUCCGAACAACCUUCGGUUACCAACACCUAUAACUCAACUAUACCGGAACGUCACCGAACCUUAAGUGUGCAGACCCUGCGGGUUCGAGAACUAUGCAGACAUGACCUGAGACACUCCCCGGUCAAUAAAAAAUAGCGGGACCUAGAUGUCCAUAUUGGCUCCUAGAUAUUCUACGAAGAUCUCUAUCGGUUGAACCUUUAUGUCAAGGAUUCAGUUAAUCCCGUAUGUUGUUCCCGUUGUCCUUCGGUAUGUUACUUGCCCGAGAUUCGAUCGUCGGUAUCUCCAUACCUAGUUCAAUCCCGAUACCAGCAAGUCUCUUUACUCAUUCCGUAACACAAGAUCCCGUGAGUAAAUCCUUAGUCACAUGGCUUGCAAGGCUUAUUGUGAUGUUGUAUUACCGAGUGGGCCCCGAGAUACCUCUCCAUCACACGGAGUGACAAAUCCCAGUCUUGAUCCAUGCCAACCCAACAGACACCUUUGGAGAUACAUGUAGAGCACCUUUAUAGUCACCCAGUAAUGUUGCGACGUUUGAUACACACAAGGUAUUCCUCGGGUGUGCGGGAGUUGCAUGAUCUCAUGGUCAUAGGAACAGAUACAUUGACAUGCAGAAAACAGUAGCAAUAAACUGACACGAUCAUAUGCUACGUUUAUAGUUUGGGUCUUGUCCAUCACAUCAUUCUCCUAAUGAUGUGAUCCCGUUAUCAAGUGAUAACACUUGCCUAUGGCCAGGAAACCUUGACCAUCUUUGAUCAACGAGCUAGUCAACUAGUGGCUCACAAAUGACAAUUUUUUGUCUAUCUAUCCACACAUGUAUUUGAGUUUCCAAUCAAUACAGUUAUAGCAUGGAUAGUAAACGAUUAUCAUGAACAAAUAAAUAUAAUAAUAACUAAUUUAUUAUUGCCUCUAGGGCAUAUUUCCAAUAGUCUCCCACUUGCACUAGUGUCAAUAAUAUAGUUCACAUCACUAUGUGAUUGCAAUGAAUCUAAUUAACACCCAUACAGUUCUGGGGUUCGAUCAUGUCUUUCUGGUGAGAGAGGUUUUAGUCAACAGGUGUGAACCUUUCAGAUCCGUGUGUGCUUUACAAAUCUCUAUGUCAUCCUAUAGAUGCUUCUACCACGCGCCAUUUGGAACUAUACCAAAUGACUGCUCCACUAUAUGAAUCCGGUUUACUACUGAGAGUCAUCCGGUUUAGUGUCAAAGCUUGCAUCGACGUAACCCUUUACGACGAACUCUUUUAUCACAUCCAUAAUCGAGAAAAUUCCUUAGUCCACUAGUUACUAAGGAUAACUUUUGACCGUUGUCCAGUCAUCCAUUCCUAGGUCACUUCUGUACCCCUUGACCGAUUCAUGGCAAGGCACACAUCAGGUGCAGUACACACCAUAGCAUAUUAAAGAGCCUACGGCUAAUGCAUAGGGGACGACCUUCGUCCUUUCUCUUUCUUAUGCCAUGAUCGAUCUUUGAGUCUUACUCAAAUUCACACCUUACAACACAGCCCAUAACUCCUUCUUUGCCGAUCUAUUUUGAACUCCUUCAAAAACUUGUAAGGGUAUGUAUUCAUUGAAAGUUUUAUCAAGCGUCUUGAUCUAUCUCCAUAGAUCUCGGUCCUCAAUGUUCAAGUAGCUCAACACAGAUUUUCGUUUAAAAACUCCUUUCAAACAACCCUUUAUGCUUUCCAGAAAUUCUACAUUAUUCCCGAUCAACAAUAUGUCAACCACAUAUACUAAUGAGAAAUUCUAUAGUGCUCCCACUCACUUCUUUGGAAAUAUAAGUUUCUCAUAAACUUUUAUAAAACAAAAAAAAAAUGAUCAUCUCAUCAAAGCGUAUAUUCCAACUCCGAGAUGCUUGCUCCAGUCCAUAGGAGGAUCACUGGAGCUUGCAUACUUGUUGGUAUCCUUAGGAUCGACAAAACCUUCUGGUUGUAUCACAUACAACCUUUCCUCAAGGAAACCAUCGAGGAAACAAUGUUUUGACAUCCUAUCUGCAAGGUUUCAUAAAUAAUGCAGCAACUGCUAACAUAAUUCCCACAGACUCUUAGCAUCGCUACGAGUGAGAAAGUCUCAUCAUAGUCAACUCUUUGAACUUGUAGGAAACAUCUUUGCGACAAGUCGAGCUUUCUUAAUGGUGACUUUUCAUCAUCAUUGUCUGUCUUCCUUUUAACGAUCCAUCUGUACUUAAUAGUCUUACACCAUCAGUAGUUCUUCCAAACUCCACACUUUGUUUUCAUACAUGGAUCCUCUCUCGGAUUUCAUGGCCUCUAGCCAUUUGUCGAAAUUCGGGCCCACCAUCGCUUCUCCAUAGCUCGUAGGUUCAUUGUUGUCCAACAACAUGACCUUCAAGACAGGGUUACCAUACCACUCUGGAUCAGUAUGUGACCUUGUCGACCUACUAGGCUUGUAGUAACUUGAUCUGAAGCUCCAUGAUCACUAUCAUCAACUUCCACUUCAAUUGGUGUAGGCGCCACAGGAACAACUUCCUGCGCCCUGCUACACACUUGUUGAAGUGACGGUUCAAUAACCUCAUCAAGUUUCACAAUCCUCCCACUCAAUUCUUUCGAGAGAAACUUUUCCUCGAGAAUGGACAUGUUUCUAGAAAAAAAAUCUUUUCUUCCGGAUCUGAGAUAUGAGGUAUACCCAAAUAUUUUGGGUGUCCUAUGAAGAUGCAUUUAUCCGCUUUGGGUUCAAGCUUAUCAUGCUGAAACUUUGCACAUAAGCAUCGCAGCCCCAAAAUUUUAAGAAACGACAGCUUAGGUUUCUCCAAACCAUAGUUCAUGCGGUGUCAUCUCAACGGAAUUACGUGGUGCCCUAUUCAAAGUGAAUGCGGUUGUCUCUAAUGCCUAACCCAUAAACGAUAGUCGUAAUUCGAUAAGAGACAUCAUAGUAUGCACCAUAUCAAAUAGGGUGCGACUAUGACGUUCGGACACACCAUCACACUAUGGUGUUCCAGGCGGCAUGAGAUGUGAAACAAUUUUCACAUUGCCUUAAUUGUGUACCAAACUCGCAACUCUGAUAUUCAUCUCUAUGAUCAUAUCGUAGACAUUUUAUCCUCUUGUCACGACGAUCUUCAACUUCACUCUGAAAUUACUUGAACCUUUCAAUAAGUCAGACGUGUGUUUCAUCAAGCAAAUACACUAGUAUCUACUCAAAUCAUGUGUGAAGUAAGAACAUAAUGAUAUCCACUGCGUGCCUCAGCACUCAUUGGACUGCAUACAUCAAAAUGUAUUACUUCCAAUAAGUAACUUUCUUGUUCCAUCUCACUGGAAAAAUGAUGCCUUUAGUCAUCUUGUCCAUGUGGCAUGAUUUACAUGUCUCAAGUGAUUCAAAAUCAAGUGAGUCCAAACGAUCCAUUUGCAUGGAGUUUCUUCAUGCGUUUACACCAAUAGACAUGGUUCGCAUAUCUCAAACGUUUCAGAAACAAGCGAGCCCAAAGAUCCAUCAGUAUGGAGCUUCUUCAUGCGUUUUAUACCAAUAUGACUUCAAGCGGUAGUGCCACAAGUAAGUGGUACUAUCAUUAAUAUUUUGUAUAUUUUGGGAUUAAUAUUAUGAACAUGUGUAACACUACGAUCGAGAUUCAAUAAACCAUUGAAGGUUUUCAUUCAAGCAAAUAGAAUAACCAUUAUUAUAUUUGAAUGAAUAAUCGCAUUUCAACAAACACGAUCUAAUCAUGUUCAUGCUCAAUGCAAACACCAAAUAACACUUAUUUAGGUUCGACACUAAUCUCGAUGGUAGAGGGAGCGUGCGAUGUUUGAUCACAUCAACGUUGAAAACACUUCCAAUACAUAUCGUCACCUCUCCUUCAUCUAGUCUCCGUUUAUUCUGUAGCUUUUAUUUCAAGUUACUAACACUUAGCAACCGAACCGGUAUCUAAUACCCUGGUGGUACUAGGAGUACUAGUAAAGUACACAUCAAUAUCAUGUAUAUCCAAUAUACAUUUGUCGACUUUGCCAGCCUUCUCAUCUACCAAGUAUCUAGGGUAGUUCCGCCUCAGUGACCGUUCCCCUCAUAAUAGAAGCACUUAGUCUCGGGUUUGGAUUCAACCUUGGGUUUGUUCACUAGAGCAGCAACUGGUUUGCUGUUUCAUGAAGUAUCCCUUCUUGCCCUUGCCCUUGCCCUUCUUGAAACUAGUGGUUUUACUAACCAUCAACAAUUGAUGAUCCUACUUGAUCUCUACUUUCGCGGAGUCAAACAUCGCGAAUAGCUCAAGGAUCAUCAUAUCUAUCCUUGAUAUGUUAUAGUUCAUCAUGAAGCUCUAAUAGCUUGAUGACAGUGACUUUGGAGAACCAUCAUUAUCUCAUCUGGAAGAUCAACUCCCACUCGAUUCAAGCGAUUGUAGCACUCACACAAUCUGAGCACAUGCUCAACGAUUGAGCUUUUCUCCCUUACUUUGUAGACAAAGAAUCUUGUUGGAGGUCUCAUACCUCUCAACAAGGGCAUGAAGCUGAAAUCCCAAUUUCAUCUCUUGGAACAUCUCGUAUGUCCCGCGACGUUCAAAACGUCUUCAGUGCCUAAAUUAUAAGCCGUUUAAGUAUUAUGCACUGAACUAUCAUGUAGUCAUCAAAAACGUGUAUGUCAGAUGUUCGCAACAUCUACAAACGACGCUUGAGGUUCAGCACAUCGAGCGGUGCAUUAAGGACAUAAGCCUUCUACGCAGCAAUAAGGACAACCAUCAGUUUACGGACCCUUUCCGCAUAAUUGCUACUAUCAACUUUGAACUAAAUUUUCUCUAGGAACAUAUCAAAAACAAUAGAGCUGUUGCGCAAGCUACAACACAAUUUGCAAAGACCUUUUGACUACGUUCAUGAUAAUGAGUUCAAUUAAUCAUAUUACUUAAGAACUCCCACUCAAAUUGACAUCCCUUUAGUCAUUCGAGUGUCGCGUGAUCCAAAUUCACUAACUCAAGUCCGAUCAUCACGUGAGUUGAGUUUAGCUUCAAUGGUGAACAUCUCCAUGUUGAUCAUAUCAACUAUAUGAUUCAUGCUCGAUCUUUCGGUCUCUUGUGUUCUGAGGCCAUGUUUGUACAUACUAGGCUUGUCAAGUUUAACCCUAGUGUUCCGCGUGUGCAACUGGUUUGCACCCGUUGUAUGUGAACGUUGAGUCUAUCACACCCGAUCAUCACGUGGUGUCUCGAAAUGACGAACUGUCGCAACGGUGCACAGUCGGGGAGAACACAAUUUUAUCUUGAAAUUUUAGUGAGGGAUCACCUUAUAAUGCUACCGUGGUUCUAAGCAAAAUAAGGUGCAUAGAAGGAUUAACAUCACAUGCAAAUCAUAAGUGACAUGAUAUGGCCAUGAACUUGUGCUUCUUAAUCUCCAUCACCAAAGCACCGACAUGAUCUCAUCAUCAUCGGCGCUGCACCAUGAUCUCCAUCAUCGUGCCGCCAUUGAGGUUGUCGCGCUAUCUAUCCUAUUACUACUAAAGCUACAACCUAGCGAUAUAGUAAAAGCAUCUGCAAGCACAAACGUUAGUUUGAAGACAACACUAUGGCUCCUGCCGGUUGCCAUAGCAUCGAUGUGCAAGUCGAUAUUUAACUAUUACCAAAUGAUCAUCUGAUACAUCCAAUAUAUCAUAUCAUGUCUUUGGCCAUAUCACAUCACAUGCAUACCCUGCAAAAACAAUUUAGACGUCCUCUAAUUUGUUGUUGCAUGUUUUACAUGGGUGCUAUGGCUAUCUAGUAUGAUCGCAUCUUACUUACACAAAACCACAACGUGAUAUGCAAAUUGCUAUUUAACCUUCUCCAAGGACCGCCUCGGUCAAAUACGAUGCAACUAAAGUUGAAGAAACAGACACCCGCCAGUCAUAUUUAUGCAACAAGUUGCAUGUCAGUCGAUCAAACUGGUCUCUCGUAAGCGUAUGAAUAAAGUUGGUCCGGGCUGCUUCAAUCCAACAAUACCGCUGAAUAAAAAAAAGACUAAGGAGGGAAGCAAAUUGAACAUCAACGCCCGCAAACUCUUUUGUGUCCUACUCGAGAUAUCAUCUACGCAUGAACCUAGAUCAUGAUGCCACUGUUGGGGAACGUUGCAUGGGAAACAAAAAAUUUCCUACGCACAAGCAAUACCUAUCCAUGGUGAUGAUCAUCUACGAGAGGGGAGAGUGAUAGUACAUACCCUUGUAGAUCGCUAAGCGGAAGCGUAUAUAACGCGGUUGAUGUAGUGGAACAUCUUCGCGAUUCAAAUCACAGCCCGUCCCGUGAUCUCAUCACGAUCCGUCCCGCGAUCCCAUCAUGAUCCAUCCCGAUCUAAUGCCGAACGGUCGGCACCUCCACGUUCAGCACACGUACAACUCGAUGACGAUCCCCGCCUUCUUGAUCCAACAAGAGGGGCAGAGAGGUAGAUGAGUUCUCCAGCACGGCUGCAUGGUGGUGGUGGUGGAUCUAUUCCAGCAGGGCUUCGCCUAAGCGCUGCUGAAAAGCCGAUCUAGAGGAAGAACAAAUCUAGAGAGAAGUAGUGGGAGCACGUGGCAAUUAGAGUUAGCCCUCACCUAUAAAACCUCUAGUAUAUAUAGGAGGGAGGGAGGGAAGGAGGAAGCCUCGAACCCUCAAGGUUUGGCCGAAAUUGGAGGUGGAGGAGUCCUACUCCAAUCCUACUAGGAGUAGGAUUCCUCCUCUCCACUUGGAAACCCUUUCCACCUUUCCCACCUUUGGGUUUCUUUCCUUCCCACCUCCAAUCCGCCUUGUACUUUAGUGGAGGCUUCGGCCAGCCCACUAAGGGCUGGUCCACGUCCUCCCACAGCCCAGGAGACCCUUUGGGGUGGGUGGGCCCACCUGGUGGACCCCCAGAAACCAUUCGUCACUGCCGGUACACUACCGGAAAUGUCCAAAACUUUUUCGGAGUUCAAAAACCACUUUCCCUUAUAUAAAUAUAUACCUCUGCAUAAUUCCGUAGCUCCUCAUGAUGUCUAGAAUCUCAUCUGGGACUCCAAACAACCUCCGGUUACCAACACCUAUAACUAAACUAUAUCGGAACGUCACCGAACCUUAAGUGUGCAGACCUUGCGGGUUCGAGAACUAUGCAGACAUGACCUGAGACACUCCCCGGUCAAUAACCAAUAGCGGGACCUGGAUGUCCAUAUUGUCUCCUAGAUAUUCUAUGAAGAUCUCUAUCGGUUGAACCUCUAUGUCAACUAUUCAGUUAAUCCCAUAUGAUGUUCCCUUUGUCCUUCGAUAUGUUACUUGCCCGAGAUUCGAUCGUCGGUAUCUCCAUACCUAGUUCAAUCCCGUUACCGGCAAGUCUCUUUACUCAUUUCGUAAUACAUGAUCCCAUGACUAACUCCUUAGUCACAUUGCUUGCAAGGCUUAUUGUGAUCUUGUAUUACAGAGUGGGCUCCGAGAUACCUCUCCGUCAGACGGACUGACAAAUCCCAGUCUUGAUCCAUGCCAACCCAACAUACACCUUUGGAGAUACCUGUAGAGGACCUUUAUAUUCACCCAGUAACGUUGCAACGUUUGAUACACGCAAGGUAUUCCUCUGGUGUCCGGGAGUUGCAUGAUCUCAUGGUCAUAGGAACAAAUACAUUGACAUGUAGAAAACAGUAGCAAUAAAACUGACACGAUCAUAUGCUACGUUUAUAGUUUGGGUCUUGUCCAUCACAUCAUUCUCCUAAUUAUGUGAUCUCGUUAUCAAGUGACAACACUUGCCUAUGCCCAGGAAACCUUGACAAUCUUUGAUCAAUGAGCUAGUCAACUAGAGGCUCACUAAUGAAAGUGUUUUGUCUAUGUAUCCACACAUGUAUUUGAGUUCCCAAUCAAUACAAUUAUAGCAUGGAUAAUAAACGAUUAUCAUGAACAAAGAAAUAUAAUAAUAACUAAUUUAUUAUUGCCUCUAGGGCAUAUUUCCAACAGAAUGUUGCUCCGAGGUGACCUCAACCGUCUAGGGUUCCCAAACACCCAAGAGUAACAAGAUCGGCAAUGGAUUAGUGGGGGGAAUCAAAUAUCUCUUAGUGGGAGUGUAGAUCAGGGCCUUCUCAAUCAAUCCCUAGAAAAUCAACAAGUUUGAUUGGCUAGGGAGAGAGAUCGGGCAAAAAUGAGGUUUGGAGCAACAAUGGAGCUUGGGGAGGUAAGAGGUAACCUUCUUGGGGAAGAAGACCCCUUUAUAUAGGAGGGGAAAGAAUCCAACCGUUACCCCCACUUACAGCCCGAGAAGAGAGGUACCACUGCUGCUAGGAGUGGUACUACAGCACGGUAGGUUCACCAACCAUGGUAGUAAAAAAUUACUUCCAUGCCUACCACCACUGAGGUUGCGGUUGUGCAAAAGUACGAGAGAGCGAUAGUAAAAAACUACUACCGUCGAGAGAGCGGUACUACUACUGGCACGUGCGGUACUACCGCUGGCACUUUGCACACACAGGGAGAAACAAGUUGGAGCUCCAUUGAAGCGAGCGAAAGGUGGUCCAAUAGAAUUGUGUACGUGUUGAUUCCACCCUAACCUUUCCGAAGCGGACCCCCUCUUAAUAGUACUGCUUUCCUAUGACUCAAAUCCACCAAAGAGAACUGUAGAAAGCAACCGUCUUUGAUAGACUCCGAGGGGCACCGAAUCGUCUUGUGCCUUGUCAUGAAUUAUCUGAAAUGCUCAAUGCACACGAUUAGUCCGCAUAGGUAAUGUCUUCAAUCACCAAAACCACUUAGGGAGAAAUAUGCCCUAACAAUCUCCUCCUUUUCGGUGGAUUGAUGACAAUACAGAAUUUGCACAAAAGGAUAUAAAAUAUAACAUAUGCAAACCCAAAAUCUAUAAACUAGAGACAAACUCCCCGUGGAUGUGUGCAUACUUAGAAAAAACCCAUGGGAUGCAAAGCACACAACCUGGGAAUAGCACUCCCCCUAUAUUUUAUAGAUGAGACAUUCCUUGCAACAAACUGAUAAAUCACUAAGCAUGGAAGCAAGGCAUAGCAUGUGAGCAUGAAGAUAAGGGCACAAACUAAAUAGACUCACAAGCUACUAACAUACUAGAUAAUAAUAAGACAAUAAGGAUAGAUGAGUGAUAGCAUAUGUCUCACUCCAUAUGAUAGAGUACGUCUCCAGGUCUCACACACAAAAUAAAACCAACCAAAGUAACAAUGAAAGUUCAAUGAACAAAGAGACACAGAAAACGAAGGAACUCGCAAAUCGUACACUCUCCCCCCUUUGGCAUCGGGACACCAAAAAGGCAAGGAGGACACCUACGACACAGGUGGUAGCUCGAGAUGCAUAGAUAUCAGCCAUCGGACUCCUCAUCAGACUCCUCUUCAUCCCCCUUAUCAGACUCAUCCCACCGAAGAUUCUUCUUGUCCAUCCAAGCAGCUUCAGGAGUAAUGUCUUGCUCAGACCCACUAGAGAUGUGCACAUCGAGCUUCCUCAAAAUCAGCUUGUCGCACUGACGGCUCUCCUUCUGAGCAACAUGGGUCAUAUACUGCCCCUUUGCCUACAUGCAAAACAAGGUCUUCAUCCGUUCCUUGAGCUGCUUGGCCCAAGAUGGCUCGGCAGAGGAAGGCACUUGUGUCUCUUGAAUGCCCUCAUCCUCAGCCUUUGGCUCAUCAUCAUCCUCAUUAGUAUCUAUGUUGGCAACAGUAGGUGUGGUGGUAGUGUUGGCCCACUUGUUCUUCUGACGCAGCUUAAUAGGCUCAUGACGGAUCCAACCGGGAGCCUCAAACAACAUCUCUAGAUAGGUCAUCAACCACCUCUCCCGGAUCAAGUAAAAUAGAUAAGGUCCAUUGAUGGGAACCUUUAGGUGAAACACAGCUGACUGAAGCUCACUCCACAUGACAUGAGACACAUCAAGCGAUCUAGGAUCACGAUCCCUCCCUUUCUGACACAUCAAAAACAUAUCCACUACAUAUGAAUGCACCUGGUCUUUGUUGCCAAUGCGCGGAAAGAAAGUGUUGUGAAAGAUUCGGUGCAUGACAUCAAGGAAGGGGUUCGGCACAUGAGAGAUCUCACCAGAUGGGGACACCUUCUCAAUAAUGUAGGGCACCAGCUUUUCCUUAGGUGUAGCAGAUGGCUUUGCGUGUGGGCGCAAACCAACUCGGUUCUCAAGCCCCUCAUCACGAAUGUGCAGAAGAUCCAUAAACUCCUUCCAAGUAGCACACAACUUCUCCCCAUUGGUCAUCCAAGUCAUAGUACGCUCCGCAUCAGAGUGGAAGUGAAUGGUAACAAAGAACUGAGCCACAAUCUCAGGAUCAAAGUCAAGAUGAAACGUGAUGAUGUCCUCGAUCCCAAGCUUCUCCACCAUGUCGAGAGGCACACCAAAAUAUGUCGGGUCCUUCUUGAGAUGAUCGAUGUCAAUCCACUGAACUGGUACAUAGAUGUUCUUCUUGGUCUUGAUCACGAUAUAUAAGAGCAUGUUGCUUGGACCAGAAUAGUUCACAGCCCUUGAGAUGAACCCUAUCGAUGACGUAGGGGUCGCCUUCCAGCGAACCAGAAACUCAGCUUGCGGCAUACCAUCCCAACUAACAGUGUGCUCCGAGCCCUUGUUUGCGGGCCUCUUGAAGUUGCGCUUCAGAGCCUGGGAUCCCUUAGGUGCAUCUGGAUUGCGAAGGCGCUUGGAAACGGUAUCCCGAGAAGGGUUCGAGCGCCUGGAGCCACCACCUAUGACACACAACGCAAACACAAGAAAACGACAAAAGAAGUCAAGGCAAAGCCCAAAGCAAACCAGAAAACCCCAGAGAAAUGAGAAUUAGUAGGACAGAACAUGUGAAUUCAGGGUGCAGCGGUAGUACCGCAGUACAAGCGGUAGUAAAAUUGUACUACCGCACUGACCACGGUAGUACCGCUCUAGGGUGCGGUAGUACCAUAGUGCACGCGAUAGUAAAAAAUUACUACCGCGCUGACCACGGUAGUACCGCUCCAGGGUGCGGUAGUACUGUAGUUCAGGCAUUAGUGAAAUUUUACUACCACGGUCUCCAGGGUGCGGUAGUACCAUAGUGUAGGUGGUAGUAAAAUUUACUACCGUGCCCACUGCAGUAGUAUCGCUCCACGAGGAGUGGUAGUACCGCAUGGGGCAAAAACUACAAGAUCUGACACUCCAAACUUCAGAUCUGGUACUACCGGAGACCAAAACUAACAUGGUGUAUCCUACUAAGUAGCAAAUAUACCACACAAGCACUCUCCAACCAUCCGUUCAUGUAAAGAUUGUGUCACAAAACAAUGAAACCUAACUCAUAUGCCCCCAACCCUAGAUCCAACAAAAUCAAGAAAAAGAGAAGAGAACUAGGGGCAAUACCGGGUUCCAUGGCAUGAGGGAGAGUAGGGAGACGAUCCCACCAAACGGAUUGAGAGUUGAGUGGACGGAGAAGGAGAUCCGACGAGUCCUUCCGGUGCCAUUUCUUGAGAAGAGAGAGAGAGCCACGAGAUGAAUGCGUACGAAUGGGUAUGUGGGAGAAUAAACUGCCCCCUAUCCUAAUAUAACUCCUCGCAGCCGCGACAGCGCGGUAGUACCGCAAUCAUUUAGGUAGUACCGCUUGGCGAGAUUUAGUAAAAUUUUAUUACCGCUCACUGAGCGAUAGUACCGUUCAUCCAGCGGCAGUAAAAAUUUACUACUGCUCUGGAUGCGGUAGUACCGUGCCCUCUCUAGUAGUAGUACUGUGGCUAUCCACGGUAGUACCACUCAAAAAAACGGGAUGAUCUUUGCAAGAAAAAAAGAAAAAAAGAAAACACACGACAACUCCAAGCGAAGACAAACAGGUUGAUGAAAAAAAGGAAAACACAGGACACCUAUGUUUGAGACAUUUGGUAUGACACCACGAAGAAUUCUCCUUGGGUUCAUGACCAUAGCUCGACUUUGAAGCACAAGUGCCAUCAAUAAUGGCUAAUGUGAAAGACAUGAUCGAUUUAUGCAUAAUGGGGGAGGGAAAGUUCAUUGAGAGAACACCACUCCCUCUAUGUCCAUGCCUACACCUAGAUCAAGGUAUAAUGAUGAGUGUGGUGUGGUGUGCCUAGUUUCAAUUCACAUUGCUCGAAUCAAUGAUAUUUAGCUCAUGCCUUAACUCGCGAAACCUUGCUUCAUCUAGAGGCUUUAUGAAAAUAUCCGCAAGUUGCUCUUGUGUGUUGAUGAAGAGGACCUCAAUAUCUCCAUGCUUGAUAUGAUCUCGGAUGAAAUGAUGACCAAUAACAAUAUGCUUGGUCUUUCUAUGUUGCACCGGAUUGAGAUAUAUCUUGAUAGCACUUUCAUUGUCACAUAGAAGAGGCACUUUGUCACAAGUGACACCGUAAUCCUUUAAAGUUUGCCUCAUCCAUAGUAAUUGAGCACAAAAACUUGCGGCAACUACAUACUCGGCCUCGAUGGAAGAAAGUGACACACAGUUUUGCUUCUUCGAAGACCAACUUACCAAAGAGUGACCAAGGAAUUGGCAUCCUCCAGAAGUUGACUUCCUCCCGUCAUAGUCUCCAGCCCAAUCUGAAUCAGAGUAACCUACUAGAUUAAAGCUUGCUCCUUUGGGGUACCAUAAGCCAAAGUUUGGGGUAUGAGCCAAAUAUCGAAAGAUUCAUUUGACUGCCGCACAGUGGCUUUCCUUUGGUGUGGAUUGAAACCGUGCACAAAUCCCCACACUCAACAUGAUAUCUGGUCUAGAUGCACAAAGGUAAAGCAAGGAUCCAAUCAUGGAGCAAUAUACCUUUUGAUCCACUGCUUUACUAUUGGGAUCAUUGUCAAGCUUGCAUUUGGUUGGAAUGGAAAACUUGACCGGCUUGACGUCCUCUAGCUUGAACCUCUUGAGCAUCUCUUGAGUGUACUUGGCUUGUUUGAUGAACGUUCCUUCUCUUCCUUGUUUGAUUUCGAACCCAAGAAAGAACUUCAACUCUCCCAUCAUAGACAUCUCAAACUUCUCGGCUAUUAGUGUAGCAAACUCUUCAUUGAAAGAUUUGUUAGGAGAACCAAAAAUAAUAUCAUCAACAUAUAGUUGGCAUAUGAACAAACCCAAUUUGACCUUUUUGGUAAAAAAGGUGGGAUCAAUUUUCCCAAUCUCAAACCCACGAUCUUGCAACAACUAGGUAAGGUACUCAUACCAUGCACGUGGGGCUUGUUUAAGGUCGUAGAGCGCCUUCUUGAGUUUGUAUACAUGAGUGGGGAGCUUUGGAUCCUCGAAUCCCGGGGGUUGUUUCACAUAUACCAACUCAUUUAAGGGACCAUUAAGAAAUGCACUCUUCACAUCCAUUUGUUGCAAUUUGAAAUCAUGAUGAGAAGCAAAUGCAAGCAUCAUGCAAAUAGAUUCAAGACGAGCAACAGGGGCAAAGGUUUCAUCGUAUUCGAUACCCUCGAUGGCCUUGAGCCACCAGUCUUGCUUUGUUUCGAACAACAACACCAUUUGCAUCUUGCUUGUUCUUGAAGAUCCAUUUGGUUCCAAUGAUAUUAUGUUCCUCCGUUGGCUUUGGCACUAACUCCCAAACUUGAUUGCGCUCGAAUUUGUUAAGUUCAUCAUGCAUGGCUUCAAGCCACCAUCGAGCGCUUCAUCUACCUUUUGGGGUUCAACACACGAAACAAAUGUGUGAUGCUCACAAAUGUUUGAUAAUUGUUGACGAGUAGUUACCCCCUUAUUGAAUCUUCUAAGCACGUUUUCCAAGAUAUGUUGUCGACGCUCGAGCCUGGAAGCCACCUUCGCUGUGUGGCGCUCCAAGAUUUCCUGAUUUGGUAAUUGAGGAUCAUCAUCUUGAUCAUCUUGAGCACUGUCUUGAGCCUGAUCACAAGCUUGCCCUUGAUCUUGUGGUUGUACUUGAUCUUGAGCCAACUUGGAGUCUUGAGCAUGAUCACGGACAUCAUUUGGUGCAACACCAUCUUCAUGAGGUUGAUCCUGUCCUUGAUCUUAUUCAACGGGUUGAGGGCGUUCAUUUUGUUCUUUAGAAGUGUGUGGGUCUAGUGAGGGUGAUGGCUCCACUUGAGUAGAGCAUUGUCCUUCUCCUUCGGCCACAAGGGGUUCCUCAAUGGGGAGUAUUUGACCAAUCCCCAUUCUUCUUAUGGCUUGAGGAGGAAUUUCAUCACCUACAUCCCAAAGACCACUUUGCUCCACCUGGGAGCCAUUAUUUUCAUCAAACUCUAAGUUAAACAUCUUCUUAAUGAGUCCGGUGGACUUGUUGAGGACACGGUAAGCAUGAGAGUUUGUAGCAUAACCAACAAAUAUGCCCUCUUGAGCUCUACUUUUUAAUUUAGACAAACGAACACCUUUCUUGAGAAUGAAACACUUACAACCGAACACCCGGAAGUACUUGAGGUUGGGCUUGUUCCUGAUAAGAAUCUCAUAUGGAGUCUUGUUCAAGCCUUUGCAGAGGUAGAGUCGACUGGAUGCAUGACAUGCAGUGUUAAUGGCUUCGGCCCAAAAGUUAUAUGGAGAUUUAAACUCCGCCAUCAUGGUUCUUGCCGCGUCCAUCAAUGUCCGGUUCUUCCUCGCCGCCAAACCAUUUUGUUGAGGGGUAUACGGUGCUGAAUAUUGGUGCUUGAUCCUCUCAUCACUAAGGAACUCAUCCAAGGUGUAGUUCUUGAACUCGGUGUUGUUGUCACUUCUAAUCAUCAAUAUCUUUGCUUCAUGUUGACGUUGAGCUUCAUUAGCAAAGUCGAUGAUAGUUUGUUGAGUCUCACUUUUCCUCUUGAACAAGUAUACCCAAGUGUAUCUUCAGUAGUCAUCCACAAUCACCAAGCAAUACUUUCUCCCCCAAGACUAUCAAAAGAUGGGGGACUAAAGAGAUCCAUGUGCAGGAGCUCCAAGGGCCUUUUAGAGUAGAUGAUAUUCGUGGGACGGUGAGUCGUUUCCUGAAGCUUUCCUUCAAUACAAGCAUUGCAAGCACGGUCUCUGUCAAAACUCACAUUUGUUAGUCCAUGAAAAUGGUCCCCUUUGAGGAGACUUUGCAAAGAUCUCAUAUUGACAUGAGCUAGCCGGCGAUGCCAAAGCCAACCCACAUCAACUUUAGCCAUUAGACAAGUUGCGAUCUUAGUAGGUCGCUCUGAAAAGUUCACCACAUAGAGACCGUUCUCGACAUGUCCAACAAACGCUAUUUUAAGAGUAUUGCUCCACAAAAGGGUCACGGUAUCAAGAUUAAAGAAUCUGGCAAAGCCCAUAAUUGCAAGCUGACGAACGGAAAGCAAGUUGUAUGCAAGGGACUCAACAAGCAUGACCUUCUCUUUAGAUAAAUCUUGAGAGAUGACCACCUUGCCAAAUCCCAUUACCUUAGACUAGCUAAAUACCCAUGCGUUGCAACGGGGGACAAACAUCGAAUGUGUUAAAUAUAUACCUUUUAAGAUCCGCAAUAAUGCCACUUACAAAAUUUAAAAUAAUUAUUUUAAGUGGUUUUCAUGAUAGCUAAUUCACAUUUGGGUUACAAUGGCACAUUAUAUUCAUGCAAUGUAGCCAAAAUUAAAAGGAAAGGCAAUUAAAAGGGCGCAAGGAGAUGAAUAUAUUGUGCUCAAAUUCUGAUCGCUGCAAACAUUGCGAACUUUGAUAUCUAAGUGAACAUCUCUCUUCCUCGAGACAUGGCCUCGGAGGGGAGGGGAAGCACCGACUACCGCGUCGUUGUGUUGGAGUGCAGGGCGGCGGCGUUGCUGAUGCUUGCGUCCGAGAAGGUGCCGCCGCGCUCCGGCGCUCGACACCACCAUAUUCUUCGCCAGCCGGUUCACUGUUACAUUGUCUGAUGAGGGAGGCUUCUAUGGUGCCGCGGGCUGCGGCUCCUCCCACACCGGUGAUCCCAACCGCGACAGCAAGGGGAAGAACGAGGUAGCAAUGAUGAUGAGCAGCUGACGGCUGCCGAGAAGGGCGUCUCGUCGUGAUAGAGCACGUAGAUGAUUGUUUUUGGUGAGAGACGGAAGUGGGGGCGCGAGGGGUUGAGGGAGAUGGGUGCGUGCGUGCGUGCCUGAAGGACUGGUGGUUGUUGCCCUUUUUCCGUUUUUUUGUACGAGUGAAGGUGGGAGGGUGAGGUUGAACCAUCACCAUGACGACAGAUCCCUCUUUAAUAGUUUUAAAAUAAUUUCUUGAAUUGAGAAACAUUCGUCUAUCAUGAUGUGAUGUGAUUUUCAUUCAUAACAACAUGAUUCUCUAUCAUGCUCCUUCCUUCUUGACGCCAGCUCUAUCUUCAUAAAAAGAGGGAGCUCCUCACUGCCUUGUCGCUCCAAGGAACGACAAUGGGACAUCCCUAAUCCUAGCAGCCAAGUCCACAUGCCCAAUACCACCCUAUUGUCGUCAUCGGUGGCCAUCGGCGGUGGUGACGAAUGCCGGCUCUGUGAAUCAGGCGAGUGCGGCUCUACUCCUCUUUCCCAUCACCCUUUACAUCCCCGACCUAUGCCUAGAUCUGACGAGGCAGCUGGUGGAGCCCAGAUUUCAGGACCUGAGUAAUUGAUCAUCAUUUGUUUUGUCACAGAAUAAACCUAAUUACAACAGAAGAAAUGUAAAAGACAGAACGGAGAAUCUCAGAUCAUUUGAGGUAUUAAAUUUAAAUUUCGAAAACAAAUUGAUAUGAAUCACGUGUUAAAUGGAGCCCAGAUUAUUCCCAUGGCAAUCCUAGAUUAUUUUAUCCUCGUUCUUUUUUCCUUGGUCAUUCUGUUCCACUGAUCCAUGCCUUUAGAGUAAAAGAAGAUUGACUAUCUUGACAAAAUAUGCGUCAUGCUAGUAUGAAGCUUUGGUAAUUGAUGAUUGAAAGGAGGAGACUCAAAGACCAAUGUCUAUCUGCCUCCUUGUUCCAACUGAUUUUCUUUUCUUUCAACUUACUUACUGAAGCAAAUCAAAAAUGUAACCCAACUUAAAAACUCAAAAAUAUAACUAUGAAAAAUCAUUAGGUAUCUCAGGUUGGAGGCAAGCAUAAAUCCUUGCUUUGUCCACAACAGUACACCGACAUACCAACUGCGGUAUGUUUUUUCUGUUCCCUCGAUAAAAGUCCAGCUAAUAUUCUUAUGUACCACUGAACUCCUUCAAUCAUAAAAUUGCAAAACAUGAUUACUUAGAUGGAGUAGGAAGGGAAGCAGAAGAGGGAGAAACGCGGACAUGUUAAACAAGGAAAUGUCAUAGGGUCGUCGAGUGAAGCAGCUGGUCAAUUCCACCCAAGGUGAAGCUUUAGCAUGCAGUGUUGGGGGAGAUGGUGCUAGACCUCAACACGGUGUAUGAGGAUUGAAACCUAAGUUUCGAGGAGUGGUACAUACAAAGUUAGCAUAAUUUAAAUAAGAAUACUCAUUUUUUCCAUGCCCACCAAAAAAUGGAAGGAUCGGUCUGCAAACAUAUAUCAGGGCAUGCCCAUUAUGACAUAGAAACCAUGUGUUUCUAAAUUUAUUUUCCAAAUAAAAUAAUACGUUUCUCUAGCAACAUGAAGAGAAAUGCAGAGAGUUAGAAACCUAUUAAGAGACAAUUAGUUCGAAGCCUAUAGAACUAAAGGGUCAAGUUGAACCCACAAUAUCAGAAGAACCUUUAGUGCCUUCAGCAUGUGGUCAUAUAAGAGUAUAGAUCUUAUUUGUUAUGUGCAUACCAAUAUAAGGUUACUAAAGUGUGCUCACAGAAUUGUUUUCAUCGAUUCUAGGACAGAGUAUUGAUUGAUUGAGUAUGUGUAGACAUUGUUGCGUUCCUAUUACUCUGAAUAUUCGCGUGUGCACAAUGGAGCACAUAAUCCAACCAAUUCAGGGGAAACAGAUUUGGCCAACAAUAUCUUGACCCUUAGAAAUCUGCACACCUCAGUGAUACAAAUAUAUAUAUAUAUGCAAAUCAUAAGAAGGAACUCGGAUAUCACAGUUGCUUGUCAUAUUUUCUUUAACUGGCACCUCUAAAAUAGAAAUAGUGAACUUCAACGGAAAGAUCAUGCAUAUUAUAAGAAACAAACCAACAAACUAUGGAUUAUAUGGUUGCAAUUGCAGGAAAAAUAUUUUUACCUGUACAUAAAACCUUGUAAUUUUUUCAAUUAAUAUAUGGAGUAGAUAUACUUGUUGCUUCAACAAAAAAUGCAGCAAACUUUCAUAUGAAUAUCUUACAUUGGUAAAUCAUCGAUCUGGAUCCUUUAUGAAAUACGACAAAGGAACCAUGUUAGAACAAACCUGCAACCAAACAACCACAUACAUCUAACCAGUUAGCUUACUCUUGAGUCUUUUUGCAUGGAACAACAUGAAAAUCAUGCUACAUGUGUACCAAAAAAUAACAGUAUUAGACAUGAUUUUGAGAAAUCUAAGGAACUGGUAAAAAUUAAAUGUGAAGUACUCAGGUGUAUAGGGAACCAUGAGAUGUUCAGGCUCAUACCUUCCCUUCAUCCUGGAAAACAUACUAAUCAGAGAACCAUGCAGAUAAUUGAGAUCUUGUUAAUGGGUGUUCGGCACAUCAGCACAUGAGUGUGCACAACGUUGGAAAACUAUUCAGAAACAACAAUAACCAACUGUUGGACUUGGUACAGACCAUGAGGAAAUCACAUGAAAUCAUGAAAUAGAGUAAAAGUAUAAUUAUUAUCUCAUCUCAAUAUAAUUUUUUUGCUGUAGUAAUCUGUAACAACAAAAUAGGGAGGAUCAUAACUAAGAAAUCAAUACGAGCUCGAGCUUGAUCUCUUUAUUGUGUCAGAUUAAGAAGCCUAGAAAACUUAAGAGAGAAGGAUGAUGAGGAAGAGCUUACUGGUUGUGCCGCCGAUCUAGCCGAAGGGGAAGCAGUUGGCGGGCUGGCGCCCUGGACCAUGUCGCGGAACACCUCGACUGCAAGCGGGAAGCCUUAGUCGGCUGUCUCAAGAUCGGUGUUGAGCAGCGGCAGGGCGAAGAUGUCAACGUGGUCCACGCGCAGCUUUGAGACAGAUUCCUUGAACACUCCGCCGCAUGCCAACAAUGGGUUAGCGACGACAAUCCCUCUUCAGCCAGCGGCAGGACAAGCAACUGGAUCGUUUGCUCAGAGCCAUCCGAUCUCAAUGCGGGAAGGGGAAUGAGAAGGGAGGGUCAGUGGGCGGCGGAGCUGACGACCAAACCGCUUCUGUGCGACUGGGUGGGUUGGGACUUGAGAGAGGACAGGUGAGAUCGUGGCUGUGGGCAUCGAGAGAGGAGGGGUUGGGGAUCAAGGAGAUACAUGUGUACGGGGGCGUGGGUGAUGACUGUUUUUCUUUUUGUUUUUUAUUAUCGGGAAAACAAAAGCGGAAAAAUCUGGGGUAGCGAUCUCAGGAUAGCGAGAGGGAAUGCGUCAUUGGUGGGAAAGAGGUGGUCGAACCAUCACGAGAAGAAUAAGUAUGCCAAAAACAUUGUCACCAUAAAUUUCUAGGGAACGAUAUCAAAGCUUUAGCCUCUGGCAUUAUAGGUUGACUCUGCAACCUUUUUUUUUUAACUCAAAUGGAUGCAUCAUUCCUUCUCCAUAUAUGUCUGCACUUGCCGCACACAAUCCUUCCAUGAUGCCGCAUAAAAUUUCUUAUAGUAAUAAUGGAUAGUGCAGCUUAUGGUGAAAGUGCACCUAAAUUCCGGUGAAAAUGAAUCAUCAUAAAAACACGUAGCUACUAUAGUGAAUUAUCAUGUUCUCAAAAUUCCGAACUAUUCAUCGGCUCCAAUUUGCCAUGUUCUAACCUAAACAGUAACCAAUUUGAUGCUAUUAUGAAUGAGAAUAAAUAUGUGACUUUCCAAAACAAAGAUAAUUGUACUUAACAGGGCAAUAACAAGAGGAUAGCAACCGGCUUCCUUUCUGAACUUAAUGUUGGCAUUGUUGUUGCCAACCUGCUUGAUUAGGAAGCAGAUUUUUCUUCUUCUCCACAAGCUCUCAAUCCAGAUUAGCAUAAAUCAUCAUCAUUUAUCCUAACCUAAAAAAAAUCAUAUCAACCAAGGCAUAUGAAGCUUGGAAGAAAAAGGAGGGGAACUUUGGAGUUUCUAUCUCACCAUAACGGAGAGCUUCUACAUAAGGAUGGCAUCUUAGCUAGGCAUAUAAACUAAAAAAUAGUCAUCUAUACAGAACUCAUAAAAUUACGAAAAUGAUAAAGCAUUCUAGAAGCAAGUUGUGUCACUCAUUAGCUUGGGAGCAUUGCUCUCAAAGAAUUUCAAGAGGUUAGGAUGGUUGUCAAGGUUCUUAUCAAAAGUAACAACUUUCAGGGUGCUGCUAGCAUCAAUGAAUUUCUCCAAAGCAAAAACAUCAAAAUCCUCCAAAAGAUCACAUCAGUAAUCUGUAUGAAGUAAGAACAGAGAUAAACACCCCCUUGGUUCCAUAUUAGUUGUCACUAAAUUGUACAAAAUCAGCAAUGACUAAUAUGGAACAGAGAGAAUAAUUAUUAGUUUACAGAGCGAGAAACGUAUACCCUUGCUAUCAAGAAUGAGCUCAUCAAAUGGCUUCAAUAGCCUAACCAAUGGCCUCUCCACUGCUGCAUCACCACGUGGAGAUGGUUGGCAUGCACAGUGUGACCAAAGUCAUAAUCAGAACGCAGCUUCUCGACAACCUCAACGAAGUUCGUAAACUCAGUGCCUCUUAAUUCCGUGAAGACAACAACCUAUACAAUUGCCAUCAUUACUUACUCAACAGACAUAGAACAUCAACCAUGGCUAUAUGACGAUUGCUAUAUGAAAGUAAGAAUAGACAAAAGAAGAAGCUUACAAUGUGGUUAUUGCCAUCUUCAAGGUAUAGUAAGUAGCAUCUUCAGGUGCCUUGAUCUCCUUGAAAGCAGGGUGAACCUGCUUCUUCAAGUACUCAACAAUUCCCUCAGCCUCCCUGGGCCGCCUGUAUUCCUGGAUGUUCUUUCCUCUGUUCCUGAAGAUCUUAAGGGUAGGGAAGCCUUGGACCUCGUACUUGCCCGCAAGCAGCUUGUUCUUCUCAUCAUUGGCAUCAACCUUAGCAAGAACAAUCGUUGGGUUGUGCUUGCUCAACAGCUAGGCGCCUAUAGGCCGCCUUCUCAUACUGCAAUAGCACACAAGUGGAAAUUCAACGAAUGGGGUCAAUAAAUACAACAUAUAGCAUAGUGCUAAGUAAGUGGUCCAAGGAUGUAGAAGAAUUACCUCUGGCGCUAGGCUCUUGUAGUGUCCACACCUUAAAUAAUCAAUUUUACAAAAUUAGCAACGACUUUGACAAAAUUUAAACCAAACUAAGUGAGAUUAUACUGAAAUAAGUCGAACAUGAAGAAUCUGCACUACACAGUUACAGUAUAAAGUUGGACACACUAGAAUCCCAACCCAAGAAACUUUAAGCCCUCGAGGAACUUCAAAUCCAACCCAAACUACAGAGGAAUCAGCGAUCCAGAUGCACAAAUCACCAAAGCCAGAUCCCCGUGGUCCGUAAUUCACGAAUCUGAGACCCCUCAAAACCGACCAUGAUCUAAACCCGUCGUACCCGCAUGAACACUCCACACGCGUAUAGAUACUAGAGGUGAGGGCUCACAAUGGGGAGUAGAACUCGACGAGGAUGAAGGGGUGCUUGGCGAUGGCGUCAUCGAAGUUAUCAGCGUGCAAGGUAAGCACGACCUCGGGGGCUGCGGCCUCCUCCGCGGCAGCAGCCUCCUCCGCCCUGGCCUCCUCCUUCGGCGGUGAUAGCAGUGGGGUGGCGGUGGGCAUUAUCGAGCGAGAAAGGCAACCCUCUCCUCCUCAGUGCCUUGGCUGUGCUCCUUCCUCUCUCUGGCGCGAUGAUUUUUCGCAGGAGAGAGAUGAGAUCGGGAACGAGGGGUGGGGGUGGUGCGUGUUUGUCUGGUUGCAGUUUUUUUCUAGCGACAAGGGGUGGGAAACAUGGACUCGUUCUCUCGUGCGGCGGGAUCUAACGAUUCUUUUUUAGUUCGUGCGAUCAAUGGGUGGGACGAGAGGUCGAACCAUCAGCACGACGGCAGAUCCCCCUUUAAUAGUAGAGAUGUUGAGGCAUCAACAAAUUGGACAUGGGUGGGCAUAUAUGGAAUUGGAUGCACAUGCACCACCAAGUCCUUGCUCCCGGUCAUAUGGUUUGUGGCUCCACUAUCGAGUAACCAUGAUACUCCACCGGAAGCAAACUCCUACAAGAGAUUAAUGCUUGGAUUUAGGUACCCAUUCUUGAAUGGGUCCUUUGAUGUUAGAAACACGGGUCUUAGGAACCCAAAUAGCCCAUUCAAUGUACUCAUAGUAAGAACCAACAAAUUUAUCAUAAACAUGCCCAUCACUAGCAUGACAUAAAACAUAAGGGGGGUUAAAGUCGUCGGCUUUGUUGGUAGAGGUGGUUUUGCCCUUCUUGGCAUUAUCACCCCUUCCUUGUUCUUCAUCUUCUUAUGAGUACUCUCACCCUAUUUGAUAAAAAUGUCCUUGAGAGGGGUAGAUAGACUUGGGUGCAAACCCAAGACCCUCCUUUCGUACAACUUCCUUUUGAUUACUCAAAAGGUCAUUUAGGUUCUUCUCGCCUUGGAUGCAUGACACAAGGCCUUUUUCAAGUUGUUCAUUCAACUUAGCAUUCUCCUCCACAAGAUGCACAUUCUCACAACAAGGAUUAGUAGCACAAGCAUUAUCAAUUAGAACAAAAGGAGGACAAGUAGAAAUCUCCUUGGUUAGUUUUACCUGGAGUUGAUCGUGAGACUCCUUAAACGAGGAAUGAAUACCUUUCAAGACCUUGUGGGCCUUGUCAAGUGUGUCAAAUUCUUCCUUGAGUCUAUCAAGACCAACCCCAAGUGCAACUUUCUUGAAAUUAAGCACACGGGUAAGAACAAUAACAUGAUCAAGAUCUUUUUGUAAUUUACCAUGAUCAACGUUGUGUGACUCCUCAAGAGCGAAAUGAAGAACACACUCUUCAUCUAGAGCAAUGGAUAGUUCCGCAAUAUCAUCGACAUAAUCACGACCAUGUACCUCCAACUAGGAGAUAGUAUCCUCUUGAGUCUCAAUGAGAUCGUUGGCCUCGCCAAGUUGUUCCAAAAGAGCAACAAAGUGGUUCUUGGAUUCACCUUUGAUCUUACACAAGAAUUUGUCAAACUCAUUCUCAUCAAGCUCGACUACUUCACUAUCAUCAACAAAAUCUAAAAAUGAAGGAUAAGUAGUGAUAGUGGUCUUGAUGUUGGGGGUUACCUUAUUGAUACCUUUGGCCAUGAGGCACUUAGAGAUGCGGUUCUCAUUGGUGGCGCCGAAGAGAGACACCUUGGGAGAGGAAGUGGCAAUGGAGACGGUAGCCGUUGCCAUCCCCUCGCGACCUGUAUCAUCUUCGUCAUCAUCGGAGGUGUACUCUUCAUGGGCCACCAAACCCCUUGGAGGAGUCUUCUUGGUGAAGAUGUUGUUGCUUGGGAAAGACCUGGCUUUGUAUUUGUGAAUGAUCUUGCCCCCGUUGUCUUCCCUCUUAUCAUCAGGACAACCAACCACAAAGUGACUCACAUUGCCACAAUUGUAGAAUAUCCUCAUUCGUUGCUUGUUCUUGGACCCACUUGAGUUGUGCUUGGAGAAGUGGGGACUUGAGUUUACCUUGUUGCCCCAAAAUUGCCUUGAUGUAAGAGCCAUGUGCUCGUGAUAAGCAUACUUUGUGUCUUCGGGGCAGUUCUCUUCUUCCUCUUCCUCUUCUUCAUCCGAAAUGACCUUGGCUCUCAAGGCAAGGUUGGGUGAGGGUUUCUUCGACCGAACACGAGCAAGAGCAUUGUUGGCGGUCUUGUUCAUGAUAUUCAUGGCAAUGAACUCAUCCAACACUUUGCUUGAGGUCAAGGUGUGGAAAUCCGUCCUUUGACGAAUGACAGAGGACAUGGCUUUGUUGAAUAGCAUGCUAGCAUUGAGAAACUUGCGCUUGAUCCAAGUGUCAUCCGUAUCCUUUAUCCCAUGAUCUUGGAGAGCAACGGAAAGAGUAGUCACUCUUCGAUAGACAUCACGGGGGUCCUCAUCUUCUAGCAUCACAAACUCAUCGGCGUCAUCAAGAACCACUUCAAAGUUGGACCAUUGAAUGCUUGAGAUCCCCUUGUACAACACCAUGAUGUGCUCCGAAUAAUCCUUUGCACGGGUGAAGGGGCGCAAGAUAGAUAGAUCUUCGGGAGGAACCGCGGAUUGAAGGAUGAAGAACGCAGAAUGCUUGUAUUGAUUGUCCGCCUCUUCUCUUCGAGUGAGGUUGUUUGGAUCAUGCGGGUAGAAGCCUUGUUCGAUGAUUCUCUAAAGAUUUGUUGAGCUGUGAUUCAAAUGAGACUUGAUGAACAGACCCAAUUAGCGAAGUUACCUUUAACAAGUUUAGGAGGACGACCAAGUUUAUUAAUAUGUGGUGUUGUGGGGCAAAAUGUUUGUUAGUUGCCGGCUCCUCCUGGCCAGCUGCAUGGCCCGCGCCAGCUAGGAGCGUUGUCGUCUUCCCUCUGGUCGGAUGGAUGGCCGCCAACCGACUAGGGACCACCCAUCGCAUCAAUCCCUAUGAUGUGACGAAGGCCUUCGAUUAAAGGCGAAAGUACCUCAGCUCGGGUACGCUGGAAAGCAAUAUGCAUGGCUACAGUGAUGGCAGUCGUACCGCUGACCGGUGCCAGCUACAACCCGUCAACCGUGUACAGUACCCGCAUGCUACCACCCACUCCAUUACCUGGCCCGGCGUGGCUAUACUGGAGCCGACCGUACCGCAAACCGGCGCCGGAUCCCGCAAGACGACGGCUAGCAUACCGUUCGUGCCUUGCGUGGGGAGCACGCACCAAUCUUGUGGGUCAGCCGGCGGGUCCCAUAGCCUGAUGGGACCUUACAGCAGGCGGGCCCCACCAGCAACAAGACUGAUCAAUCCUGGUCCCAUUGGACGGCUGUAGAGGCUGCCAGCUCGGCCCCCUACAUUGUACCUUAUAUCCAUUUUGUAGGUCGGGAGGUUCGUCUAUAAAACCCCCUGGGCCUCCUCCAUGCAGAGGGUCGGCCAAUAUUACGCACCCACACGCUCAUACAGGAGAGAUAGAUCGCGAGCCGGCUGCUCCAUCUUCCUCCUCCGUCAAACACAUCAAGGAGCACAUUGUAGUUCUCUUGGUUCAUCAACCACUCUGGCGGGACUAGGGGUAUUAUCUCCCACGGAGAGCCCCGAACCUAGGUAUAUCAUGCGUCUUGUAUUGCUAGUUACCAAUCUCGUUCUCGGAGCCCGUCGGUGUCACUUAGGUCCUAACCACUCUCGAUAAGCCUACCCAUGGCAUAUGUUGUGAGAAAACGACGAUAGUUGGCGCCCACCAUGGGGCCGUCCGCGGCACCGGUCGGAGUUACGCUCUGGGUGGGACCCUUCGCCAACUCCAUUGGACGCCUCGCGUCCGGAUUGUUCAGCACACCCGUGGAGCCUGCCCCCGUGGAGGCUUCCGCGACAUUGAUCAUCGGCUCCACCUUCCCUACAGGCUCCACCGUCAAGCUCACUAGCGAGCCGCACGACAGUGGCGUCGCUCCUGACAUCGCUCACCUCUGUGCCCUCUUCGACAAUCUAUGCCUCGACGACGAGCCUCGCCACCUUGGCAGGGACGUCGACAUCGACGUCCUCUACGCGCACUUCAGCGGACUCAGUCUUGAAGGUGCGCCUGCAUCCGACGAGUACCCCAGCGACGUACUCAAUUACAACGAUCCACUAGCAUUCACGGGUUCUAUCGCCCCGCACGACGUCACCAUCUCCUCCGACCUAAUGGAGGUGAUGUUGCAAUCUCCAGCACCAGCUCAGGUCAUGCCAAGGCCGCGGCUGCGCUUCGUCCAGGUCCUUCCGACCCACUUGAUGCCACCCUCAUCGGGCUGACUAUUCCUAUCGCCCGGACGGCUAAUCCGCCGUUGGCUAGAGCCGAGCUGGAGGAGGGCCGCAAACAGCUGCUGGUGGAGGGCACCGCCCUCGGAACUGCCAAUUGCCGGAUGGAGGCCGCGCAGUGCGAGUUCAACUCCGCUUACGGCUUCACCCCGGCCGCCGAUGGGCCCAACCGACGUGGUGAUCUCCGCGGUCGCGGUCAGGUUGUUAUCGAAAUCUUAGGCGGCAAUCUGCCCAUCUAUGACACUCAUGCAGCCAACAUGCGGGCCUCCUAGGCGGACCUUGAUGAGAUGGACGCCCUGGAGGGCGAGGAGCAUGUGCUCCAAGAAAAACGUGUCAAGGACCUCCUCGCUACCUCCAACGAGCAACAGGGUCGCCUUGCCCGUGCCCAUGCUUUCUCCGUGUCCCCGGGUUUCGACUACGAGGGUUACCAGAUUCCCAGCGGCUGUUGACAGGCUCACCAUUCUUCCUCCCCUCAUGGCUCCGGUCGGAGGGCCGAGGGAAGUCAGGGUCGGCGCUCCCAGCGUCGAAGCAAACAUCAGGCAGUAUCCAGCUAUCUCCGCAAGCCGGUUGGAGAUGAGGGAGGCUCAGUCCAUGAAGUUCCCUCGCCUGAGCAGCGGUGGAAGUCCCACACGUCCAUGCCUCCUGUUUGACUUGAGCUCGCGGCUCGGGUCGGUCCCCGCGUCCCCCACAGCGAGAACGAUGCUCGCAUCCACCUCCAUCGUCUGGCACAGUCGGCCCUCCUGGAGGAGGAGGGUCCCAUCGGUCUGGUGUGCUUUGGCCCCCGGAUCCGGAGGGAGUCGUUUCCUUCGGGCUUCACCCUCCCCCGCAACACUCUAGAAUACAAGGGCUUCGCCAAGCAGGAGGAUUGGCUGAUCGACUACACCACCGCAGUCGGCGUCGCUCGGGGCAACAAGCGCAUAGCCAUCCACUACGUGCCAAUUAUGCUGACCGGCUCGGCUGGAACUUGGCUUAACAGCCUGCCAGCCGACAACGUCAACACCUGGGUUGACUUUGAAGAGGCCUUCGUUCGCAACUUCACCGACACCUACAAACGCCCUGGCCUCCCCCGCGAGCUGGCCAUGUGCGUCCAGAAGGCCGACGAGCUCCUCCGUGAUUACGUCAUGGGCUGGACGGAGUUGCACAACUCCUGCGAAGGAGUGCAUGAAGUAUAGGCCAUUCAGUACUUCAUCAAAGGGUGCCGAGACGACACCCUUCUCAAGCACAAGCUCAUGUGCUCCAAGCCUACAUCUUUGGUGGCACUCAUGGCCAAGGCGGACCAGUACUCCACUGCCAACUCCGCGAUGCGGAUCAAGGUCAGCACGACGGACAAACCCGUCAUGCCGCCUGGUACAACCCGGCCGACUGGUGACAACCGAGGCGGGAAAAACAACAAGCGCAAGGCGGAUCAUCAAGACCGGCGACCUGGGAGCAAGCAGGUGGCGAACAUAGAGGAAGAGUUGCCGGCUACGCAAGCCGGCGAUCAGCAACAACGAACCGGCAAGAACACUUGGCAGCCCAAGCUCACCUUCGAGUAGAUGCUCGACGCACCCUGCAAUAUGCACACUAGGGCGAAGCCGGCCACCCACAUGCUCCGGCAGUGCAGCUUCUCACAGCGACUAGCCCGGGGUGAGGGUCUGCCGGCUCUCCUGGGGCCGGCUCCUCGAGCUCCGGCUCGUGGGACGGGUCCGGCUCCAGCUCCACCACCACCCAAUGAUGGCCGUCUCCAUGAUCAGUUCCCCGACCAAGACGGGGCUUACGUCGCCUUCACCAACGAGGGCGAUGACCAACACAUCCAGCAUCAGCACCGGCAUGGGGUGAAUACCACAGUCCCCUCGGUUCCUCAAUACAUGCAUUGCUUUGAAAAGCCAAUUACAAGGAGCCGAGCGGAACAUCCCACGGUGAUGCCGAACCCCAACACGUACGCGCUCGUCCUCGACCCCACCAUCGUCCAAGAGACUCACCUGCCGGUUCUCAUGGGUGUUGGUCGACGGCGGUAGCAGUAUCAAGAUCCUAUACCGCGACACCCUACUCAAGCUUGGGAUCAAGGUGAAGGACCUGCAGCCCACCAGGACUGUCUUCCACGGCAUUGUGCCGGGACACUCUUGCUUGCCCAUCGGCAAAAUCCAGCUGGAUGUCCUUUUUGGUGACAAGGCGCACUUCCAUUGCGAGCCGGUCUAGUUUGAGGUGAACCUCAACAGCCCUACCAUGCACUGCUGGGCAGGCCAGCGCUCGCCAAGUUCAUGGCGAUCCCUCAUUACGCUUACCUUAAGAUGAAGAUGUCGGGGCCCAAGGGCAUUAUCACUGUUGCCGGCGACUACAAGAAAUCGGUCGAGUGCCGGCACGAUAGAAGCCGGCUGGCCGAGGCUCUGGUGAUUGCGGAGGAGAGGAGGCAACUCGACCGGCUCGUGGCUCAGGCCACCGAGAAGCCGGCCGUGCAAACUCCCCCGUCCCAGUCGGCUAACGAGGCCUCGUUCGAGCCGUCCAAGGAAACCAAGCAAGUGCCACUCGAUCCGUCCAACCCCAAGCAGUGUGUCACCAUCGGCGUGAACCUCAGCCCCAAAUAGGAAGGCGAGCUUGUCGACUUUCUCCAUGAGAAUCGAGAUAUCUUUGCAUGGUCCCCCAAGGACAUGCCAGGAGUCCCGAGGAAGUACGUCGAGCACAAGCUUCAUGUGCGACCGGAUGCAAAGCCGGUCAAACAACCUUUCCACCACUUCCCUAAGGGGAAGCGGCGCACAAUCGAAGAAGAGAUCGCCCGGCUGCUUGCAGCCAGCUUCAUCAUGGAAGUUUUCCACCCGGACAGGCUGGCCAACCUAGUCCUAGUGCUGAAGAAAAAUAAAACAUGGCGCAUGUGCAUCGACUACACAAGUCUGAAUAAGGCAUGUACGAAGGACCCUUUCGCCCUGCCACGGAUAGAUCAAGUGAUUGACUCCAUGGCCGGCUGUGAUUUGCUGUCCUUUCUGGACGCCUAUUCCGGCUAUCACCAGAUCAAGCUGGACCCGGUCGACCGGCUCAAGACCUCCUUCAUCAUCCCCUUCAGAGCUUACUACUACACGGUGAUGACGUUCGGCCUGAAGAAUGUAGGCGCCACCUUCCAGUGCUGCAUGCAACAAUGCCUCUUGCCGCAAAUCGGUAGGAACAUACACGUCUACGUUGAUGACAUCGUCAUCAAAACCAAGACGCAUUUCAGUCUCCUUGAUGAUCUGCGGGAGACCUUCGCCAACCUAUGUGAAUACAAAAUCCGGCUCAACCCGAAGAAGUGCAUCUUCAGAGUUCCAGUCGGCAAACUCCUAGGUUUCUUCUUAUCGGCGUGCGACAUUGAAGCCAACCCUAAGAAGAUCAGAACCAUCGAGCGCAUUGCCAAGCCGGCUCGACUCCUCAACGUCCAAAAGUUCACCGGCUACCUCGCAUCUCUGAGCCGGUUCGUCAGCCGACUGGGUGAGAAGGUGCUGCCACUCUACCAGCUGAUGAAGAAAACCACCAAAUUCGGGUGGAAUGAUCAGGCGGACGAAGCAUUCCGUGACCUCAAGCGCGUGAUCUCCAGCAUGCCCAUCUUGGCCGCGCCGGGUGAGAGGCAACCCAUACUCGUCUACAUUGUGCAACCACUCGUGUGGUCAGUGUCGUCUUGGUGGUGGUUCAGCGCCCUUUCUACUAAAUGAGCGAAGUCUUGUCCGCCUCCAAGCAAAACUACCCCACUAUCAAAAGAUGUGCUAUGCCGUGUAGUUUUCCGCCAAGAAGCUGAAGCAAUACUUCCAGGAGCACACCAUUGCGGUGGGGAGCACAGGUUCACUUUCAGAAAUCAUGGGCAACCGUGAUGCUAAGGGCCGGAUUGCCAAUUGGUCCAUCGCCAUGGCCGACCACGACAUCCGCUACGAGCUGCGCACCGCCAUCGAGUCUCAGGUGGUGGCCUACUUCCUCGUCGACUGGGCCGAGACCUAGUUCCUGCCGCCGCCUCCUCACUCCACGCAUUGGCAGAUGCACUUCGAUGGCUCCAAGAUGCGAACCAGUUUGGGAGCCGACAUCGUCCCGACGUCCCCGAAAGGGGACCAACUCAAAUAUGUUCUCCAAAUACACUUCGUCACCUCCAACAAUGUCGCCGAGUACGAGGUGCUCGCACACGGCCUCCGGCUCGCCACCGAGAUUGGCAUCCGGCGGUUUCUUUGCUUCAGCGACUCCGACCUCGUGGUGCAACAAGUUUUUGGCGAAUGGGGAGCCAGGGACGCCAGCAUGGCCAGCUACCGCUUCCUCACCCAGCAGCUCAGUGGCCCUUCCGAGGGCUGUGGGUUCCAUCAUGUCCCCCAAACGGACAACGAGGUGGCAGAUAUGCUGGCAAAAAUCAGCUCCACCAGGGAGGCAAUCCUAGCCAGUGUUUCCCUCGAGCAGCUGCACAAGCCUUCCAUCAAGCCGUCUCCGGAGUCGUCGUCAAUCUUUGUGUCUGCAGACCCGACCGACCCAAUGACUUUGGGUUCCUAGAUCUUUCCAGCUUCAUCAACUAUGCCGGCUCCGCCCGCUCUGCCGACUCUGUCUUCCUUCCGGUUUCGGCCACUCUGCCGGCUACGCCAAACCUCGAACCCAGUCGGCUCAACACCCAAUGGGUGGCCGUCAUGGAGGUCGAGGGCAUGCCGGCUGCCACGAUGACACCAGAGAUAAAAGGUCUUGUAUCCAGGACUACAACGACAAACUCGAGGGCUUGAGCUGCCCUGACCUUCAGGCUGAGCCAGAGCCGGCUCCUGUGUCGGCUCCCACAUGGGCAUGGCCUAUCCUGGUUUUCCUCCUUCGCAGCGAGCUCCCUCUCGAUGAGGCGGAAGCACGGGAGAUCCACCGUAGAUCUCCUGCUUAUGCCAUCAUCAACCGCAAAUUGGUUCGAUGUAGUGUAAUUGGCGUAUUUCAAUGCUGCGACGAAUCAGAGAAAGGGUAGGAAUUCCCAAGGACAUACAUCAGGGCGAGUGCGGGGAUCACGCCGCCUCCAGAACCCUGGUGUCCAAGGCGUUUCACCAUGGAUUCUACUAGCCCACGACGCUGGAAGAGGCCACAACCCUGGUCGACAAGUGUGUAGGAUGCCAAUGCUUCAGCAUGCAAAGUUACUUGCUGGCCAUGGCUCUCAACAUCAUUCCCCUCUCAUGGCCUUUUGUCGUCUAGGGUGGACAUGGUAGGGCCAUUCAAGACCGCUCGAGGUGGCAUGACGCAUCUCCUGGUAGUCAUCGACAAGUUCUCCAAGUGGAUCGAGGCCAGGCCAAUCAAGAAGCUUAACGGUCCCACGCCCGUCAGGUGCAUCAAGGACAUCACCGUCCGCUACGGCAUCAUCACCGACAACGACACCAACUUCGCCGAAGGUGCAAUGGUGCUCUUUUGUGCCAAGGAGGGCAACCGGCUUGAUCUAGCAUCGGUCGCGCACCCACAGUCAAACAGCCAGACGGAAAGGGCAAACAGCCUAAUCUUGGCCGGCAUUAAGCCAAGACUCGUGGUGCCGCUCAUCAAGUCAGCUGGCAGCUAGAUCGAAGAGUUUCCGGCUGUGCUGUGGAGCCUCCGCACCACGCCGAACCGGUCAACCGGCUUCACGCCAUUCUUCCUCGUCUACGGGUCCGAGGCGGUCAUCCCCACGGAUGUCGAGUUCGACUCGCCUCGCAUCACCCUGUACACGAAGGCGAAUGCAAGAGAGGCAAGAGAAGACGACCUCGAUCUACUCAAGGAGGCACGAGAGCUGGCCCUAAGCCGAUCGGCCAUCUACCACCAGAAGCUGAGACACUACCACACCAAAAGGAUCACGCCCAUCUCUUUCCGUGAGGGGGACCUUGUACUUACAAGAAUCCAGUGAACGGCCGGCCAGCACAAGCUCUCUUCCCCAUGGGAGGGAGCCUUUAUCAUCAACAAGGUGUUGCACAACAAUGUGUGCUAUUUAAUAGACGCUCAGAAGCCGCAGAAACACAAGAGAGACGCCUCCGGCAAGGAAACAGAGCAUCCGUGGAACGCGACACUACUUCGCCCAUUAUACUCCUAGAACAAGAGAGAAAAAUGUGUACAUAUGUAUCCUUUACCCUUUUGGGAUUCCAUGAAUGCAUUGGGUGCAUCAAGCCAGCACUUGGGGCAUACCUUUAGGAUUUCCUAAAAUAGUUAUCAUUAUAAGAGUGAGUUCCCCAAUCCGACUCCUCGGGCUCGGGGGCUUUCUAGUUGGCCCGAACUAACUCCCUAGUCGUAGUCGAACAUAUGGUGCGUGUCGAGCCAAAACCCUUACCACCCCGUGCAAGCUACAGACCAGCUCUCGGCUGUCCGGCUAGUGGGAUUGUGGCGGAAGGCCGGCGGCAUACAAAAUUCGACUACGAAGGGGUCACCGGCUCGGGUUGGUCUAACCGCUUCAGGUCUUCAUUUCUACCCGGACUCUGCUAACUCACUCCGAGUCUAAGUAUCCUUGCGGGGCUGACACCCUUCAAGGCAGAAGCCUCGUCCCAGUCACAUACUGGCUCCCGGCUGUCGGACUGGCGGGCUGGAAGCUGGAAGGGGCAAGCUCUUGGGAAAAUGGAAGCCAAGGGGGGACAAAAGGCAGAAAAGCGAGUCACCAAGCACAACCUUCAUAGGCAUAAUUAAGGCAAACAAGCAUAUAUUACACAAGAAACAUGCAAAGGACACAGCCAAGGUUCAUUACAUUACACCCCGAGUGGGUGGAACUGUUUAGUUUAGAAAAAAACGCAGGAAUCAGAAAAAACUUCAGUCGGUGGUGGCUCCACCCUUUGCUUCGGCAUCGCUCGCGGCAGCCGAGGUGGAUGCUCCGUCGUCUACUCGGGCGCCUUCGGCAUUGCCCUUCGCGGCCGAGCCGCCAACUGCGGCGGAGUCAAGGUAGGCUUCAUGGCUGGAGCCGGCAUCCUUGAAAGCCAUCUCAUCAGAGCUGCCAUCGGGAUCAAAAAGGGCUAACUGGUAGUGACCCUCCGGGAUCGGACCUCCGUCAGCCCUUCGUUCCGUGGUGUACUCGUUCCAUGCAGGGAAGGACGCGAUGUCACUGGCUCGUACCUGCAGCUCAUCUUCGACGGCGACCAACUCCGCUUCCGUCGCGGCGUGCCGCACCGCGAGAAGGCCCAAGUCAAGGUUGCGAUACCAUGAUUUGGCAAGCCGAAGCGCCAUAUAAGCCCCGGCUCGUGUCGCCGACGCGCGCCAGGAGUCCAGCUGGGAUCUUCCUGCCUCGAGCCAUCGAGACAGCUGACUCAUCGUUGUCGUUCCACCGCGUCCGGCCAAAGGGCGUUUACCAUCACCAGUCUGGCAUCUCAGAGAUGGGCGAGGGACCGCGCCAGCUCCCGCAAAUGUGCCCUAGUGGCAAUGGUCAUCUCAUCUACGGUCCAGCCGGCGUUGGCAUUCACCUCGGCGCCUGUGACUCAUCGUUCUUCAUGAUGGGCCUCCACAGCCGCAUCCGCCGCCUCCCGCGUCCCAGGAAAGAGGUCUCGGGGCAAUGGCGGGGGUGUGGCGUGAGGAAAGAAAAAAAAGAGGAGUCAACAACAAAAAGACAAAAUAAGACAAUAAUGACUCAUUGUUGAGAAGGAUGUCGACCUCGCCCACCUCUUCUUCAAGCUCGCGGCCCCGCGUUGUGUACUCUUGGACCCGGCUGGCAAGCUCGUCCCGCGUGGUCUGUGCCGCCUCGACCUCCUUCUCCAGUUGGGUAUCCUUGUCCUUCAAGGAUGCAUCCUCCCACGACUUCUCAUCAAGGCGUAGCUUCUCCAACCGCUCCAGCUCGGUGGCAUGGGAGGCCUCCUUCUGUGAUAGAGCGUCGCGGUGGGCGGCGCGCAGCUGCUUUAGCUCCUCUUGAUGGGCCGCCUUGAGGUCCUUCUUCUAUGUCUAGAGAAGCUGUACCUCUGGGCACGGCCGGGCACCCUCAUCACGCAGGGCGUCAUGCUCUUGGACGACUCGGUCUAGUCGGCCCUGAAGGUCACCUAGUUGUCCCUCGGCCUCUUGGAGCCGGGUCAACAACGCAUUGUGAGCCUGCGCCUGGCCGUCGUGGUCCUCCUGCGACGCAAGAAAGCAAAGACGCUAAAAGAUUCGUGUCUAGAUGGAUGUGCCUGGCCGUGCGACAACUGGACGCUAGGCGCAUCCAUCGGCGCCUCUUGCACGGAGUCUAGCCCGAAGACGGGUGCGUCGGGCGCCGCGUCAGGUCUCUCCGGCGUGACGGCACACUCCGUCUCGACGUCCUUGGUGGUUUCGGUUGUGCUCGUGCCGGUGCGCGUCUGCUUGCCAGUCCACCCAUCAACGUCCCUCCGCGAGGCAGGUACGUGCCUCAUUUUGGACCGCCUCUCCUGGGUCGGCGGUUUCUGAUCAGGGUCGGCCGCUCGCUUCUCGGGGUGGUCCCGGCCUGCGGCUGCCUUUCGGGCCGCCUCCUCCCACGAACGGUGCUCUUCCUCGAGCAACACCUUCCUCGCUGCGUCCGCCUCGGCCUAGGCGGCCUGCUCCUUAGCGGAGGCAUCAUCCACCAUCGCCGUCUGGUCGGCCCUGCUUAUCGUAACCUGAUGAGUGAGGGUCUCCCACCAAAGAAACAAGAACAAAGCAAAGAAACGAAGGAUGUGGUUACCCACCCGACAACGACGGGAACCGUCCAUCUGCUGAUGCCGGCCGGGCCGACUCGCAACUUCUUCGAGCCACCACCACGGCCCCUAACGGGGGGUCCUGCCACGACACGCUUGGGAGCCGGCUUGACGGUAACAACUUGCUAGCCUUUCCGCUGCACUCCUUUGUCAUCCUCAGUCGGCUCAUGGGAGACUCAACUUUGUCAUCUCUGUGAAGGGCUGGAGACGUCCUCUAGCUCUUCCAGGUCUUCUGUGGCGACUGCACCGUGCAAUGGAGGUGAUUCCUCGUCAUCAUCGGUCCAGUCAAGCAGUCGAGACGCAAGAAACUCACCAGCCAACUCAGUUCCCUCCGACUCUGCCACUCCCUCGACCUCCUUGGAUCCCGCUGGUCGGGGCUUCACCUCGUCCACGUCUUCAAUCUCCUCGAGGUCCGACGCCUCCAGGUCGGUAGCCGGCUGGCGGUAGACUUGCGCACGUUCAAACACCUGGUGGAGUAGCCGGCGUUCGGCGUUAGAAGCCGAACGACAUCGAAAAUAAAAUAGAAAGCAUUAUCAUGAUGAAGCUUACCAUCGGGGCCGGAUGGUCCCAGUCAUAAGGGUCCAUGCCCAUUCUCACGCGCCGCCUUAAUCCAUGGAAGUAGAGGAGAUCAAGUUCACCCGCUCUACAACCUUGCCGACUCGUAGAUAUUUCAUCGAGAGCCAACAUGGGUCAUGUCGGCCGCUCAUCUAAUAGAUCAGAUGCGCUCGGUGCUGCAGAGGUAGAAUCCGGCGCGCCACCAUGGUGGCAAGUAGAUCCUCAGCCGAAAGGCCUCGGCUCUUGAGAAGCUCAGAAUGGGCACAUAUGAGCUUCACCUCUCCAAUCGGCUUUGGCAGGGUGCUCUUCCAAUUCAGCUUUGCCGUCGGCGGUGCGAUGGAGAAGGGCGGCAAGUUGAUGCAGUCAUUAAUGGGGUCAACGUUCUUCAUGUAGAAGAACCCCCACUGCCACUUCUUCAUUGAAUCCUGAAGAGGAAGCUUCAGAAAGCCAGAGGUGGUCCAGUGAUGAACAAGGGUGGCGCCAUAGUCAGUCAUCUUCUUGUUGCCGGCGGUCCCAUCCAGCACCUACUGUUGCUUGAAGAAAAAUAGUUGGUGCCACAGAUCAAAGCGCGGCUCGAUUCCAAGGAAACCCUCGCAGAGGGUAAUUGUAACCCGGCGGUCGUUACUCCUGGCGGGAUCUAGACUGGCCCCACAUAUCAAUACUAGUCUUUUCUGCGCACUUUGUCCUCACUCAUGCGCACACGGGAUGAACUUCCUGGUCGGUCAUCCAUCCUAGAUCUACUCCAAGCCGAGCACGCUUAACUUGAGAGUUCUGUUUGAAUGGGCUCCCGGAAAAGAAGGAAUUCCGUAUUGAUAUGAGUAGUCUAUCAUCCCUAAUAAGCUAGGCUAUCACAUACACCAGCACUCAGAGGAACCGACGUCCUUGUCGGGCCACAUGAGCGUUCCCUCUUGGUACAAACGUCUGUGCAUCCAGUCCAGUACAUGUACCAUGCCGUGUGCCACGACGGGUCACAAACGUCAUGAACAACAUGACCGCACACCUGUCCGCAAACAUCCGUGUAACCGCGAGGGUCGGCUCUGAUACCAAACUUAUAACGCCCCGGACACACCCGCCGGCGUUCGUUACUCCUGGCGGGAUCUAGACUGGCCCCACAUAUCAAUACUAGUCUUUUCUACGCACUUUGUCCUCACUCAUGCGCACCCGGGAUGAACUUCCCGGCCGAUCACCCAUCCUAGAUCUACUCCAAGCCGAGCAUGCUUACCUUGAGAGUUCUGUUUGAAUGGGCUCCCGGAAAAGAAGGAAUUCCUUAUUUAUAUGAGUAGUCUAUCAUCCCUAAUAAGCCAGGCUAUCACAGUAAAGAAGGCGGCCAACUAGAGAAUGCCGUUCGGCGUGAGAUGGUGCGGCUACAGGCCAAAGUGCACUAGAAAGCGGGAGAAGAGAUCACUCGCCUGCAACCCGAACCCGCGGGCAAAGUGCUCGGUGAAAACCACCGCCUCGCCAGCUCGCGGGACCGUAGAUCCCUCUCCCUUGGGGAUGCGCAAGGCGACGAGCUCCGCUGGAGGCAGCACGUGGUGGUGGCGGAGGAACUCGACGUGUCCCUCGCCAACGAUGCUGCCCUCCCAAGCACCUCGGGACUUCGCCUUCUUUGCGGCGGCUAGAGACAUGUCUGAGAUACGACGCGAAAUGUUGGACCUGCACGGAGCACCGCCGGUGAGGGCACGACCGGAUUCUCUUACUCUCUCUCACUUUGGGAGGGAAGGGGCGUCGGAACGAAGCAGUACAGGGUGAAUGGUCUCUUCGACCUCCCUGCUUGCCCAUUUAAACCACAGGCACAGUCAUGGGGAAGGGGAUCCACUAUGCACGAUCCCCAUUCUUCCCGUGCAAUGCGGAGGCGUUAAUGCGCCCCGGGAUGCCAACCGUCGCCCUGUAUCCACAGAAGAUCCCCACGCACAGGCCGAGGCCUCGGUGUGGCGGGCUCCACCAUGCAGGCCUGGUCCCUUCGCCUUGAGCCGACGGACCUUUCCUGCUUCGGGGACUACUGACGGGGGGAUAACCCCAGGGUAGGCUCACCAAGCCUACUCCUCCACACUUCAGUGUAAAGUGGGGCGACAGCUUCCUCAGUUGUCGGCUCCUCCUGGAUGGCUACAUGGCCUGCGCCUGCUAGGUGCGUUGCCGUCUACCCUGUGGUCGGAUGGCUAGCCACCAACCGGCUCGGGAGCACCCGUCGCAUCAAUCCAUAUGAUGUGACGGAGGCCUUCGAUUAAAGGAGAAAGUACCACAACUCGAGUAUGCUGGAAAGGAAUAUGCAUGGCUACAGUGAUGGCGGCCGUACCGCCGACCGAUGCCUGCUACGACCCAUCAACCGUGUAUAGUACCCACACGCCACCACCCACUCCAUUACCUGUCCCAGCGUGGCUACAGUGGAGGCGGCCGUACCGUUGACCAGCGCCGGAUCCCGCAAGACAACGACCAGCGUACCGCUCGUGCCCUGCAUGGGGAGCACGCACCAAUCCCGUGGGUUAGCCGGCGGGUCCCAGAACCUGAUGGGACCUCGUAGCCGGCGGGACCCACCAGCAACAAGACUGAUCAAUUGUGGGCCCACUGUCCGGCUGUAGAGGCUGCCAGCUGGGCCCCCCACAUUGUACGUUAUAUCCAUUUUGUAGGCCGGGGGGUUCGUCUAUAAAACCCCCUGGCCCUCCUCCAUGUAGAGGGUCGGCCAUUCUUACGCACCCACACACUCAUACAGGAGAGGUAGAUCGUGAGAUGGCUGCUCGAUCUUCCUCCUCCGUCGAAUAGCUCAAGGAGCACAUUGUAGUUCUCUUGGUUCAUCAACCAGUCCGACAGGACUAGGGGUAUUAUCUCCCACGGAGAGCCCCGUACUUGGGUACAUCGUGUGUCUUGCAUUGCUAGUUACCAAUCUCGUUCCCGGAGCCCGCCGAUGUCACUUCGGUCCCAACCACUCUCGAUAAGCCUACCCAUGGCAUCUGUUGUGAGAAAACAACGACAAACCGAGGCAAAGGUUCUCGUCCCAUUCUUGUAAAGUGGGGAAUAAGUACGAGUACCUCUAGCCACUUCCUUUUUGGAAUUGGCCUACGACUCCGAUGUGGUGGGUUUAGCCACAAGCAACGGUUCGAGAGAAUUCUUCAUCCCCUCAAGUAAUUCUUUAAGCAUGUACUUGACUUCAAUCAUCAUGGACGUCUUGAGCGACGACAUGACCUCAUACAAGUCAUCACGUGUGAUCGAGCUCAACUCCACGGCCCCGAGCACUUCAUGCCCACUCCCACCAUCGUCAACCAUACUCUUCGGGUGUUGAAAUCCUUAAUAAAGAGACGUGGCUCUGAUACCAAAUAAAAGGAUCGAUAUGGUUGACUAGAGGGGGGUGAAUAGGCAACUACCAUUUUUUAGCUCUUCUUAACAAAUUAGGGUUAGCAACAAAAGGUUCUCUAGAUAAACAGCUAGGUGAGCAACCUAUAUGAUGCUAACAACAACAACAACUAAUGCAAGCGAGGUAUACACCAUAACAAUAGUAAGGACAAAGUAAAGGUAAGAGAUAACCACAAGUGGAACUGGUGGAGACGAGGAUGUGUUACCGAAGUUCCUUCCAUUUGACAUGAAGUACGUCUCCAUUGGAGGGGUGUGGAGGCACAAUGCUCCCCAAGCCACUAGGGCCACUGUAUUCUCCUCACGCACUCACACAAUGCGAGAUGUUGUGAUUCCACUAGUGGUGUCCUUGAAGGCGACGACCGAACCUUUACAAACAAGGUUGGGUAAAUCUCCACACAAAGCUUGGAGGCUCCCAACAAGACCACGAAGCUUCACCACAAUGGAAGGUGGCUCCGAGGUGACCUCAACCGUCUAGGCUGCUCAAACACACAAGAGUAACAAGAUCCACAAGGGAUUAGUGGGGGGAAUCAAAUAUCUCUUGGUGGAAGUGUAGAUCAGGGCCUUCUCAGCCAAUACCUAUAAAAUCAACAAGUUUGAUUGGCUAGGGAGAGAGAUCGGGCAAAAUGAGCUUUGGAGCAACAAUGGAGCUUGGGGAGGUAAGGGGUAACCUUCUUGGGGAAGAAGACCCCUUUAUAUAGUGGGGAAAAAAAAUCUAACCGUAACCCCCACUCACAGCCCGAGCAGAGCGGUACCACCGCUGCUAGGAGCGAGUCUACCGCUCCUAGGAGCGGUACUACCGCAUGGUAGGUUCACCAACCAUGGUAGUAAAAAAUUACUUCCAUGCCUACCACCGUGGAGGCUGCGGUUGUGCAAAAGUCCGUGAGAGCGGUAUUAGAAAAAACUACUACCGCUGGUACUUUGCACAGACAGGGUGAAACAAGUUGGAGCUCCAUUGAAGCAAGAGAAAGGUGGUGCAAUAAAAUUGUGUACGUGUUGAUUCCACCCUAAACUUUCCUAAGCGGGCCCCCUCUUAAUAGUACGGCUUUCCUAUGACUCAAAUCCACCAAAGAGAAACGUAGAAUGCAACCAUCUUUGAUAGACUCCGAGGGGCACCGAAUCGUCUUGUCCCUAGUCAUGAAUUAUCUGAAAUGCCCAAUGCACACGAUUAGUCCGCAUAGGCAUUUUCAUCAAUCACCAAAACCACUCAGGGAGAAAUAUGCCCUAACAAGAAGUCUAAUCACCCCCUCCCUCUAGACAUACUUCGGAUCCUACAAGUGAUAUCAAAGCUUUCGUCUCCUUUGCAUUGGUUUCACAACUAGGAGAGUAUGGCGUCUAGUGAGAGAAAUUACCAUCGUAGAGGUCCAUACUUUGAUGGUACAAACUUCACUAGUUGGAAGCAUAAUAUGAAAAUGCAUAUUCUUGGUCAUAACCCCGUCGCUUGGGGUGUUGUUCGUGUUGGUUUUAGAGGUGAAUUAGUUUGUGAUGGAAGGGUACCAGAUCGUGAUGCAACUACGGAAGAAUUUAAGAUGUUGCAAUACAAUGCUCAAGCAUGCGACAUUCUAUUCAACUGCCUAUGCCGUGAAGAGUUCAAGAAGAUUAGUCGUCUUGAGAAUGCCAAGGAAAUUUGGGACACUUUGGUUGAUAUGCACGAAGGUACCGAAUCCUUCUGGGAAUCUAAGUUGGAUGAGGUACAAAGUCAGCUUGACAAGUUCAAUAUAAAGGAUGAUGAAGGAGUCGAUGAGAUGUACUCUAGUCUUGCUCUCAUCAAAAAUGAGAUUGUCGGCUUAGGAAGCGAAGAGAUGACCAACAAAUUCAUCAUCAAGAAUAUACUUAGACCCUUGGAUGGAAAGUACAACACCGUGUGCACCUUGAUCAAUGAUGCCAAAAUACAAAGAUCUCAAGCCAACGGAAGUCAUUGGAAGGAUUGUUGCUCAUGAAAUGUCACUCAAGGACAAAGAAAAGCUUCAUAACAAGUCAAGAGGUGCUUAUGAAGCUUCAAGUGAUACUCCCGCUACUUCAAAUGACAACCUUGUCACCAAUGAAGAGAUAAGCCUCAUGGUCAAGAAAUUCAACAAGUUCUACAAGAGUAGAGGCAAAGAGAGAAGAUCCAAUUCAAGAUAUGAAGAGAAGAGUCCAUCUAGUCGUGACCGAAAUUGCUACAAUUGUGGAAGGCUCGGACACUACUCCAAUGAGUGCUCACCCCCACCCAAAGAAUAGAAUAGUCAUCUAGAAGAUGAAUCUCAAGAGACGAGUCACCUCAAAGAGAGAGAAUGAGUAGAGAAGAUUGUUAUGAACGGAGACCCUCUCGGAGAAGCAAGGAAUCGGAGAAGAGGGACAAGUACACCAAGAGACACUCAAUAAGAAAACAUUAAGCUCAUGUUGGUGAAUGAGUAUCCGGCAUCGAGUCCGACAACCAAUCCGAGGGAAGCUACCACUCCAACCCUGACUAUAGUCAAGAUGAAGGUGUUGUCGGUCUUGCACUCAUAUCCUCCAGCUCCUAUGACAUAUUUUAUUCACAAAAUGAAGGGAUUGUAAACUGCUUCAUGGCUAAAGGCCCCAAGUUAUCACACCCCGAGUACUUUGACUUUAAUAGUGACGAGGAUGACUUACUUGGAGAUGAUGACUUACUUGGAAAUGAUGACUUGUUCUUUGAUAAAACUAGUGAUAGAAAUGAAAAUGAACUUGAUAAUAAUCAUGCUAGUCAAGAUAAGUCGUGUGAUGAUGAUAAGAAGGAGAUUGAACGUCUAACUAAAGAAUUAAACACUCUUAAGUUAGCCCAUGAAUCUACUCUAGAAGAUCAUAGAGAUCUUGCAAGAGCUCAUGAGAAGCUACGCUUUGAGAAGAUAAAUCUAGAGCAAGAGCAUGAGUUUCUAAAAGAAAUCAAUGAUGAUCUUCAAAAGAAGAGUUAUUCUUAUCUAGACAAAUGAUUACUCUUGCCUACUUUUGUUCCAUAAGUUAAAUCUAAGCAAACUAGUAACAAAGGCAAGAAAGUAUCUUCAUCUAGUAACAACAACACUAAUGCUAAAUCUAAUGAUAGUGUUGCUAGUAGCUCUCUUGAUUCCACUAAUAAUUCUCUUAGCCAAGUUACACUUUUGCAAGAAAACGACUUAUUGAAACGAAUUAUAGGGAGAGUUGUCUUCAAGAGUCUUGUCGGAAGUAAGAAAUUCGAGGAGAUUGUACGCAAGCAAGGAGGACAUCAGAAGAAACAAGGCAUUGGGCACUUCAAUGCCAAUGGAGUUGAAUGGGAAGAAGGUCAAUACCCCAACCCUAAGUUUGUUCCCCAAAAGGAGACGUAUGACCCUACUCUUCCCAAGGGAAGAAAUGCUCGAGAUGACCUUCCACCACAAUACCACAAGCUCAAGGGGAAGGACAAGCUUUAAAGAGGAGAUUCACUCAUUUGAAGAAGAAUCCCAAGCCAUGGUAAAGUGGAUUCCCUAGGCCACCACUAGCUCUACUUCGUCAAGUGCUACCUCAACUCCAAGGAUCCUCAUCAAGUUGAUGUGGGUCCAUAAGAUGAAGAACUGGAGAAGUUCUUGAGGGUGGCUCCGCCAAUGGAAUUCACUCUUAUUCAGUUUGGCAAGAACUAGUGGCAAUCAACUCCAACCAUAUUCAUUAGUUCAAGGAGUCACACAUUCCCUCAAAGGUAAGCAGGGGACAAGGUAAUUAAUGUAUCAAUCGGCAUCAUCUCAUAUGUACUUCACUCCAUGUCCAUAGAUAUCCUUGUAUUUGUUCCUUGUGUGUUACUAACCCAUGUAGGUGAGAAGAGCAAGUAACAACAAGGAUUACUCCCAACUCAACAUGAUCUUCAUCAACAAUGAGCAUCCACCACUACUACAUCUACAUGAAGUCUUCUACAAUAAAACCCAAGGUUAGCUUAUCAUUCUUAGGGGGAUGUCACAUCAAGGGGGAGCUUUACUAUAAGACUUGAGUUAAAGCAUCUCUUAAGGUGUGAACACAUUGAAAGCUUUAUGUAAAAGUGGCAACCCCACUUGUGCUUAAACGAUGAGUAUGACAUAUGAUGAAGUAUUCUUGCUUGGCUCCUAAGUCAAUAUUCUCAUAUAUAGAUGACUUUGUCAUCGACGAAGUGCUUGGUAGAUAGUACAGUGGUUGUGCAUGGUUGCCAUGUUUUAUUUGACAUAUUAUUGUGUGAGCAUGUUGGUAUGCACAUUUUUUCUCAUUCAAGGAUAUCCAAUUGUUGUUAUUUGGAUUUUCAUUUUCUUUGGUCAAUUUGAUAUACAAGAAUACCUAUGUACCCCUCUUAAGCUAUUUGUGCUUUCUCGUCCCAAAUUCUAUUCAUCCUACAUCACAAAAUUUCAGCAAGCCCUUUAGGGACCUUUCGUGGUUUUGUCACGGCAGAUGUCCUCGUGAAAGGAGUUAAUGGUGAGGCCAUUGUCGUGGUGUGGUGACUCAAAGAGGUUGAUUGGGAAACAAGAAGAGGAUUUACCCAGGUUCGGCCCCUCCGAUGGAGGUAAAAGCCUACGUCAUGCUUGCUAUUUGUAUUGAUGGGAUCUCGAUUACAAGGGUGCAGAAUUGCUAAUCUAGCUCUUGAGAGUAUAUUACUUGUUAUUUCUAUCUUGGACGUUACCCAUUAUAUAUAGGUAGAGGCCCCAAACUUACAACAGAGUCCGGGUCGAAUAACACCCAUGUCCUGCUACAAAUCUACCUGAACUCUCCUCCCAAGUUAGGAAAGCAUCUGGCGCCUCUUGUCUUAGGCCUCUUUGAAUCGCCGUGUUCUAGUGAUGGGCCGCUUUGUGGUCGGUUGGCUAAGUCCUUUGGUCCAUCUUCUCAUGUUGAACUUGCAGCUUCAUCCGCCCCCAUAGGGCGGGUUAAAUCUUGGCGUCAUAUCCCCGACAUUAGGCCCGGAUUGACUUGAACUUGUUCACAUCAAGCUAUUUUCAACAACCAAAUGAGCCGACGACAAAUGAUGGGUCAUUGUCUCUUCUUAGAGACCUGUCAUCCUUUUAAUUUUUAUCGUUGUGACAUAACCAAGCUGACUGUUGUUGUCUUAAUUCAUCAUAACUGGUCCUGCAUGCAUCCUUAUCCCGGAAACAGAGGCGUCGUCCCAUCAAUGUUUUUACUGCGGCUCCUCUAUUCCCGCGCCUUGCAGCUGUCUCUUCGGGUAUUAUAAAAUGGAUGAAAACCUUUCUUUUUCACCUUUAUCUUCUCACCCCUUCUUCUUCCUCCAGCCCGAGCUCCCAACUGCACCAUUGCCAUCGUUUUGCCUUUGACAACCGUUCACCAUUUUUUUUCUGGAAAACUGUAAGGGAAACCCCCCACAGCGAGUUUUUUUUAAAUAACAAGAACCCAAAUUCGCAUCCAUGGGGACUUGAACCUGGGUGGCCGGGUUGUACAUCCACUCCACUUGCCAAGUGAGCUAGGCUCACUGCCUACAACCGUUCACCAUUGUUACGAUCCCUUGCUGCUUCCUGGUUUCACUCGGGCUGCCUUGACAUCUUCGUUGAUUGACAAGGUAUGUUACUCCCUUUUUUACGUAAGUUCCUUGUCUAAAUUAUCUCGGGGUUCACCAGAGACCUCGAGGAAUCUUCUGUUAGUUCAUCAACACUCCUACUUUUUCAUGCUUCAAAACCUUCGUUUCUAUCGUAAAAGGAUAAUAAUAAUCAAUAGUUUCUUCUUCCUGGCAGUACAGUUCAGUUUCUCCCCAAAGCCUUUGUGAUAUAGAUCGACUGCCCAUGUGAUGCCUCUAGGUUUUAAUAAUUUUCCUUUUCCAAAUCCUUUCUAGAUCAAUGAUUGUCACAAAGUUUGGUGGAACUUAUUUGUCUUAUAUUCCAUAGAGCCUUUUGCUACAUCUUGAACUUGCGUUGAUUUUUCCCUUGAAGAGGAAAGGGUGAUGCAGCACAGUAGCAGUAAGUAUUUCCCUCAGUUUGAGAACCAAGGUAUCAAUCGAGUAGGAGUAUCAAGGCAAAUCACCAAUGUACCUGCGCAAAAACAAACAAACUUGCACCCAACGCUAUAAAGGGGUUGUCAAUCCCUUCACGAUUAAUUGCAAGGUGAGAUCUGAAGGUGAAAAGCGAAACAAAGUAAAAGUGUAGAGCUGAAAAUAUGAUGUGAAGUAGACCCGGGGGCCAUAGUGUUCACUAGAGGCUUCUCUCAUGAUAGCAAGUAUUACGGUGGGUGAACGAAUUACUGUCGAGCAAUUGAUAGAACCGCGCAAAGUCAUGAUGAUAUCUAAGGCAAUGAUCAUACAUAUAGGCAUCAGGUCCGAGACAAGUAGACCGAUACUGUCUGCAUCUACUACUAUUACUCCACACAUCAACCGCUAUCCAGCAUGCAUCUAGUGUAUUGAGUUCAUAACAAACAGAGUAACACCUUAAGCAAUAUGACAUGAUGUAGAGGGAUAAAUUCAUGCAAUAGAUAUAAACCCCAUCUUUUGACCCUUGAUGGCAACAACAUGAUGCGUGCCUCGCUACCCCUUCUGUCACUGGAUGAGGACACCGCACGGUAUGAACCCAAAACCAAGCACUUCUCCCAUUGCAAUAAUUAUAGAUCAAGUUGGCCAAACGAAACCCACAACUUGAAGAGAAUUACAAGGAUACAAAAUCAUGCAUAUAAGAUAUCAGAGGAAACUCAAAUAACAUUCAUAUAUAAUCUGAUCAUAAAUCCACAAUUCAUCGGAUCUCGACAAACACACCGCAAAAGAAGAUUACAUCGGAUAGAUCUCCAUGAAGAUCAUGGAGGACUUUGUAUUGAAGAUCCAAGAGAGAGAAGAAGCCAUCUAGCUACUAGCUAUGGACCCGAAGGUCUGUGGUGAACUACUCACGCAUCAUCGGAGAGGCAAUGGUGUUGAUGAAGAAGCCCUCUGUGUCCGAAUCCCCCCUCCGGCAGGGCACCAACACAUGCCCCAGAUGGGAUCUUACGGAGACAGAAGCUUGUGGCGGCUAGAAAAGUAUUUUCGUGGCUCUCCCUAGCAGUUUCAGAUUUUUGGAGAAUUUAUAGGCGGAAGAAGUAGGGCAAAGGAGCCACGGGUGGCCCCACAAGACUGGUAGGCGUGCCCCCCAGGCCGCGGCUAGGAGGCUUGUGGCCUCCCCCGGAGUUCUUUGCCUUGGUUCUCAAGUUCCCUGCGUAUCUUCUGUUUGGACUCCGUUUAAUAUUCUUCUCUGAGAAGGGUCAAAAACACGGAAAAAACAGGAAGUGGCACUUAGCACUGAGUUAAUAGAUUAGUCCCCAAAACGAUAUAAAAUAGCAUAAUCAUGCAUACAAAACAUCCAAAGUUGACAAGAUAAUAGCAUGGAACCAUCAAAAAUUAUAGAUACGUUGGAGACGUAUCAAGCAUCCCCAAGCUUAACUCCUGCUCGUCCUCGAGCAGGGAAGUGAUAAAGACUGAAUUUUUGAUGUGGAAUGCUACCUAACAUAUUUGUCCUUCGUAACUUCUUUCUUGUGGCAUGAAUGUUCAGAUCCGUAAGAUUCAAAACAAUAGUUUUCCAUUGACAUGAAAACAAUAAUACAUCAAGCAAACUAGCAAGGUAAUCAUGAACUUUUGAAAUAACAAGGCCAAAGAAAGUUAUCCCUACAAAAUCAUAUAGUCUUACUAUGCUCCAUCAUCCCCACACAAUGAAUUUAAAUCAUGCACAACCCCGGUAUUGGCCAAGUAAUUGUUUUCGCACUCUUACUUUCUCAAACCUUUUCAACUCUCACGCAAUACAUGAGCAUGAGCCAUGGAUAUAGCACUAUAGGUGGAAUAGAGUGUGGUGGAGGUUGUGAGGCAAAAAGGAGGAGAUGGUCACAUUGACUCGGUGUUGGGGAUAUUACCUGUGAAUGACCCGCCCUAGUUGGGCCGGGUUAUUCGUUAGGCGAUUCACCCAAACAAUUAUUUGGGCCUUGUUGUGGCCGAAUCAAGGUCGUAUGACAGUUUAUAACUCCUGGAGGGUCUCCAAGCUUCGGAAGGUGGCGACUUAGAGACUACAGGGGUCACGAUUUGUAGGAAGGAAAGUAUCCUUGUAAACCCUAGGGAUUCGACCUGUAUAUAAAGGCGAGUCCAAGGGGACGAAAGGGCAGGUUAGAAAUCAUCCAGUGCUAGGUUCGGCGAGUUACGCCCUCCUUGUAAUCGAAACCAUAUCAAUACACACCAAAGCAGGACAUAGGCUUUUACCUCCUCACGAGGGGUCGAACCUAGGUAAAUCGCCGUGUCUCUCCUGCUUAACUCCUUUGAGUCGCCACCAAGGUGCGAUGGCUUCAGUACUAAGUCCUUUCACGAGGACAUCUGUCGUGACAAAACGACGACAGUUGGCGCCCACCGUGGGGCCUACGCACGGUGGAGUUGAGUUCUCAAAGGGAGCCCUACCAGGGUUUGGGAGUUACGCGACGGGACUCAUGACUCGGAGCCGCCGCGGGAUAAUCUACAUCGACAACCAGCAGUGGGGGCCUGAAGCGGAUUCAAUUGAAUCUGGUUACAGGGUCCCCUUCGGCAAGAUCAACGUCUUCAUCGGCAUGAUUGGAUCAUCCACGCCUGAGCCGGAAACUUCCACCGACAUCGUCGAGCUGGCCAGGUACGCCCGCCCAGUGAUAACACCAAAUCUGACUCGCCCGGUCUUUGUGGGUUUCACGCAGGGAUCGGAGGAGCUAGAGCGCUCGGCGACUCAGGAAACUACACCGGUCAACUUUGAUGACGAGUCAUCCAUGGGCGACUCAUAUUCAAUCCGGUCUGUCUUUAUGGGGAUUGUCUCGGGGGCUUGUCGCUGGCCAUGGACACAGAAAUCCUUGACCGAACCAGCCGCCAGAUCGCCAUCUACAUGGCAGGGGCGACUCAACCCACACAAAACCCUACUAGAGGCGAGGGAACCGGCGAGACGUCCAUGAGCCCGGCCGCAGUCCUGGUGGAUUUAGCGGCGGAGAUCACAAGGCUAAUGGCGACUCCCCUCACACCAGAGAACCAAGAGGAGAUAAACACGGAGCUGGUGAAAUUCAGGGAGGCGGUGGCAAAGGCCCAUCGGGACGCCGAGAUGGAGUCCGCCAGGAUCGAGACUCGCCAAGCUCAAAUUACGGCCGAAAGGAUGCGUUUAAACAUUGACAAUUGGCGGCUCGAGAGACAGCAGCGCGCGUCCGACGCCGUCCAUCAGCGGAGACACCAGGGUCGCCAGCCCCAUGACCUCAACCCGACCCGCCUGUUCGAUACUCCACGAACCCCUGGGACGGGAGACGCCCCGGCAGGAGGACCGGGCCGCCCACCUAAGCCGUCGGCUCAGCCGGUUGAGAAUCACAUUCCCCAUUUCCGGACGCCUCAAGGCCAGUUUUCCAACCCGGUGGAUAACGUGCUUGCCUCAACUUGCCAUGUGGAGUCUCUUCCNNNNNNNNNNNNNNNNNNNNNNNNNNNNNNNNNNNNNNNNNNNNNNNNNNNNNNNNNNNNNNNNNNNNNNNNNNNNNNNNNNNNNNNNNNNNNNNNNNNNNNNNNNNNNNNNNNNNNNNNNNNNNNNNNNNNNNNNNNNNNNNNNNNNNNNNNNUCCGAUUCACGGCAACACCCCAGCCGAGAUAGAAGCAAGAAACGCCAUCGGGAUGUUGAAGACGGCGAUGGUUCAAAACGCCCAGUUCUCACAUAGCCUCGAGAGGUUGCAUUCCACCCCUCAGGCAAGUUAUACCAGGAGCAGGCCAGAGGACCAACCCACCGUAAACAGCGGGCCGCGACACGUCCCACAGGAUAACCCGCCUGAACGGAACCCGCCAGGCCGGGACCUCCCGAACAUCCAAGACGCCCCGGCCCCCCUCGUCGGGGGCGGAGGGCGAGUUGGGGUACCAUGCUUGUCCCCGGCCCUUCGGAACAAAAAAAAUGCCCAAAUACUUCAAGGGACCAAGGAAAGUUCCUAAUUAUACACCAGACCUCGAGCCGGCGUCGUGGAUCGAGAGUUAUGAAAUCGCCAUGGACAUGCUCGAUGUAAACGAGGCGGUUUGCGCCAGAUACUUCACGAUGAUGCUCGAGGGGUCGGCUCGCACUUGGUUGAAAAACUUGCCUCCCAAUUCCAUCCAGUCCUGGGCCGAGUUAAAAGAGCGCUUCAUCAAAAACUUCCAAGGAACUUGCAAAUGUCCGAUGAUGAUCGUCGAUCUACAACACUGUGUUCAGCGCCCGAACGAGUCGGCCCACCACUAGUCACGGCGGGUUGCAGAAAUUAUUCAUUCGUCAGAUGGUAUUACGGCGGCUCAAGCUGUGCUCAUCCUCGAGCACAAUUGCCAUUACGAACCCUUGGUGCAAAAAUUAGGGCGACUCAAACGAAAGGUUCAAGACAUGGGCGAGCUGAUGGAUACCCUCACUAGAUAUGCUGAGGCCGAUGAUACCAAAGAUCCUGGCGAGGAUGGUAAGGCUAAUUCGCCUAAGAAGGGCGUGUCAACCAAAAAUCAUGCCCGGUUCCAGGGGCGUAACCUUCACAAUCAAGGGACCAAUGGCAAGCAGAGACCACAGGAGGAGCCCUCGGACUUAGUCGCCAAUACCAACGCUAACAACGGCAAGAAGAAGAAUCGGGGGUUCAACGAGAAGAGGCCGCGCAACUAUGAAGAGCUACUCAAAGGCCCCUGUCCGCACCACGCCACGAUGGACGGCCCGGCGACUCACUCUUGGGAAAAUUGCUUCGUGAUGCGAGAGUUUCGGGCGGAGGCGAUCAAGAAGAGUCAAAACGAUGACCCGGACCAGCGCCAAGAGCAAUUCGCCGCACCCAACCAAAGACAGAACCCCUUCGACAGCUUUCCCGAACAGGGGGCUCAGGGAGGCCCGCAGCCAGGCGGCGGCCAAUACCCGGUACACCACCAGCGGCGGUAUAACCCGCCACGAGCUUUCCAGCAGCCACCCCUGCAGGCGGCUCCGCAGGGCCAAGACGAUAAUGGGGGCUUCCGCAGCAACCCCAAACAGCUAAGUAAUGGGCAAUAUCAUGUUUUCACCACUAAUGCUUGCAGGCGUGAUAAGAAGGUGAGUCACCGGGCAUACAGUGUAUCCGAACCGGCGAUUCCUAGAUACCUCCAUUGGUCUGAGCAGACCAUAACGUGGAGCAGGGAGGACCACCCGCCGAGAGUUGAUAACCCGGGCGACCUGGCGUUGGUCGUGGCUCCCCAAGUUGGGGGUUACACCCUAUCAAAAGUACUAAUGGACGGUGGCAGCAACAUCAAUAUCCUAUACUUUGACACUUUCCAAAGGAUGAAUCUAUUAGAGAGAGACUUGAUGCCUUCAACCACGGUUUUCCAUGGGAUUGUCCCAGGCAAGUCGGCUUAUCCCAUAGGCCGGGUCAGGCUCACUGUGGCGUUUGGAACAGCGCAGAGUUAUAGGUCGGAGUCGCUAAUCUUCGAGGUGGUCAAAUUGAAAAGUCCCUAUCAUGCGCUGUUUGGGCGGCCGGCUUACGCCCGCUUCAUGGCUCGCCCGUGCUAUGUCUACCUCAAGCUCAAAAUGCCUGGUCCCAAAGGACCCAUCACGUUUGAUGGAGAUAGAAGGAUCGCAAAGGAAUGUGAAGAAGGGGACGCGACUUAUGCGGAAGUCGCCUGCGCUGCGGAAGAGCUCAAACACCAUCGGGCCAAUGUUGACCCGGCGGAUAUGUCGCCCCUGAAGAAACCGACUACAGACUCUGAGUCGCCCCUCAAGUUCAAACCGACGGAUGACACUAAGACAGUCGAUUUCGUGCCUGGCGAUUCAUCCAAGCAGUUCACCAUUGGGACAGGUCUGGACCCCAAAUAGGAAAGUGCGCUCAUCGAAUUCAUCCAUGAGAAUCGGGACAUCUUCGCAUGGAAACCUUCUGACAUGCCUGGUGUACCGAGAGAAUUUGCUGAGCACCAUCUUAAUGUUGACCCAAAGUGCAAACCCAUCCAGCAGUACCUUCGCAGAUUUAAUGAGGAGCGGCGCAAGGCGAUUGGGGAAGAAGUCGCCCAUCUGCUAGCCGCUGGGUUCAUCGUGGAAGUUUUUCACCCCAAAUGGCUGGCUAACCCGGUUUUGGUACUCAAUAAGAAUGGUACCUUUCGUAUGUGCAUUGACUACACAGUCCUCAACAGAGCUUGUCCAAAAGACCCCUUCGCUCUUCCCCGCAUCGACCAAAUCAUUGACUCGGUGGCGGGAUGCGAACGAUUGUGCUUUCUGGACGCCUAUUCAAGAUAUCACAAAAUCAAGAUGGCCGUGGAAGAUCAGGAGAAGACGGCCUUCAUAACCCCCUUCGGGGCCUUUUGUUAUGUGUCCAUGCCCUUUGGACUCAAGAGUGCGGGGGCGACUUAUCAACGUUGCAUCCAGAAUUGCCUCCGUAACCAAAUUGGUCGCAACGUCCAUGCCUAUGUCGACAAUAUUGUGAUCAAGACCCGCCAGGGGGAGACGCUACUGGAAGAUCUCAAGGAAACAUUCGAUAAUCUACGGGUAUAUCAGAUGAAACUAAAUCCUACCAAGUGUGUUUUUGGUGUGCCUGCAGGGAAAUUGCUGGGUUUCCUGGUAUCAGAAUGUGGCAUCGAAGCUAACCCGGACAAGAUCGAAGCGGUUACAUCCCUUGGAAAGCCGGCGAACGUUAAUCAAGUUCAACGACUGGCUGGUCGCAUUGCGACCUUAAGUCGUUUUGUGAGUCGCCUGGGGGAGAAGGCGAUCCCUCUUUAUCAAUUAUUGAGGAAAUCUGAUCGAUUUGUUUGGACAAAUGAGGCAGACGAGGCACUCGAGGCCCUGAAACGCCAAUUGGUUAACCCGCCGGUCCUGGCAGCCCCAACUGAAAAGGAGCCCAUGCUUCUGUAUAUCGCGGCAAAUUCUAAAAGCAGUAAGUGUGGCAGUGGUCGUCGAGAGAAAGGAAGAAGGGAAGGAAUACCCAGUGCAACGCCCAAUAUAUUUUAUCAACGAGGUGCUCACUCUUUCUAAGCAGCGGUACCCACAUUGGAAGAAGUUGGUAUAUGGGGUGUUUAUGGCGAGUCGAAAACUUAAGCAUUAUUUCCAAGAACACCCUAUCAUAGUGGUUAGCUCUGCCCCCCUUGGGGACAUCAUCCAGAAUCGGGAGGCAACAGGGCGAAUCGCCAAGUGGGCAAUAGAGCUUGGGCCUCAUCACAUACAAUAUACUCCCCGCACGGCCAUCAAGUCCCAGGCAUUAGUUGAUUUCGUCAAUGACUGGACAGAGCUGCAGGCUCCGGAGGACCGGCCUGAUCUCACUUACUGGACUAUUUACUUUGAUGGAUCUAGGCAGCUGGAAGGCUCGAGGGCUGGUGUGGUGUUGGUAUCCCCUCAAGGAGAUAAGUUCUGUUACGUUCUCCGGCUCAUGUUUCCGUGCACUAACUAUGCGGCGGAAUACGAAGCUUUGCUUCACGGCUUGCGACUCGCCAAGGAGAUGAAUCUAACACGAGUCAGAUGUUUUGGCGACUCCGAUUUGGUGGCACAACAAGUUUUGGGUACCUGGGAUUCUCGGGACCCCAUGAUGGCGGCUUACAGGCGAGCCGUGUCUAAUGUGGCGGGUCAUUUUCAUGGUUAUCAGGUGGACCAUAGUGAUCGGCGCCUUAACGAGGCAGCUGACCCUCUCGCGACUUGGCUCCCAGAGAAAGCCGGUUCCUCCUAAUGUUUUUCUGGAUAUCUUACAUAAACCAUCAGUGAUUCUACCAUCGGAGGAGGAAUUGGCAAUACCAGAUCCUGAGUCUCAGCUCGUGGCGGCUCUUCAUGUCACUCCGGAUUGGGUUGUUCCUUAUCUGGCUUAUCUCUCUCGGGGCGAGUUACCGGCAGACGAAGUCUUGGCUCGUCAAAUCGUUCGGCGUAGCAAAUCCAUGGUCAUCAUCAAUGGCGAGUUAUAUAAACGGAGCGCCUCUGGAGUUUUUCAGCAAUGUGUUUCCUCCGAAGAAGGAUGCAUAAUAUUAAAUGACAUCCAUUCCGGAGAUUGUGGGCAUCACGCCAGGUCACGUUCUUUGGUAUCAAAGGCUUUUCUCAUGGUUUCUUUUGGCUAACGGCCCAUGCAGAUGCAGAAGACAUAGUUCGUCGGUGCGAAGGGUGCCAACGUUAUGGGCGGCAGGCUCAUGGGCCGGCUCAAGAAUUAAGAAUGAUCCCCAUCACUUGGCCUUUUGCAGUCUGGGGGCUGGACAUGGUCGGCCCUUUCAAAAUGUCCUUUAAUAAGAAGACCCACCUGCUGGUGGCGGUUGAUAAAUUCACCAAGUGGGUUGAGGCGGAACCUAUUGGAGCUUGCGAUGCGGAAACUGCGGUCAAAUUCUUGAAGAAGUUGAUUUUCCGGUUUGGAUAUCCGCACAGUAUCAUUACUGAUAAUGGUACUAACUUGUCCCAAGGGGCGAUGCAGGAGUUUUGUCGUCGAGAGCAUAUCCGACUUGACGUUUCUGCAGUCGCUCACCCACAAUCUAAUGGGAAGGCAGAGCGGGCGAAUCAGGAAGUUUUGCGAGGGAUUAAGCCCCGAAUCAUGGUUCCCCUGGAAAAGACCCCAGGAUGUUGGGUUGAAGAACUACCUUCAGUGCUGUGGAGUAUUCGGACCACCCCGAACCGAUCCACGGGUUUCACCCCCUUCUUUCUGGUCUACGGAGCAGAGGCCGUUCUUCCUACGGACAUAAGGCAUGACUCGCUUAGAGUCGCCGCAUAUGUGGAACAAGACAAUGAGCUGGCGCGUCAAGACUCUUUGGACGCCUUAGAGGAGAUACGUGACCUGGCUGCAGCCCGUUCAACUAUCUACCAGCAGGAUCUGCGGCGUUAUCACAUCCGCCGGGUUAAAAGUUGGACCUUUCAGGAAGGCGACUUGGUUCUUCGGUUGAUACAAGAUCGUGCAGGCAUGCACAAGUUGUCACCAUCUUGGGAAGGGCCGUUCGUCGUCAGCAAGAACCUCCGCAACGGCUCCUAUUAUUUGGUGGAUCUUCGGCCUGAUCGGCCAACCACGGAGGCCGAGUCAACUCGCCCCUGGAAUAUUGCCCAUCUGCGGCCUUAUUACACUUGAGCUCUUAAGCUCUACAUUUUGUAAGUUUUCCAGUUUCAUUAUGAAGUAAUAAAGUUACAAAUACUCCCUGACUUGGGGGCUUCUUCAUUAAAAAGCAUUUGUGUCAUCCUGUUGCGACCUUAUGAGCCGACAGAAUCAUGCAUUUAGGGUGUGUGCUCGAGCUUUCUGACUNNNNNNNNNNNNNNNNNNNNNNNNNNNNNNNNNNNNNNNNNNNNNNNNNNNNNNNNNNNNNNNNNNNNNNNNNNNNNNNNNNNNNNNNNNNNNNNNNNNNUUUUUAUAUGUGAAGCCAUCAUUUCCCAUAAGAUCAUUACAUGAUCUUUCAUGCUUUUGUUCUUUUCUCACUCUUUUGAUCAUGGCAAGAGGCAAAGCCCUUCAACUAAGACACUCUUUAUUAUAUGGCUNNNNNNNNNNNNNNNNNNNNNNNNNNNNNNNNNNNNNNNNNNNNNNNNNNNNNNNNNNNNNNNNNNNNNNNNNNNNNNNNNNNNNNNNNNNNNNNNNNNNNNNNNNNNNNNNNNNNNNNNNNNNNNNNNNNNNNNNNNNNNNNNNNNNNNNNNNNNNNNNNNNNNNNNNNNNNNNNNNNNNNNNNNNNNNNNNNNNNNNNNNNNNNNNNNNNNNNNNNNNNNNNNNNNNNNNNNNNNNNNNNNNNNNNNNNNNNNNNNNNNNNNNNNNNNNNNNNNNNNNNNNNNNNNNNNNNNNNNNNNNNNNNNNNNNNNNNNNNNNNNNNNNNNNNNNNNNNNNNNNNNNNNNNNNNNNNNNNNNNNNNNNNNNNNNNNNNNNNNNNGUGAUGGUGGUGGAGUUGUUGCAACAUGGGCUUGAUCCUCCGUCUUCCAAGGCAUAGGUGCUCCAUCAUGGAAAGAUGAGUGAGUCUCCGGAAUCCCCAAAUCUGCAGCCAACCGUAUUGAUUUAAAUCUAUACUCAUACUCACAGUUUUGNNNNNNNNNNNNNNNNNNNNNNNNNNNNNNNNNNNNNNNNNNNNNNNNNNNNNNNNNNNNNNNNNNNNNNNNNNNNNNNNNNNNNNNNNNNNNNNNNNNNNNNNNNNNNNNNNNNNNNNNNNNNNNNNNNNNNNNNNNNNNNNNNNNNNNNNNNNNNNNNNNNNNNNNNNNNNNNNNNNNNNNNNNNNNNNNNNNNNNNNNNNNNNNNNNNNNNNNNNNNNNNNNNNNNNNNNNNNNNNNNNNNNNNNNNNNNNNNNNNNNNNNNNNNNNNNNNNNNNNNNNNNNNNNNNNNNNNNNNNNNNNNNNNCCCUUGGCACUUGAAGACUCGUUGCUCCAUUGCUUCGAGCCUCGUCUCCACGAUUCCGGUCUUCUUAGGCCCCUCAACAUCACAGAUGUGCAACAUCCCCUCACGCAUCUCGAUAGAUUGAGGGUGUUGCAGCACUCCCAUGAGGUAGGGAUUGAUGACCUUAUCGAAGAUCUUGUCCUUUAGAGAUUUUGGGGAAGUCAUAGCGAUCUAGAUCUGCAACACAAACAGGCUCGAAACGAAAAACANNNNNNNNNNNNNNNNNNNNNNNNNNNNNNNNNNNNNNNNNNNNNNNNNNNNNNNNNNNNNNNNNNNNNNNNNNNNNNNNNNNNNNNNNNNNNNNNNNNNNNNNNNNNNNNNNNNNNNNNNNNNNNNNNNNNNNNNNNNNNNNNNNNNNNNNNNNNNNNNNNNNNNNNNNNNNNNNNNNNNNNNNNNNNNNNNNNNNNNNNNNNNNNNNNNNNNNNNUAUAUAUUGAUUUUUUCCAGACCAGAAGGAGUACUCCGCACGAAAACGAAGUCCGGGAGGCACCUGAGGUGGCCACAAGCCCCCCCAGGCGCGGCCAGGGGGUGGGCCCGCGCCUGGCAGGCUUGUCACCUCCUCGCGCGCUUUCCGGACUACUUCCAGUUUUUCUAUUUUUUCAAAUAUUCCAAAACGGAGGAANNNNNNNNNNNNNNNNNNNNNNNNNNNNNNNNNNNNNNNNNNNNNNNNNNNNNNNNNNNNNNNNNNNNNNNNNNNNNNNNNNNNNNNNNNNNNNNNNNNNNNNNNNNNNNNNNNNNNNNNNNNNNNNNNNNNNNNNNNNAUUCCAAAACGGAGGAAAAAUCCUACUGGAAAAGUUUGGGAGUCUGUUUACUUACCGAAUCACAUACCUCUUCGUUUUCGGAGUCUGAAACAGGCUGAUGAAUAUCCCUUAGGUAUUCCUCUGGAGUUAUGGUAUUGAUAAUAUUGCUUUCAACAUUUAUGGGAGUACCUGAGAUAUAAUGCUUGAUUCUCUGCCCAUUUACAACUCUCGGACAAUUACCUUCCGUGUUGUUGAUCUUGAUAGCACCGGAAUGAUAUACUUCCUCAACAAUAUAGGGACCUUCCCAUUUAGAGAGAAGCUUGCCUGCAAAAAAUCUUAAACGAGAAUUAUAUAGCAAGACAUAAUCACCUACAUUGAACUCACGCUUUUGUAUCCUCUUAUCAUGCCACCUCUUAACCUUCUCUUUGAACAACUUGGCAUUCUCAUAUGCCUGAGUUCUCCAUUCAUCAAGCGAGCUAAUGUCAAAUAACCUCUUCUCACCAGCAAGUUUGAAAUCAAAGUUGAGCUCUUUGAUUGCCCAAUAAGCUUUAUGCUCUAGCUCAAGAGGUAAAUGGCAUGCUUUAACGUACACCAUUUUGUACGGAGACAUGCCCAUGGGAUUCUUAUAGGCAGUUCUAUAAGCCCACAGUGCAUCAUCGAGCUUCUUAGACCAAUUCUUUCUAGACCUGUUGACAGUCUUUUGAAGAAUUAGUUUAAUCUCUCUAUUGCUUAGCUCUACUUGACCACUGGACUGAGGGUGAUAAGGGACGCAAUUCUAUGGUUGACAUCGUACUUAGCAAGCGUUUUACGAAAAGCACCAUGAAUGAAAUGUGAACCACCGUCGGUCAUUAGAUAUCUAGGGACUCCAAAUCUAGGGACGAUAACUUCUUUAAGCAUCCUAAUAGAUGUGUUGUGAUCAGCACUACUGGUGGGGAUAGCUUCUACCCACUCAGUGACAUAAUCAACAACAACUAGGAUAUGAGUAUACCCGUUGGAUUUUGGAAAAGGUCCCAUAUAAUCAAAGCCCAAAACAUCAAAUGGUUCAAUGACAAGUGAAUAGUUCAUAGGCAUUUCCUGACCUUUACCGAUAUUACCUACUCUUUGACAUUCGUCACAAGACAAGACGAACUUACGGGCAUCCUUGAAGAGAGUGGGCCAAUACAAACCUGAUUGCAAUACCUUGUGUGCAGUUCUAUCUCCCGCAUGGUGUCCUCCGUAGGCCUCGGAGUGACACUUCUGUAGGAUCUGUCCCUGUUCAUGUUCUGGUACACAACAUAUAAUAACACCAUCUACUCCUUCCUUAUAAAGGCGAGGAUCAUCCCAGAAGUAAUGUCUCAAGUCAAAGAAGAAUUUCUUCUUUUGCUGGUAUGUGAAACUAGGUGGUAUAUAUUUGGCAACGAUAUAGUUUGCAUAAUCAGCAUACCACGAUGCACUACGUGAAGCAUUGAUGACAUUCAAUUGCUCACCGGGAAAGCUAUCAUCAAUAGGUUGUGGGUCAUCAAGAAUGUUCUCCAACCUAGACAAGUUAUCUUCUACUGGGUUAUCAGCACCCUUCUCGUCGACAACGUGCAAAUCAAAUUCUUGUAGCAAGAGCACCCAUCUGAUGAGUCUAGGUUUAGCGUCUUUCUUCUCCAUGAGGUACUUAAUAGCAGUGUGAUCAGUGUGAAUAGUGACUUUGGAAUCAACUAUGUAAGACCUGAACUUUUCACAUGUAAACACGAGUGCUAAAAAUUCCUUUUCCGUAGUAGCAUAGUUUCUUUGGGCACUGUCUAGAGUUUUACUAGCAUAGUGAAUACCAUUCAACUUCUUAUCAACUCUUUGCCCUAGGACAUCACCAACAACAUAAUCACUAGCAUCACACAUGAUCCCAAAAGGUAAGUUCCAAUCAGGCGGUUGAACAAUAGGUGCAGUUAUCAAGGCCUUCUUAAGUAUUUUGAAGGCUUCCUCACAAUCAUUGUAAAAAACAAAAGGAAUAUCCUUUUGCAAGAGAUUGGUAAGAGGCCUAGAAAUCUUAGAGAAGUCUUUAAUGAACCUCCUAUAGAAACCAGCAUGACCAAGGAAACUUCUUAUACCUUUGAUAUCUGUGGGGUAUGGCAUUUUCUCGAUUGCAUCAACCUUAGCCUUAUCGACUUCAAUACCUCUUUUUGUAAUUUUAUGUCCUAAGACGAUGCCUCCAUUAACCAUAAAGUGGCACUUCUCCCAAUUCAUGACAAGAUUGGUGUCUUUACAUCUCUGCAAGACUCGAUCAAGGUUGUUGAGGCAAUCAUCAAAGGAAGACUCGUAAAUAGAGAAGUCAUCCAUGAAAACCUCAACAAUCUUUUCACAAAAGUCAAAGAAUAUAGCCAUCAUACAUCUUUGAAAGGUGGCAGGUGCAUUACAUAAGCCAAAAAGGCAUACGUCUAUAAGUAAAGGUACCGAAAGGGCAGGUGAAAGUGGUUUUCUCCUGAUCAGAUUGUGCAACAGGUAUUUGGGAGAAACCAGAAUAGCCGUCUAGAAAGCAGAAGUGUGUGUGUUUAGACAGUCUUUCUAGCAUUUGGUCGAUAAAAGGCAAAGGGUAAUGAUCUUUCCUAGUGGCUUUAUUCAAUUUCCUAAAAUCGAUCACCAUCCUAUAGCCAAUAAUAAUCCUCUGUGGGAUCAAUUCAUCCUUAUUAUUAGGGACAAUGGUAAUGCCUCCCUUCUUAGGGACGCAAUGCACCGGACUUACCCAAUCACUAUGAGCAACAUGAUAGAUGAUACCUGCUUCCAGGAGAUUUAGUAUUCCUUUUCUCACUACUUCUUUCAUCUUAGGAUUUAAUCUCCGUUGAUGAUCAGCAACUGGUUUGGAAUCAGGAUCAGUUUUAAUCUUGUGCUGGCAUAGAGUGGGGUAAUGCCCUAAAGAUCAUCAAGAGUGUAUCCAAUAGCAGCACGGUGCUUCCUCAGAGUUUUUAGUAACUUCUUUUCGCCAUGCUCUGAGAGGCUAGCACUAAUUAUAACAUGAUAUAUCUCUCUUUCAUCAAGAUAAGCAUACUUAAGAGUAUCAGGCAACUGUUUAAGCUCAAACACAGGAUCACCCUUUGGUGGGGAUGGAUCCACCAAAGCAGUUCAACAGGCAAGUUAAUCUUAAGGAUAGGAUAUUGUUCUAAGACAACUCUAUCUAUGUCAUCCCUUUCAUCCAUAUGCAUAUCUUUUUCUUGCUCAAGCAAGUAUUUCUCUAAGGGAUCAGUAGGAGGCACGGCAAUAGAAGCUAAGGCAAUAGUUUCAUCAUUACUAGGCAACUCUUUUUCAUGAGGUUGUCUACCAAACUUGGAGAAAUUGAACUCAUGAGACACACCUUCAAAGCCAACAGUGACAGUUUGCUUCUCACAGUCAAUAUGUGCAUUGACGGUAUUGAGAAAAGGUCUGCCAAAUAUGAUGGGAUAAAAGCUAUCUUGUGCGGUAGCAAGAACGAGGAAAUCUGGAGGAUACUUCGUUUUACCACAUAAGAAUUCAACAUCCCUAAUAAUUCCCACAGGGCAGAUAGUAUCUCUAUUGGCAAGCUGAAUAGUGACAUCAAUAGUUUCUAUCUCAACAGGUGCAAUCUUGUCUUUGAUUUCAUCAUAUAAGGAUUGAGAUAUUGCACUAACACUAGCACCCACGUCACAUAAACCAUGAUAACAAUGAUCUCCUAUCUUAACAGAAACAACAGGCGUGCCAACGACAGGCCUAUGUUUGUCUCUAGCGUGAGGUUUAGCAAUUCUAGCAGCAUCUUCACAGAAGUGAAUAUUAUGUCCCUCAACAUCAUCAGACAGAAGAUUUUUGAUAAUAGCAAUGCUAGGUUCAACUCUAAUUUUCUCAGGGGGUGUAGGUGUUCUAAUAUAGCAUCUACGUAUCACAGUUCAAGCUUUAGAAUGAUCCUUUAUCCUACCAGGGAAAGGUGGUUUCUCAAUGUAAGCACUAGGAACAAUAGGAUCAUUAUAGGAAAUGACUUUCUCUUCAACUGGAUUGGGUUUAACUACAUUGACUUCUAAAGGAGGAUGAUAUUUAAACCACUUCUCUUUGGGGAGAUCAAUAUGAGCAGCAAAAGAUUCAAACAAUGAAGCUACUAUCUCAGAGCCAAGUCCAUACUUAGUGCUAAAAUCACUAAAGGUAUUUGUUUCAACAAAGGAUUUAACGCAAUCAAACUUGAAAUUCAUACAUGAAUCCUUACCUUCUUCAAGCUCCCAAUCUUUAGAGUUGUGUUUAAUUCUCUGCAAUAAAUUCCAUCUGAAGUCAAUAUCUCUCUUCAUAAAAGAACCGGCACAAGAAGUGUCAAGCAUGGUGCGAUCAUCAUGAGAAAGCCGAGCAUAGAAGUUCUGAAUGAUAAUUUCUCUCGAGAGCUCAUGGUUGGGGAAUGAAUAUAACAUUGAUUUAAGCCUCCCCCAAGCUUGAGCGAUGCUUUCUCUAUCACGAGGCCAAAAAUUAUAAAUAUAAUUACGAUCACGAUGUACUAAAUGCAUAGGAUAAAACUGUUGAUGAAAUUCCAAUUUCAACCGAUUGUAGUUCCAUGAUCUAGUAUCAUCACAUAGCCUAUACCAUGUCAACGCCUUAUCCUUCAAAGAUAAAGGAAAGACCUUCUUCUUGACCUCAUCGUCGGGCAAACCUACAAGCUUAAAUAAACCACAAACUUCAUCUACAUAGAUUAGAUGCAAGUCUGGAUGUGAUGUUCCAUCUCUUGUAAAAGGAUUAGCCAGCAGUUUCUCAAGCAUACCCGAAGGAAAUUCAAAGCAAAUAUUUUCAGUAGGUGCAGCAGGUUGAGGAGCAACUAUUUGUGCUUCUGUUCGAGGUGAAUAUACCCCAAACAAGCCCCUCAAAGGAUUAGUAUCCAUAGUGACAAGUGACAAUAAAUUUCAGCACACUAUAUGAAUGUUUCCUUACCAAGUUCCACUUACCAAAGGCGCUUCACUCCCCGGAAACGGCGCCGGAAAAGAGUCUUGAUGACCCACAAGUAUAGGGGAUCAAUCGUAGUCCCUUCGAUAAUGUAAGAGUGUCGAACCCAAUGAGGAGCAGAAGGAUCUGACAAGUGGUUUUAAGCAAGGUAAAAUCUGCAAGCACUGAAAUUAUCGGUAACAAGUGAUUGUGUGGUGAGAUGAUUCAUACCAAGCAACAAGUAACAAAAGUAGCAACGGUGCAGAAAAGUAGCCCAAUCCCUUUUUUAGCAAGGGACAAGCCUGGACAAAGUCUUAUAGGAGGAAAAACGCUCCCGAGGACACACGGGAAUUUCUGUCAUGCUAGUUUUCAUCAUGUUCAUAUGAUUCACGUUCGUUACUUUGAUAGUUUGAUAUGUGGGUGGACCGGCGCUUGGGUACUGCCCUUACUUGGACAUGCAUCCCACUUAUGAUAAACCCCUCUCGCAAGCAUCCGCAACUACGAAAGAAGAAUUAAGUAAAGUCAAACCAUAGCAUUAAACUAGUGGAUCCAAAUCAGCCCCUUAUGAAGCAACGCAUAAACUAGGGUUUAAGCUUCUGUCACUCUAGCAACCCAUCAUCUACUUACUACUUCCCAAUGCCUUCCUGUAGGCCAAAAUAAUGGUGAAGUGUUAUGUAGUCGACGUUCAGAUAACAUCACUAGAGGAAAAACAACAUACAACACAUCAAAAUAUCGAACGAAUACCAAAUUCACAUGACUACUCUUAGCAUGACUUAUCCGAUGUCCCCAGGAACAAAAGUAACUACUCACAAAGCUUAAUCAUAUUCAUGACCAGAGAGGUAAUGAGUAGAAUCAAGGAUCUGAACAUAAACUCUUCCACCAAAUAAUCCAACUAGCAUCAACUACAAAGAGUAAUUAACACUACUAGCAACCUUACAAGUACCAAUCGGAGUCGCGAGACGGAUAUUGGUUACAAGUGAUGAACUAGGGUUUGGAGAUGAGAUGGUGCUAAGGAAGAUGUUGAUGGUGAUGAGUCCCCUCCGAUGAAAGGAGUGUUGGUGAUGACGAUGAAGAUGAUUUCCCCCUCAGGGAGGGAAGUUUCCUCGGCAGGAUCGUCCUGCCGGAGCUCUAGAUUGGUUCUGCUCAAGUUCCGCCUCGUGGUGGAGGUGAAUCCUCGAAAAAGCCUCCUCCUGAUUAUUUUUUCGGACGAAACCCUUCAUAUAGCAGAAAAGGGGGGCCAGAGGGCCAGCUGGGUGCCCACAAGCCCCCUAGGCGCGGCCAGGGGGGUGGCCACCUGCUGGCGCCCCUCUGGCACUUCUUCGGCCCAGUAUUUUUUAUAAAUCCGAACAAAAAUCCUCGUUGAUUUUUACGGCGUUUGGAGUUGUGCGGAAUAGGUAUCUCAAACUUGCUCCAAUUUCGGGCCAGAAUUCCAGCUGCCGCAUUCUCCCUCUUCAAGUAAACCUUGCAAAAUAAGAGAGAAAAGGCAUAAGUAUUGUCCCAUGAAGUGAAAUAACAGCCCAAGAAGCGAUAAGUAUCAACAUGAAAGCAUGAUGCAAAAUGGACGUAUCAACCGGCUCUUUAUUUCCAGCAACAACUUCUAUGGUACACAAGCUUCAUGUAUACAACUGUUCAGUCAAAAAUACAUGACUUUAAGCUUGAACAAGCAAUUUUUCUAGAUAUUGCGUGUACGACGACCUGUAAAGGAACAAAAAAAAUAAGGCACCGUAAUAUUGAUUGUUGGUGAGAAAAAAGAUGAAAGGCUUCACAAAUACUCACCAAAGAGCGCAUGAGGCAUCUGGUCGAUAUGCUUUUUAAGCUUGGCCAAUUCUUCAGAGACAGUUUUCAGCCUGCUCUCAGCAUCAGUGGAGCGUUUUAUUAAGGCAGUUUUCUCAUUUUCAAAAGAUUCUCUUUGUGCCACAAAAGUCAGCCUUUAUUUUGUCAAUUUUCUCAAAGGAUAGACGAAGUUGUUCUUCAAGCUCCGCUCGGGCGAGUUGUCCCAGUUCAAGAGCAUUGGUCAAAUCUGAGAUCUUCGAUUCAGCAAAUUUCAAGUUUUCCUACAAAAAGGAUAGAAUGAUGUUAUGAUGACAAGUCCCAAGCAUAUUUCACAUAAUAUGCUUGACACUUGGGGGCUAAUGCAUAUGAGCUUUUCUUUUACAUAAAGAAUAAAAGACCCGCCUCGUCUCAAAAAGAUGAUUCGGUCCUUGGGGGCUACACAUCAAGCUCAAAUUUCUAGACAAGUUAUACAAAUCCGACUCAUCUCAAGAAGAUGAGCCGGCCCUCGGGGGCUAAAGGUCGAGUUCAACGUUUCACAUUCAUAAAGACACACUCAUCUCAAGGAGAUGAGCCGGCCCUUGGUGGCUAUGAGAGAAUAUGUGCAUAUGAGGUCCAUAUCUUACCUCGGACUUCAUCUUUAUCGUACGCACAAGGCCAAGUUCCAUUUGAGGUCUUGAAAAAGACGCUUAAGAUAACCAGCGUAUAAGUUUUCAACACCAAGGGGGAGAGAUUGAAGUUUAGCUUUCCCCUUAUUAGAUGGGGCGGUUCCUUCUUUCAUGGUUUGCUUUGCCAAAAUAUUAGAAGACCCACGACCAGCAUAGUCUGACCCAAGGAUAGCUACUUCUGUAGCAGUAUCACAAGGGAUAUAUUGGGAAGGAGGAUUAGAGAUUGCCAGGUCAUCUUCGACACCCAGAGAGGAAGCAAUAUCUUUCUCAAUCUCAGCCUGAGGUAGAUAAACAGAAAUCCUAACAAUUGUCACCUGAUACGUCUCCAACGUAUCUUUAAUUUUUUAUUGUACCAUGCUAUUAUAUUAUCUGUUUUGGAUGUUUUAUAUGCAUUAAUAUGCUAUUUUAUAUUAUUUUUUGGGACUAACCUAUUAAUCUAGAGCCUAGUGCCAAUUUUUGUUUUUCCCUUGUUUUUGAGUAUUGCAGAUAAGGAAUAUUAAACGGAGUCCAAGUGAAAUAAAAUCUACGGAAUGAUUUUUCUUGGACCAGAAGAAACCUAUCACACUUGGAGAGGGGGGCAGGAGACCUGCCGGGAGACGACAAGCCUGCAUGGCGUGCCCUAGGGGGUAGCACCCCUGGCUUGUGCCCCCCCUGCAGGCCUCCUAACCCUAAUCCUUCUCCUAUAAAUUCCCAAAUGUUCCCCCGAUACCUAAAGAGCAAAAUAAAUACUUUUCGGCCGUCGGGAGCCUCUGUUCCCGUGAGAUCCAAUCUGGGAGCCUUUUCCGGUAAUCUGCCGGAGGGGGAAUCUAUCACGGAGGGCAUCUACAUCAACUCUAUUUCCCCUCCAAUGAUGCGUGAGUAGUUCACCACAUACCUAUGGGUCCAUAGCUAGUAGCUAGAUGGAUUCUUUUCUCUCUUUGUUCUUCAAUACCAUGUUCUUCACGAUCUUCAUGAAGAUCUAUUCGAUGUAAUACUCUUUUGCGGUUUGUUUGUCCAGAUCUGAUGAAUUGUGGGUUUAUGUUCAGAUUAUCUAUGAAUAUUAUUUGAAUCUUCUCUGAAUUCUUAUAUGCAUGAUUUCAUAUCUUAGCAAGUCUCUUUGAGUUAUUAGUUUGGUUUUGCCAACUAGAUUGGGAAUUCUUGCAAUGGGAGAAGUGCUUAGUUUUGGGUUCAAUCUUGAGGUGUCCUUACCCAGUGACAAAGUAGGGGUAGCGAGGCACAUAUUGCAUUAUUGCCAUCAAGGAUAAAAGGAUGGGGUUUUCAUCAUAUUGCUUGAGUUUAUCCCUCUACAUCAUGUCAUCUUACCUAAUUUGUUACUCAGUUCUUCAUGAACUUAAUACUCUAGAUGCAGGCAAGAGUCGGUCGAUGUGUGGAGUAAUAGUAGUAGAUGUAGAAUCGUUUCUGUCUACUUGACACGGACGUGAUGCCUAUAUGCAUAAUCAUUGCCUUGGAUAUCUUCAUAAUUAUUCACUUUUCUAUUAUUUGCUCGAUAGUAAUUUGUUUACCCACCGUAUUAUUUUCCUUCAUGAGACAAGCCUCUAGUGAAACCUAUGGCCCCCGGGUCUAUUUUCCAUAUUAUACUUUCAGAUCUAUAAACCAAAAAUACCAAAAUUAUAUUGUUGCCAUUUAUUUACUUUUGUUUUACUUUUCGUUCUAGCAAUCUUUUAUAUCUAUCUCUAUCAGAUCCCAUCCUUGCAAAUAACCGUGAAGGGAUUGACAACCCGUUUUUAGCGUUGGGUGCAAGUGUUUGAUUGUUAUUGUUGGUGAGAAGAUUGGGGCCUUGCUUGUUCCUCCUAAUGGAUUGAUACCUAAUAAACUGAGGGAAAUACUUAUCUACUUUUCUGCAUCACACUUUCCUCUUCAAGGGAAAACCAACGCAAGCUCAAGAAGUAGCAUCACCUUUCCCGGUGCCCGUAGAAGCCGUCGUAUCUAAUUCCUCUGGCUCAAGAGUAAGAGAGAAAUUUCCAACCUUUCGUGUCUUGGCCCUGGAUCUUACCCUUGAUUAAUAAUGAAAGGCGGCAGCUUCACGGAAGAAGACUCGCCAGACGAAGGAAGUGAUUCUGAUAAUCCGAAUCAACACGAUUGAGGGGUUGUUUAAAAAGACUAGCCUAUGGAUGAGAAAGAGUUGGACUAUGUGGCACCUUGUCUUGGAGUAGUCGAGGAGCAGAUUGAUCAGAUGUACCGGCUAAGGCAGACUCGCCUUGAAAUUUUGAGGCGGUAACGACCACUUUGCUCCUCUUAAUAGAAGUAACUUUUGGAUUACUAGCCGGGACUUUCCUUUUCUUCUUCCAAAAUAAAGAAGAAGCCUGCAAGAUUUGGUCAAAUUAAAUAAAGGUGCGCAUGAAAGUUGAAGAAAGUACUCUGUAAGUACUCAAAUGAUAAGAUAAGAUUCUUACUGGAGGAGCUGGGUUGAGAGCAUUAGAAGGCUCCAAACCAACUUGAUCACAGACGGAUUGGGUUUCCCCAAGUAGCUUUUUCACAAACUUACUUACAUUGUCUUUUGUCAAAACGGUUGUGCUAUAGCUUUGAGGAUCAUCUUCACGACCGGAGUACAUGCACAUAAGCGAGCUCCAGCGACUAAAUGGAAGGAUCAUCCAAGAUGCCCAGCAAUGAGUCAAAUCUACUCUUGCCAGACUCAGAUAUUUAAGAGCUGACACUUUUUGGAAGACAAACACAAAUUUGUCACGUUCUUCGUGAGAAAUCUGGCCAGGAAGCUCAAAAUCCACUAGAAGGCAACUUGGUUUUUAACACGACAGAGGAUUUUCAUUCUCUGGGGUAGUGUUUUUACAGUAGAACAAAGUCUUGUUCCACUCUUUAGGGUGGCUUGGCAAAGCAACAGAGGGGAAAACACCAUUUCUACGUCUUUGAAUCGAGAUUCCACCCAAUUCCUUGCUAAGCCCGUAUGUGCAUUCAGUUUGGCGGUUCAGAUAGAAAAAUUCCAAAAAGGGGAAUAGUGGGUUCCAUCUGUAGAUAUACCUCACACAAGACUUGGAAUUGGCAAAGAUUUGAUAUGGAGUGGGGUGCCAAGUCCUGAGGAUGAAGGAAGAAAUCAUGAAGUACAUCUCAGAAGAAUUUUGACCCGGGAGGCGAGAAGCCUCUGAAAAGAUGAUCCACGAAAACCACAACAUCUCCUUCAUUAGGAUUCGUCCUUGUUUCUCCCCGAGGAGCUUGCCAUCCGAGUAUUUAUUUAGUAGACAAUAAACCUUGAUUUACGAAUUCCUGAAGCAGAUCUUUUGAAACUUGUGAAGGCACCAAAUUACAGCUAGAAGUCUUCGACAUACUGACCUGUUUGGACAUCAGCAAAAAAGUUACGAACAGUUAUCCAUAUUGAGCAAAGACCGACCAACAUAAAGAGAGGAAGCGCUACAAGGCUAAGCCGGAAACUUACAAAAGAAAAAUUACUCAUAUGGUGGGUUGAAGUAACCUAGAAGGUAAAGCCGAUAGCCUUGGAGGCGCCUCGCGAGUAACCAAAGGUUUUUCUUUUACAAAGGUGAUACGUCUCCAACGUAUCUAUAAUUUUUUAUGGUUCCAUGCUAUUAUCUUGUCAACUUUGGAUGUUUUGUAUGCAUGAUUAUGCUAUUUUAUAUCUUUUUUGGGACUAAUCUAUUAACUCAGCGCCAAGUGCCAGUUCCUGUUUUUUCGUGUUUUUGACCCUUUUCACAGAAGAAUAUUAAACAGAGUCCAAACGGAAUAAAACCUUCGGAAAUAUUUUUUCCGUAACAGAAGAUACGCAGGGAACUUGAGAACCAAGGCAAAGGACUCCGGGGGAGGCCACAAGCCCCCUAGCCGCGGCCUGGGGACGCCUACCACGCUUGUGGGUCCCCCGUGGCUCCUUUUCCCUACUUCUUCCGCCUAUAAAUUCUCCAAAAAUCUGAAACUGUCAGGGAGAGCCACGAAAAUACUUUCCCACCGCCGCAAGCUUCUGUCUCAACAAGAUCCCAUCUGGGGCACGUUCUGGUGCCCUGCCGGAGGGGGGAUUCGAACACGGAGGGCUUCUUCAUCAACACCAUUGACUCUCCGAUGAUGCGUGAGUAGUUCACCACAGACCUUCGGGUCCAUAGCUAGUAGCUAGAUGGCUUCUUCUCUCUCUUGGAUCUUCAAUACAAAGUCCUCCAUGAUCUUCAUGGAGAUCUAUCCGAUGUAAUCUUCUUUUGCGGUGUGUUUGUCGAGAUCCGAUGAAUUGUGGAUUUAUGAUCAGAUUAUAUAUGAAUGUUAUUUGAGUUUCCUCUGAUAUCUUAUAUGCAUGAUUUUGUAUCCUUGUAAUUCUCUUCAAGUUGUGGGUUUCGUUUGGCCAACUUGAUCUAUAAUUCUAGCAAUGGGAGAAGUGCUUGGUUUUGGGUUCAUACUGUGCGGUGUCCUUACCUAGUGACAGAAGGGUUAGGGAGGCACGCAUCAUGUUGUUGCCAUCAAGGGUAAAAAGAUGGGGUUUAUAUAUAUUGCAUGAAUUUAUCCAUCUACAUCAUGUCAUCUUGCUUAAGGCGUUACUCUGUUUGUUAUGAACUCAAUACACUAGAUGCAUGUUGGAUAGCGGUCGAUGUGUGGAGUAAUAGUAGUAGAUACAGACACGGUCUACUUGUCUCGGACGUGAUGCCUAUAUGUAUGAUCAUUGCCUUAGAUAUCAUCAUGACUUUGCGCGGUUCUAUCAAUUGCUCGCAAUAAUUCGUUCACCCACCGUAAUACUUGCUAUCAUGAGAGAAGCCUCUAGUGAACACUAUGGCCCCCGGGUCUACUUCACAUCAUAUUUUCAUCUCUACACUUUUACUUUGUUUCGCUUUCCACCUUCAGAUCUCACCUUGCAAUUAAUCGUGAAGGGAUUGACAACCCCUUUAUAGUCUUGGGUGCAAGUUUGUUUGUUUUUGCGCAGUUACAUUGGUGACUUGCCUUAAUACUCCUACUGGAUUGAUACCUUGGUUCUCAAACUGAGGGAAAUACUUACUGCUACUGUUCUGCAUCACCCUUUCCUCUUCAAGGGAAAAAACAACACAAGCUCAAGAGGUAGCAAGAAGAAUUUCUCGCGCCGUUGCCGGGGAGGAUCAAGUCAAGAAUAGUCUCCCGUCAAUGUGCCAAUUUCUGGCGCAGUUGUCGGGGAGUAUCAAGUCAAGAAUAGUCUCCCUUCAACGUGUCAAUUUCUGGCACCGGGGAUUACUCUAAGUGAAGCUUAUCCAAGUAAAUGUCGCAAACUCAUCUUUUGCAUUUACUUUUUUUGCCUUUUGCCUCUCGUUUUCCUCUCCCCCACUUCUGAAAAACAAAAAAUUACAAAAAUAUUUGCCUUUUUCGUUCGCCCUUUUCUUUCGCUUGCUUUCUGUUCGCUUGUGUGCUUGUCUGCCUGUUAAGACUUGUAUGGCCCAACCAAAUGAUUAUGAUGCUUACUACAAAAGGUUGGAAGAGAUUGAAACUAGUGUUAAAGGCUUCAUGUCUACUCAGUUUGAUCAUAACAGCUACUUUCAUGGAGAACUAAGGGAGUAAAAUUCUUUUAUGGCUUAUAUGAAUAAAGAAGUUGAUGAUAUGGCCAAAGAAUUCCUCGCGUUAAAUUCGCAGUUUGCUCGUCUUGAACAAUUGGUAGGCCAGAUUUCUGAUAAACAGGCUACCUUAGUCAAUAAAAUGGCUGCUAAACCUGAAAUAUGUGAUGAGAAUCACGAAGAUCUUAAAGUGCUUGGUGUGACUCCUAUUGAAUCCUUGUUUUCUAAUGUCAAACCUAAUGAUGAUGGGGCUGGAUAUGAAUCCACUUUGGUUGAGAAAUGCCCCAAUGAUUCGGAGUCUAUCUAUCUUGAUGCUAAAAGCACUGAAAGUUUAGUAGAGGAUAUCAAAACUUUGAGUAGUGGUGAAAUUACUACUUUGGAUUUCAAGGAAUUCAAUUAUGAUAGUUGCUCGUUGAUUGAAUGUAUUUCCUUGAUGCAAUCCAUGCUAAACUCUCCACAUGCCUAUAGCCAAAAUAAAGCAUUUACCGAUCAUGUCGUUGGUGCUAUGAUGAAAUCUCUUCAAGAGAAACUUGAGUUGGAAGUUUCCAUUCCUAGAAAACUUCAUGUUGAGUGGGAACCUACUAUAAAAAUCAGGAUUGAAAACUAUGAAUGCAAUGCUUUGUGUGAUUUGGGUGCUAGUGUUUCCGCCAUUCAAAGUCUUUACGUGAUGUUCUAGGCUUCAAUGAGAUUGAUGAGUGCUAUCUUAAUUUGCAUCUUGCGGAUUCUACUAUUAAGAAACCUAUGGGAAGGAUCAAUGAUGUUCUUAUUAUUGCAAAUAGGAACUAUUUACCCGUGGAUUUCAUUGUGCUUGAUAUUGAUUGCAAUCCAACAUGUCCCAUCAUUCUUGGUAGACCUUUCCUUAGGACAAUUGGUGCUAUCAUCGAUAUGAAGGAAGGGAAUAUUAUAUUUCAAUUUCCAUUAAAUAAGGGCAUGGAACACUUUCCUAGAAAGAAAAUAAGAUUGCCUUAUGAAUCCAUGAUGAGGGCUACUUAUGAUUUGAGCACCAAAGAUGACGAUACUUGGUUCUAUCGCCUUGUGCCUAGCUAAGGGCGUUAAACAAUAGCGCUUGUUGGGAGGCAACCCAAUAAAUUUAUCUUUGCUUUUUGGUUACUGUUUUGCUAUGUCCACACCAUCAUAAUUCUGUUAUGAUUGUGUUUUUUGUGUUUCUUUUUGUGUUUGUGCCAAGUAAAACCUUUAUGACUAGUUUUGGUGUUGGUUGUUUGAUCGUGCUGAAAAAGACAGAAACUUUGUGCUCACGCAAUUAUUUUUCAUUCCUAUCCAGCAAGAGCUUUUGAGUUUAUUCUUUUUGCUGAUGGUUGAUAUGCCAAUUUCCCUAAUUGUCGUAAUUUUCUAUAAUUUUUGAGAUACCAUAAGUAUACGAACUAUACAGAUUGCUACAGACUGGUCUGUUUUUGAUAGAUUCUAUUUUUGUUGUGUUGAUUGCUUAUUUUGAUGAAAUUAUGGAUAGUAUCGGGGGGGGUACUAGCUAUGGAAAAGUGAUAAUAUAGUAAUAUAACACCAAUAUAAAUAGAAAUUAAGUUUGCUAUAGUACCUAAAGAGGUGGUGGUUUGUUUUCUUAUGCUAAUGAUAUCACGAGUUUCCGUUUAACUUUUGUGUUGUGAAGCUUUCAAGUUUUGGGUGAUGGUCUCAUGGAAAAUCGGUUAAAGAGUGGAAAGAGCUCAAGCUUGGGGAUGCCCAAGGCAUCCCAAGCCAAAUUCAAGGACACCAAAAAGCCUAAGCUUGGGGAUGCCCCGGGAAGGCAUCCCCUCUUUCGUCUUCAAUCCAUCGGUAACGUUACUUGGAGCUAUAUUUUUAUUCACCACAUNNNNNNNNNNNNNNNNNNNNNNNNNNNNNNNNNNNNNNNNNNNNNNNNNNNNNNNNNNNNNNNNNNNNNNNNNNNNNNNNNNNNNNNNNNNNNNNNNNNNNNNNNNNNNNNNNNNNNNNNNNNNNNNNNNNNNNNNNNNNNNNNNNNNNNNNNNNNNNNNNNNNNNNNNNNNNNNNNNNNNNNNNNNNNNNNNNNNNNNNNNNNNNNNNNNNNNNNUCAUCCUUGCUGCACACCUUUUUGAGAGAGACAUGCACUCAUCGUGAAUUUGCUAGAAUACUCAUUGAGCUUCACUUAUAUCUUUUGAGUUAUUCAAUUUAGCUCGCAUGUGCUUCACUUAUAUCUUUUGAGCUAGAUAACUUUGCUCUAGUGCUUCACUUAGAUCUUUAUAGAGCACGGUGGUGUCAUAUUUUGGAGAAAUAAAAACUCCCGAUCUUCACUUACAUCUUUUUUAGAGUGCUCUCUCUGAGUAACUUGGUAGUUGGCAUAUGCCAUGAAAGAGUCCUAAAGAUGAUAGGCAUCCAAAGAGGAUAUAAUACAAACUUCCAUAUUCAUGUGCAUUGAUUAGUAAAUAGAAGUUUGAUUCCUCUCAAUUAGUUUUCAGAUAUGGAUAUGGUAAUAUUAGAGUUAUGUUAGUAGGGUGUCGUGAAUCUAGAAAUACUUGUGUUGAGGUUAGUGAUUCCCGUAGCAUGCACGUAUGGUGAACCACUAUGUUAGGAAGUCAGAGCAUAAUUGUUUUAUUGAUUGUCGUCCUUUGUGUUGCGGUCGGGAUCGCGUGAUGGUUAACACCUACCAACCCUUCCCCUAGGAGUAUGCGUUUAGCACUUUGUUUCGAUUACUAAUAAAACUUUCGCAAUAAGUAUAUGAGUUCUUCAUGACUAAUGUGAGUCCAUGGUAUAGAUGUACUUUCACCUUCCACCAUUGCUAGCUUCUCUAGUGCCACGCAACUUUCGCCGGUGCACAAACCCACCAUAUACCUUCCUCAAAAUAGCCACCAUACCUACCUAUUAUGGCCUUUUCAUAGCCAUUCCGAGAUAUAUUGCCAUGCAACUCCCACCGUUCCGUCUCAUGACUUCUGCCGUCACUUACAUAUUGCCAUUGCAUGAUCGUAAGAUAGCUAGCGAGAUGUUUCAACGUCAUACGCUAAGCUAGAUCGUUGCACAUCCCGGUACACUGCCGGAGGCAUUUCCUAUAGAGUCAUCAUUGUUCUACGGAUUGAGUUGUGAGUAAAUAAAAGUGUGAUGAUCAUCAUUAUUAGAGCAUUGUCCCAUGUGAGGAAAUAAAAAAAAGGCCAAAGAUGCCCACCAAAAAAAUGAGAAAACGAAAAGAGGCCAAAGAGCCCAAACAAAAAAAGAGAGAAAAAGAGAGAAGGGACAAUCCUACUAUCAUUUCCCAUACUUGUGCUUCAAAAUAGCACCAUGUUCUUCGUGAUAGAGAGUCUCUCGUUUUGUCACUCCUUAUACUAGUGGGAAUCUUAAUUAUAUAACUUGGCUUGUAUAUUCCAAUGAUGGGCUUCCUCAAAUUUGCUCUAGGUCUUCGUGAGCAAGCAAGUUGGGUGCACACCCACUAGUUCUCCUUUUGAGCUUUCACACGCUUAUAGCUCUCGUGCAUCCAUUGCAUGGUAAUCCCUACUCAUUCACAUUGAUAUCUACUGAUGGUCAUCUCCAUAGCCCGUUGAUACGCCGAGUGUCGUGGUUUUGUCACAACAGAUGUCCUCGUGAAAGGACUUAGUACUGAAGCCAUUGCACCUUGGUGGCGACUCAAAGGGGUUAAGCGGGAGAGACACGGCGAUUUACCCAGGUUCGGCCCCUCGUGAGGAGGUAAAAGCCUACGUCCUGCUUUGGUGUGUAUUGAUAUGGUUUCGAUUACAAGGAGGGCGUAACUCGCCGAACCUAGCACUCGAUGAUUUCUAACCUGCCCUUUCGUCCCCUCGGACUCGCCUUUAUAUACAGGUCGAACCCCUAGGGUUUACAAGGACACUUUCCUUCCUACAAAUCGUGACCCCUGUGGUCUCUAAGUCGGCACCUUCCGAAGCUUGGAGACCCUCCAGGAGUUAUAAAUCGUCAUACGACCUUGAUUCGGCCACGACAAGGCCCAAAUAAUUGUUUGGGUGAAUCGCCUAACGAAUAACCCGGCCCAACUAGGGCGGGUCAUUCACAGGUAAUAUCCCCAACAUUAGGCCCCAAAUUGACUUGAACUCCUUCUUCAUUGCAAUACUUCCGUUCAGUUGAAGGCGAUUCAUUCCUCACUUUUCUUCAUAUGUCAUAAAUUGUAAACCCGCCAUCGGGCACCGAAAAUUCUUUAAGUCGCCAAACCAUUUCCGGUUAGCCCCUUCUUAUCCCUCGAUUUUUGAGAAGACUGUCACAACCCCAAUGGAUCUUAGCGCAUCAUUAUCCUGAAAUCUUCGGCACGUAUUUAUGGCGAAUCUUUUUAUUCCCCGGCGGUUCCCGCUCACAGCGCCUCGAUUCCAGCACCCGCUCUGAUAAAUAGACGGGGGGGGACAGGACUGGUGCUUCCCACCUUCCAGUCUUGUCAACCUCCUCCCCAUCAUUGCAGCGAGAAAAUCUCAUCGCCUCCCGAGGAAUCCGCCGCCGACCGUGUUUUCCGCCUUCACGCGAGGAGGUUCGUUGCCGCUUAUAGGCCUUCGCCGUCAUCCAGCUUCGCGCCGCAGCCGAUCCGUCCGCCGCCGUCGUCCACUGCACCGUCGUCGACCAUCUCGCCGUUCGCCACGAACUCUGCCGCCGCCGAAGACCUCUUCGCUCAACGGGACUCCCGUGCUUCUUCAACAAACUCCAUCACCGUCGGCCUCUUUCACCCGAAAGCAUCAGGUUAGGCCUCCGGCCAUUUUAGGAAUAGAUUCAAUCUCUGCUCGAAGCUCCAGCCACUGCCAUGUUCUUGAUGUUCCUUGCAAACAGACGUCGCCUACCUUGAGCCGAUUAGCAUGAAUGUCAAUGAGAUAGCCAAGGCUUUGAACACCUUUUAUUUAUCCGCCUUUACUUGUGAAUCUUUAGAAUAGUGUUUCAUCAAGUGAAGGGCGUCAUCUGGCAAUAAAUCGCUGCAUCCAGUCAUUUUUCUCAGGUUUUUUCAUCUGCCUGGUAGAUCCAUCAUUUACCUACUGUUUGCAAAAAACUGUUUGUAGUCUUCAUACUCUGAUACUUCCAGCGAACGUCUUCACUAUCUUUAGAACGCGGCCCUCGUGAAUAGCCAUACUCCGUUAGUCGCCAUAGUAGCCCAACUCGGCCUUUUGAUAUGGCGGGUCAAGCCCUUCCUUUAGUCAAAGUACUCGGCGAGUUAAAUGAAUUGAUUUCAUCCCUUACAGUAGAUGUUCAAGGCAUAUAAGUUCAUACUUUACUUCUUUGUAGCAUGGGCGCCGUCUUCAAAAGUGACUGGCUUCCUACCAAGGUUGAUGACGCCAUAUUAGCUGAUUAUGUGAAAACGGGCAGCUUGGACCCCCAGAAUGUUAUUGGCUGGCGCACUGGGUUCGGAGAAGAUCUCCCUAACCCCAAAGAAGGGGAAAUAGUCGUUUUUGUUGAACACCUGGAGCGAGGUUUUAAGCCGCCCGGAUCGAAGUUCCUUAGAGACGCCAUGGCUUUCAUGAACGUCCGCCUCCAGGGUUUGGGAGCCAAUUCCAUAAGUAACCUAUGCCAAUUCCAAGUUUUCUGUGAGGCUUAUCUGCGGAUUGAGCCCUCUAUUCCUUUAUUAUGGCACUUUUUCCAUCUGAAUCGCCAAACGGAAUUCCACAACGGCCCCAGCCUAGAACUUGGCGGCAUCAAUGUCCAACGCCGCAGGGAUAGCCCGUUUCCCUCAUUCGCCAUGCCUAGCCAUCCCAAAGGUUGGGGCGAGUCUUGGUUCUACUGUCAAGAGACUUCUCCUGCAGGCGAAAACAAGCUUCUGGGCUACAGGCCAACUCACCUCCCAACCAACUUCAAGCUUCCAGACAUGCUCAACGAGGAGGAAGAAUCGGAAUUCAUCCCAAUACUGUCCGAACUAAGAUCCUUGACAAACAAUGGCCUUACUGGGGUUGACCUAAUCCGUUGUUGGGUCGAAUGGCAUAUCCUCCCUCUGAGCCGCCGGGACGGUCUGAUGUGUGAAUUUGAUGGCACCCUGGAUCAUCCUCAAUGUUAUUUCCAUACGGCUUUGACGGAAAAGGACAUUGUUACCAUUAUCAAGAAGCUGGCUGGCGAGCCUGCGGGAAAAUGCGGCCAAAUCGGCCUCAAGCCUUUCUGCAAAAUUAACCCGGCGCCCAAGGUGAACAAAUCUAACCCGCCUUUGGUCUUUACUCCUUAUGCUUCAUUUGUAUUGCGGUUUUUGUAACAUAUGCUGUUUCAGAAAGGCGAUAAGUUCUGGUCCAGGAAGCCCAAAAGGCCAGCCAUGAAAAAUGUUAAGCCGCCCUCAAAGAAAACCAAGGGUAAGGGCAAAACCGCUGCGGCUGAGCCAUCCGAAGUCGAUGAAUCUCAAGUCGGCGAUGUACUUCCGGAGGUAAAAAUUCAUCCUCUUUUCACUCGCCAUCCACUACUGUUAAUCUUUGUAUUUAUAUCUCUCCCUUUUCUUGUAAUAGAACAAAGACAACGAAAGCCAGGAAGACUCUGUUGAGGUAAUUUCUGUUUCCUCCGAUUCAUCUCCUUCUCCACCUAAGCCGGCCAGGCGAAUUUGUGGGAAAGUUCCUUUCUCUCACCCAAAUGCUUGUUUGGAUCCAAAUUUCCUACUGAAGAAAGCACAGCAUACUUCAAAUCAGAAGACACGAAGUCAUUCCGGUGAUCUGGUGUCCGGCUUACCAGCAACGAACAAAAGGAAACCAAACGAGGUAUUUUAUAAAUAACAAUUCUUCAUGUCUCUUUGGAUGAUGCCUGUAACCCGCCUAUACUGUUGAUGUUUAAUUUUUUGCAGAGCUCUCCUCCUACAUCUGCGACUCAGUGAUGUCGACACUUCCACCAAUGAUUCGAGUUCCAGGGUAAGUCUUUUGAUAAUCUUGCUUUGAAUCCUGAGGGUAAUGAUCCUUCAAUCCCAUAAUGUGCUUCUCCUUCUUUUAGGGCACAGGCCAAGAAAAGGAAAACCAGCGGGUCGACCCCUGUCACAACUUCAGAGACCAUCAAAGAAUCAGCGCCGACUCAGGACAACCCGGACCAAGGUGAUCCUGAAAAUCAAAUGGACCUUCCAGACUCGCCUAAGUCGCCAAGUCCGUUGAUAACCACAGAAGACCCGGAUGCUGUAGUUAUUACUGGUACCGGCUUCUCUUAGCCGGCGGCAACGGUUUUGUCAAGGCAUGUGGAUUCCUCCUCUCAGGCCAUUCCCGAGUCUGGGCUCUCCAAAGCGAAGCUUUCCGAAUAUGAAAAUCUGGAGUUUAAGGAACUCUGCUCUGGUUUUUCAAGUCGCUUGGAGGCGAGCUAUGAGAUGGAGAAAAGCCUGCUGCGGAUGUUAAAAAACAAACAUGAGGUAAGUUUUGUUAUACUAUAUUACUCCCAUUAACCCCCAAGGGCCGGNNNNNNNNNNNNNNNNNNNNNNNNNNNNNNNNNNNNNNNNNNNNNNNNNNNNNNNNNNNNNNNNNNNNNNNNNNNNNNNNNNNNNNNNNNNNNNNNNNNNNNNNNNNNNNNNNNNNNNNNNNNNNNNNNNNNNNNNNNNNNNNNNNNNNNNNNNNNNNNNNNNNNNNNNNNNNNNNNNNNNNNNNNNNNNNNNNNNNNNNNNNNNNNNNNNNNNNNNNNNNNNNNNNNNNNNNNNNNNNNNNNNNNNNNNNNNNNNNNNNNNNNNNNNNNNNNNNNNNNNNNNNNNNNNNNNNNNNNNNNNNNNNNNNNNNNNNNNNNNNNNNNNNNNNNNNNNNNNNNNNNNNNNNNNNNNNNNNNNNNNNNNNNNNNNNNNNNNNNNNNNNNNNNNNNNNNNNNNNNNNNNNNNNNNNNNNNGAUGAGCCGGGUCUUGAUAUUGUAUAAUUUCAUUUGAAAAGAAAAAAUUAUACAUUAGCCCCCAAGUGUCAGGGAUAUUGCUUGCAAUAGUUCUGAGACUUGCCCUUGUUUUGUACUUUUAACAGGAAACUCUUGCUCAAACUGAAUCGGCGCUUGGCGAUUUAAGGAAAAACUUAUCUGUUCAGCAAGACGCCCGAGCUAAGUCGGAGGAGAAAUAUCAAUUGACCUUGGCUGAGAUGGAAAAACUCAAAGCCGAGUUGAAAAGAGCUCAAGCUGACCAAAAUGCCGCCAUAAAGAGCGCAGAAAAUGCUGAAGCCAGGCUGGCCACUGUGCAACAGGAAUUAUCCGGUUUGAAGCGUCAUAUCUCCAACAUGAUGCAAGCCGUCUUUGGUAAGCUUACUUAAACUUUUGGUCUCCUCUUCUUUUUUUUAUAAAUAAUUCUUAUCAUAAGUCGCUGAUCAUCAUGACUCCUUGCUCAGGUCCGAGAGCCGCCAACCUUCAAGAAGACUGCGUGCUGAUGCUAAAGGCGAUUUACACGCUGACAGAGCAACUGUACACCGGCAGUGUCUUGACUGUUAAAGCUGUGAUGGGUGCCAAAUAACCUAUAACUUCCAUAAAGAAGGUGCUUGGCUGCUUAUCAACACUUCCCCCUCAGAUUGGCGAGCUAACUCGGUCAGCCGCCCGAAAGGGUGUUCUGACUGCCCUGAGUCGCUGUUUGGCGUAUGCUCCAGAGAUCAACCCGGGAGAGGUAGUAGCCGGCUUUCCUCAGCUUAAAGGCGAUGGGUCAGAAUUCGUUGAAGAAGACUAUCAACGUGUCGUCAAGGACUCCCGGCUGGCAGCAACCCAACUUGCAGCAAGUCUUGAUUUAUCGAAGUAUCAGGCGGCUUACGAUAGCAAAAACAAAAAGGUCAACCCGCCAACCUUUGUGACGACCAGUCUAACUCCUCGGCGACCCAAGAACCCUUUUGACUUGGACGCAGACCUGGCAUCAAUCCUGACUGAUGAAGAUGACUUCGCAGCUUUGACUAAGUGCAAUUGGGUACUGGGCGACUUGCAAAUCGAAGUCGGCCAAAGCUCACAGCAGAAUGAUCCUAAGGCGCCAGCAGAAUAAACCUUAUUGAUUUUGGCCUGGGAGCCAUGUAAUAGGUCUUUUUUCAUAAGUCGGUACUGUUUUGGUGAUACCCUUUGCAAGGAUCUUUAUGUCGCCCGUAAGGCGAUUUUGCAAUAUUUGAGACUCCUUUAAGAUGCUUGACUCGCCAUGAAUGAAGUAGUUCUGAUCAUUAACCUGACUUAGGCUUUGAGAACAGCAUAUAUGAAACCAAAUAAGUGAUAACAAAUAUUUCCCAGAGGGAUCAGAAAGAAAGGUAAACCCUCAACGUUAUGCCAUUAAAUAAAAGCAGCAAUUUCGUCAGCUCAUAAAGUCGCGACAGGAUGAGGNNNNNNNNNNNNNNNNNNNNNNNNNNNNNNNNNNNNNNNNNNNNNNNNNNNNNNNNNNNNNNNNNNNNNNNNNNNNNNNNNNNNNNNNNNNNNNNNNNNNCCAUGCCAACUUUCAACCUUUUCAGAGUUCAUUUGUAGUUCUUUUCAAUUUAAGGGUCAUUUAGCUCAAACAAAUGAGUAAAUGCAUGAAAAAUACCAAAUGAAGUCAGAAUUUCUUGAAAAUUGGUGAUGUGGCUUUGAAUGGUGCAUUUUGAACACAUAAAAAGUCUGGAGUUCAAAUAAGUUCAGAAAAAUGAAAUCCUUUUGUAACAGAUGAGUUUUCGUAUGAAACCAUGAUACUUCGAAACAGAUUGUCCGUUUUGUACACGAAGUAUAUCCAGUUUUUGUCGUAACCCUCUCAACUUUUUAGCACAUGUUAUCUGGCUGAAAUGAUGAUACCAUGCCAACUUUCAACCUUUUCAGAGUUCAUUUGUAGUGCUUUUCAAUUUAAGGGUCAUUUAGGUGAAAAAAAUCAGUAAACGCAUGAAAAAUACCAAAUGAAGUCAAAAUUUGUUGAAAAUUGAUGAUGUGGCUUUGAAUGGUGCACUUUGAACGAACAAAAAGUCUAGAGUUCAAAUAAGUUCAAAAAAUGAAAUCCCUUUGUAACAAAUGAGUUUUCGUAUGAAACCAUGAUACUUCGAAAGAGANNNNNNNNNNNNNNNNNNNNNNNNNNNNNNNNNNNNNNNNNNNNNNNNNNNNNNNNNNNNNNNNNNNNNNNNNNNNNNNNNNNNNNNNNNNNNNNNNNNNGGGCCAGCCCCCUGGCUAAUUAAGUUUAGGAUUAAUAAAAUAAUUAAUUAAAUAAAAACCUAAACAGACAGUGACAUGUGGGUCCAACCCUGAUAAUUAGCUAAUUAAGUUAAAUUUAAACUAAAACCUGGCCAGAGUCACUAACCAGUGGGUCCCACUGGUCAGGUUUGACUUUCAACGGCCAAUUGGACCUACUGAUGUCAUGCUGAUGCAAUAAAGCCUUUUCUGUUUAAAAAUAAUUCCAGAAUAAGUUCAAAACUUUGGAAAUUUAUAGAAAAUUGAAUAUAACUCCAAAUUUGACAAAUAAUAUAUGUAAAAGGAUCAAAAAAAUUCAGGGAAUCCAAUGGUGCUAUUUCCUUGCAUGAAAAACGAAGUUACGAAACAGCAUCAUGUAAAAUCAAUUAAAUUUGCUAAAUUAUAAUUCAAAUGAUAUUUGAAUUAUGAUUUCAAAUCAAGAUCACCCAAAAGGUUUUGUUAGUCAUCUCAAACCAUGCUACAUUGCAUUUCAUGCAUCAUUUUGUUGCAUAUGUUUGAUAUUGAUUGAUUGUUGUUAUUCUAGUAGGCUCCGCCCCUCCGGAUACGUCUGAUUAUCCGACUGACGGAUAUCACCCCUCUGCUGAGCAACAAGGCAAGCAACCAUUUUGAUCAUCCCGAUAAAUCCCAUGUUCUCGUCCUACUCUUAUUUAUUGCAUUAGGUCAAAAUGCUUUCAAUGCUUUUACCACGUUAGUUGAACCCACUUCCUUUGCAUGACCUGUCCUUGUCACAGUAAAUAGCUGAACCUUGCAACCUAGCAUACCUGGUAGUUGCUUGAGCCAUAAUGUGUCUUAUCCUGCUAUGCAUGCUAGGCUUAGAGUUAUGUAUGGUCUGUCAUCUGGAUGAUGAAGAGAAUAGUGAUAAUGUAUUUAGUAGUAAAGGUUUUGCGUUGAACUUGAUUUGGUAAAGGUACUGGUGAAAGGCUAUGUAAGAGUACAUGGCGGGUUGUUUCAUUGGAACCGUCCUUAGGAACUGAGUUCCGUGUAUGUAAUACAAGAAAAGAUACUACCACAUGCUGGGCCCUGAAAUAUGACCCUGCUCGACUUAUUAUUCGCCUAGUACUCGGUCCAGGAGUUGCAAGUAGUUUCUGGUGUUUAUAGUCAUGCUGGAGGCCGUGCGUAGCGCUGACCUUAGAGGUGGGCUAUGAUGCGGUAGGCAGUGGCACGGUGUACCGAGUGGCACCCGGAUGGUGGGCUUGGGAACCCUGCGCACAUCGUUUGGGGCCGUGGCGUAAACCUCGGCCGGACUUCUGUGCGGGUUACCCUCAGAUAGGCAAUAAACCUGGACUAAGUAUUAGCGUGGUUAACAGUCGUGGCCGACUCCCUCGCUCGUCUUCCGCUUGAAGGUUGCCGAGGUGCAUGACGUGCACAUGGCAAUAAGUGGCGAGAGCGUGUGUGAAGAAGUACACCCCUGCAAGGUUAUGAUCUAUUCGAAUAGCCGCGUCCGCAGAUAUGGACUCCUUGGAAACAUAUGUUGUUCAUAGAUAACUAUAAUGGCUACUCAUAAAAUUGUCAAGAUAAGGGUGAGUGUCGUGGAUGGCAUUUCCGUAGGGAGACGUAAUGAUUCCAUGAUGGAGUAUUUUUGUGGUGUUAGUGGACUUGUGUGCGAGAAAUCAAAGUUGUCAAAACUAUUUAAAAAUGCAAGUUGUCUAGCUAANNNNNNNNNNNNNNNNNNNNNNNNNNNNNNNNNNNNNNNNNNNNNNNNNNNNNNNNNNNNNNNNNNNNNNNNNNNNNNNNNNNNNNNNNNNNNNNNNNNNCUAAGCCAUAGGAAUCCAGCCUGUAACACAUCACAUCUCUUUGCGGUCUCACGCACGGUUAUCCCCACGGCUACAACCUUACCUUAGCCGGGACCGUUUGCACCUUUUGACUCACGUAUGCAAUUGUGUCGCUAGCAUUCCAAUGUCAAAGAACUCGGAUCGACAUGUCUAGUCAUAAACUAAAGCGACAGUUCCGUACAGGGACAUGCAUACAUGACCCAGCAAAGCAGGUGUCGGUCAUCAGUGAAUGUAGACGAGUCGUAGCAAGCUACCAGGACUCCAUUACAUCGCGUGACAUUUCCCAAAUGGACCGACACAGCAGCUAAGAAGGACACAUGCCGGUCAACCAAUGUGUCUGGAGCAGUAGCGAACUACCAUGGCUCGAUGGAAUCACAAAGGGGAAUUUCCCCGUAAGGAGUGCUACUAAGUCAUACGACUAGGUAUCCGAACCUCAUACAUAUCAAGUACAACACACGUACGCAUGGCAUACCGAUAUGCAUAGAUACAUCGAUGGCAUCAUAACAUAACCAUAAACAUACAAACUUUACUUAGAAGGCUCGGAAGAGCCUCACACAUAAUAUUACACAGAUAGGGGUCUCAUGACCCAUCAUCACAAUUCAUACACACGAGUCUUACAAGCCAGCGGAAGAUUAAAAUUGUCUGAGUACAGACAGAUGGAAAGAUAAAGGCACAUGGCCUGACUAUCUACAGACCCAACCUAGGGCCAGAUCGUAGCUGGGACACCAGCUACUCGUCGUCGUCAAUGUCUAGAUAGAACCCUCCAUUAGGGUCGUUAACAACCUGUGCAACAAUUUAUUAAGCAAACAUGAGUACAACAGUACUCAGCAAGACUUUAGGAUAAUCUAUCUACUCAUGCAAUGUAUCAACAAGGGGUUGUGGGGUUUCAUGCAGAAAGCCAGCAUUUGACUCUUAGCUAGACAACUUGCNNNNNNNNNNNNNNNNNNNNNNNNNNNNNNNNNNNNNNNNNNNNNNNNNNNNNNNNNNNNNNNNNNNNNNNNNNNNNNNNNNNNNNNNNNNNNNNNNNNNACUCGGUUUGGGGGGGGAGUCCUCCCCCCCUUGGCUCGGCCGACCCCUUGGGGAUCCCUUGGACCCCAAGGCAAGGUCCCCCUCCCUCCUCCUAUAUAUAUGGGGCUUUUAGGGCAGAUUUGAGACGAUUUUCUCACGGCUGCCCGACCACAUACCUCCAUAGUUUUUCCUCUAGAUCGUGUUUCUGCGGAGCUCGGGCGGAGCCAUGCUGAGACAAGAUCAUCACCAACCUCCGGAGCGCCAUCAUGCUGCCGGAGAACUCUUCUACCUCUCCGUCUCUCUUGCUGGAUCAAAAAGGCCGAGAUCAUCGUCGAGCUGUACGUGUGCUGAACGCGGAGGUGCCGUCCGUUCGGUACUAGAUCGUGGGACUGAUCGCGGGAUUGUUCGCGGGGCGGAUCGAGGGACGUGAGGACGUUCCACUACAUCAACCGCGUUCUCUAACGCUUCUGCUGUACGAUCUACAAGGGUACGUAGAUCACUCAUCCCCUCUCGUAGAUGGACAUCACCAUGAUAGGUCUUCGUGCGCGUAGGAAAAUUUUUGUUUCCCAUGCGACGUUCCCCAACAGUGGCAUCAUGAGCUAGGUUCAUGCGUAGAUGUCUUCUCGAGUAGAACACAAAAGGUUUUGUGGGCGGUGAUGUGCGUUUUUCUGCCCUCCUUAGUCUUUUCUUGAUUCCGCGGUAUUGUUGGAUUGAAGCGGCUUGGACCGACAUUACUCGUACGCUUACGAGAGACUGGUUUCAUCGUUACGAGUAACCCCCUUUGCUCAAAGAUGACUGGCAAGUGACGGUUUCUCCAACUUUAGUUGAAUCGGAUUUGACCGAGGAGGUCCUUGGAUGAGGUUAAAUAGCAACUCAUAUAUCUCCGUUGUGGUGUUUGCGUAAGUAAGAUGCGGUCCUACUAGAUACCCUUGGUCACCACGUAAAACUUGCAACAACAAAAUUAGAGGACGUCUAACUUGUUUUUGCAGGGUAUGAUUGUGAUGUGAUAUGGCCAAUGAUGUGAUGUGAUAUAUUGGAUGUAUGAGAUGAUCAUGUUGUAAUAGAAAUAUCGACUUGCACGUCGAUGGUACGGCAACCGGCAGGAGCCAUAGGGUUGUCUUUAUACUAACAUAUUUGUGCUUGCAGAUGCGUUUACUAUUUUGCUAGGAUGUAGCUUUAGUAGUAAUAGCAUAAGUAGCACGACAACCCCGAUGGCAACACGUUGAUGGAUGAUCAUGGUGUGGCGCCGGUGACAAGAAGAUCGUGCCGGUGCUUUGGUGAUGGAGAUCAAGAAGCACGUGAUGAUGGCCAUAUCAUGUCACUUAUGAAUUGCAUGUGAUGUUAAUCCUUUUAUGCACCUUAUUUUGCUUAGAACGACGGUAUCAUUAUGAGGUGAUCUCUCACUAAAAUUUCAAGACGAAAUUGUGUUCUCCCCGACUGUGCACCGUUGCUACAGUUCGUCGUUUCGAGACACCACGUGAUGAUUGGGUGUGAUAGACUCAACGUUCACAUACAGCGGGUGCAAAACAGUUGCGCACGCGGAACACUCGGGUUAAGCUUGACGAGCCUAGCAUGUGCAGACAUGGCCUCGGAACACAUGAGACCGAAAGGUCGAUCAUGAAUCAUAUAGUUGAUAUGAUUAGCAUAGGGAUGCUUACCACUGAAACUACUCUCGACUGACGUGAUGAUCGGACUUGGGAUAGUGUAAGUGGAUCAUGAACCACUCAAAUGACUAGAGAGAUGUACUUUUUGAGUGGGAGUUUAGCAUAUAAUUUGAUUAAGUUGAACUCUAAUUAUCUUGAACAUAGUCUAAAGUCCACUUUCAAUAUAUUUGUGUUGUAGAUCAUGGCUCACGCAAGUGUCAUCCUGAAUUUUAAUACGUUCCUAGAGAAAGCUAAGUUGAAAGAUGAUGGAAGCAACUUUGUAGACUGGGCUCGUAAUCUUAAGCUAAUCUUACAAGCUGGAAAGAAGGAUUAUGUCCUUAAUGCUGCGCUAGGAGAUGAACCACCCGCUACGGCUGAUCAGGAUGUUAAGAACGCUUGGUUAGCACGUAAGGAGGACUACUCAAUAGUUCAAUGUGCAGUCUUGUAUGGCUUAGAGCCGGGACUUCAACGUCGCUUUGAGCGUCAUGGAGCAUUUGAGAUGUUCCAGGAGUUGAAGUUUAUCUUUCAGAAGAACGCCCGGAUCGAGAGGUAUGAGACCUCCGAUAAAUUCUAUGCUUGCAAGAUGGAGGAAAACUCGUCUGUCAGUGAACAUGUGCUCAAAAUGUCUGGGUACUCAAACCGUCUAGCUGAACUGGGGAUUGAACUCCCGCAAGAAGCUAUCACUGACAGAAUCCUCCAAUCAUUGCCGCCAAGCUAUAAAGGCUUUGUGUUGAACUACAACAUGCAAGGGAUGAACAAGUCUCCCGGCGAGUUGUUUGCGAUGCUGAAAGUCGCAGAGUCUGAACUCCGUAAAGAGCAUCAAGUGUUGAUGGUGAGCAAGACCACUAGUUUCAAGAGAAACGACAAAGGCAAGAAGGGAAAUUCGAAGAAGAGCGGCAAACCUGUUGCCAAUCCGCCGAAGAAACCCAAGGCUGGACCUAAGCCUGAAACAGAGUGCUUCUAUUGCAAGGGUAUGGGUCACUGGAAGCGCAAUUGCCCCAAAUAUCUGGCAGAUAAGAAGGCGGGCAAAGAAAAAUCAGGUAUAUUUGAUAUACAUGUUAUUGAUGUGUACUUAACCGGCUCUCAUAGUAGUGCCUGGGUAUUCGAUACCGGUUCUGUUGCUCACAUUUGCAACUCGAAACAGGAAAUGCGGAAUAGACGGAGGCUGGCGAAAGACGAAGUGACGAUGCGCGUAGGAAACGGUCCCAAGGUUGAUGCAAUCGCCGUCGGCACCGUGUCACUUCAACUACCAUCGGGAUUAGUGAUGAACUUAAAUCAUUGUUAUUUAGUGCCUGCGUUGAGCAUGAACAUUAUAUCUGGAUCUUGUUUAUUGCGAGACGGUUACUCUUUUAAGUCUGAGAAUAAUGGUUGUUCUAUUUCUAUGAGUAACGUCUUUUAUGGUCAUGCACCGAAUGUGAGAGGAUUGUUCAUAUUGAAUCUCGAUAGCGAUACGCAUAUACAUAACAUUGAGACCAAAAGAGUUAGAGUGAACAAUGAUAGCGCCAUAUUUUUGUGGCACUGCCGCUUGGGUCAUAUUGGUGUAAAGCGCAUGAAGAAACUCCAUGCUGAUGGACUUUUGGAGUCACUUGACUUUGAUUCACUUGACACGUGCGAACCAUGCCUCAUGGGCAAGAUGACUAAAACUCCGUUCUCCGGAACAAUGGAGCGUGCAAGUGACUUGUUGGAAAUCAUACAUACCGAUGUGUGUGGUCCGAUGAGCGUGGAGGCACGCGGCGGAUAUCGUUAUUUUCUCACCUUCACUGACGAUUUAAGUAGAUAUGGUUAUGUCUACUUGAUGAAGCACAAGUCUGAAACAUUUGAAAAGUUCAAGCAAUUUCAGAGUGAAGUAGAAAAUCAUCGUAACAAGAAGAUCAAGUUCCUACGGUCUGAUCGUGGGGGUGAAUAUCUGAGUUUCGAGUUUGGUACUCACUUAAGACAAUGUGGAAUUGUUUCGCAGUUAACACCGCCUGGAACACCACAGCGUAAUGGUGUGUCCGAACGUCGUAAUCGUACUUUGUUAGAGAUGGUGCGAUCUAUGAUGUCUCUUACUGAUUUGCCGUUAUCAUUUUGGGGUUAUGCAUUAGAAACAGCUGCAUUCACUUUAAAUUCAAAAUCCGUUGAGACGACACCAUAUGAACUGUGGUAUGUCAAAAGACCAAAGUUGUCGUUUCUUAAAGUUUGGGGAUGUGAUGCUUAUGUCAAAAAGCUUCAGCCUGAAAAGCUGGAACCCAAAGCGGAAAGGUGCGUCUUCAUAGGUUACCCAAAGGAGACAGUUGGGUACACCUUCUAUCUCAAAUCCGAGGGCAAAGUGUUUGUUGCGAAAAACGGAACUUUUCUCGAGAAGGAGUUUCUCUCGAGAGAAUUGAGUGGGAGGAAGAUAGAACUUGACGAGGUUGUCAAACCUCUCAUCCCUCUGGAUGGUGGCGCAGGGCAAGGGGAAACCUCUGUCGUUGCGACGCCGGUUGAGGAGGAAGUUAAUGAUGAUGAUCAUGAAACUCCAGUUCAAGUUUCUGUUGAACCACGCAGGUCGACGAGAUCACGCGCUGCUCCAGAGUGGUACGGUAAUCCCGUCUUGUCAAUCAUGUUGUUAGACAACAAUGAACCUGCAAAUUAUGAAGAAGCAAUGGUGGGCCCAGAUUCCAACAAAUGGCUAGAAGCCAUGAAAUCCGAGAUAUGAUCCAUGUAUGAGAACAAAGUGUGGACUUUGGAGAUACUACCUGAAGGCCGCAAGGCUAUUCAGAACAAAUGGAUCUUUAAGAAGAAGACGGACGCUGACGGUAAUGUGACCGUUUAUAAAGCUCGACUUGUGGCAAAGGGUUUUUCAUAAGUUCCAGGAGUUGACUACGACGAGACCUUCUCACCCGUAGCGAUGCUUAAGUCCGUCAGAAUCAUGUUAGCAAUAGCUGCAUUUUUCGAUUAUGAAAUCUGGCAGAUGGAUAUCAAAACGGCGUUCCUUAACGGUUUCCUUAAGGAAGAGUUGUAUAUGAUGCAACCCGAAGGUUUUGUCGAUCCUAAAAAUGCUGACAAGGUGUGCAAGCUCCAGCGAUCCAUUUAUGGACUGGUGCAAGCAUCUCGGAGUUGGAACAAGCGCUUUGAUGAGGUGAUCAAAGCAUUUGGGUUUAUACAAGUGGUUGGAGAAUCUUGUAUUUACAAUAAAGUGAGUGGGAGCUCUGUGGCGUUUCUAAUAUUAUAUGUGGAUGACAUAUUACUGAUUGGAAACAACGUAGAGCUUUUGGAGAGCAUAAAAGGUUACUUGAAUAAAAGUUUCUCUAUGAAGGACCUAGGAGAAGCUGCUUACAUUCUAGGCAUUAAGAUCUAUAGGGAUAGAUCAAAACGCCUGAUAGGACUUUCACAAAGCACAUACCUUGAUAAAGUUUUGAAGAGGUUCAAAAUGGAACAGUCCAAGAAAGGGUUCUUGCCAGUGUUACAAGGUACGAGAUUGAGUAAGACUCAGUGCCCAGCAACUGAUGAAGAUAGAGAGCAUAUGCGCUCCGUCCCCUAUGCUUCAGCCAUAGGCUCUAUCAUGUAUGCGAUGCUGUGCACUAGACCGGAUGUUAGCCUGGCCAUAAGUAUGGCAGGUAGGUUCCAGAGUAAUCCAGGAGUGGAUCACUGGACGGCGGUCAAGAAUAUCCUGAAGUACCUGAAAAGGACUAAGGAGAUGUUUCUCGUGUAUGGAGGUGACGAAGAGCUCGCCGUAAAUGAUUACGUCGAUGCAAGCUUUGACACAGAUCCGGACGACUCUAAGUCGCAAACCGGAUACGUAUUUAUUCUUAAUGGGGGUGCAGUAAGCUGGUGCAGUUCCAAGCAAAGCGUCGUAGCAGAUUCUACAUGUGAAGCGGAGUACAUGGCUGCCUCGGAGGCGGCUAAGGAGGGUGUCUGGAUGAAGCAGUUCAUGACGGAUCUUGGAGUAGUGCCAAGUGCACUGGAUCCAAUAACCUUGUUCUGUGACAACACUGGUGCCAUUGCCUUAGCAAAGGAACCAAGGUUUCACAAGAAGACCAGACACAUCAAACGACGCUUCAACCUCAUCCGCGACUACGUCGAGGAGGAGGACGUAAAUAUAUGCAAAGUGCACACGGAUCUGAAUGUAGCAGACCCGCUGACUAAACCUCUUCCACGGCCAAAACAUGAUCGACACCAGAACUGUAUGGGUGUUAGAUUUAUUACAAUGUAAUUCACAUGGUGAUGUGAGGGCUAGAUUAUUGACUCUAGUGCAAGUGGGAGACUGUUGGAAUUAUGCCCUAGAGGCAAUAAUAAAUGUAUAGUUAUUAUUAUAAUUCUGUAUCAAGAUAAUAGNNNNNNNNNNNNNNNNNNNNNNNNNNNNNNNNNNNNNNNNNNNNNNNNNNNNNNNNNNNNNNNNNNNNNNNNNNNNNNNNNNNNNNNNNNNNNNNNNNNNCUGUAUCAAGAUAAUAGUUUAUUAUCCAUGCUAUAAUUGUAUUGAAUGAAGACUCAUUUACAUGUGUGGAUACAUAGACAAAACACCGUCCCUAGCAUGCCUCUAGUUGGCUAGCCAGUUGAUCGAUGAUAGUCAGUGUCUUCUGAUUAUGAACAAAGUGUUGUUGCUUGAUAACUGGAUCACGUCAUUAGGAGAAUCACGUGAUGGACUAGACCCAAACUAAUAGACGUAGCAUGUUGAUCGUGUCAUUUUGUUGCUACUGUUUUCUGCGUGUCAAGUAUUUAUUCCUAUGACCAUGAGAUCAUAUAACUCACUGACACCGGAGGAAUACUUUGUGUGUAUCAAACGUCGCAACGUAACUGGGUGACUAUAAAGAUGCUCUACAGGUAUCUCUGAAGGUGUUAGUUGAGUUAGUAUGGAUCAAGACUGGGAUUUGUCACUCCGUGUGACGGAGAGGUAUCUCGGGGCCCACUCGGUAAUACAACAUCACACACAAGCCAUGCAAGCAAUGUAACUUAGUGUAAGUUGCGGGAUCUUGUAUUACGGAACGAGUAAAGAGACUUGCCGGUAAACGAGAUUGAAAUAGGUAUGCGGAUACCGACGAUCGAAUCUCGGGCAAGUAACAUACCGAAGGACAAAGGGAAUGACAUACGGGAUUAUACGAAUCCUUGGCACUGAGGUUCAAACGAUAAGAUCUUCGUAGAAUAUGUAGGAUCCAAUAUGGGCAUCCAGGUCCCGCUGUUGGAUAUUGACCGAGGAGUCUCUCGGGUCAUGUCUACAUAGUUCUCGAACCCGCAGGGUCUGCACACUUAAGGUUCGACGUUUUUUUAUGCGUAUUUGAGUUAUAUGGUUGGUUACCGAAUGUUGUUCGGAGUCCCGGAUGAGAUCACGGACGUCACGAGGGUUUCCGGAAUGGUCCGGAAACGAAGAUUGAUAUAUAGGAUGACCUCAUUUGAUUACCGGAAGGUUUUCGAAGUUACCGGGAAUGUACCGGGAAUGACGAAUGGGUUCCGGGAGUUCACCGGAGGGGGGCAACCCACUUCGGGGAAGCCCAUAGGCUUUUGGGGGACACACCAGCCCUUAGUGGGCUGGUGGGACAGCCCCAAGGAGGCCUAUGCGCCAAGAUAAGAAAAUCAAAGGAAAAGAAAAAAAAAAGAGGGAAGAAGUGGGAAGGGAGGGGGACUCCUCCCACCAAACCAAGUCCAACUCGGUUUGGGGGGGGNNNNNNNNNNNNNNNNNNNNNNNNNNNNNNNNNNNNNNNNNNNNNNNNNNNNNNNNNNNNNNNNNNNNNNNNNNNNNNNNNNNNNNNNNNNNNNNNNNNNUAGGUGACAUUAGGGUCUUGGUUGAUAUGUAUCUUAAGGUGUUAUUCUAGUACGAACUCUAUGAUGGAUCGAACGGAAAGAAUAGCUUCGUGUUAUUUUACUACGGACUCUUGAAUAGAUCGAUCAGAAAGAAUAACUUUGUGGUGGUUUCGUACCCGACAAUAAUCUCUUCAUUUGUUCUCCGCUAUUAGUGACUUUGGAGUGACUCUUUGUUGCAUGUUGAGGGCUAGUUAUAUGAUCCAAUUAUUUUAUCAUUGUUGAGAGACCUUCACUAGUGAAAGUAUGAACCCUAGGCCUUGUUUCCACGCAUUGCAAUACCGUUCGUGCUCACUUUUACCAUUUGUUACCUUGUUGUUUUUGUAAUUUCAGAUUACAAAAACCUAUAUCUACCAUCCAUAUUGCACUUGUAUCACCAUCUCUUCGCCGAACUAGUGCACCUAUACAAUUUACUAUUGUAUUGGGUGUGUUGGGGACACAAGAGACUCUUUGUUAUUUGGUUGCAGGGUUGCUUGAGAGAGACCAUCUUCAUCCUACGCCUCCUGAAGAUUGAUAAACCUUAGGUCAUCCACCUGAGGGAAAAUUGCUACUGUCCUACAACCCUCUGCACUUGGUGGCCCAACAACGUCUAGAAGGAGAAGGUUGCAUAGUAGACAUCAGUCCCUAGCAUUCCAAUGUCAAAGAACCCGGAUCGACAUGUCUAGUCAUAAACUAAAGCGGCAGUUCCGUACAGGGAGAGGCAGACAUGACCCAGCAAAGAAGGUGUCGGUCAUCAGCGAAUGUAGACGAGUCAUAGGAAGCUACCAGGACUCCAUUACAUCGCGUGACAUUUCCCAAAGGAACAAACACAACAGCUAAGAAAGACACAUGCCAGUCAACCAAUCUGUCUGGAGCAGUAGCGAACUACCAUGGCUCGAUGGAAUCACAAAGGGGCAUUUCCCCGUAAGGAGUGCUACUAAGGCAUACGACUAGGUAUUUGAACCCCAUACAUAUAAAGUACAACACACGUACGCAUGGCAUUCCAAUAUGCAUAGAUACAUCGAUGGCAUCANNNNNNNNNNNNNNNNNNNNNNNNNNNNNNNNNNNNNNNNNNNNNNNNNNNNNNNNNNNNNNNNNNNNNNNNNNNNNNNNNNNNNNNNNNNNNNNNNNNNAGAUUUGAGACGAUUUUCUCACGGCUGCCCGACCACAUACCUCCAUAGUUUUUCCUCUAGAUCGUGUUUCUGCGGAGCUCGGGCGGAGCCCUGCUGAGACAAGAUCAUCACCAACCUCCGGAGCGCCAUCACGCUGCCGGAGAACUCUUCUACCUCUCCGUCUCUCUUGCUGGAUCAAGAAGGCCGAGAUCAUCAUCGAGCUGUACGUGUGCUGAACGCGGAGGUGCCGUCCGUNNNNNNNNNNNNNNNNNNNNNNNNNNNNNNNNNNNNNNNNNNNNNNNNNNNNNNNNNNNNNNNNNNNNNNNNNNNNNNNNNNNNNNNNNNNNNNNNNNNNNNNNNNNNNNNNNNNNNNNNNNNNNNNNNNNNNNNNNNNNNNNNNNNNNNNNNNNNNNNNNNNNNNNNNNNNNNNNNNNNNNNNNNNNNNNNNNNNNNNNNNNNNNNNNNNNNNNNNNNNNNNNNNNNNNNNNNNNNNNNNNNNNNNNNNNNNNNNNNNNNNNNNNNNNNNNNNNNNNNNNNNNNNNNNNNNNNNNNNNNNNNNNNNNNNNNNNNNNNNNNNNNNNNNNNNNNNGCGACGUUCCCCAACAAUAUUUUCCCUCUAACCAAUCUUGAUCACUUGCACCCAUUCACUUUAAUCUAAAUGUUGUUUUUGCAAAAUUAUUAUUAAUGUUAUAUAUUAAUAUGUAUAACUGUGUGUAAAUAAAAUAUAAAUAAAAAAUAAAAUACACGCGUUUAGUAGUGGCGCAGUUUGAAAAAGCUCGCUACUGCUAGUGGAAUACUAGUAGUAGCGCGGUUAUAGUAGCUCGUUACUCCUAACCCAGUUGUCAGUAGCGUUGGGCAACCCGCUCUACUGCUAAAAGUUAGCCAUAGCACCGUAGCAGUAGCGCAGGCACCCGCCCUACUGCUAAGGAAAAACCCGCGCUACUGCUAGGCUUUUUCCUAUUAAUAAGGGAUUAUGCCCAAGUUCUACCAAAUCAGUAAAAUGUGGGCAUCCACAGUGCCUCACAUUUGUGUUCCAUCAUUAAUGAGUUCAUCCUUCUAACUGUGCUCUGGAAAUUUUGGGAGGCGAGAAAUGAAAUUGUCUUUAAUAAUGUAUGCCUCUCACAUGGAGUUACAACCCGCACAAUUAUCGAGGAGCUCACAAUUUGGUCCCACCGGCUAAAAACGUCUUCUCAUGAGGGAUCGCGCCGGCUGGUGGCAUGAUCACCUUUCUUCCAAACUGUCCUAGUGGUUGUAUGGACAUUUACAUAACACUUUGAAAUAUAGAAAGAUAAUGAAUCUUGUUUGAACCAUUAAUGAAAAAUAGAGGUUGGUACAAUCCAUUGUCAAAAUAUCAUAGCACGAUGCUUGCUUGAAUUUGGCUACUUCCAAAAAAUGUUAUUUUUCACGCUAUAUAGUAUGGUUACAAACAGAAUGAAGUCAGAAGCAGUUCAUGGCAAAUAGGAAUUCUUUCAGUAGUAUUAGCCAUUUUUCCUAUUUUCCUUCAUAUUUUAUUAUAAACCUGGGUAUACCCUGGACCGGGCUAGGCUUUAGAAAGCCCGAACUGAAAAUUCAAAGCCAUAGCCCAACACGGUCCUACAAAAAAUGAAUAUUCAGUUCCAAACAUGGACCGAAUAGACUAAAAGGAUGAAUUUCAGGCCGAACCGGGCCAGGCCUCCGUUUAAAAUGGCUAUUUUCCCAAGCCCGAGCCCGAGCCCGACCCUUAUUACAUACCAAGUCUAGUUUUCAAGCCCAAAUCCGGCCCAAACAUAAAGCCCGGACCGGCCCGGUCUGGGUUUUUCAUGUCGGGUCAUCGGACCGGGUUGCCCAUGCCGAGGUUUAUUUAUCAUAACUAUAAUCCCUCCUUGUGGCACCAUCGACCACCUGUGCCACCGCAUAGUCAAGCCUUGGACUCAUUUUCACACACAACGACAAGCCUUGGAUUGGACUCAUUUUCAUGGGCAACGCCACGCCAUGACGACGUCUUUGUCUCCUGCUCACUCUUGGCUCAGCCUCGCCGGGGACGCCACAACCUCGUGCCGUGUGGCCUUCUUCUCCUAGCAAAAUCGACUGGCUAUUUUCAGACAAUUUAUGAACAACAAACACAGAAAAGGAACGAAAGAUACAUGCACAUACGUUGAGCACCUUCACUGUCAUUAUGAAGGACUGAUACCACCCACCUCUCCCUUAGUAGUAAAACGUGUUUGGCAUGGUGCUAUACACACAUGCAUUGCUACCACGUGCUAAGCUUAAAAGGCUACAUGUGUUCUGAUGAGAUUAAUGGUGGAACGAGUGAAGUCUCAUUUAAACCUUGAGGAUAUAGCGCUAGCUAGUCGAAAGUAAACCCUUACCUUCAAAUCCUGAAAUACGUACCAUGUUCUAUCUAAUUCCGGUUGUUUUUAACCUUUUCGUCCUAUCCAAAUAGGGGUUUCUUACAUGGCACCGAGCCGGGAUGGGUGGAUUAGGCCAUGUGUGGGAUUCACUUGUCUCGGAUGAACGUAUUGGUAUUGAUCUAAGAGCAACUCUAGCAGACCCCGUAUCCCGCCCCGACCUGCAAAAUAACCGUCAAAGUGAGGGUCGGGGCAGAAAAACCUACGCGAUCAGACCCCGCAUCCUGCCCCGACCCGCAAAUAUUUUUACGGGGCGCGGCAAAACCCCCCCAACCUCUAGUUUCACAGGCCGAGAGGCGGACCCGAGCUCAGCCUCUAUCCGCAACAAGAUUUGGCGGGAGGGACAUUUCCGCACGGCCUUUCCCGCUUCCCCCACCCGCUGCCACCAUUGCCUCGCCACCGCACGCUCCGGUGCAUCCUCCGCGGACGUCCCUUGCUGCCAUGGACGCCUCCUUGCCGCCCCCGUCACCGUGCACGCUCCUUCCCCGAAUCUCGUCGCCGGCCAUGCUGGCCUCGUCGUCGCUCAAGCUAGCGCCGCGCCUUUCCCGGCUCUCGUCGCCGUCCAUGUUGGCCCUGCCUGCGCCGUGCCGGGCGGAAAUCCGACAGCCCCCACCACGAAGGCUCGCGCUUCGGGCGCUAAGGUUGUUGUGCGAUCUCGGUCGGCGGCGGAGAAGGUCACCAAGGCCGCGGGCGUCAAGAGGAAGAGGAUUCUGGUUCCUCCUUCAUCCUCUCGCUCCAUCCCAGAAAGAGAUGCCCCGACGAUGCCGUUCAACGGUGUCGCUCACCCCGCAAGCGAGGUGUUCGACGAAAUGGCCGGAAGGUAUGCGUCUUCAGUCAUGGUCAUUUCCUUUCGUUUUCGCCCUUUGUUGUGAUAGCUCGUGACUUGUCAAUCGUUCAAUAUAGCCAAAGAUCGAAGAACUACACGAUCUUGGAAGAUCAAGCCUUGAUCCAAGCAUGGAGUGCGGUGUUUCUUGAUGUAUGCACAUGUACAUUUCAAACCGCACAUUUCGAUACUUCCGCAUUAUGGAAAAGUAUCCCAAUACGACUCCGCGCACAUUUUGGUCGCUUGAAGGGCGUUGGGAGAAUAUCAAGCCUAUGUGCAGCCGUUGGGCAGCUUGCUUGGAGCAAGUACGCAAUGCACUUUCAAGUGGCACCGCGGAGUCCGACUAUGUGAGUUUGUUUUGCCUUUGUUCAAGUUGUGUGUAAUCAUAUUUGCAUCAUGAGAAUUGAUUACAUCACUUUGUUCAUAUUGUGAAGGACAAGAUUGCCCAACAUAGAUACAAAGGCAUGGAAGCUUCGGAAGGCAAAUUCUUCAAACUAGAGCAUUGUUGGGAGUUGCUCCAAACGUGUGAGAAGUGGAAGUUGAUCGACAAAGAAUCUUUCUUGCUCGCCGAAGAGAACAAGAUCAUGUCAAUGAACCGCGAUGACAUGGACGACCUCACCAAAACAUGGCAUGAUAUGGCAAGUAGAGCGAUCUUGAAGAGGAGGAUGGAAGACUCUGCUCCAUAUGGUGGCAUUAUAUGGCAAGGAGAUAGAUCUUGAACAUGGCAUGAUAUGGCAAGGAGUGAAGAUCGACCAAGAUGAUGCAAGACCCUCUUUUGCGUUUGUCGUACUGAACUUGGCUUUUAUUUCCGUGUAAAAUUGUGUUAUGUUUGUUUGAAUUUGAACUUAUUUCUGAGAACUUAUGUCAAAUGCGAGAAUUUAGCGUUUUCUGUUUUCGGGGCGACGCGGCCGUGUCUGAACAGACCCCGCAAAAGCUGACCCGUAUAAAAGCAUAUUCGGCAAAUAUACUUUUAUACGGGUCCGUUUGGGGGUCUGCAUCCAUGCCAGGCCGCGUCGGCCCACAAAAGGGGUUUUGCGCGUAGUUUUGCAGGACGGCAUUAUGCGGGGUCGGCUAGAGUUGCUCUAAGGCUCAAUGGAUCAAGAGAAAGAUCCAGAAAUAAAUAACAUUAAGGGAAGAAUGUCACGAACCAACGUACGUACCUCUUUGACCCCAACUAAUGCGCCCUGCUCGGGGGCAACCCAAACUAACGUGGUUGAGGUCCCUUGAUCGCUUGCGCCAUAUAUAAAGAGUGGGGCAGCCUGCUACCUAGCUAUGAUCUGACUUGUUCAUGUACGUCUACUCUAUCCUCUUAAAUCCUAAAACCCUAAUCCGAUCUGGGGAGCGUUGUGCGACGGGAAGGCCUUCUUCACUAGUAGAAAAUGGCACAUUUGUUCUGGUUUCAGAGGCCCGUUAGCCCCGGUUCUGGAACCGGGACUAAAGGUUCGGGACUAAAGGCCCANNNNNNNNNNNNNNNNNNNNNNNNNNNNNNNNNNNNNNNNNNNNNNNNNNNNNNNNNNNNNNNNNNNNNNNNNNNNNNNNNNNNNNNNNNNNNNNNNNNNNNNNNNNNNNNNNNNNNNNNNNNNNNNNNNGACUAAAGGCCCAAACCUUUAGUCUCAGUUGUCUUACGAACCGGGCCCAAAGGAGCUCCACGUGACUGCUGCGGGGAGCCCAGGCAGGAGGAACUUUAGCUAGCUGGGUCAGCAUCUGGCCGGAGCUGGGUUUUUUUGAAUGUGUGUGUGUGGGGGNNNNNNNNNNNNNNNNNNNNNNNNNNNNNNNNNNNNNNNNNNNNNNNNNNNNNNNNNNNNNNNNNNNNNNNNNNNNNNNNNNNNNNNNNNNNNNNNNNNNNNNNNNNNNNNNNNNNNNNNNNNNNNNNNNNNNNNNNNNNNNNNNNNNNNNNNNNNNNNNNNNNNNNNNNNNNNNNNNNNNNNNNNNNNNNNNNNNNNNNNNNNNNUUCUCCGUGCUUGGUCGACGCUAGCUACUAUACAUAUAGAAAGAACUUGACGCUAGCUAAUAAGAAAAUGAAGGAAACCAUUUACAAUCCCUAACAUCUUUUAGAAUAUAACAUCUUUUACAAUCCCUGACAUCAUCUACCUAACAUCCAAUCACAAAUUCGAAUGGUAUUCUCCGUCUUUAGGUAUGACAUGAUCAAGAAAGAGUCCUGACAAUUCCUCUUGUAUUGCUCGUAUGCGAUCAUGUGUUAGGAGUUCAUCACGCAUUUGCCAGAUCUAAUUUAAAGAAGGGGCCAAUACAUGCAUAUAUAUGAAUAAAACUCAACACAAUUGAUGUUAAUAUAUAAAAUAAAAUUGUGAAUAUUAUUUACGUACUUGAUAUUGUUUCUCAGAUAAGCCCCCCUCCGCUCAGAGGUCGAGAGGCGAAUAAGCUCGCAUACGUAGUAUGCACAUAAUUCAGUCCCAUUGUCCUGGUACGAGCACUUUACGAGAAUAGAGUUCAAUCAAAGUGAUAAGCAAGCAUGGUAGUGAUAUAUUGAUGAAAACUUGAAUCAAUUAGAGAUGCGCAUAGCUAGCUAGUACUACUUACUUUGGGGUGCGUAAAUUGCAACUCUUUGUUUAGACCGGGAGUCUUUUUGGUGAACUUCUUCCAAACCCUGUCAGGCAAAGAAAAUGAUUACUUGAUAUCAGAAAAUUAACGAAAGUUGCAUGCCGAUAUGGUCCCGGUAUUAAAUGAACUUACUUCUUGAGCAUUGCAGUCAUGUCCGCAUAAUACUCGGGGUCUUUACGUCUCGAGUCUAAGACAUUUAAUUUUGCCCCGUCAAGCUUAAUGGAUAGCAGAAUAUAGUGAUAAUUGUGCACGCAUAUAUAACUCAUCAAUUACAUUACUUAACCUCGAGUAAGCGAAACCGAGUAUACAGAGAAGACAACAACACUCACUUGAAGUUGUAAGGAAAGAGUAUUUCUCUUUUGUUUUGAUUUACAAGGAACGACUUUAGCAAGUUGUCCUCGAUCUCUUUGGUUGAGUAUCAUACCGACCAUUCAUUUACGACAUCUAGGCUAAUGAACCCAACAUCGAAGAUUCCUGUUUUUUUUUAAUUCGACGAUCUUCAAUCUGCAUAUAAUAUAUAUAGUAAGGAUAAUUAUAUAUAUACAUGCAAUGAACGAGCUGAGCUAGAGACAUAACUAUAGGAUUAAUACUUACAAAUAGUAGGAAGUCACGAGUUGUUUGUCGAGGGCCAGUUGAUUUUAUAACUGAAAUAACUCCACAAAUUCAAAAGGUAUCACUGGAGCUCCAACGAAUUCGUGCUCUGGUUUCACUUCCAUAUAGAUAGUGUCUUUCCCAGACCCGUGGCAGGUAUUCAUGUACCGGUCAUGCAAUUUGUGCAUCAACGAUGUUAGAGGAGGAUGACCAGGUUUGACGAGAGACUUUUCGUGCAUGUAUUUAUAUUUUCCUUCUCUUACCUCAUCCGUUUGAAAAAUUACAUCAUCCCCCAAGUAAUCACCAGGAUUGGUACCGGGUACCAUCCCCGGAGGAUUAGCGACGAUAUCGCUAGAGACCUUGAGCGGGGGGCAUGAUUGCUUCUCCUGUUGGCCGAGCUGGGGAAUUGUCUUCCCACUUCUUCGUUUUGCUACCUUGCAUCACUGCUAGCCGUCGGAGCGGCGGUGUCUCUCUUCCGCUUCACAGAAGGAGGAGGAGGACGACGACGACGAGUGCCCUGAUCACUCGUCGAAGGAGGAGGAGGGGGAGGAGGAGGAGGAGGAGGCGGCCUGCCCUGAUCACUCGCCGGAGGAGGAGGACGAGUGCCCUAAUCACUCGCUGGAGGAGGAGGAUGAGUGCCCUGAUCACUCACCGGAGGAGGAGGGCGAGUGCCCUGAUCACUCGCCGAAGGAGGAGGAGGAGGCGGAGUUCCCUGAUUACUCGUCGGAGGAGGAGGAGGCGGAGUGCCAUGACUCGCCGGAGGCGUCCAGUUUGGAAGCUUGAUGUACUCCUUCUGCCAUAGACAUGUACUCCUCACAGCAUGAACCAACUUAUUCUCCCCUUCACCUGUAGGGUAUUCAAGCUUGAGCUCCUCAAAUCCCUCCAUUACUUCAUCCACCAUCACAACAGCAAAGCCAUGUGGAAUCAGAAGGCAAUGAAAAGUUCCUUUGGGUUGAGGAGGUGGAGCAUAGCCGAUAGCAGCGUUGAAAGUGAGGUUCCGGCAUUUCAUCAUAAGCUCGCAAUGUUGAGCCUCCGUGAUAGUAUCCACGGGGUAUCUAGGAGCCGUGAAGUCAGGCGAAACGAGCUCCGUGGAAGCCACACUGCUUAUCCGUUGAGAUGGCGGGGUAGCUUCUGGGGUAGCUCGUUGACUCUCAAGUUUCUCUAUCUUUUGUAGUCUUGCAUUGAUCUUCUACAUGUUGCUCAGCUCUACUUUCCUCUUUCUCUCUCAGCUUCUGUAACCACCUGCGUCGGGAAACCCAACCUUCCACGCAACGGAGCCUGGUGUCCCUCGUGUUUGUCCAGGGUGCUCAACAUUCCCUAGGGCAUCAGUCAGCUCGUCCUUCUCUCUGUCGGGAAUGAACGUCCCUUCCUGUGCUGCGGUGAUACACUUCUGAAGCUUCUUGAUGGGUGUUGCAAGUUGCUCGUUUGUCCAACGACACUUCCCUAUUUCAGGAUCCAAAGUUCCCCCAACCCCGAAGAACCAAGUCCUUGAAUGGUCUGGCCAGUUAAAUGUCUGUGGUUCAACCCCUUUAGCAAUCAGGUCAUUCUCAGCUUUGCCCCACAACGGACGGGCUCUCAGGUAGCCACCUGACCCCGUGUGAUGGUGAUGGUGCUUCUUUGCAACAUUAUUCUUGUUUGUCUCUGACAUUUUCUUACUCUUGUCCGAUGUCUUGUAGGCCACAAAUUCGGGCCAGUGAUCUCUCAUCUUCUCAAAUCGGCCGAUGAAUUCUGGAGUCUUCCCUUUGUCGAAAAACUUUGAUUUCAACUCUUUCUUCCACCUCCGGAAUAGAUCUGCCAUCUUCUUAAGAGCACACGCCUUGACCGGUGGGUAUAUAACUGGCUUAUUCAGAUCCUCCUCUAGCGGUAGGGUGAAAUUUGCCUUCAACGCGGUCCAAAGAUCAUCUUUCUGCCUAUCGGUGACAUAAUCACCUUCAGGGACGUCGUCGCCCUUAGGCUUAUUCCAUUGCUUGAUGCUGAUCGGGAUGUUGUCCCUAACAAUAGCUCCGCACCGAGCAGAAAAUGCGUCCUUGGUCCGCUUGGGUAGAAUCGGUAGGCCAUCGUCUGCGAGUGCUGUGAUCGUGAACUUUUCAUCCUUGCGCAACCUUCUCUCUGGGUCUCAUCUUGUAACUGAAGUUUGGCUCGAUCCGGACUUUGCAAUAGCUCCCUCUUCCGUUCGGUCACCGGAGGUGUCAUCAUGUUCUCCUUCUUCCUCUGGCAUUCGGUCACGGGAGCCAUCAUGAUCAUGUCACGGAUUAUCCUCUCCUUCCAGACCAUCGGUGUCAUUGAGAUAGAAAGAGAUCUCAGCUCCGUCGCGGAUUAUCUCACCCAACAUAUGUUCUUCUUCCAAGUUUCUUGGAUCCAUAGUUUCUGCAAAUAUUACAACAUGGCAAUUAAUAUACAAACAUGAAUGUCCAACGUACGGACCGCCUCUCUCAUGAAUGUCAAACAACAUAUUCCAUACAAAAAACUUUCUUCUAUAAACAAAAAACUUUCUUCUAUGAACAAAAAACAAUUGAUAUUAAACCCGUAGUACAUAUUAAAUGUUUUUAAAAAUACCCAUAUCUUCUAAACCGUAACUCCAAAUUUAACAAGUUAUAUAUGGAAUUGGAUUAGAAAAGUAUGUAGAAAUUGAAUAUGAUGUUAUUUUAUCUGUUAAACAUUUAAUAACAAUACUAUCUAGGAUGCAAUAUUAAUAAAUAAUUCAUUAUUGGAUUAGAUAAAUUGAAUAUUUACAUAGCGCCGGCUCGGGGUGGCGCGGGCGACGACGACGACGGGCUCGGGGAGGAGGCGCGGGCCGGUGGCGACGGGCUCGGGGCGGCGACGAAGGGCUCGAGGGCGACGGCGAUGUCGAUGGGCUCGGGGGCGACAACGACAUCGAUGGGCUCUGGGCGACGACAACGACGAUGGGCUCAGGUGUUGGAAAAAGCCCUAGAGGCAAUAAUAAAUUAGUUAUUAUUAUAUUUCCUUGUUCAUAAUAAUCGUUUAUUAUCCAUGCUAGAAUUGUAUUGAUUGGAAACUCAAAUACAUGUGUGGAUACAUAGACAACACACUGUCCCUAGUGAGCCUCUAGUUCACUAGUUCGUUGAUCAAAGAUGGUCAAGGUUUCCUAGCCAUAGGCAAGUGUUGUCACUUGAUAACGGGAUCACAUAAUUAGGAGAAUCAUGUGAUGGACAAGACCCAAACUAUGAACGUAGCAUAUUGAUCGUGUCGUUUUAUUGCUAUUGUUUUCUGCGUGUCAAGUAUUUGUUCCUAUGACCAUGAGAUCAUAUAACUCACUGGCACCGGAGGAAUAUCUUGUGUGCAUCAAACGUCACAACGUAACUGGGUGACUAUAAAGGUGUUCUACAGGUAUCUCCGAAGGUGUCCGUUGAGUUAGUAUGGAUCAAGACUAGGAUUUGUCACUCCAUGUGAUGGAGAGGUAUCUCGGGGCCCACUCGGUAAAACAACAUCAUACACAAGCCUUGCAAGCAAUGUGAAUAAGUGUAAGUCAUGGGAUCUUGUAUUACGGAACGAGUAAAGAGACUUGCCGGUAACGAGAUUGAAAUAGGUAUGCGGAUACCACGAUCAAAUCUCGGGCAAGUAANNNNNNNNNNNNNNNNNNNNNNNNNNNNNNNNNNNNNNNNNNNNNNNNNNNNNNNNNNNNNNNNNNNNNNNNNNNNNNNNNNNNNNNNNNNNNNNNNNNNNNNNNNNNNNNNNNNNNNNNNNNNNNNNNNNNNNNNNNNNNNNNNNNNNNNNNNNNNNNNNNNNNNNNNUGGCACUGAGGUUCAACCGAUAAGAUCUUCGGAGAAUAUGUAGGAUCCAAUAUGGGCAUCCAGGUCCUACUAUUGGAUAUUGACCGAGGAGUGCCUCAGGGCAUGUCUGCGUAGUUCUCGAACCCGCAGGGUCUGCACACUUAAGGUUCGAUGAUGUUUUAGUAUAGUUGAGUUAUAUGUGUGGUUACCGAAUGUUUUUCAGAGUCCCGGAUGAGAUCACAGACGUCACGAGGGUUUUUGGAAUGGUCCAGAAAUGAAGAUUGAUAUAUAGGAUGGUUUCAUUUGGUUAUCGGAAAGCUUUCGGGCAUUACCGGCAUUGUACCGGGAAUGACGAAUGGGUUCCGGAAGUUCACCAGGAGGGGGGCAACCCACCUGGAGGGAGCCCAAUGGUUUUAGGGUGGCGCACCAACCUUUAGUGGGCUGGUGGGACAACCCAAUAAGGCCUUGGCGCCAAGAGAAGGAAAACUAAAGAGAAAGAAAAAAAGGGGAGGUGGGAAGGAAGAGAAGGACUCCACUUUCCAAUCCUAAUUGGAGUAGGAUUCCUCCUAUCCUCCUUGGCCGGUGCACCCUUGAGGGCUUGGCCCUCAAGGUAAGCCUCCUCCCCCUCCCUCCUAUAUAUAGUGGUGUUUUAGGGCUGAUUUUAGACAACUUUUACCACGUGCAACUCAACCCUAGACCACAUAGUUUUACCUUUAGAUCGGAUUUCUGCGGAGCUCGAGCGGAGCCCUGUAGGAGUAGAUCAUCACCACCACCGGAGCGCCCUCACGCUGUGGGAGAACUCAUCUACUUCUCUGUCUUUCUUGCUGGAUCAAGAAGGCCGAGAUCAUCGUCGAGCUGUACGUGUGCUGAACGCGGAGGUGUCGUCCGUCCGGCACUAGAUCGGAACAGAUCGUGGGACGAUUCGUGGGGCGGAUCGAGGGACGUUAAGACGUUCCACUAUAUCAACCGCGUUUCUUAACGCUUCCUCUUGUGCGAUCUAUAAGGGUACGCAGAUCCAAAUCUCCUUUCAUAGAUGGACAUCACCAUGAUAGGUCUUCGUGUGCGUGGGAAAUUUUUUGUUUCCCAUGAAACAUUCCCCAACAUCAGGGGCGAUGGCUGCGGCGAUGUGCUCAGGGCGACAGCGACGGCGAUGGGCUCGGGGGCGACGACGACGAUGAUGAAAAUGGGCUUGGGGGCGACGAUGACGGCGACGGCGAUGGGCUCGGGGGCGAUGGCGACGGCGACGACGAUGGGCUCCGGGGCAACGGCGACAACGGCCUCAGGACGACGGCAACGGCGACGGGCUCGGGGGCGACGACGACGNNNNNNNNNNNNNNNNNNNNNNNNNNNNNNNNNNNNNNNNNNNNNNNNNNNNNNNNNNNNNNNNNNNNNNNNNNNNNNNNNNNNNNNNNNNNNNNNNNNNNNNNNNNNNNNNNNNNNNNNNNNNNNNNNNNNNNNNNNNNNNNNNNNNNNNNGACGACGACGGCGACGACGGGCUCGUGGAGGAGGCGCGGGUCGGCGACGACGGGCUCGGGACGACGACGGCGACGACGAGGAGAGAAGAGAACGAGGGAAAUGGAAGUUGGUGGAAAUUACGAGAAGUCCCGCCUAUAUGCAAACACCUUUGGUCCCGGUUGGUGGCUCCAACAGGCACCAAUGCCAACCUUUCGUCCUGGUUGGAUCCACCAAUCGGGACUAACGGUCAAUUUUCAGCAACCCAAAAGGACGGGAAAAAGAGACCUUUCGUAUUGGUUGGUGGCUCCAACCGGGACGAAUGGGUGGUAUUGGUCCCACUUAGAGCCACCAACCGGGACCGUGGUGCUGCCCGGGGCCAAAAUUUUAGUCCCACCUCGCUAGCCGAGAGAGCUCGCGAGUGGUUUAUAAGCGCUGUUUUGCGCACCCUGUCGAGCUCGUCUCAACUGCAGGCUUCCGAGCCUAAUCUGUCACUGCCUAUGGGCCUAUUGGGCCUUGUGCGGGCCUGAAUCUUGGACCAGCCAGGUGGAUGGCUUUCUAGUUGUUUUCAGGCCGUGGUGGCAUUUUUUUUUAAAAAAUCUAGUUUUUUUUUUAUUUUAUUUGUUUUAUUUUGUUCCUAUUUACUGUUUUUCAGUGAUUCUUUUUUGCUUUUAGGUCACCAUUUUUUUCAAAAUGCACCAUUUCAAGCCACAUCAUCAAUUUUCAACAAAUUCUCACUUCAUUUGGUAUUUUUCAUGCAUUCACUGAUUUUUUUUUGAGCUAAAUGACCCUGAAAAUGAAAAGCACUAUAAAUAAAUUCCGAAAAGGUUAAAAGUUGGCAUGGUAUCAUCAUUUCACCCACAUAGCAUGUGCUAUAGAGUUGAGAGGAUUACGACAAAAAUUAGAUACACUUCGUGUACAAAACGGACAAUCUCUUUCGAAGUAUGAGGGUUUCAUACAAAAACUCAUCUCUUACAAAGGGAUUUCAUUUUUUUGAACUUAUUUGAACUCCAGACUUUUUUGUGUUCAAAAUGCACCAUUCAAAGCCACAUCAUCAAUUUUCAACAAAUUCUAACUUCAUUUGGUAUUUUUGAUGCAUUUACUGAUUGUUUUGAGCUAAAUGACCCUUAAAUUGAAAAGCACUACAAAUGAACUCUAACAAGGUUGAAAGUUGGCAUGGUAUCAUAAUUUCACCCACAUAGCAUGUGAUAAAAAAUUGAGAGGGUUGCGGCAAAAACUAGAUACACUUCGUGUACAAAACGGACAAUCUCUUUCGAAGUAUCAUGGUUUCAUACGAAAACUCAUCUGUUACAAAGGGAUUUCAUUUUUUUGAACUUAUUUGAACUCCAGACUUUUUAUGUGUUCAAAAUGCACCUUUGGUCCCGGUUGGUGGAUCCAACCGGCACCAAUGCCAACCUUUCGGCCCGGUUGGAUCCACCAACCGGGACUAAUGGUUAAUUUUCAGCAGCCCAAAAGGGUAGGAAGAAAAGAUCUUUCGUAUCGGUUGGUGGCUCAACUCGGACGAAAGGGUGGUAUUGGUCCCGGUUAGGGCCACCAACCGGGACUAAAGUGUGGUGUUGCUCAGGGCCAAAAUUUUAGUCCCACCUCGCUAGCCGAGAGAGCUCGCGAGUGGUUUAUAAGUGCUGAUGUGCACACCCUGUCGAGCUCCUCUCAACUUCACGCUUCCGGGCCUAAUAUGUCACUGCUAGUGGGCCUAUUGGGCCUUCUACGGGCCUGAAUCCUGGCCCAAUAAGCUGGAUGCCUUUCUAGUCGUAUUCACGCCGUGGUGCCUUUUUUUUUAAAUUCUAGUUUUUGUUUUGUUUUUUACUUUAUUUAAUUUAUUUUGUUCCUACUAACUGUUUUUCACUGAUUCUUUUUUGCUUUUAGGUCACAAUUUUUUUCAAAAUGCACCAUUCAAAGCCACAUCAUCAAUUUUCAACAAAUUCUGACUUCAUUUGGUAUUUUUCAUGCAUUUACUAUUUUUUGAGCUAAAUGACCCUUAAAUUGAAAAGCAUUAUAGAUGAACUCUGAAAAGGUUGAAAGUUGGCAUGUUAUCAUCUUUUCACACACAUAGCAUGUGCUAAAAAGUUGAGAGGGUUACAACAAAAACUGGAUACACUUCGUGUACAAAACGGACAAUCUCUUUCGAAGUAUCAGGGUUUCAUACGAAAACUCAUCUGUUACAAAGGGAUUUCAAUUUUUAAAACUUAUUUGAACUCCAGACUUUUUAUGUGUUCAAAAUGCACCAUUCAAAGCCAUAUCAUCAAUAUUCAACUAUUUCUGACUUCAUUUGGUAUUUUUUACGCAUUUACGGAUUUUUUUGAGCUAAAUGACCGUUAAAUUGAAAAGCACUAUAAAUGAACUCUGAAAAGGUUGAAAGUUGGCAUGGUAUCAUCAUUUCACCCACAUAGCAUGUGCUAAAAAGUUGAGAGGGUUACGGAAAAAACUGGAUACACUUUGUGUACAAAACGGACAANNNNNNNNNNNNNNNNNNNNNNNNNNNNNNNNNNNNNNNNNNNNNNNNNNNNNNNNNNNNNNNNNNNNNNNNNNNNNNNNNNNNNNNNNNNNNNNNNNNNNNNNNNNNNNNNNNNNNNNNNNNNNNNNNNNNNNNNNNNNNNNNNNNNNNNNNNNNNNNNNNNNNNNNNNNNNNNNNNNNNNNNNNNNNNNAGGGAUUUCAUUUUUUGAACUUAUUUGAACUCUAGACUUUUUGUUCGUUCAAAGUGCACCAUUCAAAGCCACAUCAUCAAUUUUCAACAAAUUUUGACUUCAUUUGGUAUUUUUCAUGCGUUUACUGAUUUUUUUCACCUAAAUGACCCUUAAAUUGAAAAGCACUACAAAUGAACUCUNNNNNNNNNNNNNNNNNNNNNNNNNNNNNNNNNNNNNNNNNNNNNNNNNNNNNNNNNNNNNNNNNNNNNNNNNNNNNNNNNNNNNNNNNNNNNNNNNNNNNNNNNNNNNNNNNNNNNNNNNNNNNNNNNNNNNNNNNNNNNNNNNNNNNNNNNNNNNNNNNNNNNNNNNNNNNNNNNNNNNNNUGGUAUCAUCAUUUCAGCCAGAUAGCAUGUGCUAAAAAGUUGAGAGGGUUACGACAAAAACUGGAUAUACUUCGUGUACAAAACGGACAAUCUGUUUCGAAGUAUCAUGGUUUCAUACGAAAACUCAUCUGUUACAAAAGGAUUUCAUUUUUCUGAACUUAUUUGAACUCCAGACUUUUUAUGUGUUCAAAAUGCACCAUUCAAAGCCACAUCACCAAUUUUCAAGAAAUUCUGACUUCAUUUGGUAUUUUUCAUGCAUUUACUCAUUUGUUUGAGCUAAAUGACCCUUAAAUUGAAAAGAACUACAAAUGAACUCUNNNNNNNNNNNNNNNNNNNNNNNNNNNNNNNNNNNNNNNNNNNNNNNNNNNNNNNNNNNNNNNNNNNNNNNNNNNNNNNNNNNNNNNNNNNNNNNNNNNNNNNNNNNNNNNNNNNNNNNNNNNNNNNNNNNNNNNNNNNNNNNNNNNNNNNNNNNNNNNNNNNNNNNUAUCAUCAUUUCACCCACAUAGCAUGUGCUAAAAAUUUGAGAGGGUUAUGGCAAAAACUGGAUGCACUUCGUGUACAAAAUGGACAAUCUCUUUCAAAGUAUCAGGGUUUGAUACGAAAACUCAUGUGUUACAAAAGGCAUUUCAUUUUGCUUUUCUUUGCUUGUGUUCUUUGCUUAUUGCGUAGUAACCAUGGAUAAUCUUCAUCGUUUAACAGGGUGCUUGGGUCAGCCUUGACUUUGAAGGGAGGAAUUUCAUGAAACUUUUCAUAAUGUUCACACAUGUCUGUCUUGCCCUCAAAUCCCAUAUGUAUCUUUUUCCUGAAAGAACUAUGUGACGCUUUGGCUCAUCGUAUGAUGUAUUUGCUGCCUUAUAUUUCCUUUUUCUCGGUUUGGUAGAAAUGUCCUUCACACAGAAAACCUGCGCCACAUCAUUGGCUAGGACGAAUGGUUCGUUUGUGUACCCAAGAUUGUUCAGAUCCACUGUUAUCAUUCCGUACUGUGGAUCUAUCUGUACCCCACCUCAUGACAGAUUGACCCAUUUGCACUGAAACAAAGGGACCUUGAAAUCAUGUCCAUAGUCAAAUCCCCAUAUGUUCACUAUGUAACCAUAGUAUGUGUCCUUUUUCCCAUUCUCGUUUGUUGCAUCAAAGCGGACACCGCUGUUUUGGUUGGUGCUAUUUUGAUCUUGGGCGAUUGUGUAAAAUGUAUUGCCAUUUAUCUUGUACCCUUGAUAAGUCAAUACAGUCGAAGAUGGUGCCCUGGCCAACGAGUACAACUCAUCAGAAACAGUGUUGUCACCUAUGAGACAUUUUUGCAACCAACUGCCAAAAGUCCUGAUGUGUUCAUAUGUAAUCCAGUCGUCACACUGCUGCGGGUGUUUGGAUCGUAGAAUAUUCUUGUGUUCAUCGACAUACGGGGUCACUAAGGUAGAAUUCUGUAGAACUGUGUAGUGUUCUUGAGACCAUGAAUGGUCGUUUGUACAUAUUAUUGAGCCUGCUCCUAGUGUGCCUUUUCCAGUCAGUCUCCCCUCAUACCGCGAUUGAUGGAGACCAAUUUUCUUAAGGUCAGGAAUGAAGUCAACACAAAACCCAAUGACAUCCUCUGUUUGAUGGCCCAUGGAGAUGCUUCCUUCUGGCAUAGCAUGGUUACGAACAUAUUUCUUUAAGGCUCCCAUGAACCUCUCAAAGGGGAACAUAUUGUGUAGAAAUACAGGGCCCAGAACGACAAUCUCGUUGACUAGAUGAACUAGGACGUGCGUCAUGAUAUUGAAGAAGGAUGGUGGGAACACCAGCUUGAAACUAACAAGGCAUUGCACCAUAUCACUCCUUAACCCUGGCAGGAUUUCUGGAUCGAUCACCUUCUGAGAGAUUGCAUUGAGGAAUGCACAUCGCUUCACAAUGGCUAAUCGAACGUUUUCCGUUAGAAGCCCCCUCAAUGCAACCGGAAGCAGUUGCAUCAUAAUCACUUGGCAGUCAUAAGACUUUAGGUUCUCGAACGUUUUCUCUGCCAUAUUUAUUAUUCCCUUUAUAUUCGACAAGAAGCCAGAGGGGACCUUCAUACUGAGCAGGCAUUCAAAGAAGAUUUCCUUCUCUUCUUUGGUAAGAGCAUAGCUGGCAGGACCUUCAUACUGCUUCAGAUGCAUUUCAUAUUUUUCAUACACACGUUGAUGUUCCUCCCGUGCCUCCCGUGUAUAUUUUGUCUUCCCAUACACUCCCAAGAAGCCUAGCUGGUUCACGCAAAGAUUCUUCGUCAUGUGCAUCACGUCGAUUUCAGAGCGGACCUCUAGGUCUUUCCAAUAGGGUAGGUCCCAAAAUAUAGAUUUCUUCUUCCACAUGGGUGCGCGUCCCGCAUCGUCAUUUGGAACGGAUACUCCGCCAGGACCCUUUCCAAAUAUUACUUGUAAAUCAUUGACAAUAUCAAGUAUGUGAUCACCAGUACGGAGGGCGGGCUUCUUCUGGUGAUCUGCCUCACCUUUGAAAUGCUUUCCUUUCUUUCGACAUUGAUGGUCGGUCGGAAGAAAUCGAUGAUGCCCCAGGUACACAUUUUUCCUGCAUUUGUCCAAAUAUAUAAUGUCGGUGUCAUCUAAACAGUGUGUGUGCAUGUGUUGUAUCCCUCGUUUGUCUGUCUUAAAAGGUUACUGAGAGCAGGCCAAUUGUUAAUGGUUACAAACAGCAACACAUGUAGGUCUAAUUCCUCUUGUUCGUUCUCAUCCCACACACGUACACCAUUUCCAUUCCAUAGUUGUAAAAGUUCAUCAUCUAAUGGCCUUAGGUACACAUUAAUGUCAUUGCCGAGUUGCCUAGGGCCUUGGAUGAGCACUGGCAUCAUAAUGAACUUUUGCUUCAUGCACAACCAAGGAGGAAGGUUAUACAUACAUAGAAUCACACGCCAUGUGCUAUGCUUGCCGCUCUGCUCCCCAAAAGGAUUAACGCCAUCGGCACUUAAACCAAACCAUACAUUCCUUGGGUCAUGUGUAAAGUCGCUCCACUUUCUCUCGAUCUUUCUCCACCGCGACCCGUCAGCGGGUGCUCUCAACUUCCCAUCUUUCUUACGGUAUUUUAUGUGCCAUUGCAUCCACUCGGCAUGCUUUUUGUUUCUGAACAGGCGUUUCAACCGUGGUAUUAUAGGAGCAUACCACAUCACCUUGGCAGGAACCAUCUUCCCAAUGCGCUGACCCUCAACAUCACCAAGGUCAUAUCUUCUGAUCUUAUACUGCAAUGUUCCGCAUACCGGGCAUGCGUUCAAAUCCUCGUACGCACCGCGGUAGAGGAUGCAGUCAUUAGGGCAUGCAUGGAUCUUCUGCACCUCCAAUCCUAGAGUGCAUAUAACCUUCUUUACUUCGUACGUACUACUGGGAAAUUCGUUAUCCUUUGGAAGCUUCUUCUUCAUUAUUUUCAGUAGCGAACUAAAUCCCUUGUCAGAUACACCAUUGUCUGCCUUCCAUUGCAGCAAUUCCAGUGUGGUACCGAGCUUUGUGUUGUCAUCUUCGCAAUUUGGAUACAACCCUUUUUUGUGAUCCUCUAACAUGCGAUCGAACUUCAACUUCUCCGUUGAACUUUCGCAUUCUCUAUGUCCAUCAACAAUGACCCGACGAAGAUCAUCAUCGGGCACAUCGUCUGGUUCGUCUUGAUCUUCAGCUUCCCCCAUUGCAGCAUCACUGUAUUUAGGGGGGUGGGUAGUUGUCAUCAUCCUCUUCUUCUAGGUUGUCUUCCAUCAUAACCCCUCUUUCUCCGUGCUUGGUCCAAACAUUAUAGUGUGGCAUAAAACCCUUCUGAAGCAGGUGGAAGUGAAGGGUUUUAUAGUCGGAGAAAGCCUUCGUAUUCCCACAGACAGUACAUGGACAAUGCAUAAAACCGUUCUGGUUGUUUGCCUCAGCCGCUUCGAGAAAAUUAUGCAUGCCCUUAAUAUACUCGGAGGUGCGUCGGUCACCAUACAUCCAUUGCCGGUUCAUCUGCGUGCGUUAUAUAAUAAAGUGUAUUAAAAACCAUUACAACAUAUCAUGAAUAGAAAAGUAACCAAAUUAAUAGAAAUCCACCAUCACAUUAAAGCCAAAGUAUAGUCGUGGCCAAAAUAAAUACAUAACGUUCAUACAUAGUUCUCAUUAUUGAACAACGUAUAGCUCUCUAGAGCAUCUAACUAGAACAUACAUUGAAACUAUAAAUUUUAAAUGCAACAACAAAUUUGAUCAUAACCGCAACUAAGGUACCAAUUGAUCCAACAACAUAAUGAUACCAAGCCUUAGUAUGAAUGGCAUAUUUUCUAAUCUUUCUAAUCUUCAAGCGCAUUGCAUCCAUCUUGAUCUUGUGAUCGUCGACAACAUCGGCAACAUCCAACUCCAAUAUCUUCUUCUCCUCUUCAACUCUUUGUAAUUUUUCUUUCAAGUAAUUGUUUUAUUUUUCAACCACAUUUAACUUCUCGGCAAGAAUUUCUAUGUCGGUUGGAAUUUCCGGUUCACAUACCUCCUAGAUUAAAAAAUCUAUGUCACGUUGGUCGACAUAAUUGUCAUAAACACUAAAUAAAACAAAUAGUUAUAAAGAUAAUAUAUACCACAUCCGAAUCAUAGACAGGACGAGGGCUGACGGAGGCGGAUACCAAAACCAUCGCACUAUAUAAUAACAAACAAUAAUAAAAGUAAGAAAAAUACAUAAGUAUCUAUCUAAAUCAUACAAGUAAGAAAAUUUUCCAUCAAGCACACAUAAUUUGUUUUUAGACAGCAUGUCACAAUUUUUGAACUUUCUUGCAAUCGGAGGCUAUAACUUGGCACAAAGAUUAAAAAUAAAGAUAUAAUGAUGUUACUACAGUAGUAACACACAUCAAUACCACUAAAACAGAAAGUAAAAACAAAUUGGGUUGCCUCCCAACAAGCGCUUUCUUUUAUGCCUUUGAGCUAGGCACAAUGCAAGAAGAUCAAGUGUUAUCAACUCCAAAAGAAUAACUUGCCCGUGUAACGGACUCAUAAGGUAACUUAAUCUUGUUUCCAGGGAAGUGUUCCAUUCCCUUUUUAAGAGGAAAUUGGAAUUUAAUAAUUCCCUCUUUCAUGUCAAUGAUAGCACCAACGGUGCGGAGAAAAGGACGUCCCAAAAUAAUUGGACAUGAAGGAUCACAUUCAAUGUCCAUAAUAAGAAAAUCAACGGGCACAUAAUUAUCAUUUACAAUAAUAAGCAAAUCAUCAAUUCUCCGUAAAGGUUUCUUUUUGGAAGAAUCAAUGAGACGAACACCAAAAGAACAUGGAUCAUAAGGUUUCCAAUCAAGCAUAUCAUAUAUUCUUUUGGGCAUAACGGAAGCACUAGCUCCAACAUCACAUAAAGGAAAGCAAGAGAUAUUAUUCAAUUUAAUUUUGACCAUAGGGUCCCAACCAUCUUCUAGCUUCCUAGGAAUAGAAGUCUCUAGCUUGAGCUUCUCCUCCCUAGCUUUGAUAAGAGCAUUGGUAAUAUGCUCGGUGAAGGCAAUAUUGAGUGUGCUAGUGUGGGGUCUUUAGCCAUUCUUUGCAAAAAAGGUGAUGACUUCGGAAAGACUACAAUUGUCAAAAUCAAGGUUACUACCAUUAAUUAAAGUGGUAGUGAUGUCAUCUAAGCUCAUUCUUUUGGUAAUCUCUAAGUUCAUAGGAUCUUCUCAUCCUAUAGUUGAGGUAUUAGCAUCACCAUUAAUGGGUCCAUUGGAACUAGGAGUGCGAUGGGUGCUAAAAGUUUUGAGGUCCUCAACAACUCGUAUAGUAGUGCUACUUCUUGAGCUUGCGUUGGUUUUUCCCUUGAAGAGGAAAGGGUGAUGCAGCAAAGUAGAGAUAAGUAUUUCCCUCAGUUUGAGAACCAAGGUAUCAAUCCACUGGAGUAUCAAGAUGAGGCACCAAGGCACCUGCGCAAGAACAAACAAACUUGCACCCAACGCGAUAAAGGGGUUGUCAAUCCCUUUACGAUUACUUGCAAGGUGAGAUCUAAUAGUGAUAAUAGGUAAAUAUAAAUAAAUAAAUAAAAGUGCAGCAAGGUAUUUUUGGUAUUUUUGUAUGUAGAUCUAAAUAUAUAAUGUGUAAAAUAGACCCGAGAGCCAUAGUGUUCACUAGAGGCUUCUCUCAUGAUAUCAAGUAUUACGGUGGGUGAACGAAUUAUAGUCGAGAAAUUGAUAGAAUCGCGCAAAAUCAUGACGAUAUAUAAGGCAAUGAUCAUACAUAUAGGCAUCACGUCCGCGACAAGUAGACCGAUACUUUCUGCAUUUACUACUAUUACUCCACACAUCGACCGCUAUCCACCAUGCGUCUAGUGUAUUAUGUUCAUAACAAACAGAGUAACGCCUUAAGCAAGAUGACAUGAUGUAGAGGGAUAAAUUCAUGCAAUAUGAUAUAAACCCCAUCUUUUUACCCUUGAUGGCAACAACAUGAUGCGUGCCUCGCUACCCCUUCUGUCACUAGGUGAGGACACCGCACGGUAUGAACCCAAAACCAAGCACUUCUCCCAUUGCAAGAAUUAUAGAUCAAGUUGGCCAAACGAAACCCAUAACUCGAAGAGAAUUACAAGGAUACGAAAUCACGCAUAUAAGAAAUCAAAGGAGACUCAAAUAAUAUUCAUAGAUAAUCUGAUCAUAAACCCACAAUUCAUCGGAUCUCGACAAACACACCGCAAAAGAAAGUUACAUCGGAUAGAUAUCCAUGAAGAUCAUGGAGAACUUUGUAUUGAAGAUCCAAGAGAGAGAAGAAGCCAUCUAGCUACUAGCUAUGGACCCGAAGGUCUGUGGUGAACUACUCACACAUCAUCGGAGAGGUAAUGGUGUUGAUGAAGAAGCCCUCAGUGUCCGAAUCCCCCUCCGACAGGGCACCAGAACGGUCCCCAGAUGGGAUCUCACGGAAACAGAAGCUUGCGGCGGUGGAAAAGUACUUUCGUGGCUCUCUCUGUUGGUUUGGGGAUUUUAGGGAGUUUAUAGGUGAAAGAGGUAGGGCAAAGGAGGCACGGGGGGCCAUGAGCCUGCUAGGCGCCCCCCCCGGGGCAUGCCUAGGGGGCUCGUGGGCUCCUCCGUGGCCCUCUGCCUUGGUUCUCAAGUCUUCUGGAUCCCUUCUGUUAUGGAAAAAAUCAUCCCAAAGGUUUUAUUCCGUUUGGACUCCGUUUAAUGUUCUUAUCUGAAAAAGGUCAAAAACACGGAAAAACAGAAACUGGCAUUGGGCACUGAGUUAAUAGGUUAGUCUCAAAAAUGAUAUAAAAUAGCAUAUAAAUGCAUAUAAUACAUCCCAAGUUGAUAAUAUAGUAGCAUGGAACAAAAAAAAUAUAGAUACGUUGGAGACGUAUCAAGUAGCAAUAGUAGUGUGUGUAGGAAGGCUCUUAAUUCUUUCUUCCUCUACCUUUUCUCUAGCCCGUCUCUCUUUAAGUUUGGCUAGCAUUCUUAUGUUCUCAUUAAUUUGGACUUGGAUAGCAUUCAUGGGUGUGGUGUUCCUUUCCUCAAGUGGGGAAGUUCUAAUUUUAAGCAUCUCUACAUCAUGAGCUAUGUUGUCCACCUUCAAAGAGAGACUAUCUAAUUUCUCUAGUUUUUAUUCUACAUUCUUGUUGAAGGCUCUUUGAGAAGUGAUACAAUCCUUAAGCAUGCUCUCUAAUUCAGAAGUGGAGUUUUUGGUGCUAGGAUAAUUGUUGUUGUUCCCAUAGUUGUUGGAUGGGAACGGUCUAGGGUUGCUACCAAAAUUACUCCUAUAAGCAUUGUUAUUGAAGUUGUUCCUAGAAAUAAAAUUAACAUCCACUUGCUCUCUCUCUUGAGCAACCAAAGAAUUUAGAGGAACAUCAUGAUGAUCAAUAGGAGCUUGCUUAGUGAGUAGAGUCAUAAUCAUGUCAACCUUAUCAUUAAGGGAGGAGAUCUCCUCAACGGAGUUUACCUUCCUACCUGUUGGAGCUCUCUCGGUGUGCCAUUGAGAAUAAUUUGUCAUCAUCUCAUCCAAUAGCUUUGUGGCAGCACCAAGUGUAGUUGACAUAAAGGUUCCUCCCGCGAGGUAAAGUUCAAUCCUGCAUAGAAAGUUUGGAUAACCAUCCAAGUAGUCAAACCAUGAGCAGGGCAAUAUUUAAUAAGAGAUUUCAUAUGUUCCCAAGCUUGAGCAACAUAUUCAUUAUCUAGUUGCCUAAAAUUCAUAAUGUUACUCCUCAUCUAGAUAAUCUUUGCAGGCGGGUAAUACUUCCCGAUAAAAGCAUAUUUGCACUUAUCCCAAGAAUCUAUGCUAUUCCUAGGCAAAGAUUGAAGCCACACUUUGGCUCCUCCUCUCAAGGAGAAAGGGAAAAAGCUUAAAUUAAACAAUAUCACCAUCUACUUCUUUAUAUUUUUGCAUAUCACAGAGCUCAACAAAAUUGUUCAAGUACAAGGCAGCAUCAUCUCCAGCAUUGGAGAAUUGAUCUUUCAUAACGAGGUUCAAUAAAGCAGGUUUAAUCUCAUAGGACGUGGCCUCAGUGGCAGGAGUAGCAACAGGAGUGCAGAUAAAGUCAUUGUUGUUUUGACUAGUGAAGUCACACAACUUGGUGUUCUCAGUGGAACCCAUAGCAACGGCAACAAGUAAGAGCAAAGCAACUUUUUUUGUGGUUUUUGGAAUAGGACUCUAAAGUAAAAACUAGAAAGCAAACUAACAAGACUAAAAAGCAAAGAUAAAAUAUGGUGUGCAACUCCCCUAUCUUGAAGAGUGGAGUCCCCAGCAACGGCGCCAGAUAUUCGCUUGAUGACGAGUUGAUGGAUAUAAUUCUCGCCCCUCGUUGGUUACCCCAAGUGGAAGGUGGAGAUGUAGUCAGUAGCAAAUUUCCCUCACAUAGAGACUGUAAGGUUUAUCGAAUCAGGAGAACUCCUAGGCUCAACAAGUAGGUGUCUUCCACCCUGGCGCUAGCAGAAGAUGUGGACCUGCACACACAACAAAUAACCUUUCUCCCAACGAGUACAGAGAGGUUGUCAAUCUCUCCGGAGUUGUAAUUUGCAAAGAUUAAAACACAAGCGGGACGUUAAUAGUGAUUGCAACAGAAAAGUAAAUGAAAGCGGUAAAUGAUGCAGGUGUAAACAAUGAUGGUGAUAUGGACCAGAGUCACAUGAUGUUCACUAGUGAUGUCUCUCUCCCAAAAGACGAUAAACAACUAUGCUAGGGUAAACAAAUCACAGUUGGGCAAUUGACAGAAUUAUUAUCGCACCACAAUGCUAAUUAUGCUCCUUGAUAGUUAGAGGUUCAAUAGUAAUGGGCAAUAAGCUAAGACAAGUAGACCGUUUAUUCAUCGACAUAUACUUACUAAUCAUCCACCUUGAGAUAUCUAUCCAGAACAUCUCUCCGGUAUUAAGUUGCAAGCCCCACCCAAAGUGUAAACUCAAAGCAACGGACAACUACAUUAACAAACUAUGCGUAAGGUAAACAAUUCUUGCAACCGUGGUCACAAGCACCAUUGUUUUCUCCCUGGUGGCAACAAGCACAUCCCCUAGUCUCAUGUUUCUGUCACUCAAUCUAGACAUCGAGGGGCCCGAACCCACAAUCAUGCAUAAUGCUCCCUCUUGGAGUUACAAUCUACUACUUGGCCAAAGCAAUAAAAAGCAACGGAGAACAUGCAAGAAUCACUAAGGAACAUAAUAUAAAAAGGAUAAUCAAAUAUAUAACUCAUAACAAUCUGAACAUAAUCUCAUAAACCAUCGGAUCCCAACAAACCGGGCAUAGAAAUAGCAAGAGAAUUACAUAGAUGCCUUGAUCAUGUAGGGCAGCUCACAAGGACUAACCACUGAAGCACAAGAUAGGAGAGAAGACAUCACAUAGCUACUGGUCAUGGACUCAUGGUCCAAGGAGGACUACUCACAACACGUCCGAGAAGCGUCCAUGGCGGUGGAGAAGCUCCCGGAGGUCAAGCCUCCCUCUGGCAGGGUGCCGGGAAGAGGUCUCCUAACGCUCCCGAUCUUGGAAGCGCUGCGGCGGUGGAACGAUGGGGAAGAUCGCGAUUCCAAAAAGUCUGCGAGAGUUUCCUCACGGAACUCUAAAUAUAGGCGACCUCCUGGCGCUGCCUAGGGCCUGGUCGUGCUAGCAGGUCACCUCGGAGGCCCCUGGGCCCCCUCUGACCCUCCUUCGGUGACCCCGAAGCUUCUGUUUCGUUUAUUUUUUAUAUAUUUUUUCGGGCUUCGGAAAAUUGGGUAAAAGCCCCUGCAAAAUAGACAUCAGCAGACAGAAACUAGCACUGGGUGCACUGAGUUAGUAGGUUAGUCCAAAUAUGUGUAAAAUGAUAUAAAAGUGUAGCAAAACAUAUAACAAUGUCACCCAAAAGAUCAAGGAACAAGCAGAAAUUAUAGAUACGUUUGGGACGUAUCAACAUCCCCAAGCUUAAUUUCUGCUCGUCCUCGAGUAGAUAAAUGAUAACACAAUAAUUUCUGUGGUGACAUGCUAACACACAUAUAAGAACUUCAAACUAAAGCAAGUGAGAUAUGCAAUUCAAGUCAAGACAAUAACAAGCAAGAGCGUAUAUCUAGUAUUGAGUUUAGCAAAGUAAGAACAUAAAGGUGCAAGAGAUCUCAUUGUUCGUGACUCGAAUGUCUCCAAAUGGAGCUUGCGUGCAAGAAGUGGAGAUGGGUUCAGAGAUAAAAUAUUUUUUAAUUGAGAACUCAAUCUACCAAACCUCACACUUAGUCUCCUUCGUAAUCUUAUUUUAACUCAUCCCCACACCACUUGUUAGGCACACGUCAAAAUGAUCCUCUCCCUUUCGAUUUUGAGCACUCAUGCAAUGGAUGAGCGUAAGUAAGAUAUGUUGGCGCUUAGGAUGGCAAAUAGAAUAAUGAUGGGGAAGGAAAACAAAAAUGUGUGAAAGGCUCACCUUAAUGAGGACAACCAUAGGCGAGAGAAAGCCAAAUGAUAGAUAUGAUGUGAGGAGUAGGGAUUGCCAUGUAACAGAUGCACAUAUGAGCUAAGGUAAGCUCUCCAUUGGAACUACUGGGGGUGCAUCCAACUUAUUUACUCAUGAAGACCUAGAGCUCAUUUGAGGAGGCUCAUCAUUGGAAUAUGCAAACCAAGUUCUAUAGUGUAAGAGUCCCCACAUAGUUAAGCAUGAAUGAUAAUCUCUGUGUAGUACCAAUAUAGUAAUGGAGUACGCGUGUGCAUCUUUCAAAAGGAAUAGUAGUGUUGCCCCUUUCUCUCUUAUUUUUAUUUUUUUUAUUUUUCCUUUUUCUCUUUAUUUUUGUUUUUGUGGCCUCUUUGGCUCUUUCUUUUUAUCUCUCAUUUGACCUCUUUGGGAUCUUUUGUUUUGUCCACUUUGGGAUCUUUUCCUCACUUAAGGGCAACACUCUAUGUUUUACAUGAACAUAAAGAAAAAUCAUCACACUUUAUAAGAAGUACUCAACAUAAAGACAAGUGAAAACUAUCAUGAUGUAUGCAAAUGUAUGCCCCUGUCAGUGUAGCAGGAUAUGCAAUGAUACUAGCGCGUCAUGUAGCACUAAUAAGGGCAAAGUGAUACAUCCCAAACGUAUAUAUAAUUUCUGCUUGUUCCAUGAUCUUUCGGGUGACAUUGUUAUAUGUUUUGCUACACUUUUAUAUCAUUUUACACAUAUUUGGACUAACCUACUAACUCAGUGCACCCAGUGCCAGUUCCUGUUUGCUGAUGUCUAUUUUGCAGGGGCUUUUACCAAUUUUCCGAAGCCCGAAAAAAUGAAGAAAAAUAUAUAAAAACAUCAGCGAAACAAAAGCUUCGGGAUCACCGAAGGAGGGCGAGAGGGGGGCCAGGGGCCGCCCAGGCGGCCUGCUGGCGCGGCCAGGCCCUAGGUCGCGCCAGGAGGUCGCCUGGGUGGGCCCCACCUACUCGGGUGCCCUCCUUUGUCCUAUAUUUAGUGUUUGUGACCACGGUUGUGGGUUCGGGCUUAUUUGUUGGGAGCAAAGUUAUUUAGUUACAAGGCCGGAGAGAUUGACAACCUCUCUGUACUCGUUGGAAGCAAAGUUAUUUGUUGUGUGUGCAGGUCCACGUCUUCUGCCAGCGCCAGGGUGGAAGACACCUACUUGUUGAGCCUAGGAGUUCUCCUGGUUCGAUAAACCUUACAGUCUCUAUUUGAGGGAAAUCUGCUGCUGACUACAUCUCCACCUUCCACUUGGGGUAACCAACGAGGGGCGAGAAGUAUAUCCAUCAUCUCGCCAUCAGUCUCUGGGCUGCAUGCACCAUGCACCACCACGAUGAAGCAAGAACCACUCGAUCCCCAAUCCCUCUCAACCAUAUGUCUCUCAAUUUCUCAAAAAAAAAGUUUCUCUUUCGAGUAAACGAGCCGCUCGAUCCAAGUUAAGUAUGUGCCUCUUCUUCCACAACGCCGAUGGAUCUUUAGCUCCGGACGACAGUAUCUCAUUACUUCUCGAGGAAGGCAUGAGCGAUUCCUUUGGGCAAAUGAUGGAACUCCUUUUUAAUCGGUCAAUGACCGAUGGCUCUAACCAUGAGUUCAACUAAUAUUAUUGUAUUUUUAUCUUUCUAGUUUUGCCCUUUGAGUUUAUUACCAAUACCUUGUAGUUAAUUUUUAUUAUUUUAUGUUUUGCAUAUCGGUUUUGCUAAAUCUCAGUCGAUUGAGAUUUAGUGAAGUCUCAGUCGGCUGUUUAACCGUUGGAUCAUUUGUUGCUCUAAGAUUCGCGCAGGAACAGGGUUGUCUUUGUUUCGGCCCUUGUAACACUUUUUGUCCGGCCCGUUUGGUUGUCUUUGUUUCGGCCCUUGUAACACUUUUUGUCCAGCCCGUUUGCCCUUUUUUCUUUUCUUUUUUCACCAUUGGCCUAGUCUUGUGUUGGGGGAUAGGGAUUUUUAUUGGGCUUAUUUUCGGCACGCGUUCGAUGGGUCUUCUUCUUGUUUUUAUUUUCUCGUUUGUUGGGCUCAUCUUAUUUUGUUGUUUUGAAUGCCUAAGCCGUGGAUUGAGGCCUCUCUGCUGUGUGUGUGUAUUAAUUGAUAUAUGUAGGAUCUGGGAGGCCUCAAGUACCUUUGUGUAAGUCAAAUUCACAGCUUCCUGUAUGCUUCUUUUGUAUGUUUUUCCAACUCAUGACCAUAUCUUCUGUAAAUAUAUCUACUUAUAUAAUAUCUUAAGUUUUUGUUUUUUAUUUCUGUAUACAUAUUCCUUUUAAUAUAAUUGUUUUUCCUGGUAUCACAAAUGUAUAUGCCUGGUAGUUAUGCUCUAUCUUUUUAUGUGGGUUAGGAUAUUCUAAACUUUAAUAGUCGCAUACACACUUGCUUAUGGAUUUGACGUACUAUAUGAAUGCAUAAAAAACAAGAGACGUUUUUUCAUAUCUUUUUGAAGAAUGGAGUAACCAUGAGAGUAAUAUACAAACCUAACAUUUUUUAUGUCGGACUUUGUUUUGUUGAAGGGGACAACGGGGAGAGGACGGGGUGGGUUGUUGCAACCAUGUUGGAAUACAUGGUACCCCUGACUGCAUGUAUUUGAGCAUGGUUGCUACCUCCCUUAUGAUUUGUUCCCGACAAUAGCCCCGCAAUGGCAUGCCCCCAAACAUGGCCGUAACUGCAUGUCUCCUAACAUGGUCGCAACUGGUGUUUUGCUUUGUCGGGUGGGGUGACGGGAAAGCGGGACACUUGCAUGUUCCACACUAGGCAUGCAACUGCAAUCGACACCCGCAACCGCAACCGCAUGUCUUCUAAACCGACUGCAACUUGACUUUUUUGUGUGUCUCGAUAGAGGGCGGCGGGCACAGGGGGUGGGACAAUAGCCCCGCAACUGCAACUGUCACCCCCCUGUCGUAACUGCCUGUCCCCCAACAUGGUCGCAACUGAACUUUUGUUNNNNNNNNNNNNNNNNNNNNNNNNNNNNNNNNNNNNNNNNNNNNNNNNNNNNNNNNNNNNNNNNNNNNNNNNNNNNNNNNNNNNNNNNNNNNNNNNNNNNUUUUACCUCUAGAUCGCGUUUCUGCGGAGCUCGGGCGGAGCCCUGCUGAGACAAGAUCAUCACCAACCUCCGGAGCGCCGUCACGCUGCCGGAGAACUCUUCUACCUCUCCAUCUCUCUUGCUGGAUCNNNNNNNNNNNNNNNNNNNNNNNNNNNNNNNNNNNNNNNNNNNNNNNNNNNNNNNNNNNNNNNNNNNNNNNNNNNNNNNNNNNNNNNNNNNNNNNNNNNNNNNNNNNNNNNNNNNNNNNNNNNNNNNNNNNNNNNNNNNNNNNNNNNNNNNNNNNNNNNNNNNNNNNNNNNNNNNNNNNNNNNNNNNNNNNNNNNNNNNNNNNNNNNNNNNNNNNNNNNNNNNNNNNNNNNNNNNNNNNNNNNNNNNNNNNNNNNNNNNNNNNNNNNNNNNNNNNNNNNNNNNNNNNNNNNNNNNNNNNNNNNNNNNNNNNNNNNNNNNNNNNNNNNNNNNNNNNNNNNNNNNNNNNNNNNNNNNNNNNNNNNNNNNNNNNNNNNNNNNCCCAUGCGACGUUCCCAAUAAUUUUCAGCCUUACACUUUUACUUCGUUGCACUUUCCACCUUGAUAUCUCACUUUGCAAUCAAUCUUGAAGGGAUUCACAACCCCUUUAUAGCGUUGGGUGCAAGCUCGUUUGUGUUUGCGCAGGUACUCUGGACACUUGGCUUGAUUCUCCUUCUGGAUUGGUACCUUGGUUCUCAAAACUGAGGGAAAUACUUACUCCUGCUGUGUUGCAUCACCCUUUCCUCUUCAAGAGAAAACCCAACGCAAUCUCAAGAGGUAGCAAGAAGAAUUUCUCGCGCCGUUGCCGGGGAGGAUCAGGUCAAGAAUAGUCUCCCGUCAACGUGUCAAUUUCUGGCUCCACGGAUUAUUCUAAGUGAAGCUUAUCCAAGUAAGUGUCGCAAACUCAUCUCUUGCAUUUACUUUUUGCCUAUCGUUUUCCUCUCGCCCACUUCUGAAAAACAAAAAUUUACAAAAAUAUUUGCCUUUUUUGUUCUCCCUUUUCUUUCGCUUGCUUUCUGCCUGCCUGAGUGGGAUAGUAUACCUGUCCUCAUGGCUAGACCCACCGCUUCGAACUAUACUCCCGAGAGUGAAGUUCUCAAUUUUAAACAAAUUGAGGAAGAAAAUUUAAAGGAUGUUUGGUAUAGGAUUUGCAAUGCUCAGAAUAGAUCUACUCGUAAGCAAUCCACUAUCGUCCUGCUUCGCAGCUUUUAUGUGGGUAUUUCCCCUAGGAAUAGGUAUUUUCUUGACACCAUCGUAGGCGGAGACUUCUUGGGUAGCCAUACCAUUGAUUCUUACGGUGCUUUGAUAAAUUUGGUAGGCUCACCCCCACUCAUGGUUAAUGGAACCACCUUAACUUUGGAACAUGUGAUGCGUAGGCUGGAUAUCAUUGAAAAUAAAGUUUCUAUGAUUGAACUCAUUGAGAAUUUGGAUAAAAAGAUGCACAAUCAAAUCACUCAGUACGGAUCCAAGGUGGGAAUGACUUUGAAAAAUCUAAAGGACAGGGAACCCACAGUUAACGAAAAACUAGAUCAUCAUUCCGCUAGGAUUGGCAAACUAGAGGAUGUUAUAACCAACUUGGGUUCCGCUUUUGCCGAUGUGCAGAAUACUCCAAUUUUUGCCCACAAUAAGGCCACGAAGUCUGUUUUUGUUCCUAAAAAUAGUGGUGAACCAUCUAGUAAGAGAGAUGAAUACCUUAAGAUGAUGAGGGCUACUUACGGUUUGAGCACCAAAGACGACGAUACGUGAUUCUAUCACCUUAUGCCUAGCUAAGGGUGUUAAACAAUAGCGCUUGUUGGGAGGGAACCCAAUUAAUUUAUCUUUGCUUUUUGCUUUCUGUUUUGUUGCGUCCACACAAUCAUAAUUCUGUUAUGAUUGUGUCUUUUGUAUUUAUUUUUUGUGUUUGAGCCAACUAAAACCUUUAUGACUAGUUUGGUGAUGGUUGUUUGAUCCUGCUGGAAAAAGACAAAAACUUUUCGCUCACGAAAUUAUUUUUCAUUUUUAUCCGGAAAGAGAUUUUGAGUUGAUUCUUCUUGCUGCUGGUUGAUAUGCCAAUUGCCCAAACUGUCGUAAUUGUUUAGAAUUUUUGAGAAACCAGAAGUAUACGAAGUAUACAGAUUGCCAUAGACUGGUCUGUUUUUGACAUAUUCUGUUUUUGUUGUGUUGGUUGCUUGUUUUGAUGAAACUAUGGAUAGUAUCGGGGGUACUAGCCAUGUAAAACUGAGAAUACAGUAAACUAACACCAAUACAAAUAGAAAUCAAGAUUGCUACAGUACCUCAAGAGGUGGUAGUUUGUUUUCUUGUGCUAAUGAUAUUACGUGUUUCUGUUUAAGUUUUGUGUUGUGAAGUUUUCAAGUUUUGUGUGAUGUUCUCAUGGACAAAGGGAUAAAGAGUGGAAAGAGCUCAAGCUUGGGGAUGCCCAAGGCAUCCCAAGCCAAAUUUAAGGACACCAAAAAGCCUAAGCUUGGGUAUGCACCGGGAAGGCAUCCCCUUUUUCGUCUUCAAUCCAUCGGUAACAUUUGUUGGAGCUAUAUUUUUAUUCACCACAUGAUAUGUGUUUUGCUAGGAGCGUCUUGUAUCGUAGGAGUCUUUUCUUUUUGUUGUGUCACAAUAAUACUUGCUGCACACCUUUUGAGAGAUACAUGCACUCAUCGUGAAUUUGCUAGAAUACUCUUUGAGCUUCACUUAUAUCUUUUGAGUUAGGCAAUUUAGCUCACAUGUGCUUCACUUAGAUCUUUUAGAGCACGGCGGUGUCAUAUUUUGGAGAAAUAAGAACUCUCGAUCUUCACUUAUAUCUUUUUGAAAGUGAUCUCUCUGAGUAACUUGGUAGUUGGCUUGUGCUAUGAAAGUAGUCCCAAAGGUGAUAGGAAUCCAAAGAGGAUACAAUGAAACUUCCAUCUUCUUGUGCAUUGAUUAGAAAGAGAAGUUUGAUUCCUCUCAAUUAGUUUUGAGACAUGGAUUUGAUGAUAUUAAGAGUUAUGUUAGUAGGGUGUUGUGAAUCUAGAAAUACUUGUGUUUAAGUUAGUGAUUCCCGUAACAUGCACGUAUGGUGAACCGCUAUGUUAGGAAGUCGGAGCAUAAUUGAUCUAUUGGUUGUCAUCCUUUGCGUUGCGGUCGGGAUCGCGUGAUGGUUAACACCUACCAACCCUUCCCCUAGGAGUAUGCGUUUAGCACUUUGUUUCGAUUACUAACAAAGACUUUCGAAAUAAGUAUGUGAGUUCUUCAUGACUAAUGUGAGUCCAUGGUAUAGAUGCACUUUCACCUUUCACCAUUGCUAGCCUCUCUAGUGCCGCGCAACUUUCGCCGGUGCACAAACCCACCAUAUGCCUUCCUCAAAACAGCCAUCAUACCUACCUACUAUGGCAUUUUCAUAGCCAUUCCGAGAUAUAUUGCCAUGCAACUCCCACCGUUCCGUCUCAUGACUUGUGUCGUCACUUACAUAUUGCCAUUGCAUGAUCGUAAGAUAGCUAGCGAGAUGUUUCAACGUCAUGCGCCAAGCUAGAUCGUUGCACAUCCCGGUGCUCUGCCGGAGGCAUUUCCUAUAGAGUCUUCAUUGCUCUAAGUAUUGAGUUGUGAGUAAAUAAAAGUGUGAUUAUCAUCAUUAUUAGAGCAUUGUCCCAUGUGAGGAAAUAAAAACAAAGAGGCCUAAGUUGCCCACAAAAAAAGGGAGAGAUUUGGAAAGAGGCCAAAGAGCCCAAACAAAAAAAGAGAAAAAGAGAGAAGGGACAAUGCUACUAUCUUUUCCACACUUGUGCUUCAUAAUUGCACCAUGUUCUUCAUGAUUGAGAGUCUCUUGUUUUGUCACCACCAUAUGCUAGUGGGAAUCUUCAUUAUAUAACUUGGCUUGUAUAUUCCAAUGAUGGGCUUCCUCAAAAUUUCCCUAGAACUUCGUGUUCAAGCAAGUUGGAUGCACACCCACUAUUUCUCCUUUUGAGCUUUCACACACAUAUAGCUCUAAGUGCAUCCAUUGCAUGGUAAUCCCUACUCUUUUACGUUGAUAUCUAUUAAUGGGCAUCUCCAUAGCCCUUUGAUACGCCGAGUCAAUGUGACCAUCUCCUCCUUUUUGUCUCACAACCUCCACCACACUCUAUUCCACCUAUAGUGCUAUAUCCAUGGCUCACUCUCAUGUAUUGCGUGAGAGUUGAAAAAGGUUUGAGAAAGUAAGAGUGUGAAAACAAUUACUUGGCCAAUACCGGGGUUGUGCAUGAUUUAAAUUAGUUGUGUGCGGAUGAUGGAGCAUAGCCAGACUAUAUGAUUUUUAGGGAUAACUUUAUUUGGCCUUGUUAUUUCGAAAGUUCAUGAUUACCUUGCUAGUUUGCUUGAAGUAUUAUUGUUAUCACGUCAAUAGCAAACUAUUGUUUUGAAUCUUACGGAUCUGAACAUUCAUGUCACAUGAAAGAAGUUACAAAGGACAAAUAUGCUAGGUAGCAUUCCACAUCAAAAAUUAUGUCUUUAUCACUUCCCUACUCGAGGACGAGUAGGAGUUCAGCUUGGGGAUGCUUGAUACGUCCCAACGCAUCUAUAAUUUUUGCUGGUUCCAUGUUAUUAUCUUGUCAAUGUUUGGAUGUUUUGUAUGCCUUUUAUAUCUUUUUUGGGACUAACUUAUUAACUCAGUGCCAAGUGCCAGUUCCUGUUUUUUCUGUGUUUUUGACCCUUUUCAUAUGAGAAUAUUAAACGGAGUCCAAACGGAAUAAAACUUCCGAAAAGAUUUUUUCCGGAACAGAAGAUAUGCAGGGGGUGUGAGAACCAAGGCAGAGGCCACCAGGGGAGGCCACAAGCCCCCUAGGCGCGGCCAAGGGGCCCGCGCCUAGCAGGCUUGUGGGCCCCCUGUGGCACGUCUGCCCUACCUCCUCCGCCUAUAAAUCCCCAAAAAAUCCAAAACCACGGGAGAGAUCCACGGAAAUAUUUUUCCGCCGCCGCAAGCUGCUGCCUCCGCAAAAUCCCAUCUGGGCAUGUUCUGGUGCCGUGCCGGAGGGGAGAUUGGGAUACGGAGGGCUUCUUCAUCAACACCAUUGCCUCUCCGAUGAUGUGUGAGUAGUUCACCAUAGACCUUCGGGUCCAUAGCUAGUAGCUAGAUGGCUUCUUCUCUCUCUUGGAUCUUCAAUACAAACUUCUCCAUGAUCUUCAUGGAGAUCUAUCCGAUGUAAUCUUCUUUUGCGGUGUGUUUGCCAAGAUCCGAUAAAUUGUGGAUUUAUGAUCAGAUUAUCUAUGAAUCUUAUUUGAGUUUCUUCUGAUCUCUUAUAUGCAUGAUUUCAUAUCCUUGUAAUUCUCUUCGAGUUGUGGGUUUUGUUUGGCCAACUUGAUCUAUGAUUCUUGCAAUGGGAGAAGUGCUUGGUUUUGGGUUCAUACCGUGCGGUGACCUCACCCAGUAGGAGAAGGGGUAGCGAGGCACGCAUCAUGUUGUUGCCAUCAAGGGUAAAAAGAUGGGGUUUAUAUCUAUUGCAUGAAUUUAUCCCUCUACAUCAUGUCAUCUUGCUUAAGGCGUUACUCUGUUCGUCAUGAACUCAAUACACUAGAUGCAUGCUGGACAGCGGUCGAUGUGUGGAGUAAUACUAGUAGAUGCAGACAGUAUCGGUCUACUUGUCUCAGACGUGAUGCCUAUAUGUAUGACCAUUGCCUUAGAUAUCGUCAUGACUUUGCUCGGUUCUAUCAAUUGCUCAAUAGUAAUUCAUUCACCCACCGUAAUAUUUGCUAUUUUGAGAGAAGCCUCUAGUGAACACUAUGGCCCCCGGGUCUACUUCAUAUCAUAUUUUCAGCCUUACACUUUUACUUCGUUGCACUUUCCACCUUCAGAUCUCACUUUGCAAUCAAUCUUGAAGGGAUUGACAACUCCUUUAUAGCGUUGGGUGCAAGCUUGUUUGUGUUUGCGCAGGUACUCUGGACACUUGGCUUGAUUCUCCUUCUGGAUUGAUACCUUGGUUCUCAAAACUGAGGGAAAUACCUUGGUUCUAAAAACUGAGGGAAGAUCAAACAGAGUUCAUAAAAGUUUUUUUUGUCUCUUUCAGUUUGUCAACUGAAUUGCUUGAGGACAAGCAAGAUUUUAAGCUUGGGGGAUUUGAUACGUCUCCGUCGUAUCUACUUUUCCAAAGUCUUUUGUCGUUGUUUUGGACUCUAAUUUGCAUGAUUUGAAUGGAACUAACCCGGACUAACGCUGUUUUCAGCAGAAUUGCCAUGGUGUUGUUUUUGCGCAGAAAUAAAAGUUCUCAGAAUGACCUGGAAAUUUACGAGGAUUUUUUGUGGAAUAUAUAAAAAACACUGGCGCAAGAAUCAACCGGGGGGGUGGAGCGAGGAGCCCACAAGCCCACCAGGCGCCCCCCGUGGCCGCGCCUAGGAGGCUUGUGGGGCCCUCGGAGCUCCACCGCCUCCAACUCCAGCUCUAUUUAGUCCCUUUCGUCCGGGAAAAAAUUUCAAGGAGAAGAGUUCAUCGCGUUUGACGAUAUGGAGGUGCCGCCACCUCCUAUUCUUCCUCUGGAGGGCAGAUCUGGAGUCCGUUCUAGGCUCCGGAGAGGGGAGAUCGUCGCCAUCGUCAUCACCAACCUUCCUUCAUCGCCAAUUCCAUGAUGCUCUUCACCGUUCGUGAGUAAUCUCAUCGUAGGCUUGUUGUCCGGUGAUGGGUUGGAAGAGAUCUAUCAUGUAAUUAAGUUAGUUUUGAUGGGGAUUGAUCCGUAGUAUCCACUAUGUUCUGAGAUUGAUGUUGCUACUACUUUGCCAUGGUUAAUGCUUGUCACUAGGGCCCGAGUGCCAUGAUUUCAGAUCUGACCCUAUUAUGUUCUCAUCAAUAUAUGUGUGUUAUUGAUCCUAUCUUGCAAGUUGUAGUCACCUACUAUGUGUUAUGACCCGACAACCCCGGAGUGACAAUAGCCGGAACCACUCCCGGAGAUGACCAUAGUAUGAGGAGUUCAUGUAUUCACUAAGUGCUAAUGCUUUGUUCUAGUUCUCUAUUAAAAGGAGAACCUUAAUAUCCCAUAGUUUCCAAUAGGACCCCGCUGCCACGGGAGGGAUGGACAAUAGAUGUCAUGCAAGUUCUUUUCCCUAAGCACGUAUGACUACAUACGGAAUACAUGCCUACAUUACAUUGACGAACUGGAGCUAGUUACAUAUCUCCCCAUGUUAUAAGUGUUGCAUGAUGAAUAUCAUCUGGCAUAAUUAUCCAUCACCGAUCCAAUGCCUACGAGUUUUUCCUACUGGUCCUUGCUAGGUUACUUUGCCGCUAGUGUUGCCGCUGCUGCUACUGUUACUUUGUCGCUACUGUUGUCGGUGCUGCUACUGUUACAGCUACUGUUGUCACUUCUCCUACUGUUACCGUUGCUACUGUUGCUAUAACACUACUUUGCUACUAAUACUUUGCUGCAGAUACUAAGUCUUUCAGGUGUGGUUGAACUGACAACUCAGCUGCUAAUACUCAAGAAUAUUCUUUGGCUUCCCCUUGUGUCGAAUCAACAAAUUUGGGUUGAGUACUCUACCCUCGAAAACUGUUGCGAUCCCCCAUACUUGUGGGUUAUCAAGACUAUUUUCUGGCGGCGUUGCCGGGGAGGCAUAGCACUAUUCUCUGAGUCACUUGGGAUUUAUGUUUGCUGGUCACUAUGAGGAAUCUGAGAGAUCCAAAAACUAAAGUCUUGCCCUCAACUAUGAGGACAGGUAAGGAACUGCCAUCUAGCUCUGCACUUGAUUCACAUUCAGUUAUGAGUAGGUUUGCGACACCACCUCCUACUAGAAAUUUUGAUGUGUCGCCUCUGCUUGAUGACGCUACUUAUGCUAUCCAUGAUUCUUAUGAUGAUGCUUUGCUUGAUACUGCUUCGCCACUAGGUGCAUUCCUUGAUGCACAAAUUGCUAGAGUUGCUGCUAGAUGUGAUGAUACUUCUGAAACUGCUGAGAUUAUUGAGGUAGAACCUGCUAUUUCGCCUGUUAGAACUAGCUCUCCUAGAUAUGAAUUGCCUGAUAUGCCUGAGGGUUAUGUUAUGGAGGGAGAGAUAGCUGAGGACUUUCUUGCUUGUAAGGAUAGCUAUGAUGUUGAGAAAUUACUGCGCAAGUGGAAAGAAAAAUCUUUGAACGCUAGGAUGAAAUACGACCCAAAGUUUGCUACUUCGCCUAUCUUUGUGACCGAUAAGGAUUAUGAAUUCUCUGUCGACCCUGAGUUAAUCACUCUGGUCAAAUCUGAUCCUUUUCAUGGUUAUGAGUCUAAAACGGUUGUAUCCCAUCUUACUAAGCUGCACGAUAUAGCCACCCUAUUCACGAGUGACGAAAAGAUUCGCCACUACUAUAUCCUUAAGUUGUUUCCUUUCUCGCUAAAGGAUGAUGCUAAGACUUGGUUCACCUCUCUUGCUCCUGGUUGUGUGCAUAGUCCCCAGGAUAUGAUCUACUACUUCUCUGAAAAAUAUUUCCCUGCCCAUAAGAAGCAAGUUGCCUUGCAGGAAAUAUACAACUUUGCGCAAGUUGAAGAAGAGAGUCUCCCACAAGCUUGGGGGAGGCUCAUCCAGCUACUGAAUGUUUUGCCUGAUCACCCUCUUGAAAAGAAUGAAAUACUUGAUAUCUCCUAUAAUGGACUAACCGAUGCUUCUAAGGACCACCUAGAUAGUUGUCCCGGUUGUGUUUUCAGGGAACGAACUUUGGAACAAGCUGAGAUCCUAUUGAAUAAUAUCUUGUGCAAUGAGAAUGCUUGGACUAUUCCCGAACCACCUUCGAAGCCAACUCCGAAGAAAAGAGGUAUCCUAUUCCUCAGUCCUAAAGAUAUGCAACAAGCUAAGAAAUCUAUGAAAGAGAAAGGCAUUAAAUCUGAAGAUGUCAAAAAUCUACCACCUAUCGAAGAGAUCAAUGGUCUUGAUAACUCGAUACAAGUAGUAGAGGUAAAUUCUCUUCGUAGAUUCAAUGAGAGUGAUAUUCCUUUUGAUAAACCUACUAGCUUAUGCGUGGAUGAAUUUGAUAACUAUGUUGCCAAACAACAAUGUUUCAAUGAUUAUGUUAGCACACAAUUGGAACAGAAUGCUCAUAUGCUUAGUCAUUUAAGUGAUUGUGUGGACAGAAACGUCAAUGAUCUUAAGCUCUUGAGUAAACAUGCCUCUAUGGUUACUACUCAAGUAGAACAAGUACUUAAGGCUCAAAAUGACUUGCUCAAUGAGUUGAAUGACAAUUCUGUCAGAGUCGUCACUAGAGGCGGUAGAAUGACCCAGGAACAUUUGUAUCCUGAGGGUCAUCCUAAGAGAAUUGAACAAGAUUCUCAAGGAGUUAGCACUGAUGCACCUAGUCAUGCUAGAAAGAAAAAAGAAAGAUGAUAGGAACUUGCAUGCUAGCAAACUUGUUGUUGUUACACCCGAGAAUCCAAACGAUGUCUCUGAUUCUGAUGCUGAAACGCAAUCUGGUGAUGAACAUGAGACUAAUGAUAAUAUCGAUAGUGAUGUUCAUGUUGAUGCUCAACCGAGCAAUGAUAAGGAUGUGGAGAUUGAACCUGUUGAUCUUGAUAACCCACAGCCUAAGAAUAAGAGAUACGAUAAGAACGACUUCGCUGCUAGGAAGCUUGGUAAAGAAAGGGAACCAUGGGUUUAGAAAUCCAUGCCCUUUCCUCCCGAACCAUCCAAAAAAAGGAUGAUGAGGAUUUUGAGCGAUUUGUUGAAAUGAUUAGACCUAUCUUUCUACAAAUGCGUUUGACAGAUAUGCUCAAAAUGUCUCCUUAUGCUAAGUACAUGAAGGAUAUUCUGACUAAUAAGAGGAGGAUACCUGAGGUUGAGAUAUCCACCAUGCUCGCUAAUUAUACCUUCAAGAGUGGAACUCCUAAGAAACUAGGUGAUCCCGGAGUGCCCACUAUACCUUGCUCCAUUAAAGGAAACUACGUUAGGACUGCUUUAUGCGACCUUGGAGCUGCUGUUAGUGUUAUGUCUCUCUCUCUUUAUCGUAGACUUGAAUUGGAUAAGUUGACACCCAGUCAAAUCUCCUUCCAAAUGGCCGACAAAUCAACUGCUUUCCCUAUCGGCAUUUGCGAGGAUAUGCUUGUUGUGGUUGCUAACGUUACUAUCUUAACAAACUUUGUUAUUCUGGAUAUUCCCGAGGAUGAUGCCAUGGCGGUCAUCCUUGGAAGACCCUUUUUUAAACACUGCAGGGGCUGUUAUUAAUUGCAACAAAGGCAAUGUCACUUUCCAUGUGAAUGGUAAUGAGCAUAUGGUGCACCUUCCAAAGAAACAAUAUCGAGUACAUUGCAUUAAUGCUAUUGAAAAAACUUCAUCGAUUCUUAUUGGGAUCUUUGAAUGCCCUAUACCUACUGCCAAGAUGAAGUAUGAUUUGCUUGUUGGGGAUAUGCACAUCCCCAUUGAGGUAACCAAGUGACUAUUCGAAAAUUCUCAGUUCUUUUUUGUGCGAUUCGAAAAAGUUUGUCACGGAGACUUGAUCAACCUCAUUGACGGAUUUCUUUCGAUGACCAUGAGACGGAUGAAUCGAGGAGUCACAAACCUUUGUUGCAAGCUUUCACCUUCGGUUUCUUAGAAGAAAAAUGAUAGAUUUAGCUUCAGUUUUCGCUGUCUUCUACUUUUUGCGUCCCAUAGAAAAGUGUCUCGAAAAUAAAGUUCUCCGAAUGCCGUGAAAAUCAAAUAUGAUUUUUUCUGGAAGUUUUGAAAAAUUAUGAGACGGAGAGCUAGUCAGGGGGAUGCACCAGUGGGCCACAAGCCCUGGAGGCACGGGCACCCCCCUGGCCGCACCUACCAGGCUUGUGGGGCCCACGUGUCCCCCCUCCACUUAUUCCAGCUCCCAUCUCCUUCUCCUACCUCCAGAAAAAAUCAUUUCACGACUCAAACCCGUGUUCUUGCUCUUCUUGCUGCUAUUUUCGAUCUCCUUGUGCAAAUCCCCAUUCACCAAACUGUUUUGGAGAAAUUGCUCCUUGGUAUGUGACUCCUCCAUUGGUCCUAUUAGUUUUUUCUCUAGUGCCUUAUUCGUUGCGUAUUAUUGCUGCUUUGGUGACCCUGUUCUAGAGCUUUGCAUGCUAAUUUUAGUUGGUCCCAAGUAGUUUUGAUGCGUGAUAUGGCCUCUAGGCACUUGUAGGAGUAGUUGCUAUAAGUUUCAUUGAGCCUUGUUCACUUUUCCUUUGAGUUACUAAAAAUUUCAUAAAAGGAAGAUGUUCAGGAGAAACUAUCAUGGUGGAUCGUCAAGCAAGAGGGGUCCCCGUCUCGCGAUUCGGGAACCCGAUCCUUUCCGACAGAGGAAUGCACAGGUACAACCAUGUGAAUGGCCUUAUGAUGAAUUCAAGAUUGAGGCAGGUUUCAAAGACGAGUUUGAUACACUUGUUCACAACGUCGGACUCGAAGAAUUCAUCUCCGAUAAAUGUGAACAGUAUGCUACUCUCACUGCCUCUUUUGUUCGUAGAUUAAAAUUUUCAGUUGGUCGUGACACAUCCGUACUGUUUGAUCUCUAUGACAAAUCGUAUACCAUGGAUUUAGAGGAUUUCAAUAGAAUUUGCAAGAUACCUGAUUGGGGUAGUCUCAAUGAUCCUCCUAAAUCUUCGGUUAGAGAUUUUUUUCUCUAGUAUAACUGUUGGAGAAACUAGAGAUAUUACGCAGGCUACCAUGGGGAGCAUUCAUUUUCCUGCCUUGCAUUACUUUGCCCUCUUCAUAGGUAGAUGCAUUAACGGCAAGAUUGAGCAUUGUCACCACUGCGCACCUGACCUUAGUAUUCUUAAGAGUGCGGUAACGGGUGAUAGAAGUUUCAACAUGGGAGCUAUAAUAGCAAGGAGGCUUGAUAAUAAUGCUAAUGAAGGGGAUUUCUUUGGUGGGAUCUAUGCCACUCGCAUAGCAAUUUUUUUUGGAGUACCCAUCCGUGAAGGAUAUCCCCCGCUCCAUACAGCUUUCCUUGAUCGCGCCGCUAUGACACGCUAUCAGUUCCUUGAGAGGGCUAAUGAAUCCCUCCUAUACCGGUUAAUAUUUAACCAACAGCGUGUUUUCCAUAUUACCCUUCCUGCUCCUGCCUUCUUUGACUUUUAGGUAAAACGGAGAUAUUACAUAACCAGAGGAGAGGGAGAGGAGUAUGAGAGGGAGGCAAAGGCUGCUCGCCUCCAUGAGGCAUCUAUUCAGGCGGUAGCUGCAGUGCUCCCAUACAACCCCCAUUAUGAUUUUCGGUAUCGCCCGGACCAUCCAUGAGAGUAGACCAACUUAGGCCAAAAGCCUAAGCUUGGGGGAGUACGUGUUUCUCACCGACUUUAUAUUCAUGCUCACACUUUCACUUUGUUAGUCGGUGUUCACAGUUUGCCACUGUAUCAUCCAUGCUAGUUUAUUUCUUUUUCUCGCUUUCCUCUCGUGUGUUUGUCUAGUUUGAGAAAACCCAAAAAUAUUUCCUUAUCUUCUUUUGCUUGUUGGGAGCUUUCCCGUGUAAAUAGUUUUCUUUUUCUUUGGGUCAAGGUAGAAGACCAUGGUUACAAUAUUUAGUGGCUCUCGCAUGCAUAUCUGUUUAUCUGUCAAAGAGCCAUAUUACUUUGUCUUCUCCUUUGUGUUUGCUUGCAGAUUCCAGCUUAGUCCAAUGCACGAGCACUCUUAUUAUUGUUCACAUCAUUCGGUCGAGCAAGUGAAAGGCAAUAAUGACGAUAUAUGAUGAAGUGACUGAGCGAGGAAAAGCUGGUGUGAACUCGAUCUAUUUUGUUUUUGUAAAUAUGACUAGCUCAUGGUUCCUAAUUCAGCUUUGUUGUGAGUGAAACAUGUUUGCAAUGACAACUUAGAUAUCAUAGUUUCUGAUGCCAUGCUUAAUUAGCUAGGAGCUUAUAAUGGUUUGUCUUGGAUGCCAACAUGAAUUUUGGGAUGAUUAUGAUGUAGUAUGAUAGGAUGGUAUGCUCCUUUGAAUGAUUCAAGUGGCUUGAAUUGGUGCAUGUUUACGCAUGUAGUUGAAACAAAGUCAACAUAGCCUCUAUGAUAUUCAUGUUUAUGGUGAUUUAUGUCCUACUCAUGCUUGUACUCAAUGUUGGUUAAUCUCAAUGCAUAUUGAUGACUGUUGUCGCUCUCUAGUUGGUCACUUCCCAGUCCUUUGCUAGCCUUCACUUGCUCUAAGCGGGAAUACUGCUUGUGCAUCCACCUCCAUAAACCCAAAGUUGUUCCAUAUGAGUCCACCAUACCUACCUAUAUGCGGUAUCUACUUGCCGUUCCAAGUAAAUUUGCAUGUGCCACUCUCUAAACCUUCAAGAAAUAAUCUGUUGUGCAUGCCCAAACCGCUCAUGUGGUGAGAAGGGGCGACCAGUAUCUUCCAUGCUAGGUGUGUUAUCCUCGAUAUUUGUUUAUUCACUAUCAUUCACGAGAAAGGGGCCGGUAAUUGGAAUGCCCAGUUCCAUGCUCAAAUCGAAAAGAUAAUUGCUAACAAAACCCCCCUGGAUUGUUGUUGGUAUGGACGGCACCCGAGUAUUCGGCUAGCCGUGGAGUGUGAUUGAUCGGUUGUGGGGGAGUCAAAACUUUACUUUUCUGUUUGGGAACCGCCUAUAGUAUGUGUAGCAUGGAAGAUGGUGAAAACUCUUGGUCAUUGCAUUGACAAUGAAAGCAUGCCACCCAAAAUUAUUUAUCUCUGUUUAAAAGCUUGAGCUCUGGCACCUCUGCAAAUCAAUGCUUCCCUCUGCGAAGGGCCUAUCUAUUUAUGUUUCCGUUGAGUCAUCCUCUUCUUAUAAAAGCACCAAUUAGAGAGCACCUCUGUCAUUCUUAUGCUUUGCUUUUAACUGUUAUUGAGUAUGACUGUGACUGGAUUUUCUUUGCCAUGAAUUACAAUGUUCAGUCAGCCCUUGGUCUUUGAAGGUGCUUUGCAUUUAUGUUUUGCGGUCUCAGAAAGAGCUAGCGAGAUACCAUCUGUUCAUAUUGCUUCAUGAUUUUUUUGAUUGAAGUGUUGACGUUUGAAACUUAUUUAUUAUUGCUCGCUAGAUGAUUAUGCCGGUGAUAUGAGUUCCUCUUGAGACCUAAAUGUCAUUGCUUAUGUGGUUAGCUUAUGAUCUUGCUGGAAAUCUAAAUAUGGGUUAGACAUAAUUACACCAACAAGAUCAAACAGAGUUCGUAAAAGUUUUUCCUUUGUCUCUUUCAGUUNNNNNNNNNNNNNNNNNNNNNNNNNNNNNNNNNNNNNNNNNNNNNNNNNNNNNNNNNNNNNNNNNNNNNNNNNNNNNACUAUUUUUUCGUCGCUACAUCAUCACGGUUUUUAAUUUACGACGUUCUCACGACGAAAAACCAAGCGUCGGAAACGGAGCGUCAGAAAUGAACAGCAGCGAUGUUUUGAUCAAAAUCGUCGUAACUUUUACGACGAUNNNNNNNNNNNNNNNNNNNNNNNNNNNNNNNNNNNNNNNNNNNNNNNNNNNNNNNNNNNNNNNNNNNNNNNNNNNNNNNNNNNNNNNNNNNNNNNNNNNNNNNNNNNNNNNNNUAACUUUUACGACGAUUCCUGGAUUGUCGUAACCUUUACAACGAUCCUAAAUCAUCGUUGGCAAUCAAACCCAGUCCUACGUGGCAGUCCUACGUGGAAAAAUUACGACGAGAUCAAAACGUCAUGGUUGAAAUCAGCCCAACCCAUUUCAUUUGAUCACAUGGGCUGGUUUUAAUUUUUUUUGGGAUUUUUCUUAUUGGGCUUCUUUUUGGGCCUUAUCAUAUUUACAGCCACUUUUAGUAUUCUUUUUCAAAUUUAAUUUUGUAGCCUUUUACUUUCUAUUGAUUUUUUUUGGCCAUUUUAUUUUUGUACUGGUCCCACAUGUCAUGCCGAUCUCAAAAUUAGUCCCACACGUCAGAAAUUUCACAUUUUGUCAAAUAAAUAUCAUAACUUGGUCCCCUUGUCAAGUUGCCUUUUCAUAGAUAUUCAAACCACAUUCAGAAUAAAUAUUUCAAACAGGCUUGGGAGCAAAUGAAAUUCAUCAAAACCAACAUUAAAUUUGUCUAUUGCAGUAUUUACACUACAUCACAACCGAGAUAUACCUAAGACUGCCUACUAUUACAAUACAUAUGCUACUCUUUGUUAAUAUGCUUCAUAGCUUCACACUUGGCUUUGUACUUCACCUGUGCAAAAAAUAAGAAUAAGAUAUGAACUAACAAUGCAGGUAUUUAAAUAACAGCAUUUACAAAAGAAGUGUGAACUAACACUGCAGGUUGUCAUAUACAAGAAUAUGUAACUGUGAAACAUGGAGUACAAGUAUUUUUGGAAACAUGAAAGAAGAUGAUUUAUUAUCUUGGAGAUUAGACAAGAGUUGUUCUGAGCAUUCUUACUCGAGCGAAGAGGAUGACUAAAAGCAUUCAAUGGUUGAUAAUAUACCAACAACUUCAAACUCUCCUAACAAAAGAUUCAAGUGCUGGAAACCUAGAACGAGACAGAUUAUACAGUUACCUGAGUGGAGUAAGGGACUGUUUCCAACAUAGGAAUUUCAAAGGAAUCAGUCCAUUUCCUGCAUGAACAUAAAAUAAAGUUAGUGUUGAUCAAAAGUAACAGAGUACGAGGUACCCGUGCCGCUCAUUGGCAUUUUAAUCUUACACUCACUCGCAUUUUAAUCUUACACUCUAUAUGAAAUGACAUCUUUAAUUACGACCUAUUUGAACUGUAAAUUGAUCAAAUACUAGUAGAGUACCCAUGCUGCUGCGGACCUUAGAUAAAGAAACUAUGGAUCAGCGAAACCUAAUAUAGAAAAAUACAUACAACAAACAAUCAGUAAACGAGACAAAAAAAAACUAUACAUCAGCAGUGCAAAAAUGUACCACCUCAACCUGUGAAUCCUCUUGAGAACAGGUAGAUUCAGUCAUACAGCAGCUACAGCAGCAAAAAAUUCAGUCCUGGGAAGAACCUCGAUAUCUUAUAGGAGGAUUCAGCAUAUAUAUCUUUUAGAUUCAGACCUACAGCAGCUACAGCAGCAAAAAAAUACUAGAUGUGCUACAGCAGCAACAAAAUCUAUGUCACAAAUUUAGUCCUACAGCAGCUAUAGUUGGAUUCAGUUCUGGAUCUGAUACACCAGUAAAAAAAUCAGUCCUACAGGUACACGAGGAUUAAGUGGGCAUCCUGACGGGGCCCUUGACCUUGAGCUGCUUCUCCUUGGCGCCCUUCACCAGAUCGGAGCACACUGCAAGCAAACGAAGCGGCCACGCAACUAGAACGGCAAACAACACAUUAGCUCGGCGACGUGCAGAACAUCAUAGGUCAGAGGGGGCAUAAUACUGAAUUUAAAAUGAUUUUAUUUCCAAAACGGAACAGCAGAUUAGCGAUAUCUCACCUCCUUGGACAUCUUUCGGAGCUCACCGACUAGUGCUUUGGUUGUUUUUUAAAUACCACGGGCAAUCUGUACUGGAUUGGCACCGACAGCUACAAUCUGCAGAAAGUAAUUAAACAAACUGAACAUUAUGUCCAGAACUAAAUGAGAGCACUUAUAUGUUAUACGAUGUACCUUAACACCCUCGGCAAUCAUCCCUUGAGCAAGGAUGACAAAAGUGGUAGUUCCAUCACCAGCCAAACCAUUGGUCUUAGCAGCAGCUUGCCUGACCAAUUUAGCCCCAAUAUUUUCAACAGGGUCCUAAAGCUCAACCUGAUCCAGAAGCCAAUCAUGAGAAAAGCUCACAGUCAGGAUCGAAGUGAAAAGAAACAUUGUUCUACAUCUCCUGACAGAACAGUACCUCUUUGCCACGGUACUAUUAAAAUUGCAGUACACUCUUAAGGAAACAGAUUCGGUCGAAAAUAUCAUAGUGCAAAUUAAAGCUACUACUGUUAGCUUAUCGUCUUUGCUGAAUAAAGUUUGUGUAUGAUGCACUUACUCCACAGUAAACGGAGGAACAUCAAACAAGCCCCAAAGUGAAACUACUUCCAAAAGAAAUACCCAUCUAAUUCAGAUUCCUUAAAGGGAGGAACACCAGAACAUCAGUCGAUUCAGAGACGGCUCAGCUUAGAUCAUAUGUAGCACAAUAAUAUAUAUCUAAAAAAAGAAAGCAACCACAUUUUGUUUUCGUUCUAGAUUCAUUAGUACAACCAACUACACCACAUAGCACGUAGCACUGUAGGAACCACAAGUCUAACCAAACUGAAUAUGAAUAGAAGAGCAUGGCAGGCAGCAGAUAAAUCUGAAACCACAUAUGUGCAUGAUAAAGUAAAAGACUGAUGAAAAGGAUAGCAUGCAUGAUUAACUAAAACACAAGUCACUGCAGGUUGUUGCCCGACAUGAGGUCCGGCGUUCGACUUUCCUGACAGAGAGCUGUUAUUGUACCCAUGGACAUGGAAUCAUCCUCGUGCUGCUAAAUAACAAGGAGGUCUCAUUGCGUCCCGGGAAGCAGCACAUCACACCGAGUGUGGGGGAGGAAGGUCCAUGGCAUCCUCCUCCAAUGGCGACCUUGAUCUGUUGGAUUUGGGAGGGAGAGGAGAGGUGAGGAAGAACCUACUACAGAGAGAGGGGGAGGGAGGGGUGAUGGUGGUCAUACGAGAUCAGGUGUCAUCAUGUAUGGGCUCCUCCUAUGCUGCGUGCAAGGCCGACAUGGCAUCGGGCUUGUCCUCCAUGGCAUCCUCCAUGACCACACGGGACAGGAUGCAAACAAGCAAACAAACAAAAAUGCACAAAAUAAUUAGAUUUGAUCCAAAGCAGAAGAAAUCAAGGAGGACGAGCAAGGGAUGAUCCAUAACAGAUCGAUUCUGGUCGCCAUGGCCGGGAUCCAAGCUUAUCACAAUAGAAUAAGAUUUUAUCUUUCCAGAUUGAGUAUUUCCAUUUCCUAGCUAUACAAGAUUGUGCACUAGUUUUCUCCCAUAACAGUAGGACAGCAUAUAUAGCUCAGCAAGAUACUAAAGUUCAGACGAUCCCCCACUUACUAAGUUGUAGGCUAGCAUUGGUAUCCCCUUAGAUUGGAUCAGUUCAUCCCAUUUUUAUAUUUUAUUUUCAAGGUAAUGUGUCCAGCACCACAGCAAAAUUUACUAAUACAUUUAGCUAAGCUAAAUGUUAACAAAUCUGCAGGCUCUAGCUAGGACAAUAACAAAUGAAUCAUGUCAUUGAUAGUUGAUGUACUGAUACAAAAAACUACCAUCUUGGUCUAUGCACAAAACAAUUUCAUUGACGAAACGAACAUCUUCUAGAUAUAUUCCCCAUCCAUCGAAGAGAUAUAUAUGAAAACACUGAAUAAUUAUGUGCAUAGAAAAACUGGCACAAGGCAUCACAUACCAUCAAAUAUGCCAAACAACCCAACAGUCUCUCCAUCAACAUCAUCCACUCUUGUCUCGUAGAAAUCCUCCAUUGAUGCCCUUUUCCCAGCACUGCUUGCGAACCCAUAACUGGACCUGCCUUUUUCACUACAAUGGCAAGUGGGGGGAAAAAAAUUUAAAACUUAACAGAAUAUCCAAAUUCACGGGCUCACGGCACAUAUUAUACCACAGCAUUUCGUGUGAAAUCAGAUGCAUCAUACUUCCUUCUAAAAAAAUGGCUACUUUCUGAACUUCCAAUGUAUGGAACAGAGUAUUUUGAGGUAACAGUUUCACAUAUUUUGUCUUCACUUUCAUCAAAUUUUCUUCCAAAGUAUACAAAAGCAUGCGUGAGUAAAUUUGCAGAGUCUUGUAUUAAGUACGAGUAUCUCACAUAGAUAUGGUUCUUAUACAUGCCAUGGAUUUCCAUCUGCUCCUAUGAUUAUUUAAGCUCAUAAGUAAAAUUAACUAAUUACUGUCUCAUGUAAUGCAAGCUCACUGUAGUAAAGAAAAAUCGCUAUCUGAACAGGUUAACAUGAUCCCUUAAAGCAAACAUAUGCGAGCAAUUUCAUACUAGAUGUCUCAAAUUGCCAUGAAAGAAAUGCAUUAGUAAAAGCGAGGACAAGAUCACUAUGACUGCUAGAACACAAUACAUAGUAUUGUAGCUUCUAUUUGUAAACAAUUGGUUAGAUAUUGUUUACAAGAGAGGCUGUAAACAUGAUCUCCGUACUAAUGCUCGAUAGUUCCUCAUUUGCACGCAUCUAGCCUGAGGUAUCCUUUCAGAUCAAGCACCGAAUCAAAGGGAUAAACAAUGAUGAUUGCUUUCUCCUGAAAAGUAUCCUCCCAAGAUUCGGCAUCUCAGAAAAUAAUUAACAUCAUAUAAGUAAAAAUAUAUCUACAAGACAAGACAUGGCCGCAUGUCUGCACGAUACAGAGGUGGUAGGUGCGUGUCCACAAUGAGAGACAACAGAGAAAAGGCAUCGCGGAAUUCAUAUCAAAGAGUAAAAAAGCUCACCAGCCUUGAGGGAUGUGUCGGCCUGGGCGAUGUUCGGGGCCAUGGCGCACAUGAGCGCGAUGCCGUGCUCAGCGGCAGCGAUGGUGUUGGCUGUGGGCGCGUUGAUAACGAGGCAGUCGUGCUCGAUGGCGGCGGUGAGAUCGACGCUGUCGAUCCCGACGCCCAUGCGGCCGAUGACGCGGAGCCGGCCGCCGGAGGCCUCGAAGACAUCGCGGCCGACCUUGGUGCCGGAGCGCACGAUGAGCGCAUCGCAGAGCGAGAUCUUGGCCCGGAGCUCCUCGGGGAAGAGGCCGUAGGAGCAGUCGAUGGCGAACUCCUGGACCAACGGCAGCCCCGCGGCGGCCAGCUUCUCGGCUACGAACACCGUGGGCUUGCCCUCAACGGCCACCGCGGCGGAAGCGGGCGGGGACGCGGUCGACGCGGCGGGGGCCGCGGGCGCGGAGACGCAGAUGCGGCAGCGGAGACACGGAUGCGGCAGGCGGCGAUGUGGGAGACGAGGGGAGGGGUGGAUCAGACCGUGGGACGACGAGUGGGUCUGGUAGGGUUUGCAUUUGUUUUUCCUUUUUGUGUUUGCAUUUAGAUCUGUUGAGAAACGUUGGAUCUGGUUAGCUUUGACGGCUCAGAUCAGAUACACUCGAGUGAUCCGUGGGAUGGGUGGUUCUCCAUUCUGAUUGGUCAUAGAUAUGUUUUCUUUAAAAUGCAUUUUUAAACAGCAUAAGAUUUUAAAAAAUGAAAAACUUUCUCAUUAUAUCAUUACAUGUGACCCAAAUAUUUUAAAAAACUAUUCUCUAAAAUGAGAUAUUAUGUAUAAAGAUUCAUACUUUUCAAGUUAAAUGACCAAAGUUAUGUUAAAAUUCAUGGCAUGGUUUAUUCAAAUGAAGUAAUAUUGUGCACAAGGGUGCAUCUUGGAAUGGCAAAACAAUUUUGCCUAAGGAAGUUUUUAUUUUUUGGUGGAGUGAGGUUAUAUGGUGAGUUUCACCCCGUGAUAAAUUUUCAUCAACUAUAAAAAAAUAUAAAAUGUAGUUGCUUCACAAAAUGAAAAUAUUACGAGAAACAAAGAUUGGAUGAUGAGCUCACAUGGAUUGUUAGAUGGGGCUAAAAUUUUGUGGAGAGCUACUUUUGGGCACAUAUAAGAUGUGGAAAAAAAUGAACUCAUCAGGAUAUUCCUAUCUAGUACUUCCUUCACAAAGUUGUUAGCUGAACACAAACUUUGGAAAUUUGCUAAGAAAGAUUUACUAGGGAAAUGGUUAUGAAAGUUUUCAUGAGGCAAUGAUUUGGAUAGGAAAGAAUGCCCAAAAAAUAUGAGGGUGAUCAAAGAAAUAGAAAUGACACUUCCUUCACAAAGUGCUAUUCUAAACAGAAUAGGAAAAUGAAUAUUGCUGAAUUAUUUUUGAACUAUGGAGGAAGGGUUUUCGCAUAUUUGAGAAAUAUAUGAUCCAAAGUAUUUAUGAGAAUUUUUCGAGAAUUUUUGGAAUGAUAGAAUAGUAGGUUGCUUCACAAACUAGGAUGAGGUGGGAUAUAAUGGACCCACGAGUGACAUGUCAACAUAGUUAGAACAAGUUACGACAUUUUUACAAUCGUCGUAAAAGUUAUGACGAUCUCAUCUUAUGCGGUUACGACGUUUCGACUCACAUCGUCGUAAUUUAUAUGUAGAUUUGAUCCCCUCAAACGGUUUACGACGAUCUCGGAUGAAAUCGUCAUAGAUUUAUGACGAAUUCAUCAACGACAUUUUAAAAAACAUCACAUAUGAGCAUAUUUCUUGUAGUGUACGUCUCCGUCGUAUCUACUUUUCCAAACUCUUUUGCCAUUGUUUUGGACUCUAAUUUGCAUGAUUUGAAUGGAACUAACCCGGACUAACGUUGUUUUCAGCAGAAUUGCCAUGGUGUUGUUUUUGUGCAGAAAUAAAAGUUCUCAGAAUGACCUGGAAAUUUACGAGGAUUUUUUGUGGAACAUACAAAAAAUACUGGCGCAAGAGUCAACCGGAGGGGUGGAGCGAGGAGCCCACAAGCCCACCAGGCGCGGGCCCCCUUGCCUCGCCUAGCAGGCUUGUGGGGCCCUCAGAGCUCUACCGCCUCCAACUCCAGCUCUAUUUAGUCCCUUUCGUCCAAAAAAAUAAUUCAACGAGAAGAGUUCAUCGUGUUUUACGAUACGGAGACGCCGCCACCUCCUGUUCUUCCUCUGGAGGGUACAUCUAGAGUCCGUUCGAGGCUCCGGAGAGGGGAGAUCGUCGCCAUCGUCAUCACCAACCUUCCUUCAUCGCCAAUUCCAUGAUGCUCUUCAACGUUCGUGAGUAAUCUCAUCGUAGGCUUGCUGGACGGUGAUGGGUUGGAUGAGAUCUAUCAUGUAAUUGAGUUAGUUUUGAUGGGGAUUGAUCCCUAGUAUCCACUAUGUUCUGAGAUUGAUGUUGCUACUACUUUGCCAUGCUUAAUGCUUGUCACUAGGGCCCGAGUGCCAUGAUUUCAGAUCUGAAGCUAUUAUGUUCUUGUCAAUAUAUGUGUGUUCUUGAUCCUAUCUUGCAAGUUGUAGUCACCUACUAUGUGUUAUGACCUUGCAACCCCAGAGUGACAAUAGCCGGAACCACUCCCGGAGAUGACCAUAGUAUGAGGAGUUCAUGUAUUCACUAAGUGCUAAUGCUUUGUUCUAGUUCUCUAUUAAAAGGAGAACCUUAAUAUCCCAUAGUUUCCAAUAGGACCCCGCUGCCACGGGAGGGAUGGACAAUAGAUGUCAUGCAAGUUCUUUUCCCUAAGCACGUAUGACUACAUACGGAAUACAUGCCUACAUUACAUUGACGAACUGGAGCUAGUUACAUAUCUCCCCAUGUUAUAACUCUUGCAUGAUGAAUAUCAUCCGGCAUAAUUAUCCAUCACCGAUCCAAUGCCUACGAGUUUUUCCUACUGGUCAUUGCUACGUUACUUUGCCGCUACUGUUGUCGCUGCUGCUACUGUUACUUUGUCGCUACUGCUGUCACUGCUGCUACUAUUAACGCUACUGCUGUCACUGCUGCUACUGUUACCGUUGCUACUGUUGCUAUCACACUACUUUUCUACUGAUACUUUGCUGCAGAUACUAAGUCUUUCAGGUGUGGUUGAAUUGACAACUCAACUGCUAAUACUUGAGAAUAUUCUUUGGCUUCCCCUUGUGUCGAAUCAACAAAUUUGGGUUGAAUACUCUACCUCGAAAACUGUUGCGAUCCCCUAUACUUGUGGGUUAUCAUGGUUCAUCUGAUGAGAUCAUCGUGGAACAUUUGGGAGCCAACAUGGAUAUCUUGACACCGCUCUUGGUUAUUGGCCGGAGAGAUGUCUCAGUCAUGUGUGUAUGUUUCCCGAACCUGUAGGGUCUACACACUUAAGGUUCGGUGACGCUAGAGUUGUUAUGGGAAUCGUAUAUGUGGUUACCGAAGGUUGUUCGGAGUCCUCGUAUGAGAUUCGGAUGUCACGAGGAGUUCCAGAAUGGUCCGGAAAUGUUUCGGGGAUCAUCGGUAUUGUACCGGGACCAUCGGAAGGGUUCCGGGGGUCCACCGGGAGGGGCCACCAGCCCCGAAGGGCCACGUGGGCCAAAAGUGCAAGGGAACUAGCCCCUAGAUGGGCUGGUGGGCCACCCACCAAGGCCCAAGGCACACAAAGAGGCAAGGGAGGCCAAACCCUAGGCGUGAGGGCUGCCUUGGGUGGCAAGCCACCCCCUAGGGCGACGCCCCAGCUCCAUCUAGGGCUGCCGCACCUCCUAGGGCUUACCUAGGGGUCACGCACCACCUCUCCUUCCCUCCUAUAUAUAGUGGAGGGUUUGGGAGGGAUACACACACCUUGAACACCAUCUCUUGGCGCAGCCCUACCUCUCCCUCUUCUCCUCCUCUGCGGUGCUUGGCGAAGCCCUGCCGGAGAGCCACCUACUCCAUCGCCACCACGUCAUCGUGCUGCCGGAGUUCUCCCUCAACUUCUCAUCCCUCCUUGCUGGAUCAAGAAGGAGGAGGCGUCCCCGGGCUGUAGGUGUGUUGAACGCGGAGACACCGAAUGUUUUGUGUUUGGAUGGAAUCGCCACAAGUACGACUCCAUCAAUCGCGUUCGUAGUAACGCUUCCGCUUUGCGAUCUUCAACGGUAUGAAGAUGCUCUUCCCCACUCGUUGCUGGUUUCUCCUAGAUGAUCUUGGUGUUUUGUAGGAAAUUUUAUGAAUUACUACUACGUUCCCAACAGUGGUAUCCAAGCCAGGUUUAUGCGUAGAUUCUAUGCACGAGUAGAACACAAAAGUUGUGGGCGAUGAUUUUGUCAAUUGUUUGCCGUUACUAGUCCAAACUUUUUUCGGCGGUAUUGUGGGAUGAAGUGGCCGAACCGACCUUACAUGUACGCUUAUGUGAGACUGGUUCCACCGCCUGACAUGCACUUGUUGCAUAAGGUGGCUAUCGGGUGUCUGUCUCUCCCACUUUAGUCGAAUUGGAUUCAAUGAAAAGGGUUCUUAUGAAGGGUAAAUAGCAUUGACAUAUUAACAGUGUGGUUGUGACGUAGGUAAGAAACGUUCUUGCAAGAAACCCAUAGCAGCCACGUAAAACUUGCAACACCAAUUAGAGGACGUCUAACUUGUUUUUGCAGGGUAUGCUAUGUGAUGUGAUAUGGCCAAAAGGAUGUGAUGAUAUAUAUGUGAUGUAUGAGAUUGAUCAUGUUCUUGUAAUAGAAUUCAUGACUUGCAUGUCGAUGAGUACGACAACCGGUAGGAGCCAUAGGAGUUGUCUUAAUUUAUUGUAUGAAAUGCAAUGCCAUGUGAUUACUUUACUUUAUUGCUAACUGUUAGCCAUAGUAGUAGAAGUAAUAGUUGAUGAGACGACUUCAUGAAGACACAAUGAUGGAGAUCAUGGUGUCAUGCCGGUGACAAUGAUGAUCAAGCCGUGCCCCGAAGAUGGAGAUCAAAGGCGCAAGAUGAUAAUGGACAUAUCAUGUCACUAUAUGAUUGCAUGUGAUGUUUAUCAUGUUUCUAUAUCUUAUUUGCUUAGAACGACGGUAGUAAAUAAGAUGAUCCAUUCACUAAAAUUUUAAGAUGCACCGUUGUGAAGGAUCGUUGUCUCGAAGCACCACGUGAUGAUCGGGUGUGAUAGAUUCUAAUGUUCGCAUACAAUGGGUGUAAGCCAGAUUUACACACGCAAAACACUUAGGUUGACUUGACGAGCCUAGAAUGUACAGACAUGGCCUCCGAGCAUGAGAGACCAAAAGGUCGAACAUGAGUUGUAUGGAGAUACGAUCAACAUGGAGAUGUUCACCAUUAAUGACUAGUCCGUCUCACGUGAUGACCGGACACGGCCUAGUCAAUGUGGAUCAUGUAUCACUUGGAUGACUAGAGGGAUGUCAUCUGAGUGGGAGUUCAUUAAAUAAUUUGAUUAGAUGAACUUAAUUAUCAUGAACAUAUUCAAAAGGUCUUUGCAAAUUAUGUUGUAGCUUGCGUUGUAGCUCUACAGUUUUAGAUAUGUUCCUAGAGAAAAUUUAGUUGAAAGAUGAUAGUAGCAAUUAUGAUGACCGGGUCUGUAAACUGAGGAUCGUCCUCAUUGCUGCGCAGAAGGCCUAUGUCCUUAACGCAAUGCUCGGUGUGUUGAACCUCGAACGUCAUCUGUGGAUGUUGCGAACAUCUGACAUACACGUUUUUUAUGACUACGUGAUAGUUCAGUGCGUAAUGCUAAACGGCUUAGAAUUGAGGCGUUGAGGACGUUUCGAACGUCGUGGGACAUACGGGAUGUUCCAAGAGCUGAAAUUAGGAUUUCAGGCUCGUGCCCACAUCAAGAGGUAUGAGACCUCUGACAAGAUUCUUUGUCUAUAAAGUAAGGGGGGGAAAGCUCAAUAGUUGAGCAUGUGCUCAGAUUGUUUGAGCGCUACAGUCACUUGCAUCGAGUGGGAGUUAAUCUUCCAGAUGAGAUAGUCAUGGUUCUCCAAAGUCACUGCCACCAAGCUACUAGAGCUUCAUGAUGAACUAUAACAUACCAGGGAUAGAUAUGAUGAUCCUUGAGCUAUUCGCGUCGUUUGACACCGUGAAAGUGUUGGGGAACGUCGCAUGGGAAACAAAAAAUUUCCUACGCGCACGANNNNNNNNNNNNNNNNNNNNNNNNNNNNNNNNNNNNNNNNNNNNNNNNNNNNNNNNNNNNNNNNNNNNNNNNNNNNNNNNNNNNNNNNNNNNNNNNNNNNCGAGAGAGAUUGUCCGUUUUGUACACGAAGUGCAUCCAGUUUUUGUCGUAGCCCUCUCAACUUUUUAACACAUGCUAUGUGGGUGAAAUGAUGAUAGCAUGCCAACUUUCAACAUUUUCAGAGUUCAUUUGUAGUGCUUUUCAAUUUCAGGGUCAACUAGCUCAAAAAAAAAGUAAAUGCACGAAGAAUACCAAAUGAAGUCAGAAAUUGUUAAAAUUUUGUGAUGUGCCUUUGAAUGGUGCAUUUUGAACACACAAAAAGUAUGGAGUUCAAAUAAGUUCGAAAAAAUGAAAUCCCUUUGUAAGAGAUGAGUUCUCGUUCGAAACGCUGAUACUUCGAGAGAGAUUGUCCAUUUUGUACACGAAGUGCAUCCAGUUUUUGUCGUAGCCCUCUCAACUUUUUAACACAUGCUAUGUGGGUCAAAUGAUGAUAGCAUGCCAAUUUUCAACAUUUUCAGAGUUCAUUUGUAGUGCUUUUCAAUUUCAGGGUCAACUAGCUCAAAAAAAAGUUAAUAGUUUGGAUAGUCAAAAUAAUUAAUUUUGAAAAUAGAAAAUAGUUUUGCAUUAUUUAUUAAAUUUCAAACACUUUGCAUUAUCGUAGUUUUGUCAAGUUCUCAAAUAUGCAAAAAGAAUUUUAAUAAACAUAGUUUUUAAUUGAAAAUAACAAAAUAGAUAAUAGUUUGGAUAGUCAAAAUAACUAAUUUUGAAAAUAGAAAAUAGUUUUGAAUUAUUUAUUCAAUUUCAAACACUUUUCAUUAUCAUAGUUUUGUAAAAUUCUCAAAUAUGCAAAAGGAAUUUUAAUAAACAUAGUUUUUAAUUGAAAAUAACAAAAUAGUUAAUAGUUUGGAUAGUCAAAAUAAUUACUUUUGAAAAUAGAAAAUAGUUUUGAAUUAUUUAUUCAAUUUCAAACACUUUUCAUUAUCAUAGUUUUGUCAAAUUCUCAAAUAUGCAAAAAGAAUUUUAAUAAACAUNNNNNNNNNNNNNNNNNNNNNNNNNNNNNNNNNNNNNNNNNNNNNNNNNNNNNNNNNNNNNNNNNNNNNNNNNNNNNNNNNNNNNNNNNNNNNNNNNNNNNNNNNNNNNNNNNNNNNNNNNNNNNNNNNNNNNNNNNNNNNNNNNNNNNNNNNNNNNNNNNNNNNNNNNNNNNNNNNNNNNNNNNNNNNNNNNNNNNNNNNNNNNNNNNNNNNNNNNNNNNNNNNNNNNNNNNNNNNNNNNNNNNNNNNNNNNNNNNNNNNNNNNNNNNNNNNNNNNNNNNNNNNNNNUUUUGAAAAUAGAAAAAAAACUAUAUGAGAAUUUAUAGAGAAAAUUCAACCUAAAUUCAAAGUGAACUCACUUUGAAUUCAGGUUGAAUUUUCUCCAUAAUUUCGAAUAUAGUUUCAAUUUUCAGUGAGUUUAGGCCCGUAAGCCUGCUUUAGAGAGGAGCUCGAUGGAGAAGCUGCGACGGGGCUUAUAAACAAGUGUUAGUCCCCCUCGCUAGGCGAGGUGGGACUAAANNNNNNNNNNNNNNNNNNNNNNNNNNNNNNNNNNNNNNNNNNNNNNNNNNNNNNNNNNNNNNNNNNNNNNNNNNNNNNNNNNNNNNNNNNNNNNNNNNNNNNNNNNNNNNNNNNNNNNNNNNNNNNNNNNNNNNNNNNNNNNNNNNNNNNNNNNNNNNNNNNNNNNNNNNNNNNNNNNNNNNNNNNNNNNNNNNNNNNNNNNNNNNNNNNNNNNNNNNNNNNNNNNNNNNNNNNNNNNNNNNNNNNNNNNNNNNNNNNNNNNNNNNNNNNNNNNNNNNNNNNNNNNNNNNNNNNNNNNNNNNNNNNNNNNNNGAACCGGGACUAAAGAUCCACCUAUAUAAGCGGGAGUUAGAAAAAUUCCAACCCAAAUCGUUCGUUUCUCUUCUUCUUCCUCUCGUUCUCCUGCCCGGCGCGGCACACUGACGACCUCGACGACGCCGUCAGGCUGCCCGCCGUCUUCCUCGCCGUCGCCUGUCGUCCUCCUCGCCGCCGCCGUCCUCCUCNNNNNNNNNNNNNNNNNNNNNNNNNNNNNNNNNNNNNNNNNNNNNNNNNNNNNNNNNNNNNNNNNNNNNNNNNNNNNNNNNNNNNNNNNNNNNNNNNNNNNNNNNNNNNNNNNNNNNNNNNNNNNNNNNNNNNNNNNNNNNNNNNNNNNNNNNNNNNNNNNNNNNNNNNNNNNNNNNNNNNNNNNNNNNNNNNNNNNNNNNNNNNNNNNNNNNNNNNNNNNNNNNNNNNNNNNNNNNNNNNNNNNNNNNNNNNNNNNNNNNNNNNNNNNNNNNNNNNNNNNNNNNNNNNNNNNNNNNNNNNNNNNNNNNNNNNNNNNNNNNNNNNNNNNNNNNNNNNNNAAAAGAAGAAAAAGGGAAGGAGAAGAAAAGAAGAAAAAGGAGAAGAAAAGAAGAAAAAGGGGAAAAAGGAAGAAAAAGGAGAAGAAAGGAAGAAAAAGGAGAAGAAAGGAAGAAAGAAAGCAAAAUAUUUUUUUUGUCAUUUAAUUCCUAUUGUUAUUAGGUUUGUGCUAGAUUAUUAGGGUUAGUAAUAUUUAGAAUUAGGGAAAAGGAAAAUAAGAAGAGGAGGAGAAGAAAAGAAGAAAAAUGAGAAUAAGAAGAGGAGGAGAGGAGAAGAAGAGGAAAAAUAGAAGAAGAGGAGAAGUAGAAGAAGAGAAAAAAUUAGAAGAGGAGGAGAGGAGAAGUAGUAGAAGAAGAGGAGAAGUAGAAGUAGAAGAAGAAGUAGAAGAAGAGGAGAAAUAGAAGAUUAUUGCUUAAUUUUGCUAUUGUAUAUGCUUAAGUGUUAAUAGUUUAAUUUUGCUAUUGUAUAUGCUUAAGUGUUAAUAGUUUAUUUUUAGCAAGAAAAUUAAUAGAACUAGUUUAUUUUUUUAGUUCAUUUUACGAUGCCUAUCCCGCAUCCUCGUCGUCGACUCGGCGGAGGACACCUGCUUGAUUAGAGGGGCCCUGUCCGGGACUGGGCUCCGCCCGGCUGGUAUUGGGAGGUGCUACCUUCUGGGGGCGUAGGUUGGUGAGGAGCCAGCCCGUCGUUGACCCGAUCCUUGUUUGGUGGCGGUCGCGUGGGCCAGUGAGGGUGCCGAGGCUUCCGGACACCGCGGAGGUGGUAUGUCACCGUGUCAGCGAGGAGGAUGAGCACGUCCGCCGCUACAUGGUUGCGUUGGAGGGCAGGUUCGAGCAUACCUGGCAGGUUCUUCGGGGAUCUCACUGGAGCUAUGAUCCUGUGAUGGUUCCUUCUCUUUGGGUGUCCACCGCCUGCGCCGAUACCCGUCGGGCGCUACGGUUCUAGAUGUAUCAGUGAUGCUAUAUGUAUGAUAGUAUUCGAGGAGUAUUAGUGAUAAUAUUCGACGAUGUACGGACAAAAGAGAUGAUGUAUUUGCUUAUAAUUGAAUGCAUGCUAAUUUGAAUACUACUUUAUUUUACGAUUUGAUUUUGCUUAUUGAAUGCUCAAAUUGGAAAAGUACUCCUACUUUGAAUACUAUGCAGAAAUCUAGGAGUCCCGGGUGGAGCCACGACCCGGGACUAAAGUUGUUUUGGAACGGAGUUCCUGAUCAAAUGUCUGUUUUUUGCAGAACUACGGAUCCACAUAUUAGGAACCUCGAAGAGGAAGAACUUCUCGAAGAUAUAAUCAAAGACGGCCCCGACGUUGAACCAGCUGAAUCUCCGUCGUCAUAUCUAAACCCCUCCGUAUAUGGAAUGGAGGUCGAGCGACACAAAGAUGAAGCCGAUGGGGCAGGAGAUAGGUCCAAUGACGGAGAAGGUGAUAGCUCCACUGAUGGAGAAGCCGGUGAAGAAAUAAUAAAGUCCGGCGAGGUAUACAUAUGAAGUUCGACAAUCACUUGUAAUAUGUGAAAAAUAUUGGAGAUAGCUCUAUAUUGUAUACAUAUACAUUCAUUUGACGAAUGUUUCUCCCUCUUAGGCCUCCACAUCGAGCAAAGCUACGAAACGAGGCCCGACUAGAAAGUUGGAUGCACGGACGCAUUACACCUUUGAGGUGAUAUUGCCUACGGGCGAACCCAAGCUUCCUAAGAAUGCUGCUGACACAUUCAAGAAGCAAUGCGGAGUUCUAGUUAGGGAUCACGUCCUGAUCAGCGUUCGGGAGUGGAACAAGCGCAAAGGGGCAGCCGAUAGUGACUAUGUCGCCGAAAGGUAUAAAGAUAAUCUUUGAAAUGAUCUCAUGUCACAUUUCAACCUGCCAGAAUGUGAGAAUGAAGACGCCGCAGACAAACUGAGGGCCAAAGUCAAGCAGUGGACUCUAAAGAAGAUGGCCGAACUGUUCCGUAGCUAGAAGAAGAAGCUAUGGAAAAACUAUGUGAAGACAAAGAAAGUGCCAGUAUUCGAGGGGUAUCUAGCCAAGCAGGCGAAUCACUGGAAGGCAUUUCAAGAGUACAAGGAGUCAGAAGAUGCCCAGGCAUUAUCAGAAAAGAACACGAUAAAUGCCGACAAGAAGAAAUAUCACCACAAGCUGGGGCCAGGGGGCUAUGAGACUGCCAUCCCAAAGUGGGAUAAGAAAGAGCAAGAUCUGCUAGAUAAAGGCAUCAUACCUGAACCACUCCGUGAUGAGUGGGAACCGAGAGCAAGAAAUUGGUUCCUCGCGCAUGGUGGUUCGUACGACGAAGAAACAGGGGACCUCAUCUGCAGUGACGGUCAUAGGAUACCCAGGGAUAAUUGGAAAAGGAUAGUGAAAGAAAUUAAGGAGGGAAAAAGAAAGUUCACUGCAGAUAGAGAUAAAGAUUUGCUCACACUGGUCCUCGGCAAUGACGAACAUGGAGGACGAACGCGAGGCUUUGGUCCUUCUUACCCGUGGUGGCUUGGGUUUGCCAGAGACCAAGACACUUACAGAAGCCGAGAGAGAGCAAAGAAGCGGCAACAGGAUGAGGAGAAUGACAAGUUCAACCAUUUGCUUGCCAGGAUUAACGAGCAACAGAAGGAAAUUGAUGAGCUUAGAGGAGUAGCGCGCCAGGAAGAUCCUGCACUUGAUAUUACCGGUGCCCCAUCUAAGCGGAAAAGCAGCGUGGCUGAAUCUGAGGCCCCGCUCGACGAUGCACGAAGAAUGAUAGAGGGCGGUCCCGGCUACCCCGUGGAUGGAAUCAAGGAGUCAACAUCAUGUGAACUCCAUCAGAAAUUCAAGAACAUAUCCAUGAAGGUGGUCAUCGGACAAGCUUUACCUUCUGGCCCUGAUGCACGCUGGCAUGGCCGUGAGAUUCCAGCUGGCUUUGCUAAAGUCGGGGUGGAUGAAAUCAUGGCGGGGUUUCAUGAUAUGGAGCUCGACAUAGCUGGACCCGAAGAUGAGAGGACACUCGAAGAAGUACUGGGUGGAGUCAUCCUAUGGGACAAGAACUACAUCAAGCUUCCAGGCUCGGCCCCAAGGACAACACCGCCUCCGAGUCGUCGCAGGUAACCUACACCUCCAUUACCUCCAAGCCCUCCACAUGACGUCGGCCAGCACAACACGAGUCCAUCUCGAUCACCGCCGCCGGACUUGGGUCGUCCAUCUCCGCCGCCGCCCGCUCCGGAUACUAAGCGGAAGCGUGCCACCAAGAACACUCCGCCGACGAUUUCUAAGCGACGGAGCCCCCCAAAGCGCAAACGGUCGCCCCUCCCAAAGGUACCACAUGCUAAUCUUCCUAUCAGACCUUAUGAUCGUACCCCCGAGGAAAACGCCAGGAUAGCAAAGGAACAUCAUGAUGCACAGAUGAAAAAGAAGGAACCCGAGCCCCGUCCGGAAUACACUGAUAAGCAAAUAGCAUUUGCAAAAUACUUCACGAACCUUCCAUCACAGUAUGACUUACACCAUAAGCCUGAUGAUUAUACACGCACAUUGCAGAAGGAAGUGAAAAAGAGCAGAUCACGUGCAAGUGCAAGUGGGAGCAAAUCAAGUUCAACUACAAGCAAGAAAAAAUCAGACGUUCCUCAGCUUGGACAACAGGCCAAACAGUCGAUUCCACCUCUCAGGGUGUUAACCGAGAAUGUCUCCCCUCCGGUGCAGGGGCAAUAUUUCGAAUUAGCAAAGAAGUGGGCGGCUGAAUGGGGUAUCUCGGUUGAAGACAUUCUGGCUUCCCAAGACGACAGGUUACCCAAGGCUGUGGUAGCCCCUAAGCCACAGUUUGUCAUGGGAGCGCCUUUGGUCAGCAAAGAUGAUCUCCCAACAAAUAUGCGUUACUUGCAUACAUGGUACUUAAGUGAAUCAAAGAAUGGGAGAACGAUGAUCGUGGUGAGUGUCCCACGGGAGUACUACGUCCGUCCCAAAGAAAUCCAUAUCGACUUUGAUGAACUCUUCCAGAUGUACAAUGGCGACGCCCUCGACAAAUCGCUUAUGAGUUGCUAUUGUCUGUAAGUUUUUCAAUUCGUUGUCUACAUAUAACUUGUUUAGUUAUUUCAAUUCAUUGUCUAUAUAUAACUUGUACUCUAUUAUGCAGAAUGAAGAUUCUGGAUUGUAAAAAACAUCAUCAUAAAUAUUGGGUUUAUUGACCCAGAUAAAAUACAUAUAGCGACGCUAACUGAUAAACCCAAGGAGACGGAGGAAAACCUUCUAAGGUUUCUAACAGAUCAAAAUUUCUGUGACCACAUACUGUUUCCAUACAACUUCGGUGAGGGUCUUUACUCUGUUGUGUCCAUUCACUUAGAAGUGUAAUUGAUAAAUUGAUAAGGGAAGAGUUGAUGCCUCACCUUAUAUAUACAUGUGCAGCUUCCAUUGGAUUCUGUUGGACAUUCAAAUUGAUAAGGGAAGAGUUGAUGCCUUCGACCCAUUAUCGAGACCCUUGGAACAGUUCCAAAGCCUGCAGGACAUGCUCCAAGGGUAAUUUCAAUCAUUCUUGUGCUCUAUCGGUCUCUUUCGAUGAUUUUCUGAUAUAUCAAUUAAUGAAAAACUUAAUAAAUCAUUAUCCUUGUCGGGCAGGGUUUGGAAGCGGUUCAAGUGCGUGACUCCCGGUAUCGAGACUGAGAAGCUGACCUUUAGAGCGGCUCAGGUAAGUAGUAGUAUGAUAUACUUCUAUUUUCAAUACAUCUAUGAUGCUAGAUUAUUAUUUUGAUUAUAUAUAUUCUAUUCUUGUAAAGUGCGAUCAGCAGCCACGGGGAACGCAUCUAUGCGGAUACUAUGUUUGCGAGACCAUUCGCACGUUUACCUCUGAGCACAAGGAUCACAGAUUCGACGUAAGCAAUGAACAUUCACACCUCUAUUUUUACCCGUCAUUCUUUGUUAUCAUGAUUGAUAUUCAUAUUCAUCUCCUCUUCUUAUAUAGUACACGGCCAUGAGGACGAAGGUCCUACCAGAGCAAGGCGCGAUUGCUGUUGCAGAGGAGCUUGCGACCUUUCUGAGGACGGAAGCUAUAGAUGACAAAGGAGAAUUUAGUGUAGCUAGGGGCCAUUACUGAUGUUCGUCCAUGUAAUCGAAUAGACGGGCUCUAGUCCCGAUAAUUCAGAUAUGCAUAUAAUUGUAUAUAUAUACUUGCUUCUAAGAUAAGUUAAUCUUAUAUAUAUAUAUAUGCAUAAUUAUUUCUAUUUAAAUUAUAUGAAAACUAAUUCCCGAACACCAAACGAGGCAUCACGUUAAUCUCCCGAACACCUAAACCCUAAAACCCUAAAACCCAAAAAUAAUUUCAUUCAAAAAAAAAACCCCCAAAAAUAAGCAAAAUCUGAAAUUAUUUAGUCCCGGUCCGUGUAACGAACCGGGACUAAAGGGCCUGCCCCUGGGACGCUACGAGGCGCCCACGUGGAGCACCUUUUGUCCCGGCUUGGAACAGGGCCGGGACUAAAGGUUAGGCCUUUAGUCCCGCCCCUUUAGUCCCGGUUGGUGAACCGGGACUAAAGCCCCUUACGGGCCGGAGCUAAAGGCCCCGUCCCCACUAGUGAAAAUUGACAACUCUAUCUUCUUUCAGAAUUUUUUGCAUAAAAUAAACCUUACUAAUUUUCUUUCACAAAAUGACCAAUUUCUACAUGACGCCCGGAGCUCAGUUCUGGCAUCAUGGGCCCCGAGCCAGGGAAUCGUGCUCUCUAGCAUAGCGCCUCGGCUAAGGCGUCAUGCUAUCUAGCAGUAGCGAAUCUAUGUGUAAGCUGUGGGCUCAACUGACCCAUGAUUUAGCAAAAAAAAUAGCCUACAAACACUGUAAAUUUGUUGUUUCCAUUAUGAAGAAAAAAUUCAACAAAUUUACAAUUGACCCCCCAGAUUCUUAGAGUUAGUUUGGCCGCUACUAUCUAGCAUGUCGUCCCAUGCCCGGACUCGCAAAUGGGUCCUUUUUUGAUAUAUUUUCUGAAUUAAGAUUAUUUGUACAAAAAUCUCGGAAAAGGGCUUUGAUCUGUUGAUUUCACCAGCUAUAUCGAGAUCGAUCGGCAAACAGGACGAUCGACAAGCAGCAAGGUACGCGUACCUACGCCAAAAAGACAUCACGCGCGUACAUACACACGUACGUACGUGUAUACAGCGCAUCACUGCACGCGCGCUACGGUUAUUUUGUGUGGACCGGCAGCACACACGCAAAUGCACAAGGAUUCAUUUCCGCUGCUACAUCGUGAGUUGUAACCCGGCUUUCGGCGCGUUCAUAGGUAGGUACGUACGUACGUGACCUCAACGUGCGUGCGCACGUACGCGUACACGCGUACUUUGCUUUGGUCGGAUCUCUGUGCUGGCCGCCAGCGCUCCGGCCGUUCCCGCGCACGCGUACGCCCGUUGCUCACUGUCGACCGGCGCGUACCGUACGCUCGCGACCACGCACCGUGCUUGCAUGCAUGCAUGCAGCAUCGGUUGGAGCGUACGUACGUGUGUCUUUUUUCUUCGAAGGGAAAUACAAAAGUGUGUCUUGUGUUGAAAAGGUCCGUUGAGAGACCUAUGAUGGUAGGCAGUGACGAAUCUUGGAAAAAAAAUGAAGGGAAGACUCAAAGUUAAAUAUGUGUAUAUAAAAAGUCAAAACCUUUUGAUUUUUUUGUUUAAAUAAGAUCAAGAAAAGUAUAGUAUAAUACUCCCUUUGUAUCAUGAUAUAAAAGCAUUUUUUACAUUAGUUUAGUUUAAAAAACGUUUUUAUAUUAUAAGACUAAGGAAGUAGUAUAUUUAGUUUUUAAAUUUUUAAAGGGGGACUCGAGCCUGUCUAUGUCCCCUCCUAGAUUCGCCAUUGGUGGUAGGUAUGGUACAUCUACAUGCUAACAAGCAUGUAGAGUGACUGACCUAUUGGCGUUAGUUAGGUCGAUCUUCUAUGUACUACUCCCUCAGUUCCUAAAUAUAAGUCUUUUAAGAUAUUUCAUUAAAAGUCUACAUACGGAGCAAAAUAAGUGAAUCUACAUUCUAAAGUGUGUUUAUAUACAUCCGUAUGUAGUUCACUAAGACGCGCAGACGCGCCCGGUCAGACCGCCACGUAAGACGCGACCCCUCCCUGGACCAUCCUUUUCUUUUCUUUAUUCAUUUUUUUCUUUCUCUCUUUUUCUUUCUAUCAAUCACGUGCAAGUGACCGGACAUAUGAAAAAGAAAUGAGGAAUGUGGAUGCAUGAACGGAUAAACAGCAGACACGUCCGGUCACUGACCAGACGCGUCCACAGGCGUUUGAGAGGCCGGAUUUGCUAGAUCCGAUUAUAGAUGCUCUAAAAUUGGCUAUAACAUAACAUGUGGUUUUAGAAGUGUAAGUGAUGGCGGGGAUAUUCAAAUAGACACCCAUAAGCAUAUGCUUCCGAGGUGAAAAUAAUUAAUGUGAUGUUUGAUGAAUAAAUCAUAGGCUUUUCCCGCGAAAGAAACAAACACCAAUGUACAUCUAGAUUUCAAAUACAAAGGAUAAAUUUUUUCGCAUGUGAAGGAAAAAAUAAAUCUCGUGCUUAAAAUGCCUUUUAGAGCAUUUAUAGCCUGACCUCCUCAUACCUUUCUCAAACGUUCGGACAGGCCAUUCGGUCACUGAUCGGUCAGAAAAAAUCGAUCCAGCCGCCCCCCUCAAACAUGCCUCAAAUCCCCGAGCUAACCGACACCCCUCAUAUGCAGCCCAAAUAUGAAGACGAUAUGGGGGUCCGACUGCGCCCGGGCACGCCCGGCACGUCGAACCCAACAGCCCGACCCCAUCGCAAAUUGCCCUAAAUUCUCCAUUCUGGAGAGCUUUCCGGCCACACAGAAUUCGCCGUCGAAGAAUGUGAGUCGCCGCAGCUCAUUCGGGAGCGGAUGAGCAUGGGCACCGCCACCUCCAGGCUGCACUCACUAAGUUCGACGGAAUGACUGAACAAGACCGGGUAUGUCGACUCCUGUCUGAUCAAAUGUUCAAUGUUUUGCAUAGAUCACUAGUUCACACGUGAUGAAUGCUUGAAAACCAUGAUCGUGCAGGGGAUAUAUGUGGCAAGCAUGAUAAAUGACAAUGAAGAUUCGGCCGAAAUGAAUUAUCACUUAGAGGAGACCACCUCAUUUGUACUUGGGGCAACAUCCGAUACCAAUCCGAGCAAAAAGAAGAAGAAGGGCACGGAGCCUGGAUGUAGGCGGAGCACGAAGCCAGGAUGCAGGCGGAGCACGUAGCCCGAAUGCAGGCGGAGCAUGCAACCCGAAUGCAGGUGGAGCUGGCUGCCCAGGCGGAGCAGAACAAGGUGGAAGAGCAGAACGGUGAGUGAUCCGACAAGCAUCCCUUCUCGCUCGGACAUUGAUUUCAUUUUGACAUGUAUGAUUUGUUGAACUGUUCUUUAAUUUGCUUUGUUUCAAACUGUUGAAUUCCGAUAAUUUGUAUUGAAUGAUCGACGUGCAUGGAUUGCAUGAAUUGCACAAGUUACAUGCCAAAAAAUCACACCGUCGUAUCAAGCCGUGUCAACCCAAACAAUCGGACCCUGUACAAUGCCCGCUCAUCUUGAGGCAAAAUUUGCACAACACAGUCUGUCGAUAGCUCCGACUUGGCGACUUCAUCCACCGCAAGUCUCAGAGAAACACCAAGCCAUGGUGUGUCAUCGUCACAUCGUGGCCACUCAUGCUCCACAAACUGCAGCUUUCAUCGAAGCACGGCACGCCCAUCCAUCGUAUGAGGAGGUCAUCGUUGCCACUCUUGGCACCUAAAAUGCACACCCCCCCGACAACCAACUCCACUGGCCAUGCAUGCCCGAACAUGCAUGGGAAAAACUCCGGCUGGACGUCUAUGUAAAACUCGGUCUCCUCCACACAUAAUGACCUAAAGCGUGUUUUUAAAUGCACAUUGCCAAGACAUUCCAUUUUAAUUUCUGAACGCGUAUAUGUUCUGGUGUCUGUGUACCACGGGACCAUGAUAAUUGCUUUUAUAUGUUCGUGGACGAGCAUCGCAUGCAUGCAUGCAUGCAUGUUACCGGACAGCGGCAGUUGAGCGAUCGACGCGCGCGCGCCCACGGCACGGUACCGCGAUCCAUGCAAAUGCAAGGGCGUACGUAGUGUCUCUGGAAGGCACGUUACGUAGUACUUUGGAGCUGGUCGUGACAGCUUCGUGGCCAUGAAUGAAGAAGAAAAGACUUGUGAAUGGCGGGAUCAAUAGUGCCACGUUGGGUCAGUUGGACGACUGUCACCAAGGAAUGACAGCUAGCUAGGAGCACUAAAUAGGGCGUGAUGCAUGGAGAUGCAAAGUCGUUUCCCAAAUUAAAAGCAAACUAAUUAACUGGUCUGGCAAAUCAACCCGUCAUCGAUGUCACACCCAACAAAUACCUAACUCGAGCCCGUCGAAUAACACCCGGCAACACCCAACGGGCUAAUUAAUUAAGCUCCUGACAACCUAGGUUUAGACGUUUAGUGAACCAUGCAUGCAUGCAUAGGUAGCAACCUUUUCUCCGAGCGCGCGAGAUGGAACGUACGUACGUGCUGCGUUGGCGCCAUGCCCGGUACCGCGCGCGGUACGUACUCGCGAUAUUACGUGUGGGCUAGAGCGCGGUGGUAUGGCAUGAAGCGCUCACUGCCCAGAAGCCACAAGCCAGAAGUCACAAGGCAAGUGAUGAUGGUCGUGACUCGCACAGGCCGGCCGCGGAUGGGGAGCACGUAGCUUUUCCAUAGAGCAGUAGAUCGGCUGGGCUGUUGGUCCGGAUUCAACGUUACAGCGUCAGUUCAGUACGUACCUUCUUUCCGCGCCCUGACACUGAAAGAGCGGUGUGCAAUGCAAUGACGAUGGCCCUGUUUGGAUCCUAGGGUUAGAGUUAGAUUAGGUUAGAGUUGAGCUAUCUAACCUUCAAAAAUCCAAACAGGUAGGGUUAGAUUGGGUUAGAUGCAUCUAACNCCGCCGGGCCGCCAGCGCCCCGCCGCCCAGCCCCGCCGCCGGCCACACAACGAUCGGCCACACCAAAUCCGGCAGUGAAUAUGGACAAAAGUUACCAAAUGAUUGAGAAAGGCCAAUCUAACCCUCUCAUCCAAACACCUCUUGGGUUAGAGUUAGUUUAGGGUUAGUUGAGGGUUAGAAUCUAACUCUAACCUCUAACCCGGUUAGAGUAUCCAAACAGGGCCGAUGACGACCCGGCCGUAUGUCAUGUCAGAGCCGCUAUCAUAGCCGGACAGCGUACUGUACGCAGAAGUUCUGACAAAGCUCAAGUCCAAAGGUUCGGUAGGGACUUUAGACUUCAGAGGCAGAUCGUUGCUCUAUCGCUAUGUCGUCCACACAUCGAUCCAUCCAGAUAAGUGAAACUGGAGCCACGGUGCGAUGGAUGAGUCCAUCCAUCACCGGUCGUCAUCAUGCUAGUGCUGCAUUGGGUUGCUUGACCAUGGUGGCUGGUGCAGUGGAGCAGAGACAGACGGGACCGUGAUACAUAUGCACCAAAUAAAGCCGCGCGCGCCGGGGGAUCAGCGUGGAGCAUCAUUGACAGGACCCGGCCGGCCGUUGUUCCCCGGCUAAUCAAGCGGUGGCGUCCCAAGUCCGAGAAGAAAAGUCAUGGCGGCAUGCAGGAAAAGCGGCCGAGAAAUUUUUGUUUAAAUAAACCAUCUUUUUAAAAAGAUUUGUUAAAAAAGACCACAUGCGGUAUAUAAAAACAAAAAAGACUCCCUUCUCGCGUGGCGGGCAUGCGCGUCAGGCGACACGUGUCAGCAGCCGCCACCAGCCGAGGCGGCCUGCGCCACGGCGCCAGGCGGCCGGCCGUAUGCCCUGCAUGCGCUUGGACUUUACAGCCAUGCAUAAAGGCACCGCAUGCAACUUUGGAGCCAUGCAUGAAGGCACCGCAUGCAGACUUUGGAGCCAUGCGUGAGAGCCUCUCAUUUUAUUUGUGGCCAUGCUUUUCAGGGCAUACGGCUGGCCGCCUGGCGUCGUUGCGGCAGGCCCAGCCGUCUCGGCUGAUGGCGGCAGGUGCCACGUGUCGCCUGGCGCCACGUGAGGAUGGGUCUUUUUUGUUUUUAGAUAACGUAUGUAGUUCUUUUUAGCAAAUCGUUUCGAGAGAUGGUUCAUUUGGACAAAAAUUCGAGAAAGGCAAGCCAUCCUAAUCUGUAGCAUGCAACGACCCGCAAUUCUGGAAAGCAAGUCAUGCGUUCAUGCAUGCAGAGUUGCAGACGCGCGCGUAGAUCCCACCCAGAAAGGCCACAUCCAAGUCCAUCCAUAAUCAUGCCGAUCGGAAUGUAAACCUAAAUCGAUAACCGUUCGGAAUUCAGAGAGCGGUCGACCGGUCCAUGCAGUUAAAGGCCGACACUUUAGCAUGCAAUGAUACAGGCUCCAGGGCCGGCCCGCCCGGUAAUCGCAUGCGGCUGCAAGUGCUAGCGUAACAGUAACAAAGCACAGCGGCACAGCCCCCCUACCGCCGUCCACGGCCGGAAGGACCACCGGCUCCUGCCUGCCUGCCCGUGGUGCUCCCACCCAUGCAUUUUUUGGGACAAAGCUCCCAUCCAUGCAUGGGUCGACAACCACGGUGCAUGCAUGUUCGCAAGGUCAUGGAGCACGUACUAGGGCCUUAAUCGCCAUUCAGAGAUUUCUCUCUUGUUACUGAUCUUCACGUAGCUAGGUUGCAACCGAGCUUGAACAUGGGUGGCUCUUGGCGGUGGAUUGCACGAACAUGGCACCUAAUGCGCCCUGCACUAUCCUCCUACAUCGCGUAUGCAUGCACGUACGUACUGCUCCUGCCAGCGAUGGAGCAUAUAGUCUCACUGGUGCCAUGCAUGCAGCGGUACGUGCGCAGGGCCAGGCGGGCAGGCGCGGUACGCUGCCGAUCGGUUUUGCCUGAGCGUACUUGGAGGGCGACGAGUUGGUUAGCUUUCAAUGAGCGCCCCGGCUUUCCUCCUCCUACGUACUUCGGUCCCCUCCACCCGGCGGCCUGCAGACGCCCGGCCGCCUGNNNNNNNNNNNNNNNNNNNNNNNNNNNNNNNNNNNNNNNNNNNNNNNNNNNNNNNNNNNNNNNNNNNNNNNNNNNNNNNNNNNNNNNNNNNNNNNNNNNNNNNNNNNNNNNNNNNNNNNNNNNNNNNNNNUGCAUGUCGUCGCCUCGCCAUAAAACCACGACACCCCCUUGCCGGCUUCCUGCACACACACAGUCACAAGCUCAACGUCGAUCACUGUUGAGCUAGCUAUCUAGCCACGCAUCCGCCAUGGCCGCGCCGCAUGGCACCAUCAUACACGGUAGUGGCGCCGACUCGUUCUCGCAGCUCCCGUUCGUCCGAGUCGCCGCCCAGCAGCCGGCCGACGCCACCAUCCGCCUCUUCGGCUGCGACUUCUCCAACGACGUCGGCGCUGCCGGCGACCAGCUGCUGGCCAAGGAGGAGGCCGCGAAUUCGGAGGGGAGGGCCGCCGCGGCGGCCNNNNNNNNNNNNNNNNNNNNNNNNNNNNNNNNNNNNNNNNNNNNNNNNNNNNNNNNNNNNNNNNNNNNNNNNNNNNNNNNNNNNNNNNNNNNNNNNNNNNNNNNNNNNNNNNNNNNNNNNNNNNNNNNNCUGGUCGGGGAGGGGGAGACGCGGAAGUUCGAGUGCCACUACUGCUGCCGCAACUUCCCGACGUCGCAGGCGCUCGGGGGGCACCAGAACGCGCACAAGCGGGAGCGCCAGCACGCGCGCCGGGCGCACCUCGAGGCCUCCCUCGCCGCCGCCUACCUCCCGGCCGGCGCGCACGUCUACGGCGCACUGUUCGGCGGCUACGGCCACCACCAGGCCGCCCCGAUGCCGCCGCCGCAGUACCCGGUGUGGCCGGGGAUGUACGGCAGCGUGGCGCGGUCCGCGGCGUACGGCGGCAUGCCCGUGCCGGGGAUGGUGUGGAGGCCGACGCCAGUGGGGACCGGUGCUUUUGCUGCGGCCGGCCGGCAGGACGAAGCGACGGCGGCGGCAGUUGGGAACGGAGAGGUGGCCAGUAACGAUGGGAAUAAUGCGGUCAUGAGCGUGGUGACGACGCUGCCGUCGUGCCUCACCGGCGGGUCGCCGGUGGAGAUGGGUAGGUCCGAAAUGAUGGGGCAGAAGGAGGGCGUUGUAAGCUUGGACCUCUGCCUAUAGUCUGUUGCAAUUGUCGAUCUAGGUGCUAUCUUUACCUUAAUUGUUCAUUCAGGUCCAGCACCCUGUUUAGUCUCAUAUAAUUACUAUUAUUAUCUGUAAUCGAGGGCGUGUAUUUGUUUUAAAGUUAGAAUGCAGAUUAAGUUGGCAUGCAUUCUGAUUUCUGAAUAAUGUGUACUUCAGUACUUCUUCUCUAGUUUAUUUUGGUUUGGUCACGAGCCAUUCUAAGAUUCCCUUAGCAAGUUUAGUUCCAGAUGAUUUCUUAGUUUCAAUCUUCACAAAUGUUUGAAUUGACAGUGUAUAUUAUUUUACUUUCGCCCACAUUUUUUGGAAAAUACCAAAAUGACACGACCAUGGUUGUGCAAUUAAAUCCUGUAUUACUAGUAGUUAAGAGAGUGACUAUGGUAAAUCUUCCAUCACUGAUAAGAUCCUCUCAUUAAAGGGACAAGAUCGUUGGUCAUAUUAUGAAACAAAUAGUAAUUAAAUAAAAAAGUAAAAAAAAAUCUGAUAAUAUAUUUGAAAUAAACUUGACCCUUCAUUGUACAUGUAAAAAAAUAAAAAAAAGUUCACUUCAUUUGAGAAAACAAUUUUGCCAAAAUAGCAUGAAUAGUGACUUGUAAUAUUUUUUUUUUCUCUUUUCCCUGAAGUAUUUUUAUUUGUGAAAUUUAUAUACUAGUGCAAAAGAAGUAAGUAUUCUCUAAAGAAACAUCUAAAUAUUUUGACAUUUUUGGAAAUAAAUGUCAUAUCAAAUAUAUAUACACCCAAAAAACAAAUGGCAUUAACCCUUAUUAAAGAUCAUAUUGAGUUCUCAAAGAUGGCCUAGAAUUGUUAGGUCCUUUCCACUGCUCCACCUUGUACCGGUGCUAAGGUUGUCAUGUAGAUGAAAAAUCUGACGUGACAAUAUAAUUAAGAGGAGAGAGAUGAGUUUGAUGACCCUAGGAAAAAACAAUGCCAAACACGGAAACCUAGGCAAAAUAAUUAAAUGAAGGAAGCUCACCAAUGCACGUAAGAGUUUAGUUGUUAAAUCAUUUAAUAAAGUAUGCUUAUCUACAACAAGGUAAGAGCAUCUGCACCCGCAACCUGCAAAUCUGACCCCUCAAACGCCCCUGAACGCGCCACGUGAGUGACCGGGCGUGUCACCUAUUUGACCGUCCGCGUAGCCACACUUCUCAUUUUCUUUCUCAUACUACCACUAAUUAAACAGAAAAGAAAAGCCGAAAAGAAGCCAGAAGUAUUUUUGGAUUUUCCAAAGUUUUUCAAACACACAAGAAGAAAGCGGAAAAAUAAAACUAACAUGGAUUUACAAUGAAAGAGGAUGAACAACGACAAUUUAUAUGAAAUGUGUGAACAUGAAUGUAAUGUCGGUAAAAAAUACAUACUCCCACAAGUUUAGGCAUUUGCCUAGGUUGGUGAUCACCAUCGCUGGUUUGAAUAGUAGUCGAAGUGGUAGCUCGGGGAGACGUUUCGUGUUGCCUCCUCUGCCAAACGAGCUACCUCUACUGCAACGUUAUGCUCACGCGGCUCGCUCUCAAGAACAUAGUAUCUCCGUUUAUUCUGAAAACCAAAAACAGUAGGGGCAGGCAAAGUUACAGGAACAUAAUUAUAUUUGUUAAGUAUUAAGUUAUAUUCAUAUCCUCUAGCAUUAUUCACAAUGAACUCAUGAUGGCGAUGGCUUCAAAGUCUAGAUAUUUCUGAGGUAGCAUUGGAUCAUUAGGUAGGGGUGAAAUGUUAAGACUUGCGGCUACUCGGGCAGCAUAAGUACCUAGGUCGCCACUACUUGCGUUAGCAUGCAACCAACAGGCCACAAUGACACUGAGGUUAUAAUGUUUUUCGCCACUCACUGCAGUGUGAAUAAGGCUUAAGUCGGGGGCGCAUAAUGCACUGCAAUCCUGCUUGUGCACUACACAUUUUCCAUCAAACAGUGCAAAGUAGCGAAUAGAGGGAAAUUGAAUACUUUUUUACUUUAGCUCAUGUCACCUCUCUAUCUUCUCCGACGCAAAGGCUUUCUAAGAACAAAUUACAAUCAGAUUUUUGCGGUUUCCCAAGAGAAUCCCAAUAGGGAAGUUUGCAUGCCACGUAAAAUUCUUCUAAAGGUAGACUGAAAGACUUAUCGUAGAGAUUAAACAAUACUCUAGAAUAAUAAGGAUGAUAUCGGAAUCCAUGCAUGAGUUGAAGAGUAAUUUUAUAGUGUUGGACAGACUUAUCUGCAAGGAAGUCGGUGGGGCCGGUAUUGUAAAUGUACUGAUUGAAUUUCUGCUUAAUACCUACACCGCUCAUGAACUCAUCGCAUGGCCAGCGACACGAUUUAGCAUCUCACAUGUAUGUGAGACUGACUCCGGGGUCCACAUAAUAUUGCCGCACCGAGCUCAUGCUCGAUGAUUCACCCAAAGAACGCCUACUUGAGGAACUCCUCCUGAAGAAGUUUAUUUUCCUACACACAAAUUUCUGAAAUUUUUGGAACAAAAAAUUAUGUGUGUAAAAUCUUACAAGAUUGAUAGCAACUACUGAUAUGGAUGCCUAUUGGUCAUAUCAAGCAUUAGUACUACUUGGAACUCAAAGAAUCAGACAAUGCAAGCUCAUUUUCAGUAGCAAUUCCUCAAAACAAUUUCAGAAACGGAGUUCCGAGCAAAGAGAUAAAAAAUUUCAAUUUCUACAGGAAGAACUCGAGCUAUGUGGGAUAAGGAGUGGGGCCGUGUGGGACAAACAAGGCAUCAUGGCGCGACUAGGGGGUGGCCGCGCCCUAUUGCCUUGUGGCCCAUAGGUGCACCUCCCUGCUACAAUUUUUAUGCUAAAAAUUCUUAAAUAUUGGAGAAAAAAUGAUGUUAAAAUUUUGUGGCAUUCUGAGACUUUUUAUUUUUAUGUCGUUUUUAUAUUGCACGGAAAACUUACAAAAUAGGAUAAUCAUGACAUUUUAUUUUUCUAUAGCUAAGAGAACAGAGAACGAACAUGUGGUACAGAGAAUUGUGAAUACUCAAUUCAUCAAUCACAUGUCUAUCAAAACUGAUUCAUUAAAAAGUUUGAUCAAGUCUUAUUAAUAACCGUUUCCGAUGUGCAUGGGACCGAAGAAAUUUUAUAUAUCACUAGGUUACCUAAAUGGGGAUUUGCAUCUCCCCAACAAUAAGAUUGUAAUGUUUUUUCUUAGCAAUAGAAAGAGGGAUUUGAAAAUCUCCAAUAAUAACAGUGGCACAAGGCUAAAUAACAUUAAUAUUAUUAACCAAAGUUUGCUUCUUCCAAAAAUGCAAGGUAUGUUGUUUGCCAUUGACAUAAAAAGUAACUUUGCCUUUGUUGCAAUCAAUAACAACCCGUGCAAUCAUCACCCCCUAGUUCCCGAGGUGGUUCAGGGAUAGUCCAAUCAUCAGCAUUUUGCAAUAUGUUAUUCAAUAAUUGUCUAGCUUGUCCAACAGUUCUUUCCCUGAAAACACAACGAGCACAACUAUCUGCUAGGGAACGUUGCAUGGGAAACAAACAAAUUCCACCGCUCACCAAGAACAAUCUAGGAGAUGCACAUCUACGAGUGGAGAGAUUGUAUUUACAUAACCUUGUAGAUCGCCCAGCGAAAACAUUAAAGAAUGCAUUGAUGUAAUGGAACAUCUUUGGGAUCCAAUCACGAUCCGUCCGCGAACUCCCGAUCAAGCGCCGAACAGACGACACAUCCGUGUUCCGCACAACUACAACUUGACUACGUCUCCGCCUCUUUGAUCCACCAAGCGAGGGCACAGAGGUAGAUGAGUUUCACGACAACAUGACCGCGUGGCGGCAAUGGUGGUGGAGCUGUCCCGGGAGGGCUUCGCGAAGCGUACCGCGACGAACUAGAGGAAAAACUGAUCUAGAGGGAGAGGNUUAUGACCCGGCAACCCCGGAGUGACAAUAGCCGGAACCACUCCCGGAGAUGACCAUAGUAUGUAGAGUUCAUGUAUUCACCGCGUGUUAAUGCGUUGGUCCAGUUCUUUAUUAAAAGGAGAACGUUAAUAUCCCGUAGUUUCCAUUAGGACCCCGCUGCCACGGGAGGGAUGGACAAUAGAUGUCAUGCAAGUUCUUUUCCCUAAGCAUGUAUGACUACAUACGGAAUACAUGCCUACAUUAGAUUGAUGAACGGGAGCUAGUCACAUAUCUCUCCGUGUUAUAGCUGUUACAUGAUGAAUCACAUCUGUCAUACUCAUCCAUCACCGAUCCACUGCCUAUGAGUCUUUUACUACUGGUCCUCGCUGCGUUACUUUGUCUAGGCUUGUCCCUUGCUACAAAAGGGAUUGGGCCACUUUGCUGCUACUGUUGCUACUUCUGUCACUUUCCUGCUACUGUUGCUACUGCUCCUACGGCUGUUCCUUUGUACUAUGAUGUUACUCGUUGCAAGAUCUUUUCCGACACUAUUGUCGGGGAAGAAUAGUUGCUCGUCAACGUACCUUUUUCUGGCACCAUUGAUACAAUAGUUAGGAAUAGUCUGCCGUCAACAGAUCGUUUCUCGCACCGUUACUAUCAUACUACUUUGCUACUGAUACUUUGCUUGCAGACACUAAUCUUUCAGGUGUGGUUGAAUCUGACACACUCAGCUGUUAAUACUUGAGAAUAUUCUUUCGCUUCUCCUUGGCGAACCAACAAAUUUGGGUUGAAUACUCUACCCUCGAAAACUGCUGCGAUCCCAUACGCUUGUGGGUCAUCAAGGCUUUUUCUGGCGCCGUUGCCGGGGAAGCACAACUAUAUUCUCUGAGUCACUUGGGAUUGACGUCUGCUGAUCACUAUGCGGAAUCCGAAAGAUCCAAGAACUAAAAUCUUGCCUUCCACUACGAGGAGAGGUAAGGAACUGCCAUCUAGCUCUGCACUUGAUUCACCUUCAUUUUGAGUAAGUUUGCGACUUCACCUCCUGCUAGAAAUCUUGAUAUGUCGCCUAUGCUUGAUGAUGCUACUUCUGCUGCCCAUGAUGCUAUGCUUGAUACUAUGCCUGAUGAUGCCAUGCUUGAUACUAUGCCUGAUGAUGCUAUGCUUGAUACUAUGCCUGAUGAUGCUAUGCUUGAUACUAUGCCUGAUGAUGCUAUGCCUGAUACUACUUUGCCACUUGGUGCAUUCCUUGAUGCACAUAUUGCUAGAGUUGCUGCUAGAUGUGAUGAUACUUCUGAAACUGCUGAUACUAUUGAAGUAGAACCUGCUACUAUGCCUGAAUUGCCUGUUAUGCCUGAUACGCGCUAUGGUAUGGAGGGAGAGAUAUCUGAGGAUUUUCUUGCAUGUAAGGAUAGCUAUGACGUUGAGAAUCUUCUGCGCAAGUGGAAAGGAAAAUCUCUGAACGCUAGGAUGAAAUACGACCCGCAGUUUUCCACUUCGCCUAUCUUUGUGACCGAUAAGGAUUACGAAUUCUCUGUCGACCCUGAGUUAAUCACUCUGGUCAAAUCUGAUUCUUUUCACGGUUAUGAGUCUGAAAUGGUUGUAGCCCAUCUUACCAAAUUGCACGAUAUAGCCACCCUAUUCACUAGUGAGGAAAAGAUCCGCCACUACUAUAUGCUCAAGUUGUUUCCUUUCUCGUUAAAGGAUGAUGCUAUGACCUGGUUCACUUCUCUUGCUCCUGGUUGUGUUCGUAGCUCCCAGGAUAUGGUCUACUACUUCUCUGAAAAAUAUUUCCCUGCCCAUAAGAAGCAAGCUGCCUUGCAGGAAAUAUACAACUUUGCUCAAGCUGAAGAAGAGAGUCUUCCACAAGCUUGGGGGAGGCUCAUCCAGCUACUGAAUGCUUUGCCUGAUCACCCUCUUGAGAAGAAUGACAUACUUGAUAUCUUCUAUAAUGGACUUACCAAUGCUUCCAAAGACCAUCUAGAUAGUUGUGCCAGUAGUGUUUUUAGGGAACGGACCGUAGAACAAGCUGAGAUUCUAUUGAAUAACAUCUUGUGUAAUGAGAAUGCUUGGACUAUUCCCGAACCACCUCCUAAGCCAACUCCGAAGAAAAGAGGUAUUCUAUUCCUCAGUCCUGAAGAUAUGCAAGAAGCCAAGAAAUCUAUGCGAGAGAAAGGCAUUAAAUCUGAAGAUGUCAAAAAUCUACCACCUAUCGAAGAGAUCCAUGGUCUCGAUAACCCGAUACAGGUAGUAGAAGUAAAUUCUCUACGUAGGUUUGAUGAGAGUGAUAUUCCUUUUGAUAAACCCGCUAGCUUAUUCAUGGAUGAAUUUGAUAACUUCGUUGCCAAACAACAAAGUUUCAAUGAUCAUGUUAGCAGACAAUUGGAAAAGAAUGCUCGUAUGCUUAGUCAUUUAAGUGCUUGUGUGGACAGAAACGUCAACGAUCUUAAGCUUCUGAGUAAACAUGCCUCUAUGGUUACUACUCAGGUAGAACAAGUACUUAAAUCUCAGAAUGACUUGCUCAAUGAGUUGAAUGACAAUUCCGUCAGAGUCGUCACUAGAGGCGGUAGAAUGACUCAGGAACCUUUGUAUCCUGAGGGUCAUCCGAAGAGAAUUGAACAAGAUUCUCAAGGAGUUAGCACUAAUGCACCUAGUCAUCCUGGAAAGAAGAAGAAAGAUGAUAGGAACCUGCACGCUAGCAACCCUGUUGCUGCUACACCUGAGAGUCCAAACGAUGCCUCUGUCUCUGAUGCCGAAACACAAUCUGGUGAUGAACAUGAGCCUAAUGAUAAUAUCAAUAGUGAUGUUCAUGAAGAUGCUCAACCUAGCAAUGAUAAGGAUGUGGAGAUUGAACCUGAUCUUGAUAACCCACAGCCUAAGAAUAAGAGAUACGAUAAGAAUGACUUCGCUGCUAGGAAGCACGCUAAAGAAAGGGAACCAGGGGUUCAGAAACCUAUUCCCUUUCCUCCCAAACCAUCCAAGAAAAAGGUUGAUGAGGAUUUUGAGCGAUUCGUUGAGAUGAUCAGACCUGUCUUUCUGCAAAUGUGUUCGACAGAUAUGCUCAAAAUGUCUCCUUAUGCUAAGUGCAUGAAAUAUAUUGUGACUAAUAAGAGGAUGAUACCUGAUCUUGAGAUCUCCACCAUGCUUUCCAAUUACACCUUCAAGGGUGGAACUCCGAAGAAACUAGGUGAUCCUGGUGUGCCCACUAUACCUUGCUCCAUUAAAGGUAACUACGUGAGAACUGCUUUAUGCGACCUUGGACCCGGUGUUAGUUUUAUGCCUCUCUCUCUCUUUAUCGUAGGCUUGAACUAGAUAACUUGACACCCUCUGAAAUCUCUCUGCAAAUGGCCGAAAAAUCAACUGCUUUCCCUAUCGGCAUUUGCGAGGAUGUGCCUGUUGUGGUUGCUAACACCACUAUCUUAACACACUUUGUUAUCUUGGAUAUUCCAGAGAACGAUGCCAUGGCUGUCAUCCUCGGAAGACCCUUUUUAAACACUGCAAGGGUUGUUAUAGAUUGCAACAAAGGCAAUGUCACUUUCCAUGUCAACGGUAAUGAGCAUACGGUGCACUUUCCGAAGAAACAAUAUCGAGUACAUUGCAUCAAUGCUAUCGAAAAGACUUCAUCGAUUCUUAUUGGGAGCUUUGAAUGCCCUAUUCCUCGUGGCAAGAUGAAGUAUGAAUUUCUUGUUGGGGAGAUUCGCAUCCCCAUUGAGGUGACCUAGUGACUAUUUGAAAAUUCUCUGUCUUCUUUUGUUAUUCGAGAAAGUUUUCUCGAGGGGACUUGAUCAACCCCAUUGACGGAUUUCUUUCGAUGACCAUGAGAUGGAUGAAUCAAGGAGUCACAAACCUAUGUUGCAAGCUUUCACUUUAGGUUGCUUAGAAGAAAAAUGAUAGAUUUAGUUUAGUUUUCCAUGUUUUCUGUUUUAGCGUCCGGUAGAAAAGUACCCCGAAAAUCAAAGUUCUCCGAACGCUAUGAAAAUCAAGUAUGAUUUUUUCUGGAUUUUUUGAAAAAUUCUAGGACAAAGAGUCUGUCUAGGGGCCACACCAGUGGGCCACAAGCCCUAGGGGCGCGGGCACCCCCCUGGCCACGCCACCCAGGCUUGUGGGGCCCACAGGCCCGCUCCACUCAUUCUUGCUCUCAUCUGGUUCUCCGACCUCCAGAAAAAAUUGUUUCGCAGCUCAAACCCGUGUUCUUGCUCCUCUUGCUGGGAUUUUCGAUGUCUUUGCUCAAAUCACCGUUCUCUGAACUGUUUGGAGGAAAUUACUCCUUGGUAAGUGAAUCCUCCAUUCGUCCAAUUAGUUUUUUCUCUAGUGCCUUAUACUUCGCGUAUUUUUGCUGCCUUGGUGACCAUGUUCUUGAGCUUUGCAUGCUAAUUUUAGCUAGUCCCAAGUAGUUUUGAUGCGUAAUAUGGUCUUUAGGCACUUGUGGGAGUAGUUGCUACGAGUUUAGUUGAGCCUUGUUCACCUUUCCUUUGGGUCACUGAAAAUUUCAGAAAAGGAAGAUGUUCAGGAGAAACUUUCAUGGUGGUUCCUCAAGCAAGAGAGGUCCCCGUCUUGCGAUUCGGGAGCCUCAUCCUUACCAACCUAGGGACGCGCAUGUUCAACCAUGUGAAUGGCCUUCUGAUGAAUUUAUGAUUGAGGCAGGUUUCAAAGAUGAGUUUGAUGCACUUGUUCACAACGUCGGACUCGAAGAAUUCAUCUCCGAUAAAUGUGAACAGUAUGUUGCUCUCACUGCCUCUUUUGUUCAUAGAUUCAAAUUUUCAGCUGGCCGUGAGACAUCGGUAUUGUUUGAUCUCUAUGAUAAAUCGUAUACCAUGGACUUAGAGGAUUUCAAUAGAAUUUGCAAAAUACCUACUUGGGGUAGCCUCAGUGAUCCUCCUAAAUCUUCGGUUAGAGAUUUUUGCGCUCGUAUUACGGUUGGAGAAACUAGAGACAUUACGCAAGCUACCAUGGGGAGUAUUCAUUUUCCUGCCUUGCAUUACUUUGCCCUUAGGCAGAUGCAUUAAUGGCAAGAUUGAGCAUUGUCACCUCUGCGCACCCGACCUUAGUAUCCUUAAGAGCGCAGUGACAGGUGACAAAAGUUUUAACAUGGGAGCUAUUAUAGCAAGGAGGCUGAAUAAGAAUGCUAUUGAAGGGGAUUUCUUUGGUGGGAUCUAUGCCACUGGGAUAACAAAUUUUCUUGGAGUACCCAUCCGCGAAGGAGAUCCCCCACUCAAUAUAGCUUUCCUUGACCGCGUUGCUUUGACACGCUACGAGUUCCUUGAGAGGGAUGACGAAUCCCUCCUAUACCGUUUGAUAUUUAACCGGCAGCGUGUUUUCCAUAUUACCCUUCCUGCUCCUGCUCUCUUUGACUUUUAGGUAAAACGGAGAUAUUACAUAACCAGAGGAGAGGCAGAGGAGUAUGAGAUUGAGGCAAAGGCUGCUCGUCUCCAUGAGGCAGCUAUUCAGGCAAUGGCUGCAGCGCUCCCGUAUAACCCCCAUUAUGAUUUUGGGUUUCGCCAGGACCAUCCUUGGGAGUAGACCAAGUUAGGCCAAAAGCCUAAGCUUAGGGGAGUACGUGUUCUCACCGACUUUACAUUCUUGCUUAUUCAUUCACUUUGUUAGCCGGUGUUUACACUUUGCCACUGUAUCAUCCAUGCUAGUUCAUUUUCUUUUUCUCGUUAUCUUUUCGUGUGUCUGUCUAGUUUGAGAAAACCCAAAAAGAUUUUCUUUUUCUUAUUUUGCUUGUUGGGAGCUUUCCCGUGUAGAUAGUUUUCCUUUUCUUUGGGUCAAGGUAGAAGAUAUUGGUUACACUAUUUAGUGGCUCUUGCAUGCAUACAUGUUUAGCUUUCAAAGAGCCAUAUUACUUUGUCUUCUCCUUUGUGUUUGCCUGCAGAUUCCAGCUUUAGUCCAAUGCACGAGCACUCUUAUUAUUGUUCACAUCGUUCGGUCGUGCAAGUGAAAGGCAAUAAUGACGAUAUAUGAUGAAGUGACUGAGCUUGGAAAAGCUGGUAUGAACUCGAUCUAUUUUGUUUUUGUAAAUAUGACUAGCUCAUCAUGUCUGAUCUAGCUUUGUUGUGAGAGAAACAUGUUUGCAAUGACAACUUAGAGAUCAUAGUUGCUUAUGCCAUGCUUACUUAGCUAGGAGCUUAUAAUGGUUUGCCUUGGUUGCCAACAUGAAUGUUGAGAUGACUAUGAUGUAGUAUGAUAGGAUGGUAUCCUCCUUUGAAUGUUUCAAGUGCUUGACUUGGCGCAUGUUCACGCAUGUAGUUGAACCAAAAUCAACAUAGCCUCUAUGAUGUUCAUGUUCAUGGUGAUUUGUGUCCUACUCAUGCUUGCACUCAAUGUUAGUUACUCUCAAUGCAUUUUGAUGACUGUUGUUGCUCUCUAGUUGGUCGCUUCCCAGUCUUUUGCUAGCCUUCACUUGUACUAAGCGGGAAUACUGCUUGUGCAUCCACCUCCAUAAACCCAAAGUUGUUCCAGAUGAGUCCACCAUACCGACCUAUGUACGGUAUCUACCUACCGUUCCAAGUAAAUUUGCAUGUGCCACUCUCUAAACCUUCAAGAAAUAAUAUGUUUUGCAUGCCCGAACCGCUCAUGUGGUGACAGGGGGCUAUUGGUAUCUUCCAUGCUAGGCGUGUUAUCCUCGAUAUGUGUUUAUUCACUAUCAUUCACGAGAAGAGGGGCGGUAAUUGGAAUUCCGAGUUCCAUGCUCAAAUCGAAAAGAUAAUUGCAAACAAAACUCCUCCAGGAUUGAUGUUGAUAUGGACGGUAUCCGAGGAUUCGGCUAGCCGUGGAGUGUGAUUGAUUGGUGGUGGGGAGUCAAAACUUUACUUUUCUGUUUGGGAACCGCCUAUAGCAUGUGUAGCGUGGAAGAUGUUGAGAACUCUUAGUCAUUGCGUUGACAAUGAAAGCAUGCCACCCAAAAUUAUUAUCUUUGUUUUCAAAGCUUGAGCUCUGGCACCUCUGCAAAUCAAUGCUUCCCUCUGUGAAGGGUAUGUCUAUUUAUGUUCCUGUUGAGUCAUCCUCCUCUUACAAAAGCACCAAUUAGAGAGCACCUCUGUCAUUUUUAUGCUUUGCUUUUAACUGUGUUGAGUAUGACUGUGACUGGAUCUUCAUUGCCUUGAAUUACAAUGUUUAGUCAGCCCUUGGUCUUUGAAAGUGCUCUGAUUUAUGUUUUGCGGUCUCAGAAAGAUCUAGCGAGAUACCAUCUAUUCGUACUGCUUCAUGUUACUUUGAUUGAAGUGUUGACACUUGAGGCUUAUUAUUAUUUGCUCGCUAGUUGAUUAUGCCAUUGAUAUGAGUCUACCGUGAGACCUAGAUGUCAUUUGCUUUUGUGGUUUGCUUGUGAUCUUGCUGAAACUCUGGAUAUGAGUUAGACAUAGUUGCAACAACAAGAUCAAACAGAGUUCGUCAAUGUUUUUCUGUUGUCUCUUUCAGUUUGUCAACUGAAUUGCUUGAGGACAAGCAAGGCUUUAAGCUUGGGGGAGUUGAUACGUCUCCGUCGUAUCUACUUUUCAGAACUCUUUUGCCCUUGUUUUGGACUCUAAUUUGCAUGAUUUGAAUGGAACUAACCCGGACUGAUGCUGUUUUCAGCAGAAUUGCCAUGGUGUUGUUUUUGUGCAGAAAUAGAAGUUCUCGGAAUGUCCUGAAAAUUUACGGAGAUUUUUUCUGGAAUAAAAGAAAUAUUCCUACGCAAAGAUCCACCGGAGGGGGCGUGCCAGUGGGCAACAAGCCCACAGGCCGCGACCACCCCCUAGGCUACGCCAUGCAGGCUUGUGGGGCCCACGUGGCACCACCGCCCCCAAACUCAGCUUUAUAUCUUCUGUAUCGCAUGGGAAAAAAUCAGAGAGAAGGUUUCAUCGCGUUUUGCGAUACGGAGGCGCCGCCACAUCCUGUUCUUCAUCUGGAGGGCAGAUCUGGAGUCCGUUUCGGGCUCCGGAGAGGGGAAAUCGUCGCCAUCGUCAUCAUCAACCUUUCUCCAUCGACAAUUCCAUGAUGCUCUUCAUCGUUCAUGAGUAAUCUCAUCGUAGGCUUGCUGGACGGUGAUGAGUUGGAUGAGAUCUAUCAUGUAAUCGAGUUAGUUCUUGACGGGGAUUGUUCCCUAGUAUCCACUAUGUUCUAGAUUGAUGUUGCUACUACUUGGCUAUGCUUAAUGCUUGUCACUAGGGCCCGAGUGCCAUGAUUUCAGAUCUGAACCUAUUAUGUUGUCGCCAAUAUAUGUGUGUUUUAGAUCCUAUCUUGCAAGUUGUAGUCACCUACUAUGUGUUAUGACCCGGCAACCGUGGAGUGACAAUAGCCGGAACCACUCCCGGAGAUGACCAUAGUAUGAGGAGUUCAUGUAUUCACCGCGUGUUAAUGCGUUGGUCCGGUUCUUUAUUAAAAGGAGAACGUUAAUAUCCCGUAGUUUCCAUUAGGACCCCGCUGCCACGGGAGGGAUGGACAAUAAAUGUCAUGCAAGUUAUUUUCCCUAAGCAUGUAUGACUACAUACAGAAUACUUGCCUACAUUAGAUUGAUGAACGGGAGCUAGUCACAUAUCUCUCCGUGUUAUAGCUGUUACAUGAUGAAUCACAUCUGUCAUACUCAUCCAUCACCGAUCCACUGCCUACGAGUCUAUUACUACUGGUCCUCGCUACAUUACUUUGUCUAGGCUAGUCCCUUGCUACAAAAGGGAUUGGGCCACUUUGCUGCUACUGUUGCUACUAUUGUCACUUUGGUGCUACUGUUGCUACUGCUGCUACUCCUGUUCCUUGCUACUCCGUUGUUACUCGUUGCAAGAUCUUUUCCGACACUGUUGUCGGGGAAGAAAAGUUGCUUGUCAACGUACCUUUUUCUGGCGCCAUUGAUACAACAGUUAGGAAUAGUCUGCCGUCAACAGAUCAUUUCUGUCACCGUUGCUAUCAUACUACUUUGCUACUGAUACUUUGCUUGCAGACACUAAUCUUUCAGGUGUGGUUGAAUCUGACACAUCAGCUGUUAAUACUUGAGAAUAUUCUUUCGCUUCUCCUUGGCGAACCAACAAAUUUGGGUUGAAUACUCUACCCUCGAAAACUGCUGCGAUCCCAUACGCUUGUGGGUCAUCAGGUUCCCCUCCCUAGGAGGGGCGACGGACAAGAGGAGGGGUGGCUUCCCUUGGGGUGCCUUGCCACCCAAGACAAGGGGUGGCUGACCCCUUAUGGGCUUAGCCCUCCACAUCAUGCCGCAUGAGCCUAGGUGGGAGGGGCGGCCAGCCCACCAAGGGCUGGUGCGCCCCCUCUCACAGCCCAUGGGGCCCUCCGGGGCAGGUGGACCCUCCCGAUGGACCCCUGGAACACUUCUGGCACUCCCUUCACAAAACUGGUAUGUUUCACAACGUUCAGACCUCGAAUACCAACUUCCCAGAUAUCAAUAUUUACGUCCGUACCGCUUCGGAGUUCCUCGUGACGUCCAGGAUCUCAUUUGGGACUCCAAACAUUCUUCAGAUACCAACAUACAUAACUCAACAAUACCAAAUAGUCACGAACGUUAAGUGUGCCGACCCCGCGGGUUCGAUAACUAUGCAGACAUGACCGAGACAUUCGCCGAUAAUAAUCAAUAGCGGGACGUGGAUGCGCAUAUUGGAUCCUACAUAUUCUGUGAAUAUCUUUAUCGGUCGAACCAUGAUGUCAAGGAUUCAAUCAAUCCCGUUUUGAGUUCCCUUUGUCUAUCGGUAUGUUACUUGCUCGAGAUUCGAUCGUCGGUAUCACGAUCCCUAGUUCAAACUCGUUACCGGCAAGUCUAUUUACUCGUUCCGUAAUACAAGAUCCAUUACUAAAUCUUAAGUCACAUUGCUUGCAAGCUGAUUGUUAUGUUGUAUUGCCGAGUGGGCCGUGAGAUACCUCUGUGUCACACGGAGUAAAAAAUCCUAGCCUUGAUCUAUGUCAACUCAACAAACACCCUCGGAGAUACCUGUAAAGCAUCUUUAUACUCAGCCAAUUACGUUGCGACAUUUGAUACACACAAGGUACUCCUCCGGUGUCAGUGAGUUGCAUGACCUCAUGGACAUAGGAACACAUACUUGACAUGCAGAAAACAAUAGCAAUAAACUAAUACGAUCAUAUGCUACGUUCAUAGUUUGGGUCUUGUCCACCACAUCAUUCUCCUAAUGAUGUGAUCCCGUUAUCAAAUGAGAACUCAUGUUUAUGGCGAGGAAAUCUUGACCAUCUUUGAUUAAUGAGCUAGUCCAUUAGAGGCUCACUAGGGCACAGUGUUGUCUAUGUAGCCACGCAUGUAUUUGAGUUUCCAAUUAAUACAAUUCUAUCAUGGAUUAUAAACAAUUAUCAUGAACAAGAAAAUAUAAUAAUAACCACUUUAUUAUUGCCUCUAGGGCAUAUUUCCAAUAGUCCCCCACUUGCACUACAGUCAAUAAUCUAGCUCACAUCACUAUUUGAUUUACAUUGUAAUGUAUCUAAAAUGCAUACAGUUCUGGUGUUGAUCAUGUUUUGCUCGUGGAAGAGGCUUGGUCAAGGGUCCACAACAUUCAGAUCCGUGUGCACUUUGCAAAUAUUUAUGUCCUCCUCCUUGAUGUAAUCGCGGAUGGAAUUGAAGCGUCUCUUUAUGUGUCUGGUCCUCUUGUGAAACCUUGGUUCCUUGGCUAUAGAAAUGGCACCAGUGUUGUCACAGAACAGAGUCAUUGGAUUGAGUGCACUGGGCACAACUCUAAGAUCUGUCAUGAACUCCUUCAUCCACACACCUUCCUUAGCCACCUCCGAGGCAUCUAUGUAUUCCGCUUCGUAUGUAGAAUGAGCUACCACACUUUUCUUGGAAAUGCACCAGCUUACUACUCCCCCAUUCAGAAUAUAUAUGUAUCCAGUUUGAGACUUACAGUCAUUCGUAUCAGUGUCAAAGCUUGUAUUGAUGUAACCCUUUAUGAUGAGCUCUUGAUCACCGCCAGAAAUGAGAAACAUUUCCUUAGUACUUUUCACGUACUUAAGGAUAUUCUUGACCUUUGUCGAGUGUUCCAUUCCUGGAUCACUUUGAAACCUUCUGGACAUACUUAUGUCAAGGAUGACAUCUGGUCUUGUGAACAACAUUGCAUACACGAUAGAGCCUAUGGCAGAAGCAUAGGGGACGACACUCAUCUUCUUUCUAUCUUUUGCAGUCAUUGGAUAUUGAGUCUUACUCAACUUCACACCUUGCAGUACGGGCAAGAACCCUUUCUUGGACUGACACAUUUUAAACUUCUUCAAAACUUUGUCAAGGUAUGUGCUGUGUGAAAGUCCUAUCAAGCGCCUCAAUCUAUCUCUAUAGAUCUUGAUGCCUAAUAUGAACACAACUUCUUCUAGGUCCUUCAUUGAAAAACUCUUGUUCAAAUAUUCCUUUACACUUCCCAAAAAUUCUAUAUUGUUUCCAAUCAGCAAUAUGUCAUCCACAUAUAAUAUUAGAAACGCUAUAGAUCUCCCACUCACUUUCUUGUAAAUACAAGUUUCUCCAUAAACUUGUAUAAACCCAAACGCUUUGAUCACCUCAUCAAAGUGCUAAUUCCAACUCCGAGAUGCAUGCACCAGUCCAUAAAUGAAUCGUUGGAGCUUGCAUACUUUGUCAGCAUUCUCUGGAUCGACAAAAACUUCUGGUUGCAUCGUAUACAACACUUCCUUAAGGAAACCGUUAAGGAACGCUGUUUUGACAUCCAUCUGCCAAAUUUCAUAAUCGAAAAAUGCAGAUAUUGCGAACAUGAUUCUCACGGACUUAAGCAUCACUACGGGUGAGAUAGUCUCAUCGUAUUCAACUCCUUGAACUUGUGAAAAACCUUUUGCUACAAGUCGAGCUUUAUAGACGGUGACAUUAUCCGUCUUCUUCGAAAAGAUCCAUUUAUUAUGAAUGGCCUUUCUCCCUUCAAGUAAUACUUCCAAAGUCCAUACUUUGUUUUCAUACAUGGAUCCUAUCUCGUAUUUCAUGGCCGCUAACCAUUUUUUGGACUCCAGGCCCACCAUUGGUUCUCCAUAGCUCGUAGGUUCAUCGUUGUCCAACAAAAUGACCGUUAAGACAUGGUUACCAUACCAGUCAGGAGCAGUGCAUGCCCUUGUCAACCUACGAGGUUCGAAAGUAACUUGAUCUGAAGCUUCAUGAUCAUCAUCAUCAACUUCCUAUUCAACUAAUGUAGGCUCCACAUAAACAUCUUUCUGCGUUGUGCCAUUCUCUGUUUGAAGUAAAGGUUCAAUAACCUCAUCAAGUUCUAUCUUCCUCCCACUUAAUUCUUUCGAGAGAAACUCUUUUCUAGAAAUGACCCAUUUUUAGCGACAAACACUUUGCCUUCGGAUCUUAGAUAGAAGGUAUACCCAACCGUCUCUUUUGGUUAUCCUAUGAAGACACAUUUCUCCGCUUUGGGUUUGAGCUUUUCUGGCUGAAGAUGUUUUGACACAAGCAUCGCAUCCCCAAACUUUAAGAAAUGACAACUUUGGUUUCUUGCCAAACCAAAGUUCAUAAGGCGUCGUCUCAAUGGAUUUAGAUGGUUCCCUAUUUAAAGUGAAUGCAGCUGUCUCCAAUGCAUAACCCCAAAAGUAUAGUGGAAAUCGGCAAGAGACAUCAUAGAACACACCGUAUCCAAUAAGGUUCGAUUAUGACGUUCAGACACACCAUUACGCUGUGGUGUUCCAGGUGGUGUCAACUGUCAAAUAAUUCCACAUUGUCUUAAGUGAUUGCCAAACUCAUAACUCAGAUAUUCUCCCCCUCGAUCAGAUCAUAGGAAUUUAAUCUUCUUGUUACGAUAAUUCUCAACUUCACUCUGAAAUUGCUUGAACUUUUCAAACAUUUCAGAUUUGUGUUUCAUUAAGUAAAUAUACCCAUAUCUACUGAAGUCACUGAUGAAGGUGAGAAAAUAAUGAAACCCACCGCGCGCCUCAAUGCUCAUCGGACAACAUACAUCAGUAUUUAUGAUUUCCAAUAAGUCACUUGCCCGCUCCAUUGUUCCGAAGAACGGGGUCUUAGACAUCUUGCCCACGAGGCAUGGUUCACAUGUGUCAAGUGAUUCAAAAUCAAGUGACUCCAAAAGUCCAUCAGCAUGGAUCUUCUUCAUGCGUUUUACACCAAUAUGACCUAAGCGGCAGUGCCACAAGAGAGUGGUACUAUCAUUAUGAACUCUACAUAUUUUGGCAUCAAUGUUAUGAACAUGUGUGUCAUAACUACCGAGAUUCAAUAAGAAUAACCCCCUCACAUUGGGUGCAUGACCAUAAAAUAUAUUACUCAUAUAAAUAGAACAACCAUUAUUCUCUGAUUUAAAUGAGUAAUCGUCUCUCAUCAAACAAGAUCCAGAUAUAAUGUUCAUGCUCAACGCAAGCACUAAAUAACAAUUAUUUAGUUUCAUCACUAAUCCCGAUGGUAAUCAAAGAGCGAGCGUGCCGACGGUGAUCACAUCAACCUUGGAACCAUUUGCCACGCGCAUCGUCACUUUGUCCUAUGUCAACCUCCAUCUAUUCCGUAGUUCCUGCUUCGAGUUGCAAAUGUGAGGAACCGAACCGGUAUCAAGUACGCCGGCACUACAGUGAGAGUUAGUAAGGUACACAUCAAUAACAUGUAUAUCAUAUAUACCUUGUUUGGUGUUGGUUGCCUUCUUGUCGGCCAGAUACUUGGGGCAUUUACACUUCAAUUGGCCAGUCCCGUUGCAAUGAAAGCACUCAAUUUCUGGCUUGGGUCCAGCCUUGGGUUUCUUCAUGGGAGGGGCAACUGCUUUACAACUCUUCUUGGAGUCACCCUUCUUGCCCUUGCCAUUCUCCUUGAAACUAGUGGUUUUAUUGACCAUCAACACUUGAUUCUCCUUCUGAAUUUCUGACUCGGCGACUUUCAGCAUCGCAAAUAGCUCGACGACUCAUUUGUUCAUCCCUAUCUAGGUGGCAGUGAUUAAAGAACUCUGUGAGUGAUCGCCUCUAGCGGGAGAGCAGUUCCCAACUCAGCCAGAUGAUUGGAAUACCCAGACGUUUUGAGUAUGUGCUCACUGACACACCCGUUCUCCUCCAUCUUGCAAGCAUAGAAUUUAUCGGAGGUUUCACACCUCUCGAUCCGGGCAUUCUUUUCAAAAAUAUACUGCAACUCCUGGAAGAUCUCAUAUGCUCCAUGACGUUCAAAAUGUCUUUGAAGUCCUGGUACUAAGUCAUACCAUAUAACACACUGAACUAUUGAGUAGUCAUCAGAACGCGCCUACCAGACGUUCAGAACGUCUUUAGGCAACUCUGGAGGGGGUGCCGCACCAAGUGGUGCAUCAAGGACGUAAGCCUUUUGGGAAACCGAGGACAAUCCUCACAUCACAGGCCCAUACAAAGUUACUUCCAUGAUCUUUCAGCUUGGCUUUCUCUAGGAACAUAUUGAAACUCAAGGGUGCUACUGUGCGAGCCAUGGAUCUACAACAUAAUUUUGCAAAGAUUACUUAGACUAUUGUUCAAGAUAAUGAGUUUAAUUAAUCAUAUUACUUGAAACUCCCACUCAAAUUGACAUCCCUCCGGUCAUCCGAGUUAUACAUGAUCCAAAUUCACCAACCCAAGUCUGAUCAUCACGUGAGAUGAGGUGGUUUCAAUGGUGAACAUCUCCAUGUUGAUCAUAUCUACCAUAUGACUCAUGUUCUACCUUUCGUCCUCUUGUGUUUUGAGGCCAUGUUUGUAUAUGCUAGCCUCAUCCAGUUUAACCCAAGUGUUCUGCAUGUGGAAAAGUGGCUUGCACCCAUUGUAUGUGAAUGUAGAGUCUAUCACACCCGAUCAUCACGUGGUGCUUCAAAACGAUGAACUUUUGCAACGGUGCACACUCAAGAAGAACACAAUUUUGUCUUGAAAUUUUUAUGGAGUGAUCACCUUAUAAUUCUACUGUCGUCCUAAACAAAAUAAGAUGCAUAAAAGGAUUGACAUCACAUGCAAAUCAUAAGUGACGUGAUAUGGCCAUGAACUUGUGAUUUCGAUCUCCAUCUCCAAAGCAUCGGCAUGAUCUCCAUCGUCAUCGGCAUGACACCAUAAUCUCCAUCAUCGUGUUGCAAUCAGGGUUGUAGCGCCAACCAUGCUUCUACAACUAUUGCUACCAAUUAGCAAUAAUGUAAAGCAUUACUUAGUGCUUAAUGAUUGACACAUGGGUCAUACAAUAAUUAAAGACAACCCUAUGGCUCUUGUCGGUUGCCGUAUGCAUCGACAUGCAAGUCGAUAAUAACUAUUACACAACAUGAUCAUCUCAUAUAUCAAAUAUAUUUCAUCAUGUCUUUGGCCAUAUCAUAUCACAACAUACCUUGCAAAAACAAGUUAGACGUCCUCUAAUUUGGUGUUGCAUGUUUUACGUGGCUGCAAUGGGUAUCUAGCAAGAACGAUUCUUACCUACGCAAAACCGCAACACUGAUAUGCAAGUUUCUGUUUAACCUUCUAAAAGGACCGCCUUCGUCAAAUCCUAUUCAACUAAGGUGGGAGAGACAGACACCCACCAACCAUCUUAUGCAAGAAAGUUACAUGUCAGUCGAUGGAACCGAUCUCUCGUACGUGCACGAGUAAAGUUGGUCCGGGCCUCUUUAUCCCACAAUACCGUUGAAUCUAGAAAAUACUAAGGACGGAAGCAAUUUGAAUAUAAAUGUUCACAAACUCCUUUGUGUUCUACUCGUGAUGUCAUCUACGCAUAGACCUAGCUCAUGAUGCAACUGCUGGAGAAUGUUGCAUGGGAAACAAAAAAAUCCCGAUGUUCACCAAGAAUAAUCUAGGAGAUGCACAUAUAUGGGAGGGGAGAUUGUAUCUACAUACCCUUUUAGAUCGCUUAGCGGAAGCGUUAAAGAAAGUGGUUGAUGUAGUGGAACGUCUUUGGGAUCCAAUCAUGAUCCGUUCGCGAACUCCCGAUGAAGCGUUGAACGGAGGACACCUCUAUCUUCAACACACGUACAACUUGACUAUGUCUCCGCCUCUUUGAUCCGGCAAGCAGGGGGGAGAGGUAGACGAGUUUCUAGGUAGCACGAUAGCGUGGCAGCGGUGGUGGUGGAGUUGUCCUAGUAGGGCUUUGCCAAGCGUACCGCGACGAACUAGAGGAAAAUCUGAUCUAGAGGGAGAGGUCGCGCAGUGAAUUGUGUUGCUGCAGCCCUCCUGUUGGGGAACAUAGUAGUAAUUCAAAAAAAAUCCCUACGAAACACCAAGAUCAUCUAGGAGAAACCAACAACGAGUGGGGAAGAGCAUAUUCAUACCGUUGAAGAUCGCAAAGUGGAAGCAUUACCGCAAGCGCGGUUGAUGGCGUCCUACUCGUGGCGAUCCGAUCCAAACACGGAACGUUCGGUGUCUCCGCGUUCAACACAUCUAUAGCCUGGGGACGUCUCCUCCUUCUUCAUCCAGCAAGGAGGGAGGAGAAGUUGAGGUAGAACUCUGGCAGCAUGAAGGCGUGGUGGCGAUGGAGCAUGUGGCUCUCCGGCAGGGCUUCGCCAAGCACCGCGGAGGGGGAGAAGAGGGAGAGGUAGGGUUGCGCUAAGAGGUGGUGUUCAAGGUGUGUGAAGCCCUCCCAAACCGUCCACUAUAUAUAGGAGGGAGGAAGAGGGGGUGCACCACCCCUAGGGAAACCCUAGGAGGUGAGGCAACCCUAGAUGGAGGUGGGGCGGCGCCCUAAGGGGUGGCUUGCCACCCAAGGCAGCCCCCACGCCUAGGGUUUGGCCUCCCUUGCCUCCUUGUGCGCCUUGGGCCUUGGUGGGUGGAGCACCAGCUUAUCUAGGGGCUCGUUCCCUUCCGCUUUUGGCCCAUGUGGCCCUUCGGGGCUGGUGGCCCCUCUCGGUGAAUCCCCGGAACCCUUCCGGUGGUCCCGGUACAAUACCGAUGAUCCUCGAAACAUUUCCGGCGAUCAAAUCUCCACUUACUAUAUAUGAAUCUUUACCUCCGGACCAUUCCGGAACUCCUUGUGAUGUUCGGGAUCUCAUCUGGGACUCCGAACAACCCUUGGUAACCACAUAUACGAUUCCCAUAACAACUCUAGCGUCGCCGAACCUUAAGUGUGUAGACCCUACGGGUUCGGGAAACAUGCACACAUGACUGAGACAUCUCUCCGACCAAUAACCAAUAGCGGGGUAUGGAUAUCCAUGGUGGCUCCCACAUGUUCCACGAUGAUCUCAUCGGAUGAACCACGAUGUCGAGGAUUCACUUAAUCCCGUAUGCAAUUCCCUUUGUCUAUCAGUAUGACACUUGCCCAAGAUUCGAUCGUCGGUAUCCCUAUAACUUGUUCAAUCUCGUUACCGGCAAGUCUCUUUACUCGUUUCGUAACCCAUCAUCCCGUGGCUAACUCCUUAGUCACAUUGAGCUCAUUAUGAUGAUGGAUUAGCGAGUGGGCCCAAAGAUACCUCUCUGUCACACAGAGUGACAAAUCCCAGUCUCGAUUCGUACCAACCCAACAAAUACUUUCAGAGAUACCUGUAGUGCACCUUUAUAAUCACCCAGUUACGUUGUGACAUUUGAUACACCCAAAGCACUUCUAUGGUAUCUGGGGGUUGCACAAUCUCAUGUUCUAAGGAAAUGAUACUUGACAUUACAAAGCUCUAGCAGAUGAACUAUACGAUCUUGUGCUAUGUUUAAGAUUGGGUCUUGUCCAUCACAUCAUUCUCCUAAUGAUGUGAUCCCCUUAUCAAUGACAUCCAAUGUCCAUGAUCACGGAAGCAUGGCCAUCUAUUGAUCAAUAAGCUAGUCAACUAGAGGCUCACUAGGGACAUGUUGUGGUCUAUGUAUUCACACAUGUAUUACGGUUUCCGGUUAAUACAAUUUAUAGCAUGAAUAAUAGACAAUUAUCAUGAACAAGGAAAUAUAAUAAUAACCACUUUAAUAUUGCCUCUAGGGAAUAUUUCCAACAGUCUCCCACUUGCACUAGAGUCAAUAAUCUAGUUCACAUCACUAUGUGAUUGUAAUGAAUCUAACACCCAUACAGUUCUGGGGCUUGAUCAUGUCUUGCUUGUGAGAGAGGUUUUAGUCAACGGGUCUGAACCUUUCAGAUCCGUGUGUGCUUUACAAAUCUCUAUUUCAUCCCAUAAAUGGUGCUACCUCGUGCCAUUUCAAACUAUUCCAAAUGGCUGCUCCACUAUACAAACCCGGUUUACUACUCAGUGUCAUCCAAAUAAGUGGCAAAACUUGCAUCGACAUAAACCUUUACGACAAACUCUUUUAUCACCUCCAUAAUCGAGAAAAAUUGCUUAGUCCACUAGUUACUAAGGAUAACUUUGACCGUUGUUCAGUGAUUCAAUCCUUGAUCACUCUUUGUACCCCUUGACACACUCAUGGCAAGGAACACAUCAGGUGUGGUACACAACAUGUCAUACUUUAGAUCCUACGGCUAAGGAAUAGGGGACGACCUUCGUACUUUCUCUUUCUUCUGCUGUGGUUGGGUUUUGAGUCUUACUCAGUAUUCACACCCUACAACACAGCCAAGAACUCCUUCUUUGCCGAUCUAUUUCGAACUCCUUCAAAAACUUGUCAAGGCAUGCAUUUCGUUGAAAGUUUUAUCAAGCGUCUUAAUCUAUCUCUAUAGAUCUUUAUGCUCAAUGUUGAAAUAGCUCAAUCUAGGUUUUCAUUUGAAAAACUCCUUUCAAAAAACCCUUUAUGAUUUCCAGAAAUUCUACAUUAUUUUCGAUCAACAAUAUGUCGACCACAUAUAGUCAUCAUAAAUUCUAUAGUGCUCCCACUCACUUCUUUGGAAAUACAAGUUUCUCAUAAACUUUGUAUAAAACCAAAAACUUUGAUCAUCUCAUCAAAGCGUAUAUUCCAACUCCGAGAUGCUUGCUCCGGUCCAUAGAAGGAACGCUCGAGCUUGCAUACUUGUUAGCAUCUUUAGGAUCGAUAAAACCUUCUGGUUGUAUCACAUACAAUCUUUCCUCAAGGAAACCGUCGAGGAAACAAUGUCUUGACAUCCUAUCUGCAAUAUUUCAUAAAUAAUGCAGCAACUGCUAACAUAAUUCCAACACACUUUUAGCAUCGCUAUGAGUGAUAAAGUCUCAUCAUAGUCAACUCUUGGAACUUGUCGGAAGCAUCUUUGUGAUAAUCGAGAUUUCUGUCUUCCUUUUAAAGAUCCAUAUGUACUUAAUAGUCUUACGACCAUCAAGUACUUCUUCGAAAGUCCACACUUUGUUUUGAUACAUGGAUCCUCUCUCGGAUUUCAUGGCCUCCAGCCAUUUGUCGGAAUCCGGGCCCACCAUCGCUUCUCCAUAGCUCGCAGGUUCAUUGUUGACCAGCAACAUGACCUUCAAGACAGAAUUACCGUACUAUUCUGGAGCAGUUUGUUUCCUUGUCGACCUAGGAGCUUUGGUAGUAGCUUGAUCCCAAGAUUCGUGAUCACUAUCACCAGCUUCCACUUCAAUUGGUGUAGGUGCCACACGAACUACUUCAUCCGCCCUGCUACACACUGGUUGAAGUGACGGUUCAAUAACCUCAUCAAGUUUCCACCAUCCUCCCACUCAAUUCUUUCGAGAGAAACUUUUCCUCGAGAAAGGAGCCGUUUCUAGAAACAAACACUUUGCUUCCGGAUCUGAGAUAGGAGGUAUGCCCAACUGUUUUGGGUGUCCUAUGAAGACGCAUUUAUCCGCUUUGGGUUCGAGCUUAUCAUGCUGGACUUUUUCACAUAAGCGUCACAGCCCCAAACUUUUAAGAAACAUCAGCUUAGGUUUCUCCAAACCAUAGUUCAUACGGUGUCAUCUCAAUGGAAUUACGUGGUUGCCUAUCUAAAGUGAAUGCGGUUGUCUCUAAUGCCUAACCCAUAAGCGACAGUGGUAAUUUGAUAAGAGACAUCAUAGCAUGUACCAUACAAAUAGGGCGCGACUAUGAUGCUCGGACACACCAUCACACCAUGGUGUUCCAGGUGGCAUUGGUUGUGAAACAAUUUUCACAUUGUAUUAAAUGUGUACGAAACUUGCAACUCAGAUAUUCAUCUGCAUGAUCAUAUCGUAGACAUUUUAUCCUCUUGUCACGACAAUCUUCAACUUCACUCUGAAAUUACUUGAACCUUUCAAUAAUUCAGACUUGUGUUUCAUCAAGUAAGUAUACCAGUAUCGACUCAAAUUAUCUAUGAAGUAAGAACAUAAUGAUAUCCACUGCGUGCCUCAACAUUCAAUGGAUUGUAUAGAUCAAAAUGUAUUACUCCCAACAAGUUAGUAUCUUGUUCCAUCUCACUGGAAAACGAGGCUUUCAAUCAUCUUGCCCAUGAGUUGCAUGUCUCAAGUGAGUCCAAACGAUCCAUUUGCAUGGAGUUUCUUCAUGCGUUCACACCAAUAGGCAUGGUUCACAUGUCUCAAAUGAUUCAAAAACGAGUGAGUCCAAAGAUCCAUCAGUAUGGAGCUUCUUCAUGCGUUUUACACCAAUAUGACUCAAGCGGCAGUGCCACAAGUGAGUGGUACUAUCAUUACUACUUUGUAUCUUUUGGCAUCAAUUAUUGUGAACAUGUGUAUCACUACGAUCAAGAUUGGAUAAACCAUUGAAGGUAUUUAUUCAAGAAAAUAGAAUAACCAUUAUUCUCUUUAAAUGAAUAAUUGUAUUGCAAUAAACACGAUCUAAUCAUGUUCAUGCUCAACCAAAUAAUAUUUAUUUAGGUUCAACACUAAUCCCGAUGGUAGAGGGAGCGUGUGAUGUUUGAUCACAUCAACCUUGAAAUUUCUUCCAACACACAUCAUCACCUCACCUUUAGCUAGUCUCUGUUUAUUCUGUAGCUUUUAUUUCGAGUUACUAACACUUAGCAACCGAACUAGUAUCUAAUACACUAGUACUACUAGGAGUACUAGUAAAGUACACAUCAAUAUCAUGUAUAUCCAAUAUACUAUUGUCGACUUCGCCGGCCUUCUAAUCUACCAAGUAACUAGGGUAGUUCCGCUCCAGUGACCGUUCCCCUCAUAAUAGAAGCACUUAGUCUCGGGUUUGGGUUUAACCUUGGGUUUCUUCACUGGAGCGGAAAAUUGUUUGCCUUUCAUGAAGUAUCCCUUCUUACCCUUUCCCUUCUCGAAACUAGUGGUUUUACUUGCCAUCAACAAUUGAUGCUCCCUUUUGAUUUCUACUUUCUGUUGGAAUUAUGCCCUAGAGGCAAUAAUAAAUAUAGUUAUUUUUAUAAUUCCUGUAUCAAGAUAAUCGUUUAUUAUCCAUGCUAUAAUUGUAUUGAAUGAAGACUCAUUUACAUGUGUGGAUACAUAGACAAAACACCGUCCCUAGCCAGCCUGUAGUUGGCUAGCCAGUNNNNNNNNNNNNNNNNNNNNNNNNNNNNNNNNNNNNNNNNNNNNNNNNNNNNNNNNNNNNNNNNNNNNNNNNNNNNNNNNNNNNNNNNNNNNNNNNNNNNNNNNNNNNNNNNNNNNNNNNNNNNNNNNNNNNNNNNNNNNNNNNNNNNNNNNNNNNNNNNNNNNNNNNNNNNNNNNNNNNNNNNNNNNNNNNNNNNNNNNNNNNNNNNNNNNNNNNNNNNNNNNNNNNNNNNNNNNNNNNNNNNNNNNNNNNNNNNNNNNNNNNNNNNNNNNNNNNNNNNNNNNNNNNNNNNNNNNNNNNNNNNNNNNNNNNNNNNNNNNNNNNNNNNNNNNNNNNAUGCUUUGUGUGUAUCAAACGUCGCAACGUAACUGGGUGACUAUAAAGAUGCUCUACAGGUAUCUCCUAAGGUGUUAGUUGAGUUAGUAUGGAUCAAGACUGGGAUUUGUCACUCCGUGUGAUGGAGAGGUAUCUCGGGGCCCACUCGGAAAUACAACAUCACACACAAGCCUUGCAAGCAAUGUGACUUAGUGAAAGUUGCGGGAUCUUGUAUUACGGAACGAGUAAANNNNNNNNNNNNNNNNNNNNNNNNNNNNNNNNNNNNNNNNNNNNNNNNNNNNNNNNNNNNNNNNNNNNNNNNNNNNNNNNNNNNNNNNNNNNNNNNNNNNAUAUGAUGUUAUUUUACUUAUUUAACAAUUUUUAAAUUCUAUUUAUGCAGUAAGUUUAAAUAAAUGUCUUAAAUCAUGAUUAUUAGGUUAUGACAUGUUUGUACGGUUUGCUUCCGUUGCAACGUACGGGCUUUUUUGCCAGUAAGUGAUAAACUACUCCGUAUGAGGGAAUUGUAGUAGUAGCUCAGAUUCUCCUUAAAUAUGGGUUGAAAGAAGAGAUUUGUAGGGGUGCGGCCCAGAGCGGCCAGAGACCAAACCCAACCGACCGACCGACCGNNNNNNNNNNNNNNNNNNNNNNNNNNNNNNNNNNNNNNNNNNNNNNNNNNNNNNNNNNNNNNNNNNNNNNNNNNNNNNNNNNNNNNNNNNNNNNNNNNNNNNNNNNNNNNNNNNNNNNNNNNNNNNNNNNNNNNNNNNNNNNNNNNNNNNNNNNNNNNNNNNNNNNNNNNNNNNNNNNNNNNNNNNNNNNNNNNNNNNNNNNNNNNNNNNNNNNNNNNNNNNNNNNNNNNNNNNNNNNNNNNNNNNNNNNNNNNNNNNNNNNNNNNNNNNNNNNNNNNNNNNNNNNNNNNNNACCCCGCCGCGCCGCCAAUCCGAGCCCUAACCGGCGCGAUCAACCGACCAUGUCCAGCGACGACCCGCCCCUCCGCCUCUUCUACUCCGACGACGACGGCGACCUCGACGGCGGCGUGUACGCGUAUCACCACCACUCCGACGAGGACUACCAGGACUUCGGCGGGGUGGACGAGGAGGAGCCGGAGGCGCCGGAGCCGCAGCAGCCGGCGGCCAGGAGGAAGAAGGCCGCCGGACGCAGGGCGCCGCGCGGGCCGCUGCGGUCGGUGAGGCGGCGCCCGGGGCUGCCGCCGGGAUGCGGCGACGGCGCCGGGCUGCGGGGCGGGAAGCGGUGGAGGGAGCUCCUGCUGUGGCGGNNNAGGCGGCAGGCGAGGGAGAAGGCGCGGUGGUCCGUCGUCAAGGCGCCGCCGGGGCUGCUCGAUCCGAUCUUCCUGGAGCUCGAGGUCGAUCUUGGUGAUGAUUGAUUAACGAAUGGUCUGCACGGAUUAUAUACGUAUCAAUAAGGGCACGAUAGUUAGUGAUUACUGAUUAGUUCUUCUGUAUCAUUUUCGCUGGCACUAAAUUAACGUGGAAACUACUCCGUUAUCAAUAUAAGAGUGUUUAGAUCACUCAUUUAAUGAUUAAACGCUCUUACUUGCUUCGUAAAUGGUGGAGACGCU
rnacentral:lncRNA from 1 species